UUCUUCCCAUAUCAGCAGGAAAAUUCACUCCAAUCAUCUCGCCAUUCUACACUUGGGAAAUCAGGUUUGCUUCAAUCUACCAUCCUUGAAUAUAUGCCCCACGUCUUAUUUCUACGUCCUAAUCUUAUUAAGCUUGUAAUUAGUAGUUAGUGCAAGAUCGAAAAGGAGCUAUGGGCAAAACACCAUCCGCACCUGCUGAUAAAAUCACCAUGGGACAAGCGGCGCCUAAUCAUGAAAUAGCAGCAGAUUCAAGUGACAGUGAGAGAACAAUCAGUGAGGGUUAUGUGGGGAUCAUGUAUGGUGGUAGCCAAACCAACGAUGGCAACCUGGAAGGAGAAUCUGCUAAGGUAUUGCUAGCAACAGAUUCAAGUGACAGCGAGAGAACAAUCAGUGAGAGUUAUGUGGGGAUCCUGUAUGGUGGUAGCCAAACCCAGGAUGGAGACCUAGAGGGAGAAUCUGCUAUGGUAUUGCCUGCUGUAGGAGAGAAUACCACGGCGAGAUCUAACAGUCAUGGUUAUACCCGCAGCUUGGAAAUUGAUUCUGCCUCUCGUACUGAGCGGCAUGCUGCCAGGUCAGAUUCUGUUCGAGUGGCACAGCGCCGAGACUGCAUGCAAAUUUACCCUGAGUGGCUGGAGAAAAUUGAUUCAGGCAAAAAGAUGUGGACAACUCUCAAACAAUUUCGAGCAAGUGGGAAGCAUGAAGAGGUUAGUAUAUACACAUGUUCUGGUGUGCUCUGUCAUCAAAUAAUUUUCAUUGUGUGUUAAUCAUCUCAUAACAUAAGGAGUGUUUGCUUGAUGGGCAUUCAGACCAAAUGAUGAACGAAUUAGAUCCUUUUUCCUUUGAUCAAAAACACAUGGCAUUUUUUUAUCAACUAGCCCAUCCUUUUUCUUUGAUCUACUAACAUUGGUUUCAAGUUAUUGUAGAAGUUUCUUGUAGUGACUGGUUAAAUAAUUCACACAUGUUCGUCUAUUUAUGCUAUGUUAUACAAUCUAUCCGAUGAUGAAUAUCCAUUUUUUCUAAAAAUAGUGCAUCUACCUCUAACUAUUUCACAGUCAACAAUCCAAGCCCGAGCCCGGCUUGGCACGGCUCAAAGCACAUGGACAAUGGCUUCUCAAUUUAACUAAUUAUAUUCGGGAUAUUAAAAUGAUAUAAUAUACCUAUAUUUUGAAUAAAAUAUACAUUUGUUGCCAUUUCGGGCUUUUGGGCCGGGCUUCGGGCGAGAAAUUGAAGCCCAAGCCUACCCCAGAUGUCGGGCUUUGCGCUCGGGCCUCUUGGCCGGGUAGUCCAUGAACAGGUUUAGUUUGAUCUAUUCACUCACAUUUUGAUCCUCGUUCAUUAUAGCAUUUAACCAUAAUUCAUAUGAACAUGCACCAAGAGAAUAUAAUAAAGAAAAUGGGUCAAUUUGUGGUAUACAACGCCUUAUUGUGCGACAUCACAAGAACAUUUUUCUCCUUGAUUACAGUAGUAACUAUUGUGCAAUCUUAUAUGUCAAAGCAUAUAUUAUAUGACAAAUUAAGUAUAUUGUUUUGCUUAUUUCAGUAUUACCUUGACAAGGAAUAUAGUCACAAAUUUUGCUCCAAACGCAGCGUUAUUGAGUUCAUACGAAAUGGAUCUGUGAAAGGGAAGCCGGUUCAGAAGGUGCCUAAAUACUUGACUUUCAAACAUAUAGUAAUUAUGCGAAGAUGUAUAUGUUUUUUGUAUUAACUUUAAAGUAUUAAUUUGACACGGUAUCCUAUUUUUGCACAGAGAUCAUCUGAUACUACUACGAACAAUCUUCAGGGUAUGUCCAGUUGGCCCCAUGCAUUUGGAUAUUAUUUUGUCUACUAUUAUUAUUAUAAAGAGAAAUCUAACUGAAACUGAAAUAUAAUAAAUAUUAAUGGAGAGAAAAAUACACAUUAAUGUCCACAUACACAACACAAUUAGCCAGUACUAUCCUAGUUUACAUGAAUUAAUAUUUGCAAUGACAUUUAGGUUAGUCAUGACAUGAUAAAGAAAUUUUUUUUUUGCGAGGUAAGAUAAGGUUUUAUAUAACUGUUCAUGGGGACCUCCUCAUGGUUGCAGAUACAUAGUUUUACAGUGCUUCAUGAAAUAGUUGCAUAUCAUCAUGUCUAAAGAAGAAUCAUGACGGACACAACUUCAAGAAAUUCUUCUUGAAAAUAACAUAAUGUGUAUAUACCUCAUAGAGGAUGUAACUUGUUGGUAGCAUUUAAUAUUGUGACACACUCGCCAUCUUCUAUGCCAGCAUUAUUUGGGUGAUGAUUUAAUAUCCAAAAGCAUACAUCAAGGUAGUUAUGUGUAAUGAUAUUCUUGUGAAAAUAACUUCCAUAGUGUAUACUUGCAUAUAUGUAUUGUUCUAUUGUAUUCUCACAGUUAAUCAUUUUUCUUAAAUUUUUUUUGUUUAUUUAUGUUUAGAGCAAGAUUAUAAAUUAAGCUGAGCAUAAUUUCUGCAGAUUAUAGAUGGCCCACUAAAAGACAAAGGACGAAGGCGCAAACUUCAAGUAAUUCUUCUUGCCACAUAGGUUUUUCUAAUUGUGCGAGGAUACCACUUGUAACUGCCUUUAGUCAUCUAUGUCAGUAGUAUUUUGAGAAGAAUUUCAUUACAAAAUGCAAUGACUCAAAUCAGAUUGUUCAUGAUGAUUCCUAAUUGUAUAACCAAUAAGCUUUACACACCUUCCUAUUUUAGAGUUGUUAUCUUAAUAAGUAUAUACUAUAUGUUAUUAAUGUUGUUGUUGGGUGAGGAACAUUUGGUGCUCACGGUUAGAAUGUAGAAUUUUCUUAACACAACAAGCUAGAGCGAAUGUGGAGGCCAAUAUAGAUUGAAACCAUUAAUUCAUAUUAAAAUGGUCAUGACUUCUUAUUUUUAUUUGACAUAAGUGUUUGUGACUUGUUUGAAUUAAUGUGUUCUGCAAUUAUAUGAUACUUCUAUACUGAUACUAUUUUUAUGAAAUGUGCAGCUAGUUUGUCGACAGGAGCACGAACAACCACAACUUCUACAAAGCUUCCACAUGGUUUCAUCUAGUAUCAUGCGAAAAACAUUGAGACAAUCAAGAUUACUUGAGCAACCUAAAUUAUGUUAGUUGUUACCUGCUUUCAAAUGAAUGUGUCCUCUCAUAGUAUGCAUGUACUUCUGUUGUUGAGGAAUUUAUAUCAUUAGACAGUUCUAUUAUUCAUAAUUAUUGAUUAAUGGGUACAUACCUUCAAUCCUGGAAGAUUGUGAGAUAGCCAGUCAAGGAAGCGAUUUGUUUAUUGAAUUGUGCAUAAUAGGGACAUUUUUACAUUUAAAGGAACAUCGUAGGAAUAAUUUGGUAUUUCGAGAAGAUUUUCCAGUCCCCUGCCCCAACCUGCUGGAGACAGUAUGAGUGCUGACACACACAUUUGUAACGUACCAGCAAGCUAGUGCAGUAGCUUCAGUCACAUGCUCUGGAAGCCCAAUUUGGGUCUUCCUUCAGAAGGCUCAUCAAGGCCAUCAUCACACCAUUCUAGUUAGUUACUUCUGCAAUGAUAUAUGUCCGUGAGAAAAUAAGAAGCUAAGGUUCUAGUAGACUUAUAAUCCUCUAACAGCACCACGUUGGAUAUGCCCGCACAAAUAAAAUAACAUGAGUGGAGUCUAUUUUGUAAGCACAUAUCUUGUCACCAGUCAACUACUAGUACAGUAAGAGCAUCAAAGAGGAAUUCAUUUCAUAUAGAAUAGUCGCAUACAUAUACUUCUGUUCGGCACAUACUGCUCAUUAUCAUGGACAAUGAUGUAGCUAGCUAAAAUGGAGCACGUGGCUAUAUAUAAUGUAAGGAGGGAGGCUCCAGGGAUGAGCUCGACAAACAGAACUAACCUGCUCUUGCGAAGAACCAGUAAGCCUUGCUACAUUGCCACCUGCAUGCUGCAGGGCAUCGCGUCCACCAGCUACUGUGGUAUGUCGCAACUCUGUCCUCUCAUCUUUUCACCGAAGCGGUCGUUGGCGAAUUCUAAUCUUUCUGGAACAACAUUCGUAAUUCCCUGCACUAGAAGGUCAUCAUGAUGCAUCGGCACAUCUGAAUUCUAGCCACAUUAACAAAAUCUUUGCCCAAACCAAAUUAAGGGAGAAAUGAGAAAUGAAGGAGAGCACCAAAUAGUAAGUUAGGUUACACAUAUAUAUAGAAAUGUCGUUCAUAGUAAAAACAACCGGAAGUGUAUCCAUGUUGUUUGCUUAGGUGGCUGAAACCAAGGUCCUAUUCACUGGGAUGAUGAACCUACUAAAUAAAAGGGUUCUCAAAGUCCCCUCAGAACUAGAGUCGAGUAACACAGUCAUGAUCCCAUGGGGUUUCAGGAUAACGACAUGCAAAUGUGGUUAACACAAUCAAAUCUCUCAUUAAGAUUUGUCUUAUUUUUUAUCACUACGGGAAAAUUCAUGUUUGCCGAGUGUCAGUGUCUUUGCUGAGUGCAUUUUGUCGGGCACUCGGCAAACAUAUCUUUGCCGAGUGUAAUCCUGAAACACGGUAAAUAGGUGCUUUGCCGACUGUCGUGGAAAAAACUCUGGCAAAAAAGUAAUAGUUGCUAAAAGGUGCUUUGUUGAGUGUCUUGGAAAUAACUCUCGGCAAAAUAGUGGAACUUGGGCAAAGAUGUGCUUUAUCGAGUGCUACAUUCGGCAAAAGGGGGUAUGCACUGCGCUCACUGUUUUGGCUGUCGAGAUUGCAUACAACCUCGGAUGAAGAUGAUCCAAGAAUCAAAGUUUUACAUUUCGACGAGAUGAAUAAUUUUCAUGUUGAGGACCUUUUCAUUUUAGGCCAUAUUAUUUACAUUUUUUGCCAUGCGAAAAUAUGGUCUCAAAUGAAUAAGGCGGUGGUCAUAUUUAUUGCAUAGUUUAUGACUAUGGGCCUAACCUUGGCAUUUAUGUGCAUCUUGCCAUCACAAACAAUGUUGCCAAAUAGAGUUUCCAACAUUUCAUACAAUAAUAAUUUUUCUAUUUUUGAAGUGUAAAAAAUUGAUACUUUUGUGAAGCUGCUAAAAAUAUCGAGUGCAAAAUGGCAUCACUCCAAUUUUCACAAAAAUAGACCAUAUUUUUUUAGAGAAUUCCCUUUUUUGUGGAUUUUCUAUAUUUCUAGCUACUUUCACACAUUUAAAUGACUUUAUUAUGAUUCCGCGAAAUUAAUUCAAUUUGAACUGUAAUUGUGUGAUAGUUAUGUCCUAGAAAUUUGCAAAAAAUACUUUUAGGUACACAAGUAGUCAUUACAUGGCAAACCCACUUAGAGUUUGAGAGAUUCAACCCCUUGACAUGAAUAGCCAUGCCGGACACUUUCACCCCGUUUUCGAAAAAUGAAACAAAAAGGAUACAAGUUAAAAAAAUGCAAUCCUUUCAUAUGGACUCCUUUUAUGUGUACUAGUGUGGAUGAAAAUACCAAACUUUCAAUAUGACAGUUUUGAAUAAAAAAUAUCCUGCACAAAUGGGCUAUCCCCUAUGAACAUUCAUGGCUUUCAAGUCAAAUGACCAAGGUGAUGACCAUAUUCAUUGCAUAGUUUAUUAUAAUGUGCCCAAAUUAGACAUAUAGGUGAACCUUGCCAUUACAAAUAAUGUUGCAAAAUAGAGUUUCCAACUUUUUGUAAAAAAAAUCAUUUUCUAUUUUCUAAGUGUAAAAAAUGGGUGUUUUUUGUGAAGCUGGUACCAAAAACAGGGUACAAAAUGACACCACUCCAAUUUUCACAAAAAGUAGACCGUAUUUUAUGGACAAUUCCCAAAGUCUGUAGAUUUUUUUCGAAAACUAUAACAAUUGGUGUAUUUUUUUAAUAUUUAAUGAAAAUAAUAUAUAUAUUUUUAAUGGGAAGGGAGGAUAUUUAAAGGAUAGCAUGGACAUCUGAGGGUGUACGUUGAAGCGUUUGAGGUGCCUUUAUGUGCCAGUUUACGACGUGCUCAACCGGCAAUGUGGUAGUAUUAAUCAGUAUAUACUUCUGAUUGUAAAAGAAAUCAAUAUAUAAUUUGUUUGGAUUAUUUUAGUUUGUAGGGCAAACUUAAAAUGGAUUUAUUUAGCCUAUGAUUGUGAAAUCACUAAUUAGGAGGUACGUUUUGCAAAUGUCACACCCCACUUUCAUUGGUGCUGACAGGUGGCACAUGGCAUGUGUGCCACUUGUCACAACAUGGGAAAUUCCCCCUUUUUGUAAAUUCAUUUUUUUAAUCUUUUAUCUCUUGAACCGCGCAUUCAAAUCAUGACCCAUUUUUAUCUUUGGAUUUCUCGCGCCGAGAUCUUUGAAACUAGGUCGCAUGUUAAUAAGUUUCAAUGAACUUUUUCUUCACGAAAAUCAAAAAUCGAAAAAAUAUGAAAACAAAAAAUACAGAAAGCAAAAAAAGAAAAAAAACCUAAAAUCACGGUUGUGCUUUUUUACAUUUUUGGGAAGAACAAUUGUGCUUUCCCCUUUUCGGGAAACACAGUUUUGCUUCUUGUGCAAGCAUAGGUCAUGCUUUUCCCUUUUCAAGAAGCACACGCCAUGCUUCUUUUUUCCGGGAAGCACAUAUGUGCCUUUCCUUUUCGGGGAGCACAGUUUUUCUCUUUUUUUCAAAAAAGCAUAGAUGUGUUUUUCCCUCUUUAGAGAAGCACUACCUAUGCAUCUCACUGAAACAUGUUAUGCUUUUCCUUUUUUGAGGAAGUAUAGUUGUUCUUUCCCUUUUUACAGGGAAGCAAAAAAUGUGCUUUCUUCCUUCUUGGGAAGCUGUGCUUCCCGCGGAAAAGCACCGCCUCAUGAAAAAACAUAAAAAAUGAAAUUUUUUCAUCAAAACCUAGGGAAAACCAAGAAAAAAAGAAAACAUGUGUAAAAAUCUAAGGGUGUAUCAAGCGCACGACACGUGGCAGCAAUUGGACGCAUCACUUGAUGCGCUCUCAGGUCCUAAUAGUGACCUCUGUGGAAUCCGCCGAUGAGAUACUUGUUAGAUAGUUGGAGACCUCGUUGCAUCAAAUAGGAGGGUGGCCACAAAGGGGGCGCAUCCUGGUGGGCCGGCCCAGUAGCGUGCUGCACUCUAUUGCAAAUUGGUCAAAAUGUAAAAAAUUAUGUGUGAGCAAAGCGCGCAUGGCUAGCCACUCAAGCUAAUGAAACUCUGCUAACUACUAGGUCGUGUUGAACUUUAAAAAGUACUAUAUGAUACCCCGCGCGUUGUUGCGGGAACUCUUAGUACUUUACAUGAAGAAGCUUGUGGAGUGAAAAUAUAUAAAUGAUGAAAAAAAUACUUUUUAAAACCUUUGGUGGUACUUUUAGGAAGAUUAUGGAGUGAAAAUAAGUAAACAAUUAAUAUAUUUUUGAAUCUUUGAUGGUAUUUCGUGAAACGUGAGAGAAAUGGUAUAUCAGGGUAUCUCCGUAUUUGUGUAGUUAGAACCUGUCACCCUUUAGCGGGGAAUUAAAUGCAUCACUAACGUUAAAAAUAGAGCAUAUAUAGUAUGAUGGGAAUUUCACUGAAAACAUGGCCAGCCUAGUCUAAAGCUGAAUAUUACACUGAACAGAGAGUGCCCAACACAAAAGCACUAAUGCUUGUUGAGUUAUUUGUAAUAUAGGAGUAGGAUCCUUUCGAAAGACAAAUUCCAAAAUAUUAAAAAGAUCCAACAGUAAGACAUCCAUACACCUUACAGUUUAUACAUGGCGACAAGCUACAUACCAAUCGCUAAAAAAGGUGAAUAUAGAGUCAUGCACAUCAGGCCCUCAUGGCAUAGAUGCAUUUCUAUAUCUAUAUCUAUAUCUAUACCUACUAAUAAAGCAAGAUGCGUUUCUCCAAUUUUUUCAUCCGUUCACCACCGAAAAUACUUUUUUUGUAUCCGAGGUGGUACUAAAAUUUGUGUGGUCCAUCUGCUAGAAAACAAAACAGAAGAAUUUUGUCUAGAAUUUUGUACGUGGGCCGCACGCGCCAAGGCCCAGAAAAGCUACACAUUUAUAUCCUGCGCACGCUGCUGGGGAAUAUUAUUUAUCGCACAGAGCGACAUAUAGUUGGAGAUUCCAAUAUGUGGCCCAAUGUUGGGCUAGCCCAUUUCCUUUUUUCUUUGUUCUUUUUCAUUUUUUUAAUUUUCCCAAAAUCCCUUUUUUAUAAUAAUUUUCGUUAACUCUUCGAAUUUCUAAAUUUGUCCCAUUUUAAAAAAAAAUCCAAAAAAGAUCGAGAUUUGCAAAAUAAAUUCCAUUUUAAAAAUAAUAGAAAUACUAAAAAUAUUAUUUUUAUUGAAAUAUUCACAAUUUAAAAAUAAUGUUCGUGACAAAAAACACAUUUUUGAAAAUGGUUUUGAAUGUUUAAAACAAGUUUCCAUUUUAAAAAAUUGUUCACAAAUUCGAAAAAUGUCCGUUUCUCCGCCUUAAAAAUGGCCAUGUUUUCAAAAAAAUUGUGAAUUUUAAAAAAUCUUCCAAUUUGAAGUUUUCUUUCCUUUUUCCAGAAAUUAGUGCUUUUUCAAAAAAAAUGCUUGUUUGUUUAAAAAAAUCUGGAGUUCACCACAACCACGACAAGGAGGUGGACCAGAAUGAAAAAAAAGGCACGAGAUGGGUAGUGGCCGCCACUCGGACCAACCCCACUACUAUAAACAUCUCGUGGGCCAAACAUGACCCACGAGAACACCACAGCUCUCCGCUCUGUCGUGCCACUAUUGUGGAGAACAUUUUGAUGGACACAUCAAUUAUCUCUCCCGAUGCUUCUCGCAAAAAACUCUCCCGUUGCAACGCACGGGCAUAUGUGCUAGUCUGCCACUAAAAGGACAUGCCUUCAGGGGAUUAGUGUAGCUAGGUGUGAAGAUCUAGACAUAUAAAUGGCAGGAAUGACUUCUUCUUCCUGCCCCUUCUGUGGCAAUAGAGGCCCGACUUCAAUUGGGAUCCGACUGACAUGUUGCUCCCUCUUCAUAAAAUGGAGCUGAUUGUUAUCUAAAAGCAAGCUAGGUAGCUUUGGCAUGGCCAGCAGUAGUACUUGCUACUUUGCCAGUUGUGAUGCAUCACAUGAGAACACAAGGAAGGCUACGUGCUGCCAUGGCCGGACCCUUUGGGGUGCCAAAUGGUGUUCAGAUUUAUAGUAGGUUCCAUUUUUGGUGGGAAUCCAGGGAAAAGAAGGCGAUGGAGUAAGAUGACAACCCAUUCCCAUACUGCCACUCAAAAUCAAAAUGAAGAGGGUAAAUAAAUGUACUUACUAAGAACACACGGAUAACAUACAACUGGCUACAGAAGCAGCCAAACUUUGUAACCCACAGAAACUGGGGAAAUUGUGAAAACUAUUUAUGUAAGUAGAAGCAAAUGUAGUCCAGUUACCUUUCAUGGUAAUGCUUCUCUUGGGCCGAUUCUUAGGAUCCCUGAAGAAUGCCUUCUGUUUUCCCAAAGCAUGAUUCCUUGCUAGAGCAGUACCUUUUGUUCUCUUGAGUUAAGGCGCAGUGGGAAAUAUAUCACUAUCAGCUCUAGUUCAAUUGCUUGUAUUUUACAAAAACAUAUAAUUGAAACAAUUAUCAGGAAAAGUUAUUACCUUAAUCGCGACAACUCUUUGAGCAUGCAAUUUGGCAUCUUGGUGUAAAAUCUUCAUGUGUAAACAAUCUUGUUUUAGCAUCCAGACUCUAUAAUUAAAAGUAAUAAGCUCUUUUAAAGCCGAAAGCAACUAUAUAGACCAAUACAAUUAAACAAAGCCAGCGGGUAGGUUUCAAAUUUGAAGUAGCCGUGCUCCAUAGUUAACUCUCCGGCAUGCAGGCAUUUAGUGUAGUAGAUCCAAGACAUACGUGUGACAGAUUGCAUAUGAACAACAUUUAUUAGUAGGAAAAUAGUACUACCUGAAGGAAAUAUGCCCUAGAGGCAAUAAUAAAGUUAUUAUUUAUUUCCUCAUAUCAUGAUAAAUGUUUACUAUUCAUGCUAGAAUUGUAUUAACCGGAAACAUAAUACAUGUUUGAAUACAUAGACAAACAUAGUGUCACUAGUAUGCCUCUACUUCACUAGCUCGUUAUUCGAAGAUGGUUGUGUUUCCUAACCAUAGAUAUGAGUUAUCAUUUGAUUAACGGGAUCACAUCAUUAGGAGAAUGAUGUGAUUGACUUGACCCAUUCCGUUAGCUUCGCACUUGAUCGUUUAGUAUGUUGUUAUUGCUUUCUUCAUGACUUAUACAUGUUCCUAUGACUAUGAGAUUAUGCAACUCCCGUUUACCGGAGGAACACUUUGUGUGCUACCAAACGUCACAACGUAACUGGGUGAUUAUAAAGGUGCUCUACAGGUGUCUCCGAAGGUACUUGUUGAGUUGGCGUAUUUCGAGAUUAGGAUUUGUCACUCCGAUUGGAGGAGAGGUAUCUCUGGGCCCUCUCGGUAAUGCACAUCACUAUAAGCCUUGCAAGCAAUGUGACUAAUGAGUUAGUUGCGAGAUGAUGCAUUACGUAAGGAGCAAAGAGACUUGGCGGUAACGAGAUUGGACUAGGUAUUGACAUACCGACGAUCGAAUCUCGGGCACGUAACAUACCGAUGACAAAGGGAACAACGUAUGUUGUUAUGCGGUUUGACCGAUAAAGAUCUUCAUAGAAUAUGUAGGAGCCAAUAUGAGCAUCCAGGUUCCGCUAUUGGUUAUUGACCGAAGACGUGUCUCGAUCAUGUCUACAUAGUUCUCGAACCCGUAGGGUCCGCACGCUUAAAGUUCGGUGACGAUCGGUAUUAUGAGUUUAUAUGUUUUUAUGUACCGAAUGUAGUUCGGAGUCCCGGAUAUGAUCACGUACAUGACGAGUAGUCUCGAAAUGGUCGAGACGUAAAGAUCGAUAUAUUGGAUGACUAUAUUCGGACACCCGAAGUGUUUCGGGUGAUUUCAGAGAAAACCGGAGUGCCGGAGGGGUUACCGGAACCCCCCGGGGAAGUAUUGGGCCUUAGUGGGCCUGAGGGGAGAGAGAGGGCAGCAGCCCAGGAGGUGGCGUGCCCCCUCCCAUGAGGAGUCCGAAUUGGACUAGGGGAGGGGGCGCGGCUGUCGGUGUCAAAACUGGCGGAUUUCGGGUAGGGGGUCCCGAACUGUGCGUCUAAGGCGGAUGGUAACAGGAGGCGGGGGACACGAUGUUUACCCAGGUUCGGGCCCUCUUAAUGGAGGUAAUACCCUACUUCCUGCUUGAUUGAUCUUGAUGAUAUGAGUAUUACAAGAGUUGAUCCACCACGAGAUCGUAGAGGUUAAACCCUAGAAGCUAGCCUAUGGUAUGAUUGUUGUUGUCCUACGGUCUAAACCCUCCGGUUUAUAUAGACGCCGGAGGGGGCUAGGGUUACACAGAGUCGGUUACAAGGGAGGAGAUCUACAUAUCCGUACUACCAAGCUUGCCUUCCAGGCCAAGGAGAGUCCCAUCCGGACACGGGACGAAGUCUUCAAUCUUGUAUCUUCAUAGUCCAACAGUCCUGCUAAAGGAUAUAGUCCGGCUGUCUGAGGACCCCCUAAUCCAGGACUCCCUCAGUAGCCCCUGAACCAGGCUUCAAUGACGACGAGUCCGGCCCGUAGAUUGUCUUCGGCAUUGCAAGGCGGGUUCCUCCUCCGAAUAUUCCAUAGAAGAUUUUGAACACAAGGAUAGUGUCCGGCUCUAGAAAAACAAAUUCCACAUACGACCGUAGAGAGAAUAAUAUUUCCACAAAUCUAAUCUGCUGACACAUUCGGCAGCAUGACAUCACACCACGGCCCGGUCAUUAUUCGAACCGUUUUUCUCAACCAGCUACUGCACAUAUCGCGAGGCGGUUUUCUCGGCACGUCUUGUCGAAGCAGAGAUCGUGUCCCCUUGUCACGGGAUUCUCAUCAAUACGGGUGUGGGUAACCCAACCGCGCCAUCAAUUAUGGCGCUUGGGGAAUAAGCGAGUUUACCAGGUAGGUGGGGAGGCGUAUAGUUUCUUCCGCCCUUAUAAAGGGACAAGGAUUCCUCUUUUUACCCACGCCCUCUUCCUCCUUGCUCAUCCAUUCUUGCUCACUCGAGCUCCAGCGCCCAAGUUUGCAUUUCCUCCUCAAACCACUCCAAGCAUGUCCGGAGCGGGAGGCAUGUGGAUGGUCUCCUCCGUCACGGAGGAGAACAUCACAAAGCUACGGGGAGCCGGAUAUCUGGCCGCGGAUAUCGCACACCGGCUGCCAGACGCGGGGCAAAUCGUCCCUACUCCAGAACCCCAUGAGAGGAUGGUUUUUCUUACCCACUUCGUCUGCGGACAGGGAUUUCCCCUCCACCCGUUUGUCCGUGGGCUCAUGUUCUACUACAGGCUAGAUUUUCAUGAUCUGGCCCCCAAUUUCAUCCUCAACAUCUCGGCGUUUAUCGUCGUGUGCGAGGCCUUCCUCCGCAUCAAGCCCCACUUCGGCCUGUGGCUGAAGACCUUGAAUGUUAAACCGAAGGUGGUGGUCGGCCAGCAAGCGGAGUGCGGAGGUGCCAUGGUGGGAAAAAUGCCCAACGUCACCUGGCUCGAAGGCUCCUAUGUGGAGACCAUAAAGGGGUGGCAAUCGGGGUGGUUCUACAUCACCGAGCCGCGUGACACCAACUGGGUGGCGGCCCCCAAAUUUCGAUCCGGAAUCCCCAUGCGGCUCACCUCCUGGAAAGAGAAGGGCCUGUCCUGGGGUUCCUCAGUAGAGCUGACCGGAGUCCAGACAUGCAUCGAAAACAUGAUGAGCAAGAAAAUCAAGCUCGUCAACGUGGUCCAAGUCAUGCUCUUCCGCCGGAUCCUCCCGUGUCGAAGACGGGCAUUCAAUUUGUGGGAGUCCGACCCGACCGAGCACCAGACGCUGCGAGAGCUCUUCGACACGACGCACAAGGACGUCUGGAAGGUGCUAUUCAAGGGUGCCGAGAUACCUCCCCUUACCGAGCACCGCGGGCUCAGUGCAAAGCGCCCUGCUAAUCCGGUAAGUCCUUUAUAUCUUAUAAGAUGUUCAUUUUCCCCAGUUUGACCAUGCGCGGGAUCUAAGCCUCCACGCCAUUUAACAGGACUGGGUAGAGACAGCGGAGCAGAUCGAUUGUCCAGCCCCCCUACCCGAAGAUCCAGCGGAUGCUCUCCUAACGGAGAUGCUGGUUCCGGCGCCUUAUGACGUGCCGGCGAAGAAGGCCAAGAAGAAGGCCACGGGGACCAGGAAGGGUCUCCGGCGCAAGGUUAUAUCGGACUCAUCGUCCGAAAACACUGAGGCGCACUCCUCCCAUGAAAGCGAGGAGGAGGAAGAGGAAAGUUCUCCCCCCCCCAACCGGGGGGGACAAGAAAAGGAAGGCCGCCCCAUCAGGGGAGGCCGAAGGGUCCAAGAAGGGAAGGACCCUCCUCCCGGACUGCUCCACGACGGCUGCUUUCAGUGACGAGGAGUGGUUGCCCAGGGAAAAGCCCCUGGCGAAGUCGUGAGUAUCCGGAUACCCUAACAAUUCUUGGUACGUCUUAUUGUACUGUUUCUUAUCACGCCGCGCAUGAUUAUGGAGCCCAUCUCGAGCCCGCAUCGACGUAUCUUCAUCAGAUGAUUCUCUGGGCCCAUCGGAUAUGAACAACGAUUCACUCCCGACUGCCUCCUCCCCCCGCCCUACGGACGACGCCGAGAUGUUGUCUCAAAGCGGACUGAACCAAGGGGAGACAGUUCCGGGGGCGCCUCAAGGCGACAUUCCAGGCGCUAGGUGCACGAGGGGCAAGACUCCUUUGGGCCCUAACGCCGGGGGCAGCAAGUCUAGCCCCAAGCCAAAUACGGCGCCGGAACCUCCAGUGGUUCCGGAUUCUGUCCGACAACUCCUCGCUAAGGGGGGCAAGCCAUCUGUGCCGAUGGCCUCUGUUCAUCCAGAGGCAUCGGACAACUUGCUGGAAGCGCUUCGUGGCGCUUCCAUUGACGAAGAGCACCGCACCAUUAUGAGUGCGGUGGUCAAGAAGGUUCAGUCCGCCAAGAGCGGACUGACUGAAGCCUGUGCCAGCCUUCUAACAGGCUUUGAGGUAAGUAACCAGAUUAUAAGAGAAUGUUACCACAUAGACAGUAGCCCCUGAUGCUCUGUUUGGCGUUCGCGAAGAAAGGCCGAAUAGAGGAUCAAAUAAUAACCGCAGGAGUCUAAUCAAAAUAUGUCUAUGUGCAUAUGCAGGCUUCACUGCUAGCCGCUGCCGCACAUACUGCGGAGGUCGCCGCACUGAAGCGGGACCUUGAGCGGUCCAAGGAAGAGCUCGGCCUUGCCAAGAGGCAGAUCGAAGAGAACAAAGGUAAGUUAUACCCCGUAUGUAUAUUAUAAAAAAUUUGGUUUUUAGAAUAAUAGGAUCGUCAUGAAUUUUGCUAGGGGCCACGACCAAAGUGGCGUCCCUGCAGAAGGCGCUAUCCGAGGCCGAAGACAAAGCGGCCAAGGAGCGCAUCAAGCGAGAAAAGCAAGAAGCCCGAGUAGGCGAGGUGCAGCAAGAGCUCCAGGCUCUCGCCAAAAAACACGAGUCCUUGGAGCUUGACUCUAAGACACAAGGGUCCGAGCUUGCGAAGGCCCUCGAAAGUGCACAACAUGCCAAGGCCGAAGCCCAAAAGGCUCUCCGGGAAAUUGAGGCGGUUAAGAAGAUAGCGGCGGGUAAGGCAUUCAUUAUGCAAAGCAAGCAUGUGAAGGAAACUUUCUUUUUACUUACCCGAGUUCGGAGUUCUCCAGGAGCGUUCGCAGAUCUACCCCGCAGUGUGUCAGAUGCCGCGGAGUUCUACCGGGCCGAGGAAGGGAGCUCGACGGAGAAGUUGUUCUGGUCUCAGUAUACUCGGACCGAACACCCCAUGCCCUUGAGCGACCAGCUGAAGCAACUGGUCGAGCUCCACAAGGCGGCCGAACAGGCCAUGAAGGGUCUUAUAGUCCGGAUGUGGCCUGGCGAUCCCCUGCCUGAUAGCUACUUCGGUCUGGUGAGGCAGCUUGUGAAUGCCUGCCCACGGCUUGAGGUCGUAAAGCGGUCCGUCUGCAUCGAGGGUGCGCGCAGGGCUUUUGCCCGAGCGAAGGUGCACUGGGCGAAACUGGACGCCAAAAAGCUGGUGAAGGAGGGGCCGUCGGAAGGCAAGGAGCAGUGCCACCCCGAAAAGUAUUAUGACAGUGUCCUGAAGGGUGCUCGCCUUGUGGCGGAGGAAUGUGCUAAGGAUGUAAUAUUCGAAUGAAUGUACUCAUGUGAUCCUGUAAUAUGAAACGAGUUCAUGUGCACUAUGCAACGCUUGUUGAUUUAAAAUAUUACCUUCUGUGAGGCCGUUUAUGAAAUCUGAGAGUUGGCCAGUCGUCGGCUUCUGCCCCCAUGUACCUAGUACUGAGGUGUUCGGGAUAAACCUGAGCACUCUUUAUCCCAAUUUUGGUUCCUUCGAAGGAGGUGUUCAGCACAGCGAACCAGGCAAUCGGACUAUAAAGCUUUAUCACUCUCACUUAGCCAUAGAAGUCUACAAUUUUAAAUUUUGGCGAAGCCCCUAGUAUUCGGAAGGCCAAAUUUGGGGUGCUAUAUACGCCUAAGUCGGGCAAGGCCGACUCCUCGCCCGAAGCGGAAAAAGUCUUUAGGGACUUGAGACCUCUCGAACAUCGACCAGCUCUCGCCUUAUCAUGACAAUCAGUUUUCGGCUUUCUCUACUGAGGUGCUCGUCCGGAAGAACCGGGACACAAUCGCAGUAGUUCUCCCAGUGCUACCUUAGCCGGUAUUGCGGAACGUAAGGUACCAAAAAAUGGGAGCAGGGCAAACCCAACUAUUGACCCAAGACAUGAUUCGGAGCUGAUGCAUAUAGUGCUAUAAGUUCGGGGUGCCGCACUGUCGAAAGUGUUCGGACUUCUCACGCCGUAUUUAUGGGGUAUACUGAAGCCCCUGGCGUACUGGUCGUACCAGAAUGUACGGUUGCAAUUUGUCGUAAAUAGGCAGACAAGAAAAAAGAAAGGGUAAUGCAAUAAUAGACUAACGCUAUGCAUUGUUAUUAAAUAAUACGUCGAAGCGCACGGAUACAAGUAGUGCAAUAAGCAAAAAAUAGGACUAUUUGACAUGUCCUAUCCAAGGGCAAGCUACAUAUGGGUAUUUAAAACAGGUAUUUCGAUCGUUAUUAGAGACCAUCUGGGGAUUCCCUUGUUCGUCAGAGCUUCUUGCUUCCUUGGUAUUUCCUUCCCAUAAUGCGUCCGGCAAUCAGACUGCUGAAAAGGGCUUCCAGAGAGUAAGGUCCUGAAAGAGAAAAAAUGAUAAAGGUAUACAGCCCCUGGGGCAGUUGAGCCGCAUUGUGGGAAGUGUCCUGGUCGUGCCCCCGCCUAUGCCCAUGGUAUUUUUGUGCGUAAUUAUGUACGCGCGUCACAGAUUUCGUCGCUUGACUGGGACUAGGACGGGGGCCGAAUUGCUAGGCGAUCUCUGAACGUGCCAGGCGAUCCUGUUGCAGGUUACUCCGUACUCGCUUGAAGGUGCCCGGGGGCUUUAUCACCGAAUUGGCGGCUUGCCUUAAAAGGCUGCUUUGUGCUUCUGCUGCGCGGGCCGCAGUGUGCUCCUCCAUGCGGAGCGAGCGUUCUAUGUUUCCAUUGACUGUUAUAACCCUACGAGGUCCUGGCAUUCUGAGCUUGAGGUAUGCAUAAUGCGGUACCGCAAUGAAUCUGGCAAAUGCGGUUCGCCCGAGCAGUGCGUGAUAGCCACUGCGGAACGGGACGAUAUCGAAGAUUAACUCCUCGCUUCGGAAGUUGUCCGGAGAUCCGAAGACCACUUCCAGUGUGAUUGAGCCCGUGCAAUGGGCCUCUACACAUGGGAUGACACCUUUAAAGGUGGUUUUAGUGGGUUUGAUCCUCGAGGGGUCUAUACCCAUUUUGCGCACUGUAUCCUGAUAGAGCAGGUUCAGGCUGCUGCCGCCGUCCAUAAGGACUCGAGUGAGGUGAAAUCCGUCAAUGAUGGGGUCGAGGACCAAUGCGGCAUAUCCGCCAUGACGGAUAAAAGUGGGGUGGUCCCUACGAUCGAAGGUGAUCGGACAAGAGGACCAUGGGUUGAACUUUGGGGCGACUGGCUCCAUCGCAUAGACGUCCCUUAGUGCAUGUUUCCGUUCCCUCUUGGGAAUGUGGGUUGUGUAUAUCAUGUUCACCGUUUUCACUUGUGGAGGGAACCUCUUCUGUCCUCCUGUGUUUGGCGGCCGAGGCUCCUCCUCGUCGUCGCUAUGCAGCCCCUUGUCCUUGUUUUCGGCAUUCAACUUGCCGUCCUGCUUGAACACCCAGCAUUCUCUGUUGGUGUGAUUGGCUGGCUUAUCGGGGGUGCCAUGAAUUUGACACGAGCGAUCGAGUAUGCGGUCCAAACUGGACGGCCCGGAUUACUUCUUUUGAACGGCUUUUUCCGCUGACCGGAUUUAGAGCCACUGAAUCCGGCGUUGACUGCCGUGUCUUCGGCGUUGUCGCCGUUGUUGCGGCGCUUGUGUAUGUUACGACGUGGUCUGCCAUUAGUAUCUUUGGUAUCUGAAGUGCCCGGAUUCCUUGAUGUGUUGUUGCUGCGAGCCAGCCAGCUAUCCUUGCCCGUGCAAAAGCGGGUCAUGAGUGUCGUGAGGGCUGCCAUGGACUUCGGCUUCUCCUGGCCGAGGUGCUGGGUGAGCCACUCGUCACGGAUGUUAUGCUUAAAUGCCGCUAAGGCCUCUGCAUCCGAACAGUCGACAAUUUGGUUUUUCUUGGUUAGGAACCUGGUCCAGAAUUUCCUGGCCGAUUCCCCUGUCUGCUGAAUUAUAUGGCUCAAGUCAUCAGCAUCCGGUGGUCGCACAUAAGUGCCCUGGAAGUUGUCAAGGAAUGCAUCUUCCAAAUCCUCCCAACUACCAAUGGAGUCUGCUGGCAAGCUAUUCAGCCAAUGCCGAGCUGGUCCUCUGAGUUUUAGUGGGAGGUACUUGAUGGCACGUAGAUCAUCACCGCGAGCCAUGUGGAUGUGGAGGAGGAAAUCCUCAAUCCAUACCGCGGGAUCUGUUGUACCGUCAUAUGAUUCAAUGUUUACGAGUUUAAAACCCUCUGGGAAUUCGUGAUCCAUUACUUCAUCAGUGAAGCAUAGGGGGUGUGCGGCGCCUCUGUGCCGGGCUAUGUCACGACGCAGUUCAUACGAGUCUUGUCUGCUGUAUUCGGCCCGGCUGGAUUUGCUUUUAGUAUAUCCGGCGUGACGGUCAUCGUCCCGCGUUGGGGCGCGCCCCUGUGAUCCGUAGAUCGAUCUUGUAUGUCCUGCUUUGUUUUCCAAUACGUCUCGCAGGUCCCGCGUAUUGCCCUGGGCCUUUGUGUUUUUGUUUGUCUGGCGACGGGGUGCGGGCUGGACUUCGAGCUGAUAUGCCUCUCUGUCUCGGCCAUGAGGUGGCCGAUCAGCCGCAUCAUACGCUGGAGAUGUAGGUUUCAAUGCUUUCUCCUCGAGUUGGGGUAGAAACCUGCGCUUUGGGUAACUCUUGGUUGGGCGCUCAAGUUCGUAUUCCUCGGCCGCCAGGACUUCAGUCCAUCUAUCCGCUAGCAGAUCUUGAUCAGCUCGAAGCUGUUGUUGCUUUUUCUUCAGGCUGUUUGCUGUUGCUAUAAGCCGGCGCUUGAAGCGCUCCUGUUCGACGGGAUCCUCAGGCACGAUAAAUUCUUCGUCGCCGAGGCUCACCUCGUCUUCGGAGAGAGGCAUGUAAUUGUCAUCCUCCGAUUCUCCGUCUGCUGCCUGUUCCGGAGGGCUAGCUUGUUCAUCCUCCCGCUCUAGGUCUGGCUGGAGGGGUUUAUCAUCGUCUUCGACACUAUCCGGAGCGUUAUUGUCUCUUGUGCCGGUAUCGCUGCUUUUGCUAUGGCGGGACUUAGAGCGGCGCCGCUGAGGUCGGUGCUUGGAUUGCUUCUUGGAGGGAUUAUCCUCCGUUGUCUUAUCGCCAUCCCCCUCUUUGGGGGUGUCCACCAUGUAUAUGUCAUACGAUGAGGUGGCAGUCUAGCGCCCUGUGGGUGGUGGUUCUUGUUCGUCUCCUGCAUCGUCAUCCAUACUGUCGAUGUCUUCGGAGCCGAAGUCGAGCAUGUCGGUUAAAUCAUCGAUAGUGGCUACUAAGUGGGUGGUGGGUGGGGAGCGAAUUUCUUCAUCGUCCGCAUCCCAUUCUAGCCGGACAUAGUUCGGCCAAGGGUCUUCUGACAGGGAGAGAGACCUUAACAAGUUUAGCACGUCGCCAAAGGGCGAGUGCUGAAAGAUAUCUGCGGAGGUAAACUCCAUGAUCGGUGCCCAAUCGGAUUCCAUAGGCACGGACGCGGGCGGCUCGGAGCCCAUGGCCGGGGACGAACCCAACGGUUCAACAACAUGGGUCUUGUAGGAGGUGAAGUCGGUAUUCGGCUCUAUCGCCACUGAUUGUGCGGCCUCCGUGGCGGGGUCCAUCCACCCGUCCUCAGAUGGUGCAAUUUGUUCCUGAUUGAGGGCCGGAGUAGUUGCAGGUGUGAUCUCCCGAACACUGUCCGACGGCAGAGCUAAGUCAUGUCGUCGUGAUUGUGCAGCGCACCUGACAUGGGCUCGAAUCCGCUGAAGAUCAAGUCUCCGUGGAUGUCGGCAGUAUAGUUCAAGUUUCCAAACCUGACUUGAUGGCCAGGGGCGUAGCUCUCGAUCUGCUCUAGAUGGCCAAGCGAGUUGGCCCGCAGUACGAAGCUGCCGAAUACGAAGAUCUGUCUGGGGAGGAAAACCUCACCCUGGAUCGCAUCAUUGCCGAUGAUCGAAGGAGCCAUCCAGCCUUACGGUGACGGCACAGUGUAACUCUCAAUGAAAGCACCAAUGUCGGUGUCAAAACCGGUGGAUCUCGGGUAGGGGGUCCCGAACUGUGCGUCUAAGGCGGAUGGUAACAGGAGGCGGGGGACACGAUGUUUACCCAGGUUCGGGCCCUCUCGAUGGAGGUAAUACCCUACUUCCUGCUUGAUUGAUCUUGAUGAUAUGAGUAUUACAAGAGUUGAUCUACCACGAGAUCGUAGAGGCUAAACCCUAGAAGCUAGCCUAUGGUAUGAUUGUUGUUGUCCUACGGACUAAACCCUCCGGUUUAUAUAGACACCGGAGGGGGCUGGGGUUACACAGAGUCGGUUACAAGGGAGGAGAUCUACAUAUCUGUACUGCCAAGCUUGCCUUCCACGCCAAGGAGAGUCCCAUCCGGACACGGGACGAAGUCUUCAAUCUUGUAUCUUCAUAGUCCAACAGUCCGGCUAAAGGAUAUAGUCCGGUUGUCCGAGGACCCCCUAAUCCAGGACUCCCUCAGUGGCCCCUCUUUCCCUCUCCCUCUCCCUCUCUUUCCUUCCCCCUUCCCUCUUCCUAGUUGGACUAGGAAAGGGUAGUCCUACUCCUACUAGGAGGAGGACUACCCCCUCCUUGGCGCGCCCCAAGGGCCGGCCGGCCUCCCCCCUUGCUCCUUUAUAUAAGGGGGCAGGGGGCACCUCUAGACAUAACAAUUGAUCUCUAGAUCUCUUAACCGUGUGCGGUGUGUUGGAAAUAUGCCCUAGAGGCAAUAAUAAAUGGUUAUUAUUAUAUUUCUUUGUUCAUGAUAAUUGUCUAUUGUUCAUGCUAUAAUUGUGUUAUCCGGAAAUCGUAAUACAUGUGUGAAUACAUAGACCACAACGUGUCCCUAGUAAGCCUCUAGUUGACUAGCUCGUUGAUCAACAGAUAGUCAUGGUUUCCUGACUAUGGACAUUGGAUGUCAUUGAUAACGGGAUCACAUCAUUAGGAGAAUGAUGUGAUGGACAAGACCCAAUCCUAACCAUAGCAUAAAAGAUCGUGUAGUUUCGUUUGCUAGAGCUUUUCCAAUGUCAAGUAUCUUUUCCUUAGACCAUGAGAUCGUGCAACUCCCGGAUACCGUAGGAGUACUUUGGGUGUGCCAAACGUCACAACGUAACUGGGUGACUAUAAAGGUACACUAUGGGUAUCUCCGAAAGUGUCUGUUGGGUUGGCACGGAUCGAGACUGGGAUUUGUCACUCCGUGUGACGGAGAGGUAUCUCUGGGCCCACUCGGUAAUGCAUCAUCAUAAUAAGCUCAAUGUGACUAAGGCGUUAGUCAUGGGAUCAGGCAUUACGGUACGAGUAAAGAGACUUGCCGGUAACGAGAUUGAACAAGGUAUUGGGAUACCGACGAUCGAAUCUCGGGCAAGUAACAUACCGAUUGACAAAGGGAAUUGUAUACGGGAUUGAUUGAAUCCUCGACAUCGUGGUUCAUCCGAUGAGAUCAUCGUGGAACAUGUGGGAGCCAACAUGGGUAUCCAGAUCCCGCUGUUGGUUAUUGACCGGAGAGGCGUCUCGGUCAUGUCUGCAUGUCUCCCUAACCCGUAGGGUCUACACACUUAAGGUUCGGUGACGCUAGGGUUGUAGAGAUAUGAGUAUGCGGAAACCCGAAAGUUGUUUGGAGUCCCGAGUGAGAUCCCGGACGUCAUGAGGAGUUCCGGAAUGGUCCGGAGGUGAAGAAUUAUAUAUAGGAAGUCCAGUUUUGGCCACUGGGAAAGUUUCGGGGGUUAUCGGUAUUAUACCGGGACCACCGGAAGGGUCCCGGGGGUCCACCAGGUGGGGCCACCUGUCCCGGAGGGCCCCAUGGGCUGAAGUGGGAAGGGAACCAGCCCAUAGUGGGCUGGGGCGCCCCCCAUGGGCCUCCCCCUUGCGCCUAGGGUUGGAAACCCUAGGGUGGGGGGGCGCCCCACUUGACUUGGGGGGUAAGUUACCCCCCUUGGCCGCCGCCCCCCCCUAUAUGGGACUUGGCCGGUGCCCCCCCCUCCCAGGGGGCCUAUAUAAAGGGGGGGGAGGGAGGGCAGCAUGAUUACAGCCUUGGGCGCCUCCCUCCUCCCCGGCUACACCUCUCCCUCUCGCAGAAGCUCGGCGAAGCCCUGCCGAGACCCGCUACAUCCACCACCACGCCGUCGUGCUGUUGGAUCUCCAUCAACCUCUCCUUCCCCUUUCUAGAUCAAGAAGGAGGAGAUGUCGCUGCACCGUACGUGUGUUGAACGCGGAGGUGCCGUCCGUUUGGCACUCGGUCAUCGGUGAUUUGAUUCACGGCGAGUACGACUCCGUCAUCCACGUUCAUUGGAAUGCUUCCGCUCGCGAUCUACAAGGGUAUGUAGAUGCACUCCUUUCCCCUCGUUGCUAGUAUACUCCAUAGAUGGAUCUUGGUGAGCGUAGGAAAAUUUUAAAAUUCUGCUACGAUUCCCAACAGUGGCAUCAUGAGCCAGGUUUAUGCGUAGUUACUAUGCACGAGUAGAACACAAAGCAGUUGUGGGCGUUGAUGUUGCCAAUUCUUCUUGACUCUACUAGUCGUAUCUUGUUUCGGCGGUAUUGUGGGAUGAAGCGGCCCGGACCGACCUUACACGUACGCUUACGUGAGACAGGUUCCACCGACUGACAUGCACUAGUUGCAUAAGGUGGCUAGCGGGUGUCUGUCUCUCCUACUUUAGUCGGAACGGAUUCGAUGAAAAGGGUCCUUAUGAAGGGUAAAUAGAAAUUGGCAAAUCACGUUGUGGUCAUAUGUAGGUAAGAAACGUUCUUGCUAGAAACCUACAAGCCACGUAAAAACUUGCAACAACAAUUAGAGGACGUCUAACUUGUUUUUGCAGCAUGUGCUAUGUGAUGUGAUAUGGCCAGAAGAUGUGAUGAAUGAUAUAUGUGAUGUAUGAGAUUGAUCAUAUUCUUGUAAUAGGAAUCACGACUUGCAUGUCGAUGAGUAUGACAACCGGCAGGAGCCAUAGGAGUUGUCUUUAUUAUUUUGUAUGACCUGCGUGUCAUUGAAUAACGCCAUGUAAAUUACUUUACUUUGUUGCUAAACGCGUUGGCCAUAGAAGUAGAAGUAAUCGUUGGCGUGACGACUUCAUGAAGACACAAUGAUGGAGAUCAUGAUCAUGGAGAUCAUGGUGUCAUGCCGGUGACGAAGAUGAUCAUGGUGCCCCGAAGAUGGAGAUCAAAGGAGCAUAAUGAUAUUGGCCAUAUCAUGUCACUAUUUGAUUGCAUGUGAUGUUUAUCAUGUUUUUGCAUCUUAUUUGCUUAGAACGACGGUAGUAAGUAAGAUGAUCCCUUAUAAUAAUUUCAAGAAAGUGUUCACCCUAACUGUGCACCGUUGCGAAGGUUCGUUGUUUCGAUGCACCACGUGAUGAUCGGGUGUGAUAGAUUCUAACGUUCGCAUACAACGGGUGUUGACGAGCCUAGCAUGUACAGACAUGGCCUUGGAACACACGCAAUACACUUAGGUUGACUUGACGAGCCUAGCAUGUAUAGACAUGGCCUCGAAACACGGAGGACCGAAAGGUCGAGCAUGAGUCGUAUAGAAGAUAUGAUCAACAUGGAGAUGUUCACCGAUCUUGACUAGUCCGUCUCACGUGAUGAUCGGACACGGCCUAGUUAACUCGGAUCAUGUUUCACUUAGAUGACUAGAGGGAUGUCUAUCUGAGUGGGAGUUCAUUGAGUAAUUUGAUUAGAUGAACUUAAUUAUCAUGAACUUAGUCUAAAAUCUUUACACUAUGUCUUGUAGAUCAAAUGGCCCACGUUGUCCUCAAUUUCAACGCGUUCCUAGAGAAAACCAAGCUGAAAGAUGAUGGCAGCAACUAUACGGACUGGGUCCGGAACCUGAGGAUCAUCCUCAUAGCAGACAAGAAAGAUUAUGUCCUAGAAGCACCGCUAGGUGCAGCACCAAUCCCAGAGAACCAAGACGUUAUGAACGCUUGGCAGCAGCAUGCUGAUGAUUACUCCCUCGUUCAAUGCGGCAUGCUUUACAACUUAGAACCGGGUCUCCAAAAGCGUUUUGAGAAACAUGGAGCAUAUGAGAUGUUCGAGGAGCUGAAAAUGGUUUUCCAAGCUCAUGCCCGGGUCGAGAGAUAUGAAGUCUGACAAGUUCUUCGGCUGUAAAAUGGAGGAGAAUAGUUCUGUUAGUGAGCACAUACUCAGAAUGUCUGGGUUACACAACCGCUUAUCCCAGCUGGGAGUUAAUCUCCCGGAUGACGCGGUCAUUGACAGAAUCCUCCAGUCGCUUCCACCAAGCUACAAGAGCUUUGUGAUGAACUUCAAUAUGCAAGGGAUGGAAAAGACCAUUACUGAGGUAUAUUCAAUGCUGAAAUCAGCGGAGGUGGAGAUCAGAAAAGAACAUCAAGUGUUGAUGGUGAAUAAAACCACUAAGUUCAAGAAGGGCAAGGGUAAGAAGAACUUCAAGAAGGACGGCAAGGGAGUUGCCGCGCCCGGUAAGCCAGUUACUAGGAAGAAGUCGAAGAAUGGACCCAAGCCUGAGACUGAGUGCUUUUAUUGCAAGGGAAGUGGUCACUGGAAGCGGAACUGCCCCAAAUACUUAGCGGACAAGAAGGCCGGCAACACCAAAGGUAUAUGUGAUAUACAUGUUAUUGAUGUGUACCUUACCAGUACUCGUAGUAGCUCCUGGAUAUUUGAUACCGGUGCGGUUGCUCAUAUUUGUAACUCAAAACAGGAACUGCGGAAUAAGCGGAGACUGGCAAAGGACGGGGUGACGAUGCGUGUCGGGAAUGGUUCCAAGGUCGAUGUGAUCGCCGUCGGCACGCUACCUCUGCAUCUCCCUACGGGAUUAGUUUUAAACCUCAAUAAUUGUUAUUUAGUGCCAGCUUUGAGCAUGAACAUUGUAUCUGGAUCUCAUUUAAUUCGAGAUGGCUACUCAUUUAAAUCCGAGAAUAAUGGUUAUUCUAUUUAUUUGAGAGAUAUGUUUUAUGGUCUUGCCCCGCUGGUCAAUGGUUUAUUCUUGAUGAAUCUCGAACGUGAUGUUACACAUGUUCAUAACGUGAGUACCAAAAGAUGUAAAGUUGAUAACGAUAGUCCCACAUACUUGUGGCACUGCCGCCUUGGUCACAUUGGUGUCAAGCGCAUGAAGAAGCUCCAUGCAGAUGGACUUUUGGAGUCUCUUGAUUACGAAUCAUUUGACACGUGCGAACCAUGCCUCAUGGGUAAGAUGACCAAGACUCCGUUCUCCGGAACAAUGGAGCGAGCAACCAACUUAUUGGAAAUCAUACAUACCGAUGUGUGCGGUCCAAUGAGUGUUGAGGCUCGCGGAGGAUAUCGUUAUGUUCUCACUGAUGAUUUAAGUAGAUAUGGGUAUGUCUACUUAAUGAAACACAAGUCUGAAACCUUUGAAAAGUUCAAGGAAUUUCAGAGUGAGGUUGAGAAUCAACGUGACAGGAAAAUAAAAUUCUUGCGAUCAGAUCGUGGUGGAGAAUAUUUAAGUCACGAGUUUGGUACACACUUAAGGAAAUGUGGAAUCGUUUCACAACUCACGCCGCCUGGAACACCUCAACGAAACGGUGUGUCCGAACGUCGUAAUCGCACUCUAUUGGAUAUGGUGCGAUCUAUGAUGUCUCUUACCGAUUUACCGCUCUCAUUUUGGGGCUAUGCUUUAGAGACUGCCGCAUUCACUUUAAAUAGGGCUCCGUCGAAAUCCGUUGAGACGACACCGUAUGAAUUAUGGUUUGGGAAGAAACCUAAGCUGUCGUUUCUAAAAGUUUGGGGAUGCGAUGCUUAUGUCAAGAAACUUCAACCUGAAAAGCUCGAACCCAAGUCGGAGAAAUGUGUCUUCAUAGGGUACCCUAAGGAAACUAUUGGGUAUACCUUCUACCUCAGAUCCGAAGGCAAGAUCUUCGUUGCCAAGAACGGGUCCUUUCUGGAGAAGGAGUUUCUCUCGAAAGAAUUGAGUGGGAGGAAAGUGGAACUUGAUGAGGUGAUAGUCACCCCUUCCGAACCGGAAAGUAGCGCAGCGCGGGAAGAUGUUCCUGUGGUGCCUACACCGACUGGGGAGGAAGUUAAUGAUGAUGAUCAUGAAGCUUCGGAUCAAGUUACUACUGAACUUCGUAGGUCCACAAGGACACGUUCCGCACCAGAGUGGUACGGCAACCCUGUCCUGGAAAUCAUGUUGUUAGACAACGGUGAACCUUCGAACUAUGAAGAAGCGAUGGCGGGCCCGGAUUCCGACAAAUGGCUAGAAGCCAUGAAAUCCGAGAUAGGAUCCAUGUAUGAAAACGAAGUAUGGACUUUGACUGACUUGCCCGAUGAUCGGCGAGCCAUAGAAAACAAAUGGAUCUUUAAGAAGAAGACGGACGCGGAUGGUAAUGUGACCAUCUACAAAGCUCGACUUGUCGCUAAGGGUUAUCGACAAGUUCAAGGGGUUGACUACGAUGAGACUUUCUCACCCGUAGCGAAGCUGAAGUCUGUCCGAAUCAUGUUAGCAAUUGCCGCAUAAUAUGAUUAUGAGAUAUGGCAGAUGGACGUCAAAACGGCAUUCCUUAACGGCUUCCUUAAGGAAGAGUUGUAUAUGAUGCAGCCGGAAGGUUUUGUCGAUCCUAAGAAUGCUAACAAAGUAUGCAAGCUCCAGCGCUCAAUCUAUGGGCUGGUGCAAGCAUAUGUGAUGAUCAAAGCGUUUGGGUUUACACAGACUUAUGGAGAAGCCUGUGUUUACAAGAAAGUGAGUGGGAGCUCUGUAGCAUUUCUCAUAUUAUAUGUGGAUGACAUAUUAUUGAUGGGAAAUGAUAUAGAAUUCUUGGAAAGUAUAAAGGCCUAUUUGAAUAAGUGUUUUUCAAUGAAGGACCUUGGAGAAGCUGCUUAUAUAUUAGGCAUCAAGAUCUAUAGAGAUAGAUCGAGACGCCUCAUUGGUCUUUCACAGAGUACAUACCUUGACAAGAUAUUGAAGAAGUUCAAUAUGGAUCAGUCCAAGAAGGGGUUCUUGCCUGUAUUGCAAGGUGUGCAAUUGAGCAUGGCUCAAUGCCCGACCACGGCAGAAGAUAUAGAAAAGAUGAGUGUCAUCCCCUAUGCCUCAGCCAUAGGGUCUAUUAUGUAUGCCAUGCUGUGUACCAGACCUGAUGUAAACUUUGCCGUGAGUUUGGUAGGAAGGUACCAAAGUAAUCCCGGCAUGGAACACUGGACAGCGGUCAAGAAUAUCCUGAAGUACCUGAUGAGGACUAAGGAUAUGUUUCUCGUUUAUGGAGGUGACGAAGAGCUCGUCGUAAAGGGUUAUGUCGACGCUAGCUUCGACACAGAUCUGGAUGACUCGAAGUCACAAACCGGAUACGUGUAUAUUUUGAAUGGAGGAGCAGUAAGCUGGUGCAGUUGCAAGCAAAGCGUCGUGACGGGAUCUACAUGUGAAGCGGAGUACAUGGCAGCCUCGGAGGCAGCACAGGAAGCAGUCUGGAUGAAGGAGUUCAUUACCGACCUAGGGGUGAUUCCCAAUGCGUCGGGCCCGAUGACUCUCUUCUGUGACAACACUGGAGCUAUUGCCCUUGCGAAGGAGCCCAGAUUUCACAGGAAGACCAGGCAUAUAAAGCGUCGCUUCAACUCCAUUCGUGAAAGUGUUCAAAAUGGAGACAUAGAUAUUUGUAAAGUACAUACGGACCUGAAUGUAGCAGAUCCGUUGACUAAACCUCUCCCUAGGGCAAAACAUGAUCAACACCAGGACGCAAUGGGUGUUCGAUUCAUCACAAUGUAACUAGAUUAUUGACUCUAGUGCAAGUGGGAGACUGUUGGAAAUAUGCCCUAGAGGCAAUAAUAAAUGGUUAUUAUUAUAUUUCUUUGUUCAUGAUAAUUGUCUAUUGUUCAUGCUAUAAUUGUGUUAUCCGGAAAUCGUAAUACAUGUGUGAAUACAUAGACCACAACGUGUCCCUAGUAAGCCUCUAGUUGACUAGCUCGUUGAUCAACAGAUAGUCAUGGUUUCCUAACUAUGGACAUUGGAUGUCAUUGAUAACGGGAUCACAUCAUUAAGAGAAUGAUGUGAUGGACAAGACCCAAUCCUAAGCAUAGCAUAAAAGAUCGUGUAGUUUCGUUUGCUAGAGCUUUUCCAAUGUCAAGUAUCUUUUCCUUAGACCAUGAGAUCGUGCAACUCCCGGAUACCGUAGGAGUACUUUGGGUGUGCCAAACGUCACAACGUAACUGGGUGACUAUAAAGGUACACUACGGGUAUCUCCGAAAGUGUUUGUUGGGUUGGCACAGAUCGAGACUGGGAUUUGUCACUACGUGUGACGGAGAGGUAUCUCUGGGCCCACUCGGUAAUGCAUCAUCAUAAUGAGCUCAAUGUGACUAAGGCGUUAGUCACGGGAUCAUGCACUACUGUACGAGUAAAGAGACUUGCCGGUAACGAGAUUGAACAAGGUAUUGGGAUACCGACGAUCGAAUCUCGGGCAAGUAAAAUACCGAUUGACAAAGGGAAUUGUAUACGGGAUUGACUGAAUCCUUGACAUCGUGGUUCAUCCGAUGAGAUCAUCGUGGUACAUGUGGGAGCCAACUUGGGUAUCCAGAUCCCGCUGUUGGUUAUUGACCGGAGAGGCGUCUCGGUCAUGUCUGCAUGUCUCCCGAACCCGUAGGGUCUACACACUUAAGGUUCGGUGAUGCUAGGGUUGUAGAGAUAUGAGUAUGCGGAAACCCGAAAGUUGUUCGGAGUCCCGGAUGAGAUCCCGGACAUCACGAGGAGUUCCGGAAUGGUCCGGAGGUGAAGAAUUAUAUAUAGGAAGUCCAGUUUCGGCCACCGGGAAAGUUUCGGGGGUUAUCGGUAUUGUACCGGGACCACCGGAAGGGUCCCGGGGGUCCACCGGGUGGGGCCACCUGUCUCGGAGGGCCCCAUGGGCUGAAGUGGGAAGGGAACCAGCCCAUAGUGGGCUGGGGCGCCCCCCAUGGGCCUCCCCCUUGCGCCUAGGGUUGGAAACCCUAGGGUGGGGGGGGCGCCCCACUUGACUUGGGGGGUAAGUUACCCCCCUUGGCCGCCGCCCCCCCCCCCUAGAUGGGACUUGGCCGGCGCCCCCCCCUCCCAGGGGGCCUAUAUAAAGGGGGGAGGGAGGGCAGCAUGAUUACAGCCUUGGGCGCCUCCCUCCUCCCCGGCUACACCUCUCCCUCUCGCAGAAGCUCGGCAAAGCCCUGCCGAGACCCGCUACAUCCACCACCACGCCGUCGUGCUGUUGGAUCUCCAUCAACCUCUCCUUCCCCUUGCUGGACCAAGAAGGAGGAGACGUCGCUGCACCGUAUGUGUGUUGAACGCGGAGGUGCCGUCCGUUCGGCACUCGGUCAUCGGUGAUUUGAAUCACGGCGAGUACGACUCUGUCAUCCACGUUCAUUGGAACGCUUCCGCUUGCGAUCUACAAGGGUAUGUAGAUGCACUCCUUUCCCCUCGUUGCUAGUAUACUCCAUAGAUGGAUCUUGGUGAGCGUAGGAAAAUUUUAAAAUUCUGCUACGAUUCCCAACACGGUGCCCCCCUCCACCAUAUUCCACCUCAGUCAUAUCGUAGCGGUGCUUAGGCGAAGCCCUGUGUCGGUAGCAACAUCAUCACCGUCAUCACACCGUCAUGCUGGCGGAACUCUCCCGUGAAGCUUUGCUGGAUCGGAGUUCGUGGGACGUCAUCGAGCUGAACGUGUGCUGAACUCGGAGGUGUCGUACGUUCGGUACUUGGAUCGGUCGGAUCGUGAAGACGUACGACUACAUCAACCGCGUUGUGCUAAACGCUUCCGCUUUCGGUCUACGAGGGUAUGUGGACAACACUCUCCCCUCUCGUUGCUAUGCAUCACCAUGAUCUUGCAUGUGCGUAGGAAUUUUUUUGAAAUUACUACGUUCCCCAACACUACCGUAUAUUGAACUAACACUAACUGUAUCAAGAAGCCAAUAGCAUGUAAUUUCAGCUUGCAAGAAAGCGCCACUUACUCUUAAAGAUCGGUUAAUCUACAUGGCAACUUCCAGGGAUGGUGAUGGAUAAGUACAGUUGGAUUGUUUUUAGGUGUUAAUCUACUAUUAUGAAAAUCAUCUUCCUUUACUUUCAAGGGAGAACUGUAGAGGGGAAAGAACAUCAUUUUUUAAUCUAAUGAUCCAUCACUUAUUCACAACUAUUGCAACAACCAAGUAUGUUGGAUGCAAGGAGGAGGUGAGAGUGCAGGCAGCAUGUAUGCCACAUCAUGCGAACAGGUGGGGAUCAUGUUAAGUCAAUGCAGAAGGAUGUGUUGUGUGCCCGCGCACCGUCAGCACCGUCGUGUAAAGUAAACUAAAUCUGGGGACCGGUGCUCUACCUUCCUAGCUACUUCGACUGGAAAUCAUAUCCUCCACACUAAAUAAGAAACACCAUUUAGGUCGAAGUAAUAGAGGGGAAAGAGACCACUCACCUCCGACAAUCUCACGCGUGGCUCGCGUGAAGGUCGGCUUGAAUCCACGGUGUUGGGCUAGCGUAGCACCCCUGGCGGCGAUCAUGGGGCUCCGAGAUGGCGUCACCGUGUAGAUCUCUGGUGUUGUUGGCCAUAGACGGCUUUGUCGACGGCGACGCAUUAUGGAAAGAUGGAGAGAUAAAAUAGGGGAGGAGAAGAAUCAGGAAGACAAUAGAGAUUUAUUGGUGAAGGGGAGAUGAACGGAAUCAUCGGGCGAAGAGGUGAUGGCUCGUGCCGCGUCAGUAUUUUCCCCGGGGAGGAAGGGAUGAUGCAGCACAGCUACGGUAGGUAUUUCCCUCAGUGAUGAGACCAAGGUUAUCGAACCAGUAGGAGAACCACGCAACACUAUGUAAACGGUACCUGCACACAAAGAACAAAUACUUGCAACCCGACGCGUAAGAGGAUUGUCAAUCCCUCCCGGGUAAAAGAUAGAUUGGUUUGUAGUAGAUUGGAUAAAUAGAUCUCGCGGAAACGCAAAAUAAAAUAAAUAACAAAAAAUUGCAUCAAGGUAUUUUGGGUUUUUAGAAUAAUAGAUCUGAAAAUAAAACAGGCAAAUAAUAGAUCGGAAAGCAAAUAUGAUAAAGAAUAGACCCGGGGGCCGUAGAUUUCACUAGUGGCUUCUCUCGAGAAAAAUAGCAUACGACUGCUGAACAAAUUAUUGUUGGGAAAUUGAUAGAACUUAAAAUAAUUAUGACGAUAUCCAGGCAAUGAUCAUUAUAUAGGCAUCACGUCCAAUAUUAGUAGACCGACUCCUUCCUGCAUCUACUACUAUUACUCCACACAUCGACCGCUAUCCAGCAUGCAUCUAGUGUAUUAAGUUCAUGGAAAAAUGGAGUAAUGCAAUAAGAAUGAUGACAUGAUGUAAACAAGAUCUAUUCAUGUACGAAUAGACCCCAUCUUGUUAUCCUUAAUGGCAACAAUCAAUACGUGUCUUGCUGCCCCUUCUGUCACUGGGAAAGAACACCGCACGAGCGAUCCCAUCACAAAGCACCUCUUCCCAUGGCAAGAAAAGUCGAUCUAGUCGGCCUAACUAGACCAAAGAUUUGAAGAAGAAAUAUGAGGCUAUAAGAAUCAUGCAUAUAAGAGAUCAAAACUCAAAUAACUUUCAUGUAUAAAAUAGAUCUGAUCAUAAACUCAAAGUUAAUCGGAUCCCAACAAACACACCGCAAAAAGAGUUACAUCAAAUAGAUCUCCAAGAGACCAUUGUGUUUAGAAUUAAAAGAGAGAGAGAGGAAGCCAUCUAGCUACUGCCUACGGACUCGUAGGUCUAAAAUGAACUACUCACGCAUCAUCGGAGAGGCACCAAUGAGGAUGAUGAACCCCUCUGUGAUGGUGUCUAGAUUGGAUCUCAUGGUUCCCAAACUUGCGCAGCUGGAAUUGUGUUUCGUCGACUCCCCUAGGGUUUUUGGUUUUUCGGGUUAUUUAUAGAGCAAAGAGGCGGUGCGGGAGGGCACCGAGGUGGGCACAACCCACCAGGGCACGCCUGGGCCCCAAGGUGUGCCCAGGUGGGUUGCGCCCCCUCGGGGCACCCCUCUGGUACUUCUUUGGCCCAAUUUGUUCCUUCUAGACCAGAAAAAUUCUCCAAAAAGUUUUGCUGCGUUUGGACUCCGUUUGGUAUUGAUUUUUUGCGAUGUAAAUAACAAGCAAAAAAACAACAACUGGCACUAGGCACUAUGUCAAUAGUUUAGUCCCAAAAAAUGAUAUAAAGUUGCUAUAAAAUGAUUGUAAAACAUCCAAGAAUGAUAAUAUAACAGCAUGGGACAAGCAAAAAUUAUAGAUACGUCGGAGACGUAUGAAGAGGCAAUAAGAGGAAGGCGCAGCAAUCAGUGCGACGGUGGUAAAAAAAUACACGAUUCGUUCCGUUGAAAAGGGAAAAAGGAAGCAUUGCUGACGUGGCAGAUUUGCUUACGUGGAUGGCUGCAUGUUGAUUGCUGAUGUGGAUAGGCUACAUGUCAAGAGAAAUAUGGUAGUGGGGAUGAACUAUUUAUGUAUUAUAGAUGUGCAACAUCACAUCUAAACUUUUUAUGUAAUUUUGAAACACGAUGGUUUUAAAAAUGGAUAUUUUUUGGAACACAAACUUUUUUCAAAUUUAUGAAUAAUUUUUUGAAAACUUGAACAACUUCUUGAGUCUAUGAACAUUUUUUUGAACACGAACUUUUUUUCAAAAUUUCAAAACGCAAUUAUUUUUUUAAUGCAACCUUUUUCAAAAUUUCAAAACAUUAUUGUUUUUAAAGUGAAUAUGUUUUAAAAUUAUAGACAAAAUUUGGAAGUUGAACAUUUUUUGAAAAACACCCGAAUUGUGGAUGUUUUCAAAAAACGUCAAAGAAUUUUGAAAAACAUCAAACGUUUUUCAAAGCACGGACAUUUUCUGGAAAAAUGAAAAAAAACAAAUUCGGAACAUCUUUUAGAAAUUUUGAAUUUAUGAAAAAAGAAAAAGAAAUAGAAAAUGGAAAAAGAAAGAAAGCAAGGAAAAGCAGUGAAGAAAGAAAUCAGAAAAAGGGAAAAAACCUGAAAAUAGUGUAAAAGACCGAUCCUAGCUACUUGGGCUGGUCCAUCUACGGUUUACUCGCUGCUCAUUUCGGAGAUUUCUUUUAGGGGUAAAACCAAGUUUUAUACAUCAAACACCAUAGUGUGUGGGAUAGAGUUUGGGUCGUGGCAUUUGCCAAACCAAACAUGGCGUCCCAGACCUAACGAAAGAGAAAACCUGCCUAGGUUAUGUGCUUCGACAUUUACAGCAUGAUCUUUAGUUUGCUCACAUUUUUGAGAGAAAAUUUAGCCUUGAUGGGCUGGGAAAUUGGGCCAGCCAUCCUCGAGUGCGACCGGCUUGUCUUUGUCUAGUAUAAGGCCCAUCACGUUGGCCAAGAGCCCACCCUUAUUUUUUUCUAUAGGACCCAUAUAUGUUCGGUUCCUUAAGCACGACGGGUCGCCUCCCAGCCUCCCUCGCCCGCUCGACAGCUCCCCCGCCAUCGGAACUAGGCCCUCGACCCUCCCCCCACCCCAAGGUUGCGAGCAUGUCCCUUCCCGACAUCUCUUCCACGUGGCCUCGCCCCACCCCACGUUUUCCCCCAAGUGCUUUGUCGAGUGUCGUGGAAAAAACUCUUGGCAAAAUAGUGGAACUCACGCAAAAUCUGCUUUACCGAGUGCUACACUCGGCAAAAGGGGGUAUGCAGGGAAGCAAAAUCGUGCUUUUCUCCUUCUCGGGAAGCUGUGCUUCCCGUGGAAGGCUUCAUCAAAAACCAGAAAAAAAGAUUUUUUUUUUCAUCAAAACCUAGGGAAAAUAAAAGACAAAAAACACGUGUAAAAAAAAUUUAAGGGUGUACUAGCACACAACAUGUGGCAGCAGUUGGGCACAUCACUUGAUGCGCUCUUAGGGCCUCAAAGUAACCUCUGCGGGAACCCUCAACGAGAAACCCAUUAGAUAGUUGGAGUCCUCCUUGCGCCAAAUAGGAGUGUGGCCACAAGGGGAGCGCGUCCUGGUGGGCCGGCCCAGCAGCCUGUAGCACUCUACCGCAAAUUGGUCAAAAUCUAAAACAUGACGUUUGAGCAAAUCACGCAUGGCUUGCUAGUCAAGCUGAUGAAACUUUGCCAAUUACUAGGUCGCGUUGAACAGUAAAAACUAUGUGCAACAUCACAUAUGAACUUUUUUUGAAAUUUCAAAACACGAUUGUUUUUAAAAUGAAUGGUUUUUGUAACAUGAACGUUUUUCAAAUUUAUGAAUAAAAUUUGGAAACUAGAGCAAUUUUUUGACUCUAUGAAGGCUUUUUUUAAACAUAAACUUUUAAAAAAAUUUAAAACAUGAUUAUCAUUUUAAUGCAACCUUUCUUAGAUUUCAAAACACGUUUUUUUUAUUGAAUUUUUUUAAAUCCAAACAAAAUUUGAAAACUUGAACAUUUUUAAAAACACUCGGAAUUGUGGACAUUUUCUAAAAAACAUGAAGGAAUUUACGAAAACUUGAAACUUUUUCAAAGCACGAAUUUUUUUUGGGAAAAAUGAGACAAAAUCAAAUUCUGAACAGUUUUUCAAAAAAAUAGGAAUGUUGAAUUUAUGAAAAAAAAGGAAAAACUAUGAAAGAAAGGAAAAUCGGUGAAGAAAGAAAACAAAAGAAGGAAAAAACUAAAAAAUAGUGUAAGAAAAAAAUCCUAGCUACUUGGGAUGAUACAUAUGCGGUUUGCUCGCUGCUCAUUUUCCAGAUUUUUUUAGGGGUAAAACCAAUUUUUAAUCAUCAACCACCAUAGAGUGUGGGAUUGAGGUGGGGUCGUGGCAUUGGUUAAACCAAACAUGGCGUCCCAGACCUAACGAAAGAGAAAGACUGGCUAGACUAUGUGCUUCAACAUUGACAGCAUGACCUUUACAAGAAAAAAUACUAUCAAAUAAAGACGGUUGCAACUAAAUCUCAUUGAUAAUGGCUCGUUUCCCACAUAGUUUGCUCACAUUUUUUGAGAGAAAAUUUAGCUUUGAUGGGCUGGGAAAUCGGGCCAGCCAAUCUCGAAUGCGACCGACUCGUCUUUAUCAAGUAGAAAGCCUGCCACGUCGCCCAAGAGCCCAGCCUUAUCUUUUUUUACAGGACCCGUAUAUGUUCUAUUCCUACAGCAAGACCGGUCACCGCCAAGCCUCUCUCGCCCGCUCGAUAGCUCCCCCGCCACCAGGGCUAAGCCCUGGAUCCCCCACCCCCAGGUUGCGAGCUUGUCCCAUCCCUCCCUCUCUUCUGCGCAGCCUCGCCCCACCCCGUCUUCUCCCCCAUCGGUGCUUUACCGAGUGUCUUGGACAAAACUCUCGGUAAAAUAUUGGAACUCUGGCAAAAUGUGCUUUCCCGAUUGCUACACUCAGCAAAAGGGGGUAUGCACUGCACUGUUUUGGUUGUCCAUAUUGCAUACGACCUCGAAUGAAGAUGAUUCCAAAAUCAAAGUUUUUCAUUUUGACGAGAUGAUUAAUUUUCAUGUUCAGAACUUUUCCAUAUUAGGCCAUGUUAUUUACACUUUUUGCAAUGCCAAAAUAUGGUCUCAAAUGGAUAUGGCGGUGGUCAUAUUUAUUGCAUAGUUUCUAACAAUGGGCCUAAACUUGGUAUUUUGGUGCAUCUCGCCAUUACAAACAAUGAUGCCAAAUAGAGUUUCCAAUAUUUUGUACAAAAAUAAUUUUCCCAUUUUCUAAGUGUAAAAAAUGGAUAUUUUGUGAAGCGGGUAAAAAAACAUAGUGCAAAAUGGCACCACCCCAAUUUUCAUAAAAAGUAGACCACAUGUUUUAGAAAAUUCCCAGGUUUUGUGGAUCUUCUAGAUUUCUAGCUACUUUCGCACAGCUAAAUUCAAAUUUGAACUUUAAGUGUGUGAUAGCUCUGUCCUAAAAAUUAGCAAAAAUGUAAUUUUUUUAGGUAUGCAAGUAGUCAUUUUAUGAAUGACCACUUAAGUUUGAGAGAUUCAGCCCCUUGCCAUGACUAUCCAUGCCGGGUAUUUUGACCCCAUUUUGGAAAAAUGAAACAAAAAGGAUACAAGUUCAAAAAAUGCAAUCCAUUCGUAUGGACUCCUUUUAUGUGUACUAGUUAGGAUGAAAAUAGCAAACUUCAAUAUGAAAACUUCGAAAGAAAAAUAUCCAUCACAAAACGAGUUAUCGUGUAUGAACCUUCACGGCUUUCAAGUCAAACGACCAAGGUGACGACAACAUUCAUUGCAUAGUUUAUUAUAUUAUGCCCAAAUUAGACAUCUAGGUGAAUCAUGCCAUUACAAAUAAUGUUGCAAAAUAGAGUUUCCAACUUUUUGUGCAAAAAAAUCAUUUUCUAUUUUCUAAGUGUCAAAAAUGGGUGUUUCUUGUGAAGCGGGUUCAAAAAAUAGGGUGGAAAAUGGCACCACUCCAAUUUUCACAAAAAGUAGACCAUAUUAGAUGGACAAUUCCCAAGUUUUGUAGAUGUCUAGCUAAAACUAACAAUUGGAGUAUUUUUCAAUAUUUAGUGAAAAUAAAAAAUGGGAAGGGGGAUACUUAAUGGAUAGCGUGGACAUCUGAGGGUGUACCUUUAAGUGUUGGAGAUGCCUUUAUGUGCUGGUUUAUGUCGUGCUCAACCUGCAAUGUACUAGAGUUAAUCAUGUUGGGUAACGUUGCAUGGAAAAACAAAAAAAAUUCUACGCACACGCAAUGAUCUAUCUAUGGAGAUGCAUAGCAACGAGGGCGAGAGUGUGUCUACGUACCCUCGUAGACCAAAAGCGGAAGCGUUUGACAACGCGGUUGAUCUAGUCAAACUUCUUCUAGCUCCGACCGAUCAAGCACCGAACGUACGGCACCUCCGAGUUCUGCACAUGUUCAGCUCGGUGACGUCCCUCAUCUUCUUGAUCCAACAAGACGUCGAGGAAGUAGAUGAGUUCCAUCAGCACAACGGCGUGGUGACGAUAAUGGUGAAGUGAUCCGCGCAGGGCUUCGCCUAAGCACCGCGAGAAUAUGACCGGGGAUGUAAACUAUGGAGGGGGGCACCGCACACGGCUAACAAUUUAUGUUGUGUGUUCUAGGCGCCCCCUUCCCCACAUAUAUAUAGGUGGGAGGGGAGCAGAGGAAGCCAGGGGCGCCCCAAGUAGGAUUUGAAUCCUACUUGGGUUUUCCCCAAGUGGCGCCCCCCUUCCUUUUUCCACCGUAGAAGAAAGGAAGGGGAAGAAGAGAAGGAAGGGGGCUGAGCCCCCUCUUCUCCUUCUCCUAUUCGGCCACCUGCCAUAGGGGGGCGCGCCACCCCUUGUGGGCUGGUGUGCUCCCCUCUCAUGGCCCAUAUGGCCCAUAUAUUCCCCCCGGUGGUUCCGAUAACCCCCCCUCCCCGUACUCCGAUAAAUACCCGAUACAUUCCGGAACACUUCCGGUGUCCGAAUACUAUCAUCCUAUAUAUCAAUCUUUACCUCUCGACCAUUUCGAGACUCCUCGUCAUGUAUGUGAUCUCAUCUGGGACUCCGAACAACAUUCGGUCACCAAAUCACAUAACUCAUAUAAUACAAUAUUGUCAUCGUUAAGCGUGCGGACCCUACGGGUUCGAGAACAAUGUAGACAUGACCGGCACACCUCUCCGGUCAAUAACCAAUAGCGGAACCUGCAUGCUCAUAUUGGAUCCUACAUAUUCUACGAAGAUCUUUAUCGGUCGAACCGUUAUGACAACAUACAUUAUUCCCUUUGUCUAUCGCUAUGUUACUUGCCCGAGAUUCGAUCGUCGGUAUCUGCAUACCUAGUUCAAUCUCGUUAUCGGCAAGUCUCUUUACUUGUUCUGUAAUACAUCACCGCACUGACGGAUGGGUCUUGUCCAUCACAUCAUUCUCCUAAUGAUGUGAUCCCGUUAUCAAGUGACAACUCAUGUCCAUCGUUAGGAUCCCUUAACCAUCUUUGAUCAACGCACUAGUCAAGUAGAGGCUCACUAGGGGCAUAGCGUUUGUCUAUGUAUUCACACAUGUAUUAAGGUUUCCGAUCAAUACAAUUCUAGCAUGAAUAAUAAACAUUUAUCAUGAAUAAGGAAAUAUAAAAUAACAACUUUAUUAUUGCCUCUAGGGCAUAUUUCCUUCAAAUCAGUAUAUGUGUGCAUGCUUGGUUGUUAGUGAAUUGUUUUAUGUAUAUGUGUGUAUACUUGGUUGGGCCAACUUUGUGUAUUACAUUUGUGAAAUACAAACUUAAUAUAUGCCACAUUUUUGUGUUAACGACUAAUAAGUAUAUACAUAACUAUAUUUUGCCCUGUUUUUCCUCCUCUAGAAGAAAAGGUCCCACGCUUUUCUCCUCCUCCCAUCGGCGCCGUAGCUGGUCCGCCCCAUCUCCGAUGGCCUUUGGGCCACGAAGGUGAGUAGGACCUCAGGCCCUCGCUGGCGGGAGGGGACCCGUUCUCAUUCUUGUUUGGUUCAAUGUCUUGCUGGAGCUGUGUUGUGGCUGCGAUGUAUCUCAGUAGGAGUAAUGUUUCACAUGUUCUAUCCCCAUCUCGAUGGUGCCUCUAGCGUCAUCGAAGGGCGUGUGGAGGUGUGUCUCUGUCGGAUUUCGCAGGAUUCGGUUGGCGUUGGUCUUCAGUGGAUCUGUUUGGACACGGUCUUUGUUCCUCUUUGUGGUGUUUAUACUAUUGAUCCUUCCGAUCUAUGACUUUCUUCAUCGACGAUGGUUGCUGCUUUGGUGCGCUGGUCCUAUGGGUCCUUAGCACGACAACUUCCUGACUAUUGACUACAACAAGGUUUGCAUGGCUCCAGCGACGGGGGGGUGAUGGCGAUGCACAGCUUGCUUCGGUGCUUGUAGUCAUCGCUAGGUGGUCCACGGACCUGGUUGUAAUUUUUCGUAUCUCUGGUGUUCUUUGUACUGCCAUGAUUGAAGAUGAACAGAUUGGAAGUUUCUCACGCAAAAAAUAAAUAUAUAAAUAACUAUUUUAACAAAAUUCGCAAAAAAACUAUUUUAGCAAGUAAUAAAUUUUGACACCAAUUAUAUGGUAGUAAUUAAUAUUUCCCCUAAUAAUAUCCGCAUUGGAUCCAGGUUUUAUACUAUGUAUACAGACGGGAGUAUGUUUGGAUAAUUGUGUGAACACAAGGAUAUAUCCUAGCAAAAAUAUUUUUAGCAACAAGUAGUUAAUGAAUUAAUAUAUGCUAGCUAUACUCUGCUGGUGAAAACAUGGAUUAGCUGUACAAAGCAUGCAACACGGCUUCACUCCCCUUUAUAUUCCUGGGCAGAACACAACUUCAGAUCUAAGUUUUAUGUUUGUCUACACACUCCCAUCUUCUUCCCAUAUCAGCAGGAAAAUUCACUCCAAUCAUCUCGCCAUUCUACACUUGGGAAAUCAGGUUUGCUUCAAUCUACCAUCCUUGAAUAUAUGCCCCACAUCUUGUUUCUGUGUCCUAAUCUUAUUAAGCUUGUAAUUAGUAGUUAGUGCAAGAUCGAAAAGGAGCUAUGGGCAAAACACCAUCCGCACCUGCUGAUAAAAUCACCGUGGGACAAGCGGCGCCUAAUCAUGAAAUAGCAGCAGAUUCAAGUGACAGUGAGAGAACAAUCGGUGAGGGUUAUGUGGGGAUCAUGUAUGGUGGUAGCCAUACCCACGAUGGCAACCUGGAAGGAGAAUCUGCUAUGGUAUUGCUAGCAACAGAUUCAAGUGACAGCGAGAGAACAAUCAGUGAGGGUUAUGUGGGGAUCCUGUAUGGUGGUAGCCAAACCCAGUAUGGAGACCUAGAGGGAGAAUCUGCUAUAGUAUUGCCUGCUGUAGGAGAGAAUACCAAGGCGAGAUCUAACAGUCAUGGUUAUACGCGCAGCUUGGAAAUUGAUUCUGCCUCUCGUACUGAGAGGCAUGCUGCCAGGUCAGAUUUUGUUCGAGUGGCACAUCGCCGAGACUGCAUUCAAAUUUACCCUGAGUGGCUGGAGAAAAUUUAUUCAGGCAAAAAGAUGUGGACAGCUCUCAAACAAUUUCGAGCAAGUGGGAAGCAUGAAGAGGUUAGUAUAUACACAUGUUCUGGUGUGCUCUGUCAUCAAAUAAUUUUCAUUGUGUGUUAAUCAUCUCAUAACAUAAGGAGUGUUUGCUUGAUGGGCAUCCAGACCAAAUGAUGAACGAAUUAGAUCCUAGGUUCUCCAAAAGAUGACAUUGUGUUUUGCUUCAGUUACCUGAUAAAUUUUCAGCCUUUGCGUCAAAAUGAUCAUCUGUGUAGGAGAUAUGCCCUAGAGGCAAUAAUAAAUGAUAUUAUUUAUCUCCGAGUUCAUAAUUAUGUUUAUGUUCCAUGCUAUAACUGCUAUGGUUCUUGAGUCUGCAAUAACCACGAGGCUCGGAGGAAGACUCAUAUGCACGUGUGGAAUAAUAAACGGUAAAAUGUAUUCCUAGUCUGGCCUCUAAGACUAGCUCAAGUGUUGCAUGAUGGUUAUGUUUUCCUGAUCAUGGGCAUGUCUAUGUCAGCAACCUUGAGGGCAUAAUGUUAAGAGAACAUUUGUGUUGAAUCGACCCGGCAUGAUGUUAUGCUAUGAGAUUCAUUCGUCACAAGUUUAUUGGUACAUAACACAGAGAUGGUUAACGUUUGCAUGAUUCCUUAGACCAUGAGAGUAUCGAGUUUCUUCAUGCUUUCUUCAUGAACUUUGGGGUUUGUUAAACGUCAUCCGUAAAUGGGUGGCUAUUACGGCGGCUUACGGGUUCAUGGAAAAGUGUGUCAAGUAACUUGAUAGCUCAAGAUUGGGAUUUGCUCCUCCGACGAUGGAGAGAUAUCUCUGGGCCCUCUCGGUGUUACGGUAUCCAUCAUCGUCUGGCCAGACACUUUGUGAUUUGAUCGCGGGGAUGCCGGAACACGAUAACGAGAAAAGAGAACAAUACCGGUAAUGAGGUAACUAGCAUAGUGGACAAGUUGUUGAUCCACGGGAAUGCCAACAUGUCUCACCUCGGGUAUUUGUAACAUAUCGCGAAGCAACAGGAAUAGCACACGGCAACUGGAGGUUCACUCGAAUAUUUAUUCGUGUGGGUAUAGGGGUCAAUAUGGGUGUCCACGGCUCCGAUGUUGAUCAUUGAUCGGAAGGGGUUCCGGUUCAUGUCUAUACUUCACCGAACCUAUAGGGUCACACACUUAAGGGUCAUCUAUCUGCUGAAUACUAGACAGGGAGUCUGAGAGAAAAUCACCGAAAAAGUUUCGGACAACGGAAUCGUACCGCAGAGAGAGGUCAUCGGAUAAGUUUGGAUGAUACCGAAAAGUUGUUUCGGGAUACACCAUUAAGUCAAAUUGGUUUCGGCACAUGCCUGAUAAUUCUUGGAGGAUGCCAGAAUCAUUCUGGAAGCUUUUUGGAAUUUUCUGAGAUAAAAACCGGAAAUGUUCCGGAGCUGCCGGAGCCACUUCAGAUGCGUUUCGCAGAUGAAAAUCACUAAAACCGGAAUUGUUUCGGAACGCGUUGAAAAUCAUUUUAGUGGGUACUGGAAAUGUUCGUAGCCCACAUAAAUAUUUUCAGUUCGAUCAGACGCUGGAAAAUGUCGUCGUGAAUAGUGAAAAUCAGCUUUAUGGUUACUUUAUGGAAAGCCACCUUUUGGGGCUUUGCUCCAAAAGAUCUUGGGGAUGACAUGGAUGGAUAGGAGCCAUUUUUUGGGCCCCUCAUGGGGGUGUGGCCGGCCACAUGGGGUAUCCCCCCUUGGGGACCCUCUUGUUCCUUGGUUUCACUCCUAGGUCCUUGUGGAAGGACUUCAUUCAUGUGCAUUUUGGGUUUUUUGUGAAACUACCCUACCCCCUUGGGAUUUCCUAUAAAUAGAGGUGGAGGGGCAGCCCUCCACACUCAUCCCUUGCUCUCAUACACAUGCCAUGCAUUAUCUGGCUUCUUCUCUCCCUCCCACGAAAAGAGUUUCGUAGAGCCGUAAGGCUGUCUGGGUUCCGGCAGGAACUAGUUCUGGACGGCGAAGCCCUGCCGGAUAGAUGACACCGUAUGUGUGCAACUCUGUAGAGAGAUCGUAGUUUUGGUCUUAGUUCGUGAGUGCCUCCCGAAGGGCUGUCCAUGUGACCGUCCGAGUUUUGAAGGUCCUCCCGAAGGGCUGUCCGAGUGACCGUUCGAGUUUCGAAGGUCCUCCCGAAGGGCUGUCCGCGACACCGUCCGGGGGGCUGUUCGACCGCCUCCCGGAGGGCUGUCUGAGGAGCAGAUAAGGGUAUACAUCCUCGCGGUUGGGAGGUUGUAAAUCCUAGCUGCGGGGAUCUGCACCGCCGAUCGUCAUCGACUCUACUUCCCGCUGCGCUACGAGUCGGUAACGAAAAAGAUCAAACCAUGUAUGCAGUCUCCAUAGUGGUCCUGGGCUGGUGCGUAGGUCGGAAAUUUUUUGUUUUCUGCUGCGUUACCCUACAGUGGCAUCAAGAGCCGUGCUAUGCGUAGAUGCAGGUUUCGAUCUAGAAUACAUGGAGAUGUAUGGGUAUUGCAUAAUAUAAUUAGGUAGUAGAUGAGAUCUAUUGCUGAAAAUUAUUUAUGCGGGUGACAGAUGAAAUCUGUUACCCGAGGUUCUUGUUGCUUCCCUAGAAUUUGCGUUUGCUCAAUCUCGAGACAGCAUGGUGGAAUUUGACAAAGUUCUGGCAAUCCGUGAUCCUGAUUGAUCAUGGAAGUGCUAUCAGUUCUUUGGGUUCUGCCGUAGUCAAAAGAAAGAUGAAAUUCGCAGAUGAAAGGGCAUUGCAGAUAUGAUCUGCACGGGGGUCAUGCGUAUGACGAAGUUUAGUAUGGGGCUCGAGAUUUAAUUAUCCCGUGUUUCAUACACCCCGAGAUGUUAAUCUAGCAACCUGAAUAAUCAUACUUGAUGAUGAACGUUGGUCGCUGCGGUUUAAGUCAAAACCUUAGAAGCCACGUAAAAUACAUUUUGCAUAAACCGAUUAGAGGCGUCUAACUUGGUUUUGCAGGAUGUGCAUGUGAUGUGGUAUAGCAGUGCUCAUACUAAUUUGAUUAUGUAUGAGAUGACUAUAUGAUGUAAUUUGAUUAACAUGACCUGUGUGUCAUGAUUCGGCAUGAUGGCUGGAGCCAUAUGAUUGCACUUUAAUGACCUGCGUGUCAACCUUGUUGUAAUGCAUUAUUUUGUUAGCUAUAGAGAUAGCAAUAUUAUCUGGUGCAUCGACAAGGUGGUGGCAAUCUUCGCGAAGGUGAACACCGACGAGAAUGCCGAAGACGAAGAAAUGAAAUACUUCUCCGUCAGAAAGGGCUAUACCAUAUCAUGCUAUUAUGAAUUGCCUGAGAUGUUUAUCCCUUAUGAUGCACCCUUCUUGAUUGCGCGGUAGUCGCUUUUAUUAGGGUGAUCUCUCACUUAAAAUAUCAAGUAGUUAGUGUUCUCCCAAGUGUAGCACCGUCACGGCACCUAUCUUUUCGGGGUGCGCCAUGGAUGCAUGGGUACGAACGAUUAGAGAAGUGUGAGGCGGGUGAGGUCAGACCUCGCAGCAAGAUCACUUGGUUGUCUUGACGUUCAUGGCAGGAUCGUCCUGAGCUCGGAACACACGCAUCGAAAGAUGAGCAAGAGUCACAUAGAGAUGUGAUCGGCAAGUUGGCCUACCGAUUAAAAUUCCCGUUAUGAGAUGAUGAUUCUAUGGCGAUGAAUUGAAGUCUGGAUCUUGUAUCACUCAAAAUUAAUUAUGAGAGAUAUUGAUUUGAGUGGGAGUGCACUAUUGAAUUAACAUGUUUAAUUCUCAGUGCAAUUAAUUAUGAACACUGUCUAAGUGUUUUUUGCAUAAUAGUUGUAGAAUAAUGGCUCGCAUUUCCACCUUCCCUAUUAAAAUUGAAUAGCUGUUAAAUAUCUGGUUAAAACUUUACGAUUGGUAACGUAAUAUGAGGAUUGUCCUCAAAAGUGCCGAGAAGGACUUUGUCCUAUCGCAUGCUUUCCGUAUCCUCCCGCUAAUGUUAUGGAUCAUGUGACUCUCGUCCUUCGAUCCAAAAGCUAGAAUUCUGUUACGGUCAAGUGGAAUAUGGUUGCUUCCAUGAAACCCAAACUUCGAAAGUUGGGAUAGUUAUAUGAUAUUCAUGGAACUGAAAAUUAUUUUCAGAUACAAACAAAGCAAUGUUUGUUUGCAAGUAUUAGUAAAAGUGUUUACUAUGCAUUUGACUAUUGGGAAAGGGAUCCAGAAGAACGCCUGUCAUAUAAUGAAAGGUGAAUAAAACAACAACUUAAAGAGAAAGGAAGUGUCCAAAGGGUGUUAGUAUGACUUACACGCCUAGGAAGUCCGGGGCUAAUGCCACUCUUAAGUUGGGUGCUUCUUCUGAGAGUAGGAGAAAUACUAAAAGUUAAACUGUUAGAAGUAUAAAGGCAAAAGGAAAGAAGACUGGAAUAUCCAGCUCAUGUAUGAAUGUCAUACAAGUUUUUGAUGUAUAGAAGGCUGGUCAAAGAUAUAGUUCUUGUGAAUUAUGGUUAAACAUGUUAAUCACUAAUUCUUGGGUAUUGUGAGUUCAUCACAAAAUUGCCCGCUCGAUUGCAUUCUGUUGCAACUCGAUGUAAGAACUACUAUGGCCUGAAAGACUAGCUAGAAAUGAGGUUAAGGUAUACACAGGGAACAUAGUAAAUGUUACUAUACCUUCCAUCGGUGUAUUGCCGUCUGUAUUUAUUUUCAUAAUUCAUUUAGAGUUUUACAAACUCUAUCCCAUUGCAUAAGGUAUCUUGCAAGAAGGUUGUUCAUAAGAGAACUUUUUAUGUUCGAUGUUAUGAAUAACACAAGGGCCAUACUUUCAUUAUGAAUGAGAUGUAUGUUAUGAAUAUUGAUAAUAAUACAAUACCUCUGGGUUUACUUUCAUAAUUCAUUUUAGAGUUUCAUACACUCUAGCCCAUUGCACAAUGUUUGUUGCAAAAGAGUUGUUCAUAAAAACAACAAUUGUUGUUAAGUAUUAUGAAUAACAUGAAGGGCCAUGCUUCCAUCCAAGAUGGCAUGUAUGUUAUGAAUAUUGAUGGUAAUAUGAUACAUCCAUAACACUGACGCUAAAUGUCGCAAGACUAAAAGAAUACCACACAAGUGUGGCACUACAUUUGGUCACAUUGGAGAAACCGCAUGGAAAAUUCCAUUAUGAUGGAGUUUGAAGUCUUCUUGAUUUUGAAUCAUCUGACACUUGCAACUUUCCUCCGAAAAGUGAAGUGACUAAAAUACCGUUCACAGGCCAUAAGGAACGAACAACAAACUUAUUAGUGAUCAUACAUUUGAUGUGUGUAGUCCGAUAAGUGUUGUUAGUGGUGGAUUUAUUUAUCUUCAGAAAUGACUCAAGUAGAUAUAUGGAUAUUUACUUGAUGAGACGUAAGUCUGGAUCUUUUGAAAUCAUUCGAAAGGUUCUCAAAAAUGAAGUAGAAGUUAUUGUAACAAGAAAAUUAUGUUUCUGCAAUUUGAUUGCACAAAGGAAUAUUUGAGUUACAUGUUUAGCGAAUGUCUGAUGAGUUGUGAAAGGGGUUUCAUAACUUGCACCUCCCGGAACACCACUGCAAGUGGAAAGUCUGUGGAGAUGUAAUCAAACCAUUUAUGACAUGGUAACGUGAAAGAUGACAUAAAUAAAUUUGCCAUUAUCCCUUUUAAAGUGAUGCUUUAGAGACUGCGGCUUUUACACUGAAAAGAGCUACAUCGGGUCUGUUGAAAUGAAGCCAUGGUAUGGUACGCCCAACCAUGUUAUAUCUUUUCUUAACAUUUGGAAUAUGGGGCUUGUGUAAAAGGUUACAAACCUAUUCCAAAUCAGACAAGUGCUACUUUGUAGGUUAUACCAAAAUGUUGGGUAUUCCUCCCUCACUAUACCGAGGCAAAUAGUUUUGCCGCGAAACGGUGUGCUUUUAAAGAGAAUGGUUCUUUCAAAAAGGUGAGUGGGAGAAUAGUGCAACUCGACGAGAUAAACAGUAUCUACGUCAUCAGAUCAAAGGAAAGAGACCUUGGAAGUAAUUCCAGAGUUUCCUACUGCGACUGAUACGGAAGUCUCUACAAUAAAAUGUAUGAACUUCGGUCGAACUUGCAGCUGAACCACGUAGGCAAGGCUCGUGCAAACCUCUCAGGUGCGCAAACGAGAUAUUGUUGUUAGACAACAUUAUGCCUACGAUACACAAGGAAGCGUUGAUGGGCCCUGACUCCGGAAUUGGCUAAAUGCCAAUACAACCCGAGUUAGUUUCCAUAUAAGUGAUUCAAGAUUAAAACCUUGAUACACCUUUUGGAAGACUUAGAGUCUAACGAAUAUUUAUGGAACUUAAAACUGAUACGGAUAAAAUGUUUUAUCCAUAAAGCUUGACUUGUUGAAAUAACAAGUUCAAGAGUUGACUGCGAUGAGGUUGUUUUCAUCGUAGCGAUGCUUAAAGUCGGUUCGGGUUGAACUAGUAAUUAAUACAUAUUUCAAUCAUGAGAUAUGAAACAUGGAUGAUAAAAGGAUUUCCAUCUGAUGGAAAUGAAAGCUAGGACUUGUAUAUGAUAUAGUCCAAAGUAAUUUGUCGAUCCAGAGGAUGCUAGUAGGUAUGCAAACUUCAGAGUUCCAGCAAUGGACAGAAGAGAGCAAAAUGGAGUUGGAAUCUUCGGGUUUUGAUGAAAUGGUCAAAGGGGUUUUGACUUCAUCAAUGGGUAACGAAGAUGCUUGUAAUUCAAGAAAGUAAGUGGGAGCGUACUAAUAUUUCUAAAAACCUUAUGUGCUUGGCACAUUGGUAAUUGGAAAUAAAUUUCUUCACACAAAUUAGGACUUCAUUUGAAAAUAGUUUUUCGAUGAAGUGCUUAGGCUAAAUAGCCUCAAUAUUAGGCAUGAUGAUCUAUUGAGAUAGAUUUACCUAAUGGGGCUAAGCAAUGAAUACAUAUUGACAAGAUGCUAAAACCUUUUAGCAUUUAAAACGCCAAGGAGUGAUUCUUGCCAAAGUCACAUGGAAAGAGUUUUUGCAAGACUCGGUGUCCCAAAACACUGAUGAGUAAAAUACAUGAUGCAGAUUCCACACACUUUUGUGUUUGGAUUAAUCAUGUAUUCCAUGGUAUGUAAAACAACCAGAUAUGUCCGAUACUCCCAUGGUGUUGCGAGUAUGGAUACUAAAGUGAUCAAAGUACUGAUCGUGGGACAACAGUGAAAGAUGUCAUUGAGUACUAGAGUAAGUACUGAUGAUAUGUUUUCUUGCAAGCGGAGAUCAUGAAGAGUUCGUUGUAAAAUGUUACAUCGAUAGUCUUCAUCUUUUCACCGUGCGAUUUUCGAUUUAAGUUAAGGGUUUUGUGUAACACACAAUGUGGUGGCACAGUUAGUUGGAAUUUGUUCAAACUAGUUACUGUGGCGAAUUCUAUAACAAGGGCUAAGUAUGUUGAUGCUUUAGAAGCGACAAAGAAGAUGUUGAAUCAUAUAGUUCAUUCAUGAACUUAGUAUAGUUCCAAGAUGUCUUUUGACAAUGGGACACUACUGCAGGUAGUUGCUCCAAAACUCAGUCUGAGGAAUCCAGGUUCGACCUGUGAUUCACAUACAUACAAAGCCAAGUCCACACAAAAUAUGAAUUUUGUGAAAACGUGAAAACACGAGGACAUGCAAAGAUACACACGGAACUGAAGUCGUCAGAUCCGUUGGACAUCAGGCUAUACCACAAGCGAAGCAUAUUUACACCGGUGUGGCACAGGUGUAAAGUGCAUUAGCAUUAACUAGAUUAUUGACUCUAGUGCAAGUGGGAGUCUGUAGGAGAUAUGCCCUAGAGGCAAUAAUAAAUGAUAUUAUUUAUCUCCGAGUUCAUAAUUAUGUUUAUGUUCCAUGCUAUAACUGCUAUGGUUCUCGAGUCUGCAAUAACCACGAGGCUCGGAGGAAGACUCAUAUGCACGUGUGGAAUAAUAAACGGUAAAAUGUAUUCCUAGUCUGGCCUCUAAGACUAGCUCAAGUGUUGCAUGAUGGUUAUGUUUUCCUGAUCAUGGGCAUGUCUAUGUCAGCAACCUUGAGGGCAUAAUGUUAAGAGAACAUUUGUGUUGAAUCGACCCGACAUGAUGUUAUGCUAUGAGAUUCAUUCGUCACAAGUUUAUUGGUACAUAACACAGAGAUGGUUAACGUUUGCAUGAUUCCUUAGACCAUGAGAGUAUCGAGUUUCUUCAUGCUUGCUUCAUGAACUUUGGGGUUUGUUAAACGUCAUCCGUAAAUGGGUGGCUAUUACGGCGGCUUACGGGUUCAUGGAAAAGUGUGUCAAGUAACUUGAUAGCUCAAGAUUGGGAUUUGCUCCUCCGACGAUGGAGAGAUAUCUCUGGGCCCUCUCGGUGUUACGGUAUCCAUCAUCGUCUGGCCAGACACUUUGUGAUUUGAUCGCGGGGAUGCCGGAACACGAUAACGAGAAAAGAGAACAAUACCGGUAACGAGGUAACUAGCAUAGUGGACAAGUUGUUGAUCCACGGGAAUGCCAACAUGUCUCACCUCGGGUAUUUGUAACAUAUCGCGAAGCAACAGGAAUAGCACACGGCAACUGGAGGUUCACUCGAAUAUUUAUUCGUGUGGGUAUAGGGGUCAAUAUGGGUGUCCACGGCUCCGAUGUUGAUCAUUGAUCGGAAGGGGUUCCGGUUCAUGUCUAUACUUCACCGAACCUAUAGGUUCACACACUUAAGGGUCAUCUAUCUGCUGAAUACUAGACAGGGAGUCUGAGAGAAAAUCACCGAAAAAGUUUCGGACAACGGAAUCGUACCGCAGAGAGAGGUCAUCGGAUAAGUUUGGAUGAUACCGAAAAGUUGUUUCGGGAUACACCAUUAAGUCAAAUUGGUUUCGGCACAUGCCUGAUAAUUCUUGGAGGAUGCCAGAAUCAUUCUGGAAGCUUUUUGGAAUUUUCUGAGAUAAAAACCGGAAAUGUUCCGGAGCUGCCGGAGCCACUUCAGAUGCGUUUCGCAGAUGAAAAUCACUAAAACCGGAAUUGUUUCGGAACGCGUUGAAAAUCAUUUUAGUGGGUACUGGAAAUGUUCUUAGCCCACAUAAAUAUUUUCAGUUCGAUCAGACGCUGAAAAAUGUCGUCGUGAAUAGUGAAAAUUAGCUUUAUGGUUACUUUAUGGAAAGCCACCUUUUGGGGCUUUGCUCCAAAAGAUCUUGGGGAUGACAUGGAUGGAUAGGAGCCAUUUUUUGGGCCCCUCAUGGGGGUGUGGCCGGCCACAUGGGGUAUCCCCCCUUGGGGACCCUCUUGUUCCUUGGUUUCACUCCUAGGUCCUUGUGGAAGGACUUCAUUCAUGUGCAUUUUGGGUUUUUUGUGAAACUACCCUACCCCCUUGGGAUUUCCUAUAAAUAGAGGUGGAGGGGCAGCCCUCCACACUCAUCCCUUUCUCUCAUACACAUGCCAUGCAUUAUCUGGCUUCUUCUCUCCCUCCCACGAAAAGAGUUUCGUAGAGCCGUAAGGCUGUCUGGGUUCCGGCAGGAACUAGUUCUGGACGGCGAAGCCCUGCCGGAUAGAUGACACCGUAUGUGUGCAACUCUGUAGAGAGAUCGUAGUUUCGGUCUUAGUUCGUGAGUGCCUCCCGAAGGGCUGUCCAUGUGACCGUCCGAGUUUUGAAGGUCCUCCCGAAGGGCUGUCCGAGUGACCGUUCGAGUUUCGAAGGUCCUCCCGAAGGGCUGUCCGCGACACCGUCCGGGGGGCUGUUCGACCGCCUCCCGGAGGGCUGUCUGAGGAGCAGAUAAGGGUAUACAUCCUCGCGGUUGGGAGGUUGUAAAUCCUAGCUGCGGGGAUCUGCACCGCCGAUCGUCAUCGACUCUACUUCCCGCUGCGCUACGAGUCGGUAACGAAAAAGAUCAAACCAUGUAUGCAGUCUCCAUAGUGGUCCUGGGCUGGUGCGUAGGUCGGAAAUUUUUUGUUUUCUGCUGCGUUACCCUACAAUCUGAUACUUCUACGAACAAUCUUCAGGGUAUGUCCAGUUGGCCCCAUGCAUUUGGAUAUUAUUUUGUCUACUAUUAUUACUAUAAAGAGAAAUCUAACUGAAACUGAAAUAUAAUAAAUAUUGAUGGAGAGAAAAAUAGACAUUAAUGUCCACAUACACAACACAAUUAGCCAGUACUAUCCUAGUUUACAUGAAUUAAUAUUUGCAAUGACAUUUAGGUUAGUCUUGACAUGAUAAAGAAAAAGUUUUUUUUGCGAGGUAAGAUAAGGUUUUAUAUAACUGUUCAUGGGUACCACCUCAUGGUUGCAGAUACAUAGUUUUACAGUGCUUCAUGAAAUAGUUGCAUAUCAUCAUGUCUAAAAGAAGAAUCAUGACGGACACAACUUCAAGAAAUUCUUCUUGUAAUAUAACAUAAUUUGUAUAUACCUCAUAGAGGAUGUAACUUGUUGGUAGCAUUUAAUAUUGUGACACACUCGCCAUCUUCUAUGCCAGCAUUAUUUGGGUGAUGAUUUAAUAUCCAAAAGCAUACAUCAAGGUAGUUAUGUGUAAUGAUAUUCUUGUGAAAAUAACUUCCAUAGUGUAUACUUGCAUAUAUGUAUUGUUCUAUUGUAUUCUUACAGUUAAUCAUUUUUCUUAUUUUUUUUGUUUAUUUACGUUUAGAGCAAGAUUAUAAAUUAAGCUGAGCAUAAUUUCUGCAGAUUAUAGAUGGCCCACUAAAAGACAAAGGACGAAGGCGCAAACUUCAAGUAAUUCUUCUUGCCACAUAGGUUUUUCUAAUUGUGCGAGGAUACCACUUGUAACUGCCUUCAGUCAUCUAUGUCAGUAGUAUUUUGAGACGAAUUUCAUUACAAAAUGCAAUGACUCAAACAAUCAGAUUGUUCAUGAUGAUUCCUAAUUGUAUAACCAAUAAGCUUAACACACCUUCCUAUUUUAGAGUUGUUAUCUUAAUAAGUAUAUACUAGAUGUUAUUAGUGUUGUUGUUGGGUGAAGAACAUUUGUUGCUCAUGGUUAGAAUGUAGAAUUUUCUUAACACAACAAGCUAGAGCGAAUGUGGAGGCCAAUAUAGAUUGAAACCAUUAAUUCAUAUUAAAAUGGUCAUGACUUCUUAUUUUUAUUUGACAUAAAUGUUUGUGACUUGUUUGAAUUAAUGUGUUCUGCAAUUAUAUGAUACUUCUAUAUUCAUACUAUUUUUAUGAAAUAUACAGCUAGUUUGUCGACAGGAGCACGAACAACCACAACUUCUACAAAGCUUCCACAUGGUUUCAUCUAGUAUCAUGCGAAAAACAUUGAGACAAUCAAGAUUACUUGAGCAACCUAAAUUAUGUUAGUUGUUACCUGCUUUCAAAUGAAUGUGUCCUCUCAUAGUAUGCAUGUACUUCUGUUGUUGAGGAAUUUAUAUCAUUAGACAGUUCUAUUAUUCAUAAUUAUUGAUUAAUGGGUACAUACCUUCAAUCCUGGAAGAUUGUGAGAUAGCCAGUCAAGGAAGUGAUUUGUUUAUUGAAUUGUGCAUAAUAGGGACAUUUUUACAUUUAAAGGAACAUCAUAGGAAUAAUUUGGUAUUUCGAGAAGAUUUUCCAGUCCCCUGCCCCAACCUGCUGGAGACAGUAUGAGUGCUGACACACACAUUUGUAACGUACCAGCAAGCUAGUGCAGUAGCUUCAGUCACAUGCUCUGGAAGCCCAAUUUGGGUCUUCCUUCAGAAGGCUCAUCAAGGCCAUCAUCACACCAUUCUAGUUAGUUACUUCUGCAAUGAUAUAUGUCCGUAAGAAAAUAAGAAGCUAAGGUUCUAGUAGACUUAUAAUCCUCUAACAGCACCACGUUGGAUAUGCCCGCACAAAUAAAAUAACAUGAGUGGAGUCUAUUUUGUAAGCACAUAUCUUGUCACCAGUCAACUACUAGUACAGUAAGAGCAUCAAAGAGGAAUUCAUUUCAUAUAGAAUAGUCGCAUACAUAUACUUCUGUUCUGCACAUACUGCUCAUUAUCAUGGACAAUGAUGUAGCUAGCUAAAAGUGAGCAUGUGGCUAUAAUGUAAGGAGGGAGGCUCCAGGGACGAGCUCGACAAACAGAACUAACCUGCUCUUGCAAGGAACCAGUAAGCCUUGCUACAUUGUCACCUCCAUGCUGCAUGGCAUCGCGUCCACCAGCUACUUUGGUAUGUCGCAACUCUUUCCUCUCAUCUUUUCACCGAAGCGGUCGUUGGCGAAUUCUAAUCUUUCCGGAACAACAUUCGUAAUUCCCUGCACUAUAAGGUCAUCAUGAUGCAUCGGCACAUCGGAAUUCUAGCCACAUUAACAAAAUCUUUGCCCAAACCAAAUUAAGGGAGAAAUGAGAAAUGAAGGAGAGCACCAAAUAGUAAGUUAGGUUACACAUAUAUAUAGAAAUGUCGUUCAUAGUAAAAACAACCGGAAGUGUAUCCAUGUUGUUUGCUUAGGUGGCUAAAACCAAGGUCCUAUUCACUGGGAUGAUGAACCUACUAAAUAAAAGGGUUCUCAAAGUCCCCUCAGAACUAGAGUCGAGUAACACAGUCAUGACCCCAUGGGGUUUCAGGAUAACGACAUGCAAAUGUGGUUAAGACAAUCAGCUCUCUCAUUAAGAUUUGUCUUAUUUUUUAUCACUACGGGAAAAUUCAUGUUUGCCGAGUGUCAGUGUCUUUGCUGAGUGCAUUUUGUCGGGCACUCGGCAAACAUAUCUUUGCCGAGUGUAAUCCUGAAACACGGUAAAUAGGUGCUUUGCCGACUGUCGUGGAAAAAAACUCUGGCAAAAAAGUUAUAGUUGCUAAAAGGUGCUUUGUUGAGUGUCUUGGAAAUAACUCUCGGCAACAUAGUGGAACUUGGGCAAAGAUGUGCUUUCCCGAGUGCUACACUCGGCAAAAGGGGGUAUGCACUGCGCUCACUGUUUUGGCUAUCGAGAUUGCAUACAACCUCGGAUGAAGAUGAUCCAAGAAUCAAAGUUUUACAUUUCGACGAGAUGAAUAAUUUUCAUGUUGAGGACCUUUUCAUUUUAGGCCAUAUUAUUUACAUUUUUUGCCAUGCGAAAAUAUGGUCUCAAAUGAAUAAGGCGGUGGUCAUAUUUAUUGCAUAGUUUAUGACUAUGGGCCUAACCUUGGCAUUUAUGUGCAUCUUGCCAUCACAAAAAAUGUUGCCAAAUAGAGUUUCCAACAUUUCAUACAAAAAUAAUUUUUCUAUUUUUGAAGUGUAAAAAAUUGAUACUUUUGUGAAGCUGCUAAAAAUAUCGAGUGCAAAAUGGCAUCACUCCAAUUUUCACAAAAAUAGACCAUAUUUUUUUAGAAAAUUCCCUUUUUUGUGGAUUUUCUAUAUUUCUAGCUACUUUCACACAUUUAAAUGACUUUAUUAUGAUUCCGCGAAAUUAAUUCAAUUUGAACUGUAAUUGUGUGAUAGCUAUGUCCUAGAAAUUUGCAAAAAAUACUUUUAGGUACACAAGUAGUCAUUACAUGGAAAACCCACUUAGAGUUUAGAGAUUCAACCCCUUGACAUGAAUAGCCAUGCCGAACACUUUCACCCCGUUUUGGAAAAAUGAAACAAAAAGGAUACAAGUUCAAAAAAUGCAAUCCUUUCAUAUGGACUCCUUUUAUGUGUACUAGUGUGGAUGAAAAUACCAAACUUUCAAUAUGACAGUUUUGAAAGAAAAAUAUCCUGCACAAAUGGGCUAUCCCCUAUGAACAUUCAUGGCUUUCAAGUCAAAUGACCAAGGUGAUGACCAUAUUCAUUGCAUAGUUUAUUAUAAUGUGACCAAAUUAGACAUAUAGGUGAACCUUGCCAUUACAAAUAAUGUUGCAAAAUAGAGUUUCCAAAUUUUUUGUACAAAAAAUCAUUUUCUAUUUUCUAAGUGUAAAAAAUGGAUGUUUUUAUUGAAGCUGGUACAAAAACAGGGUACAAAAUGGCACCACUCCAAUUUUCACAAAAAGUAGACCGUAUUUUAUGGACAAUUCCCAAAGUCUGUAGAUUUUUUUCGAAAAAUAUAACAAUUGGUGUAUUUUUUUAAUAUUUAAUGAAAAUAAUAUAUAUUUUUUUUAAUGGGAAGGGAGGAUAUUUAAAGGAUAGCAUGGACAUCUGAGGGUGUACGUUGAAGCAUUGGAGGUGCCUUUAUGUGCCAGUUUACGACGUGCUCAACCGGCAAUGUGGUAGUAUUAAUCAGUAUAUACUUUUGAUUGUAAAAGAAAUCAAUAUAUAAUUUGUUUGGAUUAUUUUAGUUUGUAGGGCAAACUUAAAAUGGAUUUAUUUAGCCUAUGAUUGUGAAAUCACUAAUUAGGAGGUACCUUUUGCAAAGGUCACACCCCACUUUCAUUGGUGCUGACAGGUGGCGCAUGGCUUGUGUGCCACUUGUCGCAACAUGGGAAUUUCCCCCUUUUUGUAGAUUCAUUUUUUUAAUCUUUUAUCUCUUGAACCGCGCAUUCAAAUCAUGACCCAUUUUUAUCUUUGGAUUUCUCGCGCCGAGAUCUUUGAAACUAGGUCGCAUGUUAAUAAGUUUCGAUGAACUUUUUCUUCACGAAAAUCAAAAAUCGAAAAAAUAUGAAAACAAAAAAAACAGAAAGCAAACAAAAGAAAAAAACCUAAAAUCACGGUUGUGCUUUGUACAUUUUUGGGAAGAACAAUUGUGCUUUCCCCUUUUCGGGAAACACGGUUUUGCUUCUUGUGCAAGCAUAGGUCAUGCUUUUCCCUUUUCAAGAAGCACAGGCCAUGCUUCUUUUUUCUGGGAAGCACAUAUGUGCCUUUCCUUUUCGGGGAGCACAGUUUUUCUCUUUUUUCCGAAAAAGCAUAGAUGUGUUUUUCCCUCUUCAGAGAAGCACUACCGAUGCAUCUCACCGAAACAUGUUAUGCUUUUCCUUUUUUGAGGAAGUAUAGUUGUGCUUUCCCUUUUUACAGGGAAGCAAAAAAUGUGCUUUCUUCCUUCUCGGGAAGCUGUGCUUCCCGCGGAAAAGCACCGCCUCAUGAAAAAACAUAAAAAAAUGAAAAAAAAUUCAUCAAAACCUAGGGAAAACCAAGAAAAAAAAGAAAACAUGUGUAAAAAAUCUAAGGGUGUACCCAGCGUACGACACAUGGCAGCAAUUGGACGCAUCACUUGAUGCGCUCUUAGGUCCUAAAAGUGACCUCUGUGCAAUCCCCCGAUGAGAUACUUGUUAGAUAGUUGGAGACCUCGUUGCAUCAAAUAGGAGGGUGGCCACAAAGGGGGGCGCUUCCUGGUGGGCCAGUCCAGCAGCGUGUUGCACUCCAUUGCAAAUUGGUCAAAAUGUAAAAAAUUAUGUGUGAGCAAAGCGCGCAUGGCUAGCCACUCAAGCUAAUGAAACUCUGCUAACUACUAGGCCGUGUUGAACUUUAAAAAGUACUAUAUGAUACCCCGCGCGUUGUUGCGGGAACUCUUAGUACUUUACAUGAAGAAGCUUGUGGAGUGAAAAUAUAUAAAUGAUGGAAAAAAUACUUUUUAAAACCUUUGGUGGUACUUUUAGGAAGAUUAUGGAGUGAAAAUAAGUAAACAAUUAAUAUAUUUUUGAACCUUUGAUGGUAUUUUGUGAAACGUGAGAGAAAUGGUAUAUCAGGGUAUCUCCGUAUUUGUGUAGUUAGAACGUGUCACCCUUUAGCGGGGAAUUAAAUGCAUCACUAACAUUAAAAAUAGAGCAUAUAUAGUAUGAUGGGAAUUUCACUGAAAACAUGGCCAGCCUAGUCUAAAGCUGAAUAUUACACUGAACAGAGAGUGCCCAACACAAAAGCACUAAUGCUUGUUGAGUUAUUUGUAAUAUAGGAGUAGAAUCCUUUCGAAAGAGAAAUUCCAAAAUAUUAAAAAGAUCCAACAGUAAGACAUCCAUACACCUUACAGUUUAUACAUGGCGACAAGCUACAUACCAAUCGCUAAAAAAGGUGAAUAUAGAGUCAUGCACAUCAGGCCCUCAUGGCAUAGAUGCAUUUCUAUAUCUAUACCUACUAAUAAAGCAAGAUGCGUUUCUCCAAAAAAAAUUAUCCGUUCACCACGGAAAAUACUUUUUUUGUAUCCGAGGUGGUACUAAAAUUUUUGUGGUCCAUCUGCUAGAAAACAAAACAGAAGAAUUUUGUCUAGAAUUUCGUACGUGGGCCGCACGCGCCAAGGCCCAGAAAAUUUACACAUUUAUAUCCUGCGCAUGCUGCUGGGGAAUCUUAUUUGUCGCACAGAGCGUAAUAUAGUUGGAGAUUCCAAUCUGUGGCCCAAUGUUGGGCCAGCCCAUUUCCUUUUUUCUUUGUUCUUUUUCUAUUUUUCUAUUUUCUCUUCGAAGUUAUAUUUUCCUUUUCCCAUAAAUUCAUUUUUUUAAUUUUCCCAAAUUUCCUUUUUUAUAAUAAUUUUCAUUAAAUCUUCGAAUUUCUAAAUUUGUCCCAUUUUCAAAAAAAUCCAAAAAAGAUCGAGAUUUGCAAAAUAAAUACCAUUUACAAAAUAAUAGAAAUACUAAAAAUAUUAUUUUUAUUGAAAUAUUCACAAUUUAAAAAUAAUGAUCAUGACAAAAAACACAUUUUUGAAAAUGCUUUUGAAUGUUUAAAACAAGUUUCCAUUUUAAAAAAUUGUUCACAAAUUCGAAAAAUGUCCGUUUCUCCGCCUUAAAAUGGUCGUGUUUUAAAAAAAUUGUGAAUUUUAAAAAUCUUCCAAUUUCAAGUUUUCUUUCCUUUUUCCAGAAAUUAGUGCUUUUUAAAAAAAAUUGCUCGUUUGUUUAAAAAAAAAUCUGGAGGUCACCACAACCUCGACAAGGAGGUGGACCUGAAGGAAAAAAAGGCACGAGAUGGGCAGUGGCCGCCACUCGGACCAACCCCACUACUAUAGACAUCUCGUGAGCCAAACAUGACCCACGAGAACACCACAGCUCUCCGCUCUGUCGCGCCACUAUUGUGGAGAACAUUUUGAUGGACACAUCAAUUAUCUCUCCAGAUGCUUCUCGCAAAAAACUCUCCCGUUGCAACGCACGGGCAUAUGUGCUAGUCUUCCACUAAAAGGACAUGCCUUCAGGGGAUUAGUGUAGCUAGGUGUGAAGAUCUAGACAUAUAAAUGGCAGGAAUGACUUCAUCUUCCUGCCCCUUCUGUGGCAAUAGAGGCCCGACUUCAAUUGGGAUCCGACUGACAUGUUGCUCCCUCUUCAUAAAAUGGAGCUGAUUGUUAUCUAAAAGCAAGCUACGUAGCUUUGGCAUGGCCAGCAGUAGUACUUGCUACUUUGCCAGUUGUGAUGCAUCACAUGAGAACACAAGGAAGGUUGCGUGCUGCCAUGGCCGGACCCUUUGGGGUGCCAAAUGGUGUUCAAAUUUAUAGUAGGUUCCAUUUUUGGUGGGAAUCCAGGGAAAAGAAGGCGAUGGAGUAAGAUGACAACCCAUUCCCAUACUACCACUCAAAAUCAAAAUGAAGAGGGUAAAUAAAUGUACUUACUAAGAACACACGGAUAACAUACAACUGGCUACAGAAGCGGCCAAACUUUGUAACCCACAGAAACUGGGGAAAUUGUGAAAACUAUUUAUGUAAGUAGAAGCAAAUGUAGUCCAGUUACCUUUCAUGGUAAUGCUUCUCUUGGGCCGAUUCUUAGGAUCCCUGAAGAAUGCCUUCUGUUUUUCCGAAGCAUGAUUCCUUGCUAGAGCAGUACCUUUUGUUCUCUUGAGUUAAGGCGCAGUGGGAAAUAGAUCACUAUCAGCUCUAGUUCAAUUGCUUGUAUUUUACAAAAACAUACAAUUGAAACAAUUAUCAGGAAAAGUUAUUACCUUAAUCGCGGCAACUCUUUGAGCAUGCAAUUUGGCGUCUUGGUGUAAAAUCUUCAUGUGUAAACAAUCUUGUUUUAGCAUCCAGGCUCUAUAAUUAAAAGUAAUAAGCUCUUUUAAAGCCGAAAGCAACUAUAUAGACCAAUACAAUUAAACAAAGCCAGCGGGUAGGUUUCAAAUUUGAAGUAGUCGGGCUCCAUAGUUAACUCUCCGGCAUGCAGGCAUUUAGUGCAGUAGAUCCAAGACAUACGUGUGACAGAUUGCAUGUGAGCAACAUUUAUUAGUAGGAAAAUCGUACUACCUGAAGGAAAUAUGCCCUAGAGACAAUAAUAAAGUUAUUAUUUAUUUCCUCAUAUCAUGAUAAAUGUUUAUUAUUCAUGCUAGAAUUGUGUUAACCGGAAACAUAAUACAUGUGUGAAUACAUAGACAAACAUAGUAUCACUAGUAUGCCUCUACUUGACUAGCUCGUUAAUCGAAGAUGGUUGUGUUUCCUAACCAUAGACAUGAGUUGUCAUUUGAUUAACGGGAUCACAUCACUAGGAGAAUGAUGUGAUUGACUUGACCCAUUCCGUUAGCUUCGCACUUGACGUUUAGUAUGUUGCUAUUGCUUUCUUCAUGACUUAUACAUGUUCCUAUGACUAUGAGAUUAUGCAACUCCCGUUUACCGGAGGAACACUUUAUGUGCUACCAAACGUCACAACGUAACUGGGUGAUUAUAAAGGUGCUCUACAGGUCUCUCUGAAGGUACUUGUUGAGUUGGCGUAUUUCGAGAUUAGGAUUUGUCACUCCGAUUGCCGGAGAGGUAUCUCUGGGCCCUCUCGGUAAUGCACAUCACUAUAAGCCUUGCAAGCAAUGUGACUAAUGAGUUAGUUGCGAGAUGAUGCAUUACGUAACGAGUAAAGAGACUUGCCGGUAACGAGAUUGAACUAGGUAUUGAGAUACCGACGAUCGAAUCUCGGGCAAGUAACAUACCGAUGACAAAGGGAACAACAUAUGUUGUUAUGCGGUUUGACCGAUAAAGAUCUUCCUAGAAUAUGUAGGAGCCAAUAUGAGCAUCCAGGUUCCGCUAUUGGUUAUUGACCGGAGACGUGUCUCGUUCAUGUCUACAUAGUUCUCGAACCUGUAGGUGAUGGGGAUCGUUGCAGAAAUUAAAAAAUUUCUACGCAUCACCAAGAUCAAUCUAUGGAGUCAUCUAGCAACGAGAGAGAGGAGUGCAUCUACAUACCCUUGUAGAUCGCGAGCGAAAGCGUUCAAGUGAACGGGGUUGAUGGAGUCGUACUCGUCGUGAUCCAAAUCACCGAUGAUCGAGCGCCGAACGGACGGCACCUCCGCGUUCAACACACGUACGGUUGGGAAGACGUCUCAUCCUUCUUGAUCCAGCAAGGGGGGAGGAGAGGUUGAUGGAGACCCAGCAACACGACGGCGUGGUGGUGGAAGUAGCGGGGAUUCCAACAGGGCUUCGCCAUGCGCUACCGGAGGAGGGAGAUGUGUCACGGGAGGGAGAGGGAGGCGCCAGGGCUUCGGUGCUGCUGCCCUCCGUCCCCCCUCUAUAUAUAGGGCGCCUGGGGGGCGCCGACCAAGGGGGGGACUUGCCCCCCAAGUCAAGUGGGGCGCCCCCCACCCCUAGGGUUUCCAACCCUAGGCGCAGGGGAGGCCCAAGGGGGCGCACCAGCCCAACAGGGGCUGGUUCCCUUCCCACUUCAGCCCAUGGGGCCCUCCGGGAUAGGUGGCCCCACCCGGUGGACCCCCGAGACCCUUCCGGUGGUCCCGGUACAAUGCCGGUGACCCCCGAAACCUUCCCGGUGGCCGAAACUGGACUUCCUAUAUAUAAUUAUUCACCUCCGGACCAUUCAGGAACUCCUCAUGACGUCCGGGAUCUCAUCCGGGACUCCGAACAACUUUCGGGUUACCGCAUACUAGUAUCUCUACAACUCUAGCGUCACCGAACCUUAAGUGUGUAGACCCUACGGGUUCGGGAGACAUGCAGACAUGACCGAGACGACUCUCCGGUCAAUAACCAACAGUGGGAUCUGGAUACCCAUGUUGGCUCCCACAUGUUCCACGAUGAUCUCAUCGGAUGAACCACGAUGUCGAGGAUUCAAUCAAUCCCGUAUACAAUUCCCUUUGUCAAUCGGUACGUUACUUUCCCGAGAUUCGAUCGUCGGUAUCCCAAUACCUUGUUCAAUAUCGUUACCGGCAAGUCACUUUACUCGUACCGUAAUGCAUGAUCCCGUGACCAAACACUUGGUCACAUUGAGCUCAUUAUGAUGAUGCAUUACCGAGUGGGCCCAGAGAUACCUCUCCGUCAUACGGAGUGACAAAUCCCAGUCUCGAUUCAUGCCAACCCAACAGACACUUUCGGAGAUACCCGUAGUGCACCUUUAUAGCCACCCAGUUACGUUGUGACGUUUGGCACACCCAAAGCACUCCUAUGGUAUACGGGAGUUGCACAAUCUCAUGGUCUAAGGAAAUGAUACUUGACAUUUGGAAAAGCUCUAGCAAACGAACUACACGAUCUUGUGGUAUGCUUAGGAUUGGGUCUUGUCCAUCACAUCAUUCCCCUAAUGAUGUGAUUCCGUUAUCAAUGACAUCCAAUGUCCAUAGUCAGGAAACCAUGACUAUCUGUUGAUCAACGAGCUAGUCAACUAGAGGCUCACUAGGGACAUGUUGUGGUCUAUGUAUUCACACAUGUAUUACGAUUUCCGGAUAACACAAUUAUAGCAUGAACAGUAGACAAUUAUCAUGAACAAGGAAAUAUAAUAAUAACCAUUUUAUUAUUGCCUCUAGGGCAUAUUGCCAACAGUCUCCCACUUGCACUAGAGUCAAUAAUCUAGUUACAUUGUGAUGAAUAGAACACCCAUAGAGUUCUGGUGUUGAUCAUGUUUUGCUCUAGGGAGAGGUUUAGUCAACGGAUCUGCUACAUUCAGGUCCGUAUGUACUUUACAAAUAUCUAUGUCUCCAUUUUGAACACUUUCACGAAUGGAGUUGAAGCGAUGCUUGAUAUGCCUGGUCUUCCUGUGAAACCUGGGCUCCUUAGCAAGGGCAAUAGCUCCAGUGUUGUCACAAAAGAGAGUCAUCGGGCCCGACGCAUUGGGAAUAACUCCUAGGUCGGUAAUGAACUCCUUCACCCAGAUUGCUUCUUGUGCUGCCUCUGAGGCCGCCAUAUAUUCCGCUUCACAUGUAGAUCCCGCCACAACGCUUUGCUUGCAACUGCACCAACUUACUGCCCCACCAUUCCAAAUAUACAUGUAUCCGGUUUGUGACUUAGAGUCAUCCUGAUCUGCGUCGAAGCUAGCAUCGACGUAACCCUUUACGACGAGCUCUUCGUCACCUCCAUAAACGAGAAACAUAUCCUUAGUCCUCUUCAGGUACUUCAGGAUAUUCUUGACCGCUGUCCAGUGUUCCAUGCCGGGAUUACUUUGGUACCUUCCUACCAAACUUACGGCAAGGUUUAAAUCAGGUCUGGUACACAGCAUGGCAUACAUAAUAGACCCUAUGGCCGAGGCAUAGGGGAUGACACUCAUCUUUUCUCUAUCUUCUGCCGUGGUCGGGCAUUGAGCCGUGCUCAAUUGCACGCCUUGCAAUACAGGCAAGAACCCCUUCUUGGACUGAUCCAUAUUGAACUUCUUCAAUAUCUUGUCAAGGUACGUACUUUGUGAAAGACCAAUGAGGCGUCUUGAUCUAUCUCUAUAGAUCUUGAUGCCUAAUAUAUAAGCAGCUUCUCCAAGGUCCUUCAUUGAAAAACACUUGUUCAAGUAGGCCUUUAUGCUUCCCAAGAAUUCUAUAUCAUUUCCCAUCAACAGUAUGUCAUCCACUUAUAAUAUGAGAAAUGCUACAUAGCUCCCACUCACUUUCUUGUAAACACAGGCUUCUCCAUAAGUCUGUGUAAACCCAAACGCUUUGAUCAUCUCAUCAAAUCGAAUGUUCCAACUCCGAGAUGCUUGCACCAGCCCAUAGAUGGAGCGCUGGAGCUUGCAUACCUUGUUAGCAUUCUUAGGAUCGACAAAACCUUCCGGCUGCAUCAUAUACAAUUCUUCCUUAAGAAAGCCGUUAAGGAAUGCCGUUUUGACGUCCAUUUGCCAUAUCUCAUAAUCAUAGAAUGCGGCAAUUGCUAACAUGAUUCGGACGGACUUCAGCUUCGCUACGGGUGAGAAAGUCUCAUCGUAGUCAACCCUUGAACUUGUCGAUAACCCUUAGCGACAAGUCGAGCCUUAUAGAUGGUCACAUUACCAUCCGCGUCUGUCUUCUUCUUAAAGAUCCAUUUAUUUUCUAUGGCUCGCCGAUCAUCGGGCAAGUCAGUCAAAGUCCAUACUUCGUUUUCAUACAUGGAUCCUAUCUCGGAUUGCAUGGCUUCAAGACAUUUGUUGGAAUCCGGGCCCGCCAUCGCUUCUUCAUAGUUCGAAGGUUCACCGUUGUCUAACAACAUGAUUUCCAUGACAGGGUUGCCGUACCACUCUGGUGCAGAACGUGUCCUUGUGGACCUACGAAGAUCAGCAGUAACUUGAUUUGAAGCUUCAUGAACAUCAUCACUAACUUCCUCCCCAGUCGAUGCAGGCACCACAGGAACAUCUUCCCGCGCUGCGCUAAUUUCCGGUUCGGAAGGGCUGACUAUCACCUCAUCAAGUUCCACUUUCCUCCCACUCACUUCUUUCGAGAGAAACUCUUUCUCCAGAAAGGACCCAUUCUUGGCAACAAAGAUCUUGCCUUCGGAUCUGAGGUAGAAGGUAUACCCAAUGGUCUCCUUAGGGUAUCCUAUGAAGACGCAUUUUUCCGACUUGGGUUCGAGCUUUUCAGGUUGAAGUUUCUUGACAUAAGCAUCGCAUCCCCAAACUUUUAGAAACGACAGCUUAGGUUUCUUCCCAAACCAUAAUUCAUACGGUGUCGUCUCAACGGAUUUCGACGGAGCCCUAUUUAAAGUGAAUGGGGCAGUCUCUAAAGCAUAGCCCCAAAAUGAGAGCGGUAGAUCGGUAAGAGACAUCAUAGAUCGCACGAUAUCCAAUAGAGUGCGAUUACGCCGUUCGGACACACCAUUCGCUGAGGUGUUCCAGGCGGCGUGAGUUGUGAAACUAUUCCACAUUUCCUUAAGUGAGUGCCAAAUUCGUGACUCAAAUAUUCCCCUCCACGAUCUGAUCGUAAGAAUUUUAUUUUCCUGUCACGUUGAUUCUCAACCUCACUCUGAAAUUCCUUGAACUUUUCAAAGGUCUCAGACUUGUGUUUCAUUAGGUAGACAUACCCAUAUCUACUCAAGUCAUCAGUGAGAGUGAGAACAUAACGAUAGCCUCCGCGAGCCUCAACACUCAUUGGACCGCACACAUCAGUAUGUAUGAUUUCUAAUAAGUUGGUUGCUCGCUCCAUUGUUCCGGAGAACGGAGUCUUGGUCAUUUUGCCCAUGAGGCAUGGUUUGCAUGUGUCAAAUGAUUCAUAAUCGAGAGACUCUAAAAGUCCAUCAGCGUGGAGCUUCUUCAUGCGCUUGACACCAAUGUGACCAAGGCGGCAGUGCCACAAGUAUGUGGGACUAUCGUUAUCAACUUUACAUCUUUUGGUAUUCACACUAUGACUAUGUGUAACAUCACGUUCGAGAUUCAUUAAGAAUAAACCAUUGACCAGCGGGGCAUGACCAUAAAACAUAUCUCUCAUAUAAAUAGAACAACCAUUAUUCUCCGAUUUAAAUGAGUAGCCAUCUCGCAUUAAACGAGAUCCAGAUACAAUGUUCAUGCUCAAAGCUGGCACUAAAUAACAAUUAUUGAGGUUUAAAACUAAUCCCGUAGGUAAAUGUAGAGGUAGCGUGCCGACGGCGAUCACAUCGACCUUGGAACCAUUCCCGACGCGCAUCGUCACUUCGUCCUUUGCCAGUCUCGGUUUAUUCCGCAGCUCCUGCUUUGAGUUACAAAUAUGAGCAACCGCACCGGUAUCAAAUACCCAGGAGCUACUACGAGUGCUGGUAAGGUACACAUCAAUAACAUGUAUAUCACAUAUACCUUUGGUGUUGCCGGCCUUCUUGUCCGCUAAGUACUUGGGGCAGUUCCGCUUCCAGUGACCACUUCCCUUGCAAUAAAAGCACUCAGUCUCAGGCUUGGGUCCAUUCUUUGGCUUCUUCCCGGCAACUGGCUUACCGGGCGCGGCAACUCCCUUGCCGUCCUUCUUGAAGUUCUUCUUACCCUUGCCUUUCUUGAACUUAGUGGUUUUAUUCACCAUCAACACUUGAUGUUCCUUUUUGAUCUCCACCUCCAUUGAUUUCAGCAUUGAAUAUACCUCAUGAAUGGUCUUUUCCAUCCCCUGCAUAUUGAAGUUCAUCACAAAGCUCUUGUAGCUCGGUGAAAGCGACUGAAGGAUUCUGUCAAUGACCGCGUCAUCCGGGAGAUUAACUCCCUGCUGAGACAAGCGGUUGUGUAACCCAGACAUUUUGAGUAUGUGCUCACUGACAUAACUAUUUUCCUCCAUCUUACAACUAAAGAACUUGUCGGAGACUUCAUAUCUCUCGACCCGGGCGCGAGCUUGGAAAACCAUUUUCAGCUCUUCGAACAUCUCAUAUGCUCCGUGUUGCUCAAAACUCUUUUGGAGCCCCGGUUCUAAGCUGUAAAGCAUGCCGCACUGAACGAGGGAGUAAUGAUUAGCACGCUGCUGCCAAGCGUUCAUAACGUCUUGGUUCUCUGGGAUGGGUGCUUCACCUAGUGGAGCUUCUAGGACAUAAUCUUUCUUGGCAGCUAUGAGGAUGAUCCUCAGGUUCCGGACGCAGUCCGUAUAGUUGCUGCCAUCAUCUUUCAGCUUGGUUUUCUCUAGGAACACGUUGAAGUUGAGGGCAACAUUAGCGUGGGCCAUUUGAUCUACAAGACAUAUUGUAAAGAUUUUAGACUAAGUUCAUGAUAAUUAAGUUCAUCUAAUCAAAUUAUUCAAUGAACUCCCACUCAGAUAGACAUCCCUCUAGUCAUCUAAGUGAAACAUGAUCCGAGUCAACUAGGCCGUGUCCGAUCAUCACGUGAGAUGGACUAGUCAACAUCGGUGAACAUCUUCAUGUUGAUCGUAUCUUCUAUACGACUCAUGCUCGACCUUUCGAUCUUCCGUGUUCCGAGGCCAUGUCUGUACAUGCUAGGCUCGUCAAGUCAACCUAAGUGUAUUGCGUGUGUAAAUCUGGCUUACACCCGUUGUAUUCGAACGUUAGAAUCUAUCACACCCGAUCAUCACGUGGUGCUUCCAAACAACGAACCUUCGCAACAGUGCACAGUUAGGGGGAACACUUUCUUGAAAUUAUUGCGAGGGAUCAUCUUAUUUAAGCUACCGUCGUUCUAAGCAAAUAAGAUGUAAAACAUGAUAAACAUCACAUGCAAUCAAAUAGUGACAUGAUAUGGCCAAUAUCAUUUUGCUCCUUUUGAUCUCCAUCUUCGGGGCGCCAUGAUCAUCUUCGUCACCGGCAUGACACCAUGAUCUCCAUCAUCGUGUCUUCAUGAAGUUGUCACGCCAACGAUUACUUCUACUUCUAUGGCUAACGUGUUUAGCAAUAAAGUAAAGUAAUUUACAUGGCGUUGUUCAAUGAUACGCAGGUCAUACAAAAAUAAAGACAACUCCUAUGGCUCCUGCCGGUUGUCAUACUCAUCGACAUGCAAGUCGUGAUUCCUAUUACAAGAACAUGAUCAAUCUCAUACAUCACAUAUAUCAUUCAUCACAUCCUUUUGGCCAUAUCACAUCACACGACAUAUGCUGCAGAAACAAGUUAGACGUCCUCUAAUUGUUGUUGCAAGUUUUUACGUGGCUGCUAUAGGUUUCUUAGCAAGAACGUUUCUUACCUACGCCAAAACCACAACGUGAUAUGCCAAUUUCUAUUUACCCUUCAUAAGGACCCUUUUCAUCGAAUCCGUUCCGACUAAAGUGGGAGAGACAGACACCCGCUAGCCACCUUAUGCAACUAGUGCAUGUCAGUCGGUGGAACCUGUCUCACGUAAGCGUACGUGUAAGGUCGGUCCGGGCCGCUUCGUCCCACGAUGCCGCCGAAACAAGAUAAGACUAGUAGUGGCAAGAAAAUUAACAACAUCUACGCCCACAACAAGUUUGUGUUCUACUCGUGCAUAGAAACUACGCAUAAACCUGGCUCUGAUACCACUGAUGGCGAUCGUUGCAGAAAUUAAAAAAAAUUCUACGCAUCACCAAGAUCAAUCUAUGGAGUCAUCUAGCAACGAGAGAGAGGAGUGCAUCUACAUACCCUUGUAGAUCGCGAGCGGAAGCGUUCAAGUGAACGGGGUUGAUGGAGUUGUACUCGUCGUGAUCCAAAUCACCGAUGACCGAGCGCCGAACGGACGGCACCUCCGCGUUCAACACACGUACGGUUGGGAAGACGUCUCCUCCUUCUUGAUCCAGCAAGGGGGAAGGAGAGGUUGAUGGAGACCCAGCAGCACGACGGCGUGGUGGUGGAAGUAGCGGGGAUUCCAACAGGGCUUCGCCAAGCGCUGGGGGAGGAGGGAGAUGUGUCACGGGAGGGAGAGGGAGGCGCCAGGGCUUCGGUGCUGCUGCCCUCCCUCCCCCCCUCUAUAUAUAGGGCCCCUGGGGGGCGCCGGCCCUAUGAGAUCCCAUCUCCAAGGGGCCGGCGGCCAAGGGGGGGACUUGCCCCCCAAGUCAAGUGGGGCGCCCCCCACCCCUAGGGUUUCCAACCCUAGGCGCAGGGGAGGCCCAAGGGGGGCGCACCAGCCCACCAGGGGCUGGUUCCCUUCCCACUUCAGCCCAUGGGGCCCUCCGGGAUAGGUGGCCCCACCCGGUGGACCCCCGGGACCCUUCCGGUGGUCCCGGUACAAUACCGGUGACCCCCGAAACCUUCCCGGUGGCCGAAACUGGACUUCCUAUAUAUAAUUCUUCACCUCCGGACCAUUCCGGAACUCCUCGUGACGUUCCGGAUCUCAUCCGGGACUCCGAACAACUUUCGGGUUACCGCAUACUAGUAUCUCUACAACUCUAGCGUCACCGAACCUUAAGUGUGUAGACCCUACGGGUUCGGGAGACAUGCAGACAUGACCGAGACGACUCUCCGGUCAAUAACCAACAGCGGGAUCUGGAUACCCAUGUUGGCUCCCACAUGUUCCACGAUGAUCUCAUCGGAUGAACCACGAUGUCGAGGAUUCAAUCAAUCCCGUAUACAAUUCCCUUUGUCAAUCGGUACGUUACUUGCCCGAGAUUCGAUCGUCGGUAUCACAAUACCUUGUUCAAUCUCGUUACCGGCAAGUCACUUUACUCGUACCGUAAUGCAUGAUCCCGUGACCAAACACUUGGUCACAUUGAGCUCAUUAUGAUGAUGCAUUACCGAGUGGGCCCAGAGAUACCUCUCCGUCAUACGGAGUGACAAAUCCCAGUCUCGAUUCGUGCCAACCCAACAGACACUUUCGGAGAUACCCGUAGUGCACCUUUAUAGCCACCCAGCUACGUUGUGACGUUUGGCACACCCAAAGCACUCCUAUGGUAUCCGGGAGUUGCACAAUCUCAUGGCCUAAGGAAAUGAUACUUGACAUUUGGAAAAGCUCUAGCAAACGAACUACAUGAUCUUGUGCUAUGCUUAGGAUUGGGUCUUGUCCAUCACAUCAUUCUCGUAAUGAUGUGAUCCCGUUAUCAAUGACAUCCAAUGUCCAUAGUCAGGAAACCAUGACUAUCUGUUGAUCAAUGAGCUAGUCAACUAGAGGCUCACUAGGGACAUGUUGUGGUCUAUGUAUUCACACAUGUAUUACGAUUUUCGGAUAACACAAUUAUAGCAUGAACAAUAGACAAUUAUCAUGAACAAGGAAAUAUAUUAAUAACCAUUUUAUUAUUGCCUCUAGGGCAUAUUUCCAACAGUAGGGUCCACACGCUUAAAGUUCGGUGACGAUCGGUAUUAUGAGUUUGUGUGUUUUGGUGUACCGAAGGUAGUUCGGAGUCCCGGAUAUGAUCACGGACAUGACGAGGAGUCUCGAAAUGGUCGAGAUGUAAAGAUUGAUAUACUGGAUGACUAUAUUUGGACACCGGAAGUGUUCCGGGUGAUUUCGGAGAAAACCGGAGUGCCGGAGGGGUUACCGGAACCCCCCGGGGAAGUAUUGGGCCUUAGUGGGCCUGAGGGGAGAGAGAGGGCAGCAGCCCAGGAGGUGGCACGCCCCCUCCCAUGAGGAGUCCGAAUUGGACUAGGGGAGGGGGGGCGGCCCCUCUUUCCCUCUCCCUCUCCCUCUCUUUCCUUCCCCCUUCCCUCUUCCUAGUUGGACUAGGAAAGGGGAGUCCUACUCCUACUAGGAGGAGGACUACCCCCUCCUUGGCGCACCCCAAGGGCCGGUCGGCCUCCCCCUUGCUCCUUUAUAUACGGGGGCAGGGGCACCUCUAGACAUAACAAUUGAUCUCUAGAUCUCUUAGCCAUGUGCGGUGCCCCCCUCCACCAUAUUCCACCUCGGUCAUAUCGUAGCGGUGCUUAGGCGAAGCCCUAUGUCGGUAGCAACAUCAUCACCGUCAUCACGCCUUCGUGCUGACAGAACUCUCCCGUGAAGCUCUGCUGGAUCGGAGUUCGCGGGACGUCAUCGAGCUGAACGUGUGCUGAACUCGGAGGUGCCGUACGUUCGGUACUUGGAUCGGUCGGAUCGUGAAGACGUACGACUACAUCAACCGCGUUUUGCUAAACGCUUCCGCUUUCGGUCUACGAGGGUACGUGGACAACACUCUCCCCUCUCGUUGCUAUUCAUCACCAUGAUCUUGCAUGUGCGUAGGAAUUUUUUUUAAAUUACUACGUUCCACAACAGUGGCAUCCGAGCCUGGUUUUAUGCGUUGAUGUUAUAUGCACGAGUAGAACACAAGUGAGUUGUGGGCGAUACAAGUCAUACUGCUUACCAGCAUGUCACACUUUGGUUCGGCGGUAUUGUUGGAUGAAGCAGCCCGGACCGACAUUACGCGUACGCUUACGCGAGACUGGUUCUACGGACGUGCUUUGCACACAGGUGGCUGGCGGGUGUCAGUUUGUCCAACUUUAGUUGCACCGAGUGUAGCUACGCCUGGUCCUUGAGAAGGUUAAAACAGUACUAACUUGAUGAACUAUCAUUGUGGUUUUGAUGCGUAGGUAAGAACGAUUCUAUCUCAGCCCGUAGCUGCCACGUAAAACUUGCAACAACAAAGUAGAGGACGUCUAACUUGUUUUUGCAGGGAAUGUUGUGAUGUGAUAUGGUCAAUGCAUGAUGCUAUAUUUUAUUGUAUGAGAUUGUCAUGUUUUGUAACCGAGUUAUCGGCAACUGGCAGGAGCCAUAUGGUUGUCACUUUAUUGUAUGCAAUGCAAUCGCCCUGUAAUUGCUUUACUUUAUCACUAAGCAGUAGCGAUAGUCGUAGAUGGAAUAGUUGGCGAGACGACACGAUGCUACGCUGGAGAUCAAGGUGUCGCGCCGGUGACGAUGGUGAUCAUGACGGUGCUUCAGAGAUGGAGAUCACAAGCACAAGAUGAUGAUGGCCAUAUCAUAUCACUUAUAUUGAUGGUAGUGAGGGAGUCCUGGAUUAGGGGGUCCCCGGACAGCCGUACUAUAUCCUUUAGCCGGACUGUUGGACUAUGAAGAUACAAGAUUGAAGACUUUGUCCCGUGUCCGGAUGGGACUCUCCUUGGCGUGGAAGGCAAGCUUGGCAAUACGGAUAUGUAGAUCUCCUCCCUUGUAACCGACUCUGUGUAACCCUAGCCCCCUCCGGUGUCUAUAUAAACCGGAGAGUUUAGUCCGUAGGACAACAACGAUCAUACCGUAGGCUAGCUUCUAGGGUUUAGCCUCUAUGAUCUCGUGGUAGAUCAACUCUUGUAAUACUCAUAUCAUCAAGAUCAAUCAAGCAGGAACCGAACCUGGGAAACAUCGUGUCCCCAGCCUCCUGUUACCAUCCGCCUUAGACGCACAGUUCGGGACCCCCUACCCGAGAUCCGCCCGUUUUGACACCGACAUUGGUGCUUUCAUUGAGAGUUCCACUGUGUCGUCACCGUAAGGCUAGAUGGCUCCUUCGAUCAUCGGCAACGAUGCGAUCCAGGGUGAGGUUUUCCUCCCCGGAUAGAUCUUCGUGUUCGGCGACUUCGUACUGCGGGCCAACUCGCUUGCCAUCUGGAGCAGAUCGAGAGCUAUGCCCCUGGCCAUCAGGUCAGGUUUGGAAACUUGAACUAUGCUGCCGACAUCCGCGGAGAUUUGAUCUUUGACGGAUUCGAGCCCAUGUCAGGUGCGCCGCACAGUCACGACGAGCAUGACUUAGCUCUGCCGUCGGACGGUGUUCGGGAGAGCACACCUAUGCCUACUCUGGCCCUAGCUCCGGAGUCGAUUACGCCGUCCGAGGGCGGGUGGAUGGACCCCGCCUCGGAGGCCACACACUCAGUGGCGAUAGAGCCGGAUACUAAAUUCACCUCCUACGAGACCCGUGUUGCCGAACCGUUGGGUUCGUCCCCGGCCAUGGGCUCCGAGCCGCCUGCGUCCGUGCCUAUCGAAUCCGAUUGGGCACCGAUCAUGGAGUUUACCUCCGCGGAUAUCUUUCAGCACUCGCCCUUUGGCGACGUGCUAAACUCGUUAAAGUCUCUCUCCCUGUCAAGAGACCCUUGGCCGAACUAUGUCCGGCUAGAAUGGGAUGCGGACGACGAAGAAAUUCGCUCCCCACCCACCACCCACUUAGUAGCCACUGUCGACGAUCUAACCGACAUGCUCGAUUUUGGCUCCGAAGACAUCGACGGUAUGGACGACGAUGCAGGAGAUGAACAGGAACCACCGCCCACAGGGUGCUGGACAGCCACUUCAUCACACGAUGUAUAUAUGGUGGAUACACCCAAAGAAAACAAUGAUGAGGAACGGAAGGAUGCAGCAAAGGAUAGCUCCCUCGAGAAGCAACCAAAGCGACGGUGUAGGCGCCGCUCCAAAUCCCGCCUCGGUAAAAACAGCGAUAACAGCGCAAGAAAAAAUAACACCCCGGUCGACUCCAGAGGAAGCGACGACCACAUUGACCCAGCGAUAGAGCAGGAUGAACCAGCGAACGGCAAACAUAGUAUGGAGCCGCUGUCCGAUCACGUUGACGCCGAGGAUAAAGCUCAUCAACCUCUCUCCGGAGAGGAAAACAGUCCAGACGACGACGCACACAUCAUCCCGGAAAGGCACUUGGAACAAGAGAACCUCCGUAGAAGGCUUAUUGCCACCGCGAGGAGUCUGAAGAAGCAGAAGCAAAGGCUUAAGGCCGCGCAGAAUACGCUCAACAGUAGAUGGAACAAAGUGCUCGACACUGAAGAAAAGUAUGGUGGUAGUUGCCACACAAAGAGCUAUCCAAAGCGCAAGCUAUUGCCUGAAUUCGAUGAUGAGGCCUUAGAGCCCACACACCCGAAAAAUAAAACGGCUGACCCGUCGGAUCGACCACCUCGUGGCCGCGAUAGGGCGGCUAACGAGGCCGCACAUAAGUCAGCACAUGAUCCACAUAAGGACUUGCAUCAAAACGCCGGCGUGACCAGAUCCAUCUACGGAUCUAGGAAGCGAGCUCCAGCGCAUAAUCAAAACCGAACACUACAACCGUCAGAACGCCAUGACACAUCCAAAUACAGGGGUACCGCGCACCCCCUAUGUUUCACCGAUGAGGUGCUGGAUCACGAAUUUCCAGAGGGAUUCAAACCCGUGAACAUAGAUGCGUAGGACGGAACGACGGACCCUGGGGUCUGGAUUGAAGACUUCAUCCUCCACAUCCAUAUGGCUCACGGAGACGAUCUCCACGCCAUCAAAUACUUACCCCUCAAGCUGAAAGGACCAGCUCGGCACUGGCUGAAGAGCCUCCCCGAAAAUUCAAUUGGAAGUUGGGAGGAGCUUGAGGAUGCUUUUAGGGCCAACUUUCAAGGGACAUGUGUCCGACCUCCGGAUGCAGAUGAUUUAAGUCACAUAAUUCAACAACCCGGAGAGUCAGCCCGAAAGCUUUGGAAUAGAUUCCUCACUCAGAAGAACCAAAUCAUCGACUGCCCGGACGCCGAAGCCUUAGCAGCUUUCAAACACAGCGUCCGAGACGAAUGGCUCGCCAGACACCUCGGCCAAGAAAAACCAAGGACAAUGGCAGCCCUAACAAGCCUUAUGACCCGCUUUUGCGCGGGCGAAGAUAGCUGGCUGGCCCGUAGUAGCACCAGCGAUCCAGGCACAUCUGAAGUCAGGGAUGGUAAUGGAAAACCACGACGCAGUAAAAGCAAGCGUCGAAAUAACGAAGACGGCCCAGACAACACGGCGGUAAACGCCGGAUUUAGGGGCUGUCAACCCGGUCAGCCUCAACAAGAUUCUAGACAAAUUAUGUCAGAUUCACGGCACCUCCGAUAAACCUACAAAUCACACCCACAGAGAAUGCUGGGUCUUCAAGCAGGCCGGCAAGCUAAACGCCGAACACAAGGGGAAGGAGACACCAAGUGAAGAGGAGGAUGAGCCUCGCCAGCAAAACACUGGGGGACAGAAAAAAUUCCCACCAGAGGUCAAAACAGUGAACAUGAUUCACGUAACAAAAAGAAGGAGCAAACAUGCACUCCAAGACUUAUGCGCUGUAGAGCCCGUCACCCCGAAAUUCAACCCUUGGUCGGCCUACCCGAUUACUUUCGAUCGCAGGGAUCACCUGACAGGUAUCCGACACGGAGGAUUGACUGCCUUGGUGCUAGACCCAAUUAUUGACGGAUACCACUUCACCCAAGUCCUCAUGGACGGCGGCAGUAGUCUUAAUCUGAUAUAUCAGGACACAGUCCGCAAAAUGGGGAUAGACCCGACAAGAAUCAGCCAAAGUAAUACUACCUUUAAAGGGGUAAUACCAGGCCCAGAGGCCCGCUGUAUGGGGUCUCUAGUACUAGAGGUUUUAUUCGGUUCUCCCGACAACUUUCGAAGUGAAAAGUUAACCUUUGACAUCGCUCCAUUCCGAAGCGGCUAUCAAGCACUACUCGGAAGAACAGCUUCCGCUCGUUUCAAUGCGGUACCGCAUUACGCUUCUCUUAAGCUUAAGAUGCCCGGUCCACGUGGCAUCAUCACAGUCAGCGGAAAUAUCGAGCGUUCCUUACGCGCGGAAGAACGUGUGGCGGCUUUAACAGCCGAACACUAAACGGACUCUCCAACCAGAACAAAUGAUCGGUCGUCAAGACCAGGGACACGGCUAGACGAGUCCGGCGCACCACUAGCUGUAACAGCUUAGAUAAACCUGAGAUCGGUAUGAUGGAUAUACCCCCGUAGGUGGUACCAGGGGCUUCCCGUAUGUAAAAAGGAUUACAGUUCGGCUCGACCUUACUUAUCUUGAAUUUUACUGGUUUAUUGAGAAUAACCAAUUUUUCGCACGACAACUUUCACCUAAGUUCUUCUCUUUUAUAGAUGAUAAUCGUGCUACACCCUUCCAGGAUGCGGCACAACGGAGACACAUGCGCAGAGCAACAGGGCCCCGCUCAAAGGUUUCUUUUUAGAUUAAGACCCUGUGUAAACCUUUUUUACUGUCUCUUGUUACUUCACAUCCUCCGGAUACUCAUCAUAACCGAGAAGGAUGCUGACGUUAGUGGCAUUUUGCCACGUCAGAAUAAUGCACGUACCUGGACACUCAGGGUUCAUUAUCAAGGGAGUUACCCAGCCCGAUAUAUGUUGUAAAGACCGAAUACCUUAGGGAGUGUUCGGCGUCGCGAGUUUGGCCUUAUAUGCAUCAGCUCCGAAUCAUGUCUUUGGUAAAAUGUUGGGUUUGCCCGCCUCCCGCGUUUUGCUACCUUACGUUCCUCUCUAUCGGCUAAGGCGGCACCGGGAGAACUACUGCGAUUGUGCCCCGGUUCAUCCGGACGAGCACCUCAGUAGAGAAAGCCGAAAACUGACUGUCAUGAUAAAGCGUGAGACUGGUCAACCACUCGAUGACUCAUCAGAAUCUUCGGGAUUCCUCCGCAUUAACGAACGACCGGUUUUCCUGGUCAUGUACGUAUGCGCACCGUAUUCGGAUAGCCGCAGAAAUACCAGGGGCUAUAUAGUAGCCCCACUGUCAAACUCCUAUGGUUAAGUGAAAGUGUUAAAGCAAUAUAGUCUGAUUGCCUCGUUCGCCACGCUACCACCUCCUUAAUGGACCAAGACGUUGGAUCAAGUGUGAACACGCGCUUUCGCGAACACCCCCGCAUUAUAUGCGUGGGGGCUGAAGCCGACGACUGCAAACUUUCAGGAGAUAUAUAUAUAUAUAUAUAUACACACACACACAUAAGCGACCGCACAGGAGGCAUAAUAAUACUUUCAGGAAAAAGUAUAAACAAAGCCUUUAUAAUUAAAAUAACAUUGUUCUUACAAUUGGGAUACAUGUCACUAGAACAUGAUAUUCUUCGAGCACUGAGCCUCUAUUAAACGAGCGCCUUCUAGGACUUCUUCAAAAUAGUGCUCGACCGAUACCCGGCCUACGGCCGAACUCUGGGUUGCAAUAGCGGUGGCCUCCAUUUCUGCCCAGUAUGUCUUGACACGGGCAAGAGCCAUCCGUGCACCCUCUAUGCACGCCGACCUCUUCAUAGCGUCGGUAUGCGGCACAGCACCAAGGAAUCGUUGCACUAAGCCAAAAUAACUAUUCGGCCUUGGUCCUUCUGGCCAAAGAUUAUCCACAACAGACCUCAUGCCAAGCCCGGACAACCUAUGGAGCUCGGCCCACUCGGCCAUUCGCUCAUUUAACAGAAGCGGACGCACUGGAACAUUGAACUGCGACCAGAACAGCUUUUCCACUUCGUGAUCUUUUUGAUCUCUGAAAAACUCGGUCGCAUUAGCAGCACUUGCUGCCAAAUCCAAGUAUGCGUCUGCAGAACUCCAUAAUUGAUCCAGAAGGGCAUACUUAGGAUCUCCGAACUUCGUCCGCAACAAAAAGGGCUUCCCAGCCGCGAUAUCUCCGGCUUGACUUAGCUCCUCCUUCGCCGCUCUAAUUUUAGAGCGGGCUUCCUUGGCUGCUACCGUGGCUUUCUCCAGGUCCGCCGUCUUUGUCUGGCUUUCCUUUUCAAGAAGCUCAUAACGGUUGGCGGCAUCUUUCAGUUCAAUAGCCAUCUGGGCUAUUUUCUCUUUGCUCUGGCAAUGCGCAGCCUGUUCGGCUCUUAGCUCUUCGACCGCCUUUAGGGCGGCCGCAUCACUCUUCCUGGCUUGUUCCUUGGCUCGGGCAAGUUCUGCCUGAAGGGUCUCCACGGUGACAGCCCCAUCUGCAGUCACAACAUAUUACAGAUACUAGCAUCAUGCUCCUCUUAAUAUGUGUUGAUCAUUGGAGAAUACAUACCCUGUGCCUCAUCAAGCCGCUUAUUUACAAGCACGAUGUCGGCAUCUGCCGCAUCAAGUUGCCGCUUCAGUUCGGCAAACUCACCAGUCCGGCGAUCCACGGGACCCUCAGCCGCCUGCACAUGAAAGCAACACGGUUAUUACCUAGGACUUUGAUCCUCUAUUAGCCAUCUUUUUCGACAGCAACCAGAGUCUCAGGGGCUACUUGUAACGCCCACGAUGUGGCUAUAUCUCUCACGUGUCGAGGCAUGACUUAGAGGCAUAACCGCAUUGUGGUUUUGUCGCAAGAAGGGUCAUCUUCACACAAUCCCAUGUAAUGAACAAGAAUGGGAUAAAGAGUUGGCUUACAAUCGCCACUUCACACAAUACAUAAAUAUAAUCCAUACAUCAUCCAAAAUACACACAUAUAGACCGGCUACGGUCAAAAUCCAAAUGAAAAUAAGAAAACCCCAAAUGCUAGAUCCCCGAUCGUCCCAACUGGGCUCCACUACUGAUCAUCAGGAAAAGAAACAUAGUAACGACCACGUUCCUCGUCGAACUCCCACUUGAGGUCGAUCCCAUCAUCUGCAAUGGCAUCGUCGGCACCUGCAACUGUUUUGGUAGAAUCUGUGAGUCACAAGGACUCAGCAAUCUCACACCCGCGAGAUCACGACUAUUUAAGCUCAUAGGAAAGGAUGGUGAAAUUGGGUGGAGCUGCAGCAUGCACUAAGCAUAUAUGGUGCCUAACAUACGCAAAAGAGAGCGAGAAGAGAAGCAACGGAACGGUCGUCAUCUAGUAAUGACCAAGAAGUGAUCCUGAACUCCUACUUACGUCAUUCAUAACUCAAACCGUGUUCACUUCCCGGACUCCGCCGAGAAGAGACCAUCAGGGCUACACACACGGUUGAUGUAUUUUAAUUAAGUUAAGUGACAAAUUCUCUACAACCGGACAUUAACAAAUUCCCAUCUGCCUCAUAACCGCGGGCACGGCUUUCGAAAGAUAAUACCCUGCACGGGUGUCCCAACUUAGCCCAUCAUAAGCUCUCACGGUCAACGAAGGAUAAACCUUCUCCCGAAAAGACCCGAUCAGUCUCGGAAUCCCGGUUUACAAGACAUUUCGACAAUGGUAAAACAAGAACAGCAAGACCACCCGCUGUGCCGACAAAUCCCGAUAGGAGCUGCACAUAUCUCGUUCUCAGGGCACACCGGAUAAGCUAAGCGUACAGGUACCAACGUAACCCAAGUUGCCAAGGGACGGUCCCGCACGGUGCUCUAGUUUGGACCAACACUCGGAGGAGCACUGGCCCGGGGGUUUAAAAUAAAGAUGACCCUCGGGCUCUAGAAAACUCGGGGGGAAACGGCUUAGGUGGCAAAUGGUAAAACCAAGGUUGGGCCUUGCUGGAGGAGUUUUAUUCAAGGCGAACUGUCAAGGGGGUCCCAUAAAUCACUCAACCGCGUAAGGAACGCAAACUCAAGGAACAUAAUACCGGUAUGUCGGAUAACUAUGGCGGCAAGAGUGGAACAAAACACCAGGCAUAAGGCCGAGCCUUCCACCCUUUACCAAAUGUAUAUAGAUGCAUUAAUAUAAUAAGAGAUAUUGUGAUAUCCCAACAUAAUAACCAUGUUCUAACAUGGAACCAACUUCAACUUCACCUGCAACUAGCAACGCUAUAAGAAGGGCUGAGCAAAAGCGGUAACUUAGCCAAACAACGGUUUGCUAGGAAAGGAUGGUUAGAGGCUGACAUGGCAAUAUGGGAGGCAUGAUAUAGCAAGUGGUAGGUAGCGCAGCAUGGCAAUAGAACGAACAACUAGCAAAGCAAAGAUAGAAGUGAUUUCGAGGGGUGGUCAUCUUGCCUGCAAGGUUCUCAGAGUUGUCGAAAGCUUGAUCCUUGUAAGCGUACUCAACAGGUUCCUCGUUCACGAACUCGUCUCCCGGCUCUACCCAAAACAAGAACACAAGCAACGGAACCACAAUCAAUCACGGGAGAUGCACAAGCAACAUGAUGCAAAACAUGUAUGAUAUGCGAGAUAUGAUAUGCGAUGCAUAUGCGUGCCCCGGAAGGAAAAUGAUGAACAAGACAGUAACUUGGCAAACCAAGCAUGCCACUGGAAAGAUGAGAUGAUUUCGGUUGAAAUCGAUAUAAAGAUCACCGGAAACGGAUGCACUGUUUGCAAAUGGCAAGCAAAACAAGAAUGACACGAAUCUGCGAUUAACAGCAUGAUAGCACAUAGAAUGCAACAAGUUACAAUGCUAGAGCACUCCAACAUAGCAACAAAGCACAUGGCAGUAAUCUACAAGAGAUGCUUGACAAAAGAUGAACACUGAGCUACGGCUAGAUCACAAUAUAAAAGGUUCAAACAAGCAUGGCAAAAGAGCAAAAGAUAACAUGGCAGAAACAGCAUCAGGUAGGUUCAGAGCACGAAAUCAACAUGCUACAGGAACUUAACAUGGCAAAACAAAGCAUGGAAGUAUUCUACUAAAUGCAUAUGAAAAAAAUCCCUUACUGACCAUAAGCCAAAAAGGACCAGAAGAUAUGAUGGCAACCAUGUGAACAUAGCAAGUUCCGUUAACAGGUUUCAGACUUGGCAGAAAACAGAGCAUGGCAGAAACAAUAAUAUGAAGGCAUCUUGGUGAGCUUGAUGCACUCACCACAAAGCAAUGCAUGACAAAACAAGCAUACCUACAGCAACAUGGCAUGUUUAUCAAGCUAUCCAUGGCAAGAGCAAGUACAUAGCAUGAAUGAAACAACUACAACAAGCUUGGCAAAAUUGAAUAACACGUAAACAAUCUGCCAGAAAUAUUUUAUAGAAAAAGUAGAGCAAGCUUGAGUCAUGCUAUGGCACUCCAUAAUUGCAAACAAUGGCAGGAAUGGAUCAAUUACAAUAAUAUCUACAAAACAUCCUUACUGAACAUCUCCAAAAUAAGCAUGGAUCUCUCUGUAGACCCAUGGAUACAUAGCAACAAAAUAACAGCAGACAAAGACAGAAAUUACCAAGUCUCUGAAAUCAGAAACAUUACGGAGCCUAGUUUGCACGCUUGUUCUAGUCACCACAGAGAUCAAAAAAUACAUGGCAUACACCUCUGUAAAUAUGGCAUGGCAUACAACAAAACACAUGUAGAGCUCAUGCCCAUAAGAUGCACAGAUUAAAUGCAACAAAAAUAACAAAUCGCCAAGUUCUGCUAAGUAACAGCAGAUAACAGCAACUAGCACUCUUGCACCAGAUAUUUGGUUAUCAAGAGGGACUCAAAUGAACAUGUUGCAAUGGAACAAAAUGAAGAGCAUCACUAGAAGAAUAUUUCGAUAUAUUACACGCGCGAAACGGAGCUAUAUGCAGAGAGUUAUGAUCCUAUGAACAUGGGCAUAUAACGUCAAAUCUUUCAGGACUUGGAGAAAAAACAGGGAAGAAGGAAGUCAACCACUGGAGAUCUAGAUCGGGCGGCUUCGAGCUCGGGCCGCCGGAGCUUCGGCCGGAGCAGAGGUGCGGUCGCCGGCGUCCGACGUGGAGGAGGGAGACGGCGAGGCGGCGAGGUGGAGGAAGGAGGCGGCGGCGCGACGGUGGGAGGCGCCGCGGGGUCGGACGCGGCGGGGCNNNNNNNNNNNNNNNGGGCCCGCACGGGAACUGGCGCGGAGGAGACGGGCUCGGGAGGGCCCGCGGCGGGCUUCGGCGGGCCGGCGGGCUCGCGGCGAAGUGGGGCGCCCGGGGUGGUGACGUGGCGCGCCCCGAUUGGAUGAGGGCGGCGGCGCUGGUUCGUCCGGCGGCGGCGGACGCGUCCGGCCGCGGAGAGGGCGAUUUUUAGGGUUUGGACUGCGAAUGAUUUCGGGAGGGGUGCAAAUAUAUAGGUAGAGGGAGCUAGGAGAGUCCAAAAUGAGGUGCGGUUUUCGCCCACACGAUCGUGAUCGAACGACCUAGAGCAUGGAAGUGACUUAGAGGGGUUUUGGGAUGUUUAGAGAAGGGUUUUUGCUGCACACACAAACGGACUUUGCGGAUGCCCAGUUAACCGUUGGAGUACCAAACGACCUCCAAAUGGAACGAAACUUGACCGGUGGUCUCCCGGUGGUAUACCAAGGCCACUUGACAAGCCUCGGUCCAUUCCGAGAGCGUUCGACACCCGCUCACGAAAGAAAACAAGAGGGGUGCGCCGGAGGAGGUGGGAGCGCCGGAUUACAAAACGGACAAUGGGGAAAAUGCUCGGAUGCCUGAGACGAACACGUAUGCAAAUGCAAUGCACAUGAUGACAUGAUAUGAGAUGCAUGACAUGAACAAAAUGCAAAACGAAAGACAAAACCCAACCACGAAGGGAAUAUCGUAACACAUAGCCGAAAAUGGCAAGAGUUGGAGUUACAAAUAUGGAAAGUUACAUUCGGGGUGUUACAACACUCCACCACUACGAGGGGAUCUCGUCUCGAGAUCUAGGACUGAAAGAACUCCGGAUAUUCGGAACGGAGAUGGUCCUCGCGUUCCCAGGUGGCUUCUCGGUCGGAAUGGUGCAACCACUUCACUUUCAGGAAUUUGAUUGACUUGUUGCGAGUCUUGCGCUCAGUUUCUUCAAGAAUAGCAACGGGGUGCUCAUGAUAAGACAGAUCUUCUUGGAGGUCAAUCUCUUCGAAGUUGAUAGUGCGCUCAGGCGUCUUGAAGCACUUGCGGAGCUGUGACACGUGGAACACAUCGUGCACGUUCGCGAAGUUGGAGGGAAGCUGAAGUUGAUAGGCGAGGUCACCUCUUUUGCCAAUGAUCUUGAAAGGACCCACGUAUCUAGGGGCAAGCUUCCCUUUGAUACCGAAGCAACGAAUGCCUUUCAUUGGAGAGACGCGGAGGUAGACAUGGUCUCCGAUCUCGAAAGCCACAUCACGGUGCUUACUAUCAUAGUAACUCUUCUGGCGCGAUUGCGCGGCUUUGAGAUUUUCACGGAUGACUUUACACAUUUCUUCAGCCUCUGUGAUUAAGUCAUUGCCAAGAAGUUGGCGUUCACCAGUCUCUGACCAAUUGAGAGGAGUACGGCACUUUCUGCCAUAGAGAAUCUCGAAUGGGGCCUUGCCCGAACUCGCUUGGAAGCUGUUGUUGUAGGAGAAUUUGGCAUAUGGAAGACAAUCUUCCCAUUUCAUGCCAAAGGAAAUGACACAAGCCCUGAGCAUAUCUUCAAGAAUUUGAUUGACUCGCUCGACUUGGCCACUAGUUUGAGGAUGGAAAGUUGUGCUGAAGCGAAUGUUUGUGCCCAUGGCCUUCUGGAAAGAGUCCCAGAACUUAGAGGUGAAGAUGCUUCCACGAUCUGAAGAAAUCAAUUGUGCAAUGCCGUGCAAGGAGACAAUCCUGGAGGUCUAUAGCUCUGCCAACUGCGCUGCUGUGAUAGAUUCUUUGAUUGGAAGGAAAUAGGCCACUUUAGAAAGCUUGUCGAUGACAACGAAGAUAGCAUCAUUUCCACGCUUGGACUUGGGAAAUCCAGUCACGAAGUCCAUUUCGGUAUGAUCAAACUUCCACUCUGGGAUAGCAAGAGGUUGGAGGAGACCAGCUGGUCGUUGGUGUUCUGCUUUCACUCUUCGACAGACAUCACAUUCAUUCACGAAUUGAGCAAUCUCCCGCUUCUUUGAGUCCACCAAUACGACUGCUUGAGGUCAUGGUACAUCUUCGUACUUCCAGGAUGAAUGGACAGAAGAGAAUUGUGCGCCUAGUUCAUUAUGACUUUCCUUAGAUCACCUUUAGGAACCACAAUCCGGUCCUCGAAGAAUAAAGUGUCUCUGUCAUCAAUGCGAUAGCACUUGUAUUUGGAAAGACCCUUGUCGAUACCACGUUUCACCUUCUUCACCAUGGUAUCCAGGAGUUGUGCCUCACGAAUCUGAUCUUCCAAAGUAGGAGAGACUAUGAGGUUGGCAAGAAAGCCUUGAGGAACAACUUGGAGAUUCAGCUUGCGGAAAGCUUCACAAAGAUCCGGUUGGAAUGUCUUGAGAAUUAAGAUGUUGCAAUAAGCCUUCCUGCUUAAAGCAUCUGCAAUGACAUUGGCUUUGCCUGGAGUAUAUUCAAUACUCGGAUUGUACUCUUGAAUCAUUUCGACCCAUCGAGUCUGCCUGAGGUUGAGGUUGGGCUGAGUGAAGAUGUACUUGAGACUCUUGUGAUCGGUGAAUAUGUCCACUUGUCUUCCCAACAAAAGAUGUCGCCACGUUAUUAAUGCAUGGACAACUGCCGCCAACUCAAGAUCGUGAGUGGGGUAGUUCUUUUCGUUGGGCUUCAACUGACGAGAGGUAUAGGCCACAACUUUCUUCUCUUGCAUUAACACAGCACCGAGACCUUGGAGAGAAGCAUCACAGAAAACUUCAAAUGGCUUGGAUUCGUCAGGAGGAGUUAAGACAGGAGCUGUGACUAGUUUCUCUUUGAGAGUGUUGAAAGCAACGUCACACUCAGGAGACCAGACAUACUUCACAUGCUUAUGGAGGAGGUUGGAAAGAGGCUUUGGAAUCUUAGAAAAAUUCUCAAUGAAUCUUCGGCAAUAGCUUGCAAGACCAAGAAAACUGCGGAGCUGCUUGACAUUCUGAGGAGGUUCCCAAUUCACAAUUGCGGACACCUUCUCGGGAUUAACAGCGAUGCCCUUGGCAGAGAUGAUGUGACCAAGGUAAAGAACUUCAUCAAGCCAAAACUCACAUUUUGAGAACUUUGCAUAGAAUUGAUACUCUCUGAGCUUGUCGAGCACCAAUCGCAAAUGUUUGGCAUGAUCCUUCUUAUUCUUGGAGAAGACCAAUAUAUCAUCGAGAUACACCAGGACGAAUUCAUUGGUAUAGGGGUUGAAGAUGAAAUUCAUCAUCCGAGAGAAUGUUGGAGGAGCAUUGACAAGACCGAAAGACAUGACAGUAUAUUCAUAAGAACCAAAGCUUGUUCUGAAUGCUGUCUUGGGAAUAUCUUCUUCACGAAUGCGAAUCUGAUGAUAACCCAUACGAAGGUCAAGCUUGGAGAAUACUUUAGCACCUUUGAGUUGCUCGAAUAGCUCAUUGAUGUUCGGAAGUGGAUACUUGUUCUUGAUAGUCUUCUUGUUCAAUGGACGGUAGUCGACACAAAGUCGGUCUGUGCCAUCCUUCUUCUGGACAAAAAGAACACCACAACCCCAUGGAGAAGAACUCGGUCUGAUCAAACCCAGACGCUCUUGUUCAUCGAGUUGUUUUUUCAAUUCCUUCAGCUCCUUGGGUCCAAGCUUGUAUGGACGCUUGCAAACGGGUUCCGUGCCAGGCUCUAGAUCGAUAACGAACUCAACUGGCCGGUGAGAAGGCAUACCCGGAAGCUCUUCUGGAAAGACAUCUUGGUACUCACAAACGACUGGAAUCUGAGAGAUGGCAUUCAAUUCGCCCUUCUCAUUGAGAGAAAAUAACCGAAUGGUUUCAUCAUGAGCGGCAUAAAUGAUAACAUCCUCAGAAGAGUGUGUCAAUUGAAUUUCCCUGGCAGCACAAUCAAGUUGAGCCUUGUGCUUAGAAAGCCAGUCCAUCCCGAGAAUUAGAUCAAUAUCCGAGUCACCAAGAACAAAAGGUUUAGACAGAAAUUUAUAGUUGCCCAUCUUGAUAGAAACAUCCGGAAUCAUUGUGGUAGCCCUCAUAGAAGAGCCCGGAGAAACAACUCCCAUGGUGUCGUGGAAUUGUCACGGCAGAUGUCCUCGAGCUAGGACUUAGUCGUGGAGCCAUCGCAGCUAGGAAGCUUGAAGGGGUUAAUGCGGGACAAGGAACUCGAGGGUUUAUACUGGUUCGGCCCCUUACGGUGAAGGUAAAAGCCGACGUCCAGUUUGAGGUGGUAUUGAUUAGGGUUACGAUCACCAGGGAGCUAAACUGCUAUGCCCGGCUCUCGAUGAGAUUGUUCUCGUCCCUAAACCGCUGCCGGGUCGUCCCUUUAUAUAGGGAGGCUGACGCCCAGCAGUUCUCAGAGUCCCGGACGGCUCAUAAGAGUGUCCGGCUCGGACCCUCGACUACUCUUGCCUUACACUACAAUUUCUACCAUAAUAAUGAUUGUAACUACGGGCCUUAAGCCAUAUCCGGGUCUUAAGCCCAUCUUUGGCCCACCGUCUUUAAGCUCGGCGCAGGGCUUCUGGCAAUGACCAUAUGAGUAACCCGGCCCCUCCUGGCGGGUGACUCUAAGGUAUAUAUCCUCAACAUUAGGCCCCAGAUUGAUUUGAGCCGGCUCACGUCAAUCUUCCAUUCCUUCGACAGAAAACCUCCGGCUUACAAUUGUGUGAAGGCCAUAACCCGGCGUGACGUCAUCCUCUGGACUCCGGAUAAUCCGCCGUGACGUCAUCUUCCAUUAAGCCCGUUCUUUACUCCGCCAGAUCCGCAAUGGAUCUUUACCUUUACUGUCAUCCCGAAAAUCAAGGCGUUUCGUGGGGAGAUAACCACGCCGUGGUCUCCUUGAUUCUCGCGCCCACUUAUGAGCUCGCCCUUAUAAAUAGGCCGGCCCGACGGGCCUUUCUCACUCUCCCUCCUCUGUCGUCUCCUUCCUCUCACUGUCCCGUGCUGCUCGAGCUCCGCCGCCGUCGCCGCCGCGGGUCUUCUCGUCGUCACCAGCUCAGGCCGCUGCAUCACCCUGAUCUGACCAGAGAAACGCGACGACCUCCGCGACUCUCCAGCCCCUGUAAGUCCUGCUUGUCCUGUAGAAUAGAUCUGCCGUAGGGUUCGUCCGCGUUCUUCGUGUUCGUUGCCAUCGCCCACAAGGUCCGCUAGUUUUCUUUUUUACUGCUCCUUUUUGAUCUUAGCCCGUAUGGAACCACUGCGGUAGAUGUUUUAGCUCCCAUUUCAAACACAGGUAGACUUCUGUUCACUGCAUAAAGGCCUCAUUCGAGCUCAAGAACUCCCCUGCAUCUGCUUUUAGGUCUAGAAAUUUUCUUUUUACCCGACCAUUUUGAUCCAAAAUAUUUACCGUAAAGUGUGAAACCUGUUUUCACCACACUUAGUAAAAAACUGCCCUCAUUGAGCCAUGGCGGUUUACAUUUCCGGCUUAAAGAAACCACGCGCCGUAGAACCUUCCGACUUAAAGGAGACCAUGCACCAUAUAAUUUUCCGGCUCAUCUGUGAUAAGGCCGUAGACAAUCGAAUUACUCUCAAUACUUCAGGCGGCUUAAAUAGCCUAGUGCACUUAGAUAUAUGUCAUUAGUCCCCUCCGUAAGCCGCCACUUAAUACUGAAUUACAACUUUCCUCCGGCUUAUACUUAAACCGGACGUUUCCUUUUAUCAUAGGCUGCCGACUUUCACCAUGCCUCCCAAAGCUCCUAAAGCCUCUAUCACUUGCAAUUGGAUGAGGUCCAAUGUCACCAACGAAACGCUAGCAGAGUUUGUCAAGUCAGGCCACCUGCCAAAGAAGGAUGUCAUCUCCUACCGCGCCCCUGACCCGUCAGAAGAGAGACCACAGCCAAAGGACGGGGAGGUGAUCAUUUUUGCAGAUCACAUGAGCCGGGGCUUCGCACCGCCCGGCUCAAAGUUUUUCAGAGACGUUCUGAAUUUCUUCGAUCUGCGGCCUCAGGACAUAGGACCCAAUUCAGUGUCCAAUAUCUGCAACUUCCAAGUGUUCUGCGAGGUUUACCUUGGAGAAGAACCUAGUCUGCUGCUCUUCAGAGAGCUUUUUUACUUGAAUCGCCAGAACGAGUGCGCCAACGGGCCAAGUUUGGAGCUAGGCGGCAUCUCCAUUCAGAGACGGAGAGACUGUCUUUUCCCUUAUGCCGAGCCGCCGAGUCACCCAAAGGACUGGAACAUGACUUGGUUCUAUUGCCAAGACACGUCACCGGCUGAUGAAAGUCCGCUGCCCGGCUUUCGCCCAUCGCGUCUGGAGUCAACACACCCACUGUCAGACAAGUUGACUCAAGCGGAGCGCCAGCCUCUGCUCCCCACCAUAAACAAGAUCAAGGCUCUCCUGGGCAAUGGUCUCAACGGAAUCGAUUUGGUCCGGGUCUGGAUCUCCUGGCGGGUGAUCCCAUUGAGCCGCCGCCCCGGCUUAAUGUGCGAGUACACGGGCCGAAAGGAUGACCCUCAGAGACACAGCCGCAACGAUCUUCCUGAAGAUGUUGCAGAGGAGAUGACCAAGGCUCUUUUAAACAAGAGCCUGGCAGACUGCGGAAGGACCGGGUUAGCCCCCUUCUGCAAGACCAACCCAGCCCCAGCGGUAAGCCGCCAAUCUGAACAUCUUAUCUUCUUCUGUAUAUAACUUUCAUCUGAAUCGUUUUAAGAAAUCAUCAUUGUAUUUUUCAGGCUGACGACAAGUUCUGGCGGGUCAAAUAUGACCAUGAGGCGGCCAAGAAGGCCAGAAAGGCGAAGAAAGCCGCCAAAAAAGCCGCUCCCCGUAAGAAGGGAAGUAGGCCAACUACUUCGGAGCUGAUGCAACUAAGCGACAGCUCCGAGUCAGAGGUAACCCCUGAACCUGUAAGCUCUUUGUUAUGUUUUAUUGUUUAUUUCUGUCCGCCUUACCAACACUUGUUCAUCAACAGGAUGACACCGGAGCCAGUAACCCGGUGGUUGAAGAGGUAAUGUCACUUUCCUCCGACUCGGAGCCCUUGCCAAGGCUGAAAGUCCGAAGGGUAACCCGGAAAGUAAGCUUUUCACAUCCUUUAGCUUAUCAAGAUCCUCAAUUUAUUUUGAAGAGACAGGUUCAUGAGAGCCGGCGUCACACCCGGACCAACAAGGACACCGACCUCUCCUCCGGGUUACCUGACGCAUCGAGGAAGCGCCGAACUGAGGUUAUUUCCCACUUGUACCCUUUUCAUUCGUUGGCGGGUGUUAUACGUCAGCCACUCAAUUCUUCUGACUCAAAUUAUCAGGAGACCUCCCCCUCUUCGGGCGACUCUAUGCAGUCGAGUCUUCCGGCUUUCAAGAACGCGCCCGGGUAAUGAUAACCAUCUCAUGUUAUACUUGUAUUUACUUACCCUUUUGUGCUUAACGUUUCUGUCCUUUCAGUGCCCAAGCCAAGCUCACCAAGAGGGCAAAGAAGGCCAAGCCAGUCGAAGAGCCGGAGUUGCCUGAGCCGGAGGCAGCAGAUCAAGAACCGCCAGCUGCCUCCGCUCUCGAAGCCGCCGCUCCAACCAACAAGGCAGCUGCAGAGGCUUCUGCUAACCCGGAGACCUCCGGCUCGGCUCAACCAGCAAAUGAUCCGGACGCGGUAAUCACCCGGAUGGAAUUUGUUGAGCCGGGGAGACCUACCGCACUGGCCAAGUGCUCCGCCAAGGGGGAGUUGCUCCAGCCCCGCCGGGUGAACCUGGACCUCUCCGACUACGCCAACCUGAGCAUUGGAGAGCUCAUCUCUGGCUACAUCAGCCAAGUGCACAAGAGCCGGGACGCAGAGGUUGCCAUGGUGAACCAGAUCCAGCAGAAAUCUGAGGUAUCAUUCUGCUGUCCUCUUACUUACUGCAUAGUUACCUUUACCAUGCUAGCCCCCAAGUUGACGACUUAUGAUUGAAUAUGUUGUAGACUUAGGUUCCGGCUUACUCAAUUGAACCGGCAGUUUGUAGAUAGAUACGUUCAAUAUGCAUUAGCCCCCAAGUGCCAAGUGUCUUUGCUUGGAAAACGCUUGGGACUUUAAAUUUGUAUAGUAACCGUUCCUGCCAUAACCCGGAAAUUUAUGCAGGCUGCUGGCAAGAAGCUUGAGGCUGACCUCGCUGAUCUCAAGAACCGGCUGAAGAUGCAAGAGAUGGAGACCCGGAAGGCAAAUGCCAAAUUUGUGUCCAGCAUCGCCGCGCAAGAGAAGCUGAAGACGGAGUUUGAUGCGGAACGGAAGGCGUGGGCCGAAGAGAAGGCCGCAUUGGUGAACCGGGCUAAACAGGCGGAGAAGGCUCUCUCCGAGAAGACCGCCGAGCUCUCCGGCCUAAAGCGCCAAGUGUCCCAGAUGGUGGCCGCAAUCUUCGGUAAGUCGUCUCACCGGCUUUCAUCAAGCUUAGAAUUUUUAUAUCUCAUAAUUCAUCCUUGUCGGCGGCUUAUCUAACUCUGUUAAACAGGUCCCAGAAGUGCCAACCUCAACCAGAGUGUGGUAACCAAGCUGAAGGCCGUGUAUACCCUGGUGGAGCAACUCUACACCGGGUCACAGCAUGCCUUGGCUGUGGUGGCCCUAUCCAACGAGGUGCCGACUCACCUGGCGGAAGUCCUUCGCCGGCUCGCCGUUCUGCCUCAACGGAUCCAAGAGCUGCGACGGGCCUCUGCAAGAGCCGGAGCGAUCGCUGCGCUGAGCCGGGCCAAGGCAUUCCUGCCGGAGUUAGACCCGGCGGACAUCGCCCUUGGCUAUCCAAGCCUGAAGGAAGACGGCUCCGCUUUCAAUCAGAAGGACUUCGCAGCUUGCGUGAAGGCCGUACGCCCGGUGGCCACUCUGAUUGGCAAUGAUACAGAUCUGACUAAGUAUCAGCCGGGCUACGAUGCAAAAAAUCAGAGGAUCCCUACUCCACGCUAUGAAGCCCUCAACUUGAUCCCGCCGGCUCGUCAGCACACCUUCGCCCCGGAGAUUGACCCGGCCGGGUUAAUUGACGAGGAAGCCCAAUUCGAAGCUCUCAGCGGCAUCGACUGGAAGUCAUCAACUUUCCAGGUCUUGGGAUCAGCCGGAGGAGAAGAUAGGAACGAGCCGGAGACUUCAACUCAGCAAGCGUCGUAACUCGGCUGGCGGUUUACCAAACAAUGCCUCACCCUUUUGGACUCAACGAGUCUGGUAACAGAGUAGGACCAACACUUUAUCUUUGCCGUGCCAUCGUGCACGCCUUGAAUGCUUGAAGUUUUAUUGAAGUUAUCUCCUUUAUAUUUCUCCGGGUCAUUCAUUCCCCUUAGUCUCAAAUAAUUGCCUCUAACUAUCCUGCAUAGAAAGACGAAUCACAGUCUCCAGGCGGCUUACCGCCCUGAGAAUCAUAUGUUUUAGAUAUAUAACCCGGAAUAUGAAUCAAAAAAGACUGGCUCUCAGGUAUGUCCUUAAUACAGCCGUAAUAACACAAUUUGCGGUCUGCAAGCAUACUUCCGGUUUAGAUAACCCGGAUAAUAAGGUUGGUACCUUAAUUCCGAUUUACUUGUCUUAAUGACACCCAUUGUGUUCAACUAACACUGUAAAUCAAAGUUAAGCCGGCAAAGUGAGACCCGGCCGUACACACUUGGAAAUAAUCAGACGGAACUUGCUAUAAAGCAGAGGAACUUAGGGGCUUCCGGUUCGAAUACGACCAGAGACCCGGCCCAAAGGGGUUAUGCUGGGAUUCGAAUACGAUCAUAUAGCCCCCAGUGGGUGUGGCGAUGUCAAUCAAGAGGGUAUCGACAGCUAUGUUCUCUUUGGUUCGAAUACGACCCAUGUUUGAACAGGAAGCCCCCAAAUGACUUUAAGAAUUGUUUAACGACGCUGAUUCGAAUACGAUCCACGUCGGUUCUCAAAGGGGUUAAACUAAGAUUCAAAUAUGAUCAAAGAAAACGCCCCAAUGAGCUCGGCACUUUGCCAAUCAAAUGGGUAUCGACAGCUAUGUUCUCUUUGGUUCGAAUACGACCUAUGUUUGAACAGGAAGCCCCCAAGUGACCUUAUCGCCUACGGCUAGAUUCGAAUACGAUCAUAAGCCGGAUCCUCCUUCAAGUUAUCAUGUAAUCUGGCAAUGAAAAUAACACGUGCACAUUUGGAGGAUAAAAAAGGACAGAGGUCCUGCUUUAUUGCUUAUCAUAAUAUAUACAUGGCUUAGAAAAGUAUGUACAUCAUGAGAGCCGGUGGCUCAAGUGUAGUAAGGCCGAAGCUGAGCUAUGUUCCACGGCCGACGGGUCUCUUCCUCCGAUUUACGUGAAUCUUUGUGCUCCCGAAUGUCAAUGAGGUAAUAUGACCCGUUGUGCAAAUUCUUGCUGACCACAAAGGGCCCUUCCCAAGGCGGGGAUAGCUUGUGUGCAUCUGUUUGAUCCUGGAUGAGCCGGAGCACGAGAUCACCUUCCUGGAAGACCCGGGAUUUAACCCGGCGGCUAUGAUAACGGCGCAGGUCUUGUUGGUAAAUCGCUGAACGGGCUGCUGCCACAUCACGCUGUCCGUCCAACAAGUCAAGAGCAUCUUGGCGCGCCUGUUCAUUAUCCGCCUCAAUGUAAGCCGCCACUCGAGGUGAGUCUUGACGGAUGUCACUGGGGAGGACUGCUUCUGCCCCAUAAACCAUGAAGAAAGGCGUAAAACCUGUAGACCUGUUAGGAGUAGUGUUGAUGCUCCAUAACACGGAUGGCAACUCCUCCACCCAACAACCCGGCGUCCGUUGCAAAGGGACCAAAAGCCGGGGCUUGAUGCCCUUCAGAAUCUCCUGAUUAGCUCUCUCCGCCUGACCAUUGGAUUGAGGAUGGGCCACCGAGGAAACAUCAAGUCGGAUAUGCUCUCUUUGACAAAACUCCUCCAUGGCGCCUUUGGAUAAAUUGGUGCCAUUGUCAGUUAUAAUGCUGUCUGGAAAACCAAAGCGAAAGAUCACCUUUUUCAUAAACUGAACCGCCGUGGCUGCAUCACACUUGCUAACGGGCUCCGCUUCAACCCACUUGGUAAACUUGUCAACUGCCACCAAAAGGUGGGUCUUCUUAUCCUUGGAUCUUUUGAAAGGCCCAACCAUAUCCAGCCCCCAGACUGCAAAGGGCCAAGUAAUUGGGAUCAUCCUCAGCUCUUGAGCCGGUACAUGAGCCCGUCGCGAGAACCUUUGGCAACCAUGACACUUACUGACCAAGUCCUCUGCAUCAGCAUGAGCCGUCAACCAAUAAAAACCAUGACGAAAAGCCUUGGCCACAAGAGACUUUGAGCCGGCGUGAUGGCCACAAUCCCCUUCAUGGAUCUCACGCAAGAUCUCUUGCCCUUCCUCAGGGGAAACACAACGCUGAAACGCUCCCGUAACACUGCGGUGGUGCAACUCACCAUUGAUAACAAUCAUUGACUUAGUCCGCUGGGUUAUUUGCCUGGCCAAAGUUUCAUCCUCAGGCAACUCGCCCCGGGUCAUGUAAGCCAGAUAGGGCAUUGUCCAGUCUGGUAUGAUAUGGAGAGCCGCCACCAGUCGUGCCUCCGGGUCGGGGACAGCCAAAUUUUCCUCUGUAGGCAACUUAACAGAAGGAUUAUACAGGACAUCCAGGAAAGUAUUAGGCGGCACCGGCUUUCGCUGAGAGCCUAGCCGGCUUAAAGCAUCAGCCGCCUCGUUCUUCCUGCAAUCAAUGUGCUCUACUUGGUAGCCCUGAAAGUGCCCAGUAAUGGCAUCAACUUCGCGGCGAUAAGCCGCCAUGAGAGGGUCCUUAGAGUCCCACUUGCCUGAUACUUGUUGAGCCACCAAGUCUGAGUCACCGAAACACCUUACCCGGCUCAAGCUCAUCUCCUUAGCCAUCCGAAGACCGUGGAGCAAGGCCUCGUACUCAGCCGCAUUGUUAGUGCAAGGAAACAUCACCUGUAGCACAUAAUGGAACUUGUCACCUUUAGGGGAAGCCAAUACAACUCCAGCCCCCGAGCCCUCCAACUGCCUGGACCCAUCGAAGUGAAUAGUCCAAUAUGAGUUAUCUGGCUUUUGCUCGGGCACUUGUGACUCUGUCCAAUCGUUGAUGAAAUCCACCAACGCCUGAGAUUUAACAGCAGUGCGUGGCACAAAUUUGAGACCAUGAGGUCCGAGCUCGACAGCCCACUUAGCCACUCUCCCUGUGGCCUCUCUGUUUUGAAUGAUAUCACCAAGAGGGGCAGAACUGACCACGAUUAUGGGAUGACCCGAGAAAUAAUGCUUAAGCUUCCGGCUUGCCAUGAACACACCAUAAACAAGCUUCUGCCAAUGUGGGUACCGCUGUUUGGACUCGAUAAGCACUUCGGUGACAUAAUAAACCGGCCGCUGAACCGGAUGCUCCUUACCCUCUUCCUUGCGUUCCACCACCACAGCCACACUGACGGCUUGUGUGUUCGCCGCGACGUACAGUAAUAAUGGCUCCUUAUCAACCGGAGCAGCAAGGACUGGGGGCUCUGCCAGCUGCUUCUUCAAAUCCUCAAAAGCGGUAUUAGCUGCAUCAUUCCAGACAAAGUUAUCAGUGUCUUCAUCAGCUGAUAUAAUGGCAUGGCCUUCUCACCCAAACGGCUUAUAAACCGGCUUAAAGCAGCGAGGCGACCCGCCAAACGCUGAACGUCAUUUAUACACGCCGGCUUAGCCAGGGAGGUGAUGGCCUUGAUCUUCUCCGGGUUAGCCUCAAUGCCUCUGUCAGAAACCAAAAAACCCAAGAGUUUGCCUGCAGGGACACCAAAGACACACUUGGCCGGGUUAAGCAUCAUCUUGUAGACCCGGAGAUUAUCAAAGGUUUCUCUCAAAUCAUCUAUCAGGGUUUCCUCCUUUAUGGAUUUAACCACAAUAUCGUCCACAUAAGCAUGAACAUUGCGCCCAAUCUGUUUAUGAAGACAGUUCUGCACGCAACGCUGAUAAGUCGCCUGUGCACACUUGAGUCCAAAGGGCAUGGAUACAUAGCAGAAGGCUCCAAAGGGAGUGAUGAACGCCGUCUUCUCCUGGUCCUUAACUGCCAUUUUAAUCUGAUGAUAUCCAGAAUAAUCGUCCAGGAAACUUAAGCGCGCACAACCGGUCGUAGCAUCAAUAAUUUGAUCAAUACGGGGAAGGGCAAAAGGAUCAGCCGGACAUGCUUUAUUUAAGUCCGUGUAGUCCACACACAUCCGCCAAGUGUCGUUUUUCUUGAGUACGAGCACCGGGUUAGCUAACCAUUCUGGGUGGAAGACUUCAACAAUAAACCCGGCCGCCAAGAGCCGGGCCACCUCUUCGCCAAUGGCUUUCCGCCUCUCUUCAUUAAACCGCCGAAGGAACUGCCUGACCGGCUUAAAUUUCGGAUCAACAUUGAGAGUGUGCUCAGCGAGUUCUCUAGGUACACCUGGCAUGUCAGAAGGUUUCCAUGCGAAGAUGUCCCUAUUCUCACGGAUGAACUCGAUGAGCGCGCUUUCCUAUUUUGGAUCCAGAUUGGCACUGAUGCUAAAUUGCUGAGAUGAAUCUCCUAGAACGAAAUCAACAAGUUUAGUCUCAUCAGCCGACUUAAAUUUCAUUGCCGGAUCAUGCUCCGUAGUCGGCUUUUUCAGAGAGGUCAUAUCUGUUGGGUCAACAUUGUCUUUGUAAAACUUCAACUCCUCUGUUGCACAAACAGACUCUGCAUAAGCUGCAUCACCUUCCUCACAUUCCAAGGCCACCUUCCGGCUGCCGUGAACCGUAAUGGUCCCAUUAUGACCCGGCAUCUUGAGCUGUAAAUAUAAGUAACACGGCCGUGCCAUGAACUUGGCGUAAGCCGGCCGCCCAAAUAUGGCAUGGUACGGACUUCUUAUCUUGACCACCGCAAAGGUCAAUUUUUCCACCCUGUAGUUCUUCUCAUCUCCGAAGGCCACUUCCAACUCGAUCUUGCCGACUGGGUAAGCCGACUUACCAGGUACCACACCGUGGAAAAUAGUGUUUGAUUGGCUGAGAUUCUUAUCAAUCAACCCCAUACGACGAAAUGUCUCAUAAUAGAGGAUGUUGAUGCUGCUGCCUCCAUCCAUGAGUACCUUAGUGAACUUAUAUCCUCCCACCUGAGGAGCCACCACCAGGGCCAAGUGAUCCGGAUUAUCCACCCGGGGAGGGUGAUCCUCCCUACUCCACACUAUAGGUUGCUCAGACCACCGCAAGUAGCGUGGAACCGCCGGCUCAACAGCAUUCACAGCCCUCUUAUGAAGCUUCUGAUCUCGCUUACACAGACUGGUGGUAAACACAUGAUACUGCCCACCGCUAAGCUGCUUUGGAUUGGUCUGAUAACCUCCCUGCUGCUGUUGAUGACCCUGGCCAGACUGCUGAUUAAAGCCCCCUUGACCGUUCUGAGGGUUAGAAUUUGAGCCGCCGCCCGGGCCAUGAAAGCCGCCGGCGCCUGACCCGCCGCCCGGGCCAUUGUAAUUCUUAAAGGCCUUCAUGAUUGCACAAUCCUUCCAUAGAUGAGUUUCUGGCUUCUCUCUAGAGUCAUGCCUUGGACAAGGCUCAUUCAACAGUUGUUCCAGUGUCGGGCCUAACCCGCCGCCUCGGGGAGGGGGCCUCCCCUUGCGUCGCUGGUUAUUACCUUGUGAGCUGGCGUUGGCUACAAACUCUAGGCUGCCAUCGGCCUCGCGCUUGCCUCCUCAUUGGUUUCCCGGGUUAUGCUGAGGGCCCUUGCCAUUGCCGUUCUUCUUUCCCUUCCCUGUCCUUUCAUCAUCUGAAGCGGGGUCCUUGGUACUAUCAGAAUCGGCGUACUUGACAAGAGCCGCCAUCAGUGUACCCAUAUCAUUGCAGUCGCGCUUAAGCUGCCCGAGUUUCAUCUUCAGGUGCACAAAACGACAAUUCUGCUCCAACAUUAAGACUGCAGAGCCGGCAUCCAUUUUAUCCGAGGAAUGUAUUAUCUCCUUAACCCGGCGAACCCAAUGUGUCGUAGACUCACCCUCCUGCUGCUUGUAGUUAGUCAAAUCCACAAUUGACAUAGACUGCCUACAGGUGUCCUUGAAGUUUUGGAUGAACCGGGCCUUCAGCUCAGCCCAAGACCCAAUGGAAUUCGGUGGUAGCCCUUUCAACCAAGUGCGGGCAGUCCCAUCUAACAUCAUGGUGAAGUACUUAGCCAUGGCCGCUUCACUGACCUCCAGCAGUUCCAUAGCCAUCUCAUAACUCUCGAUCCAGGCUGCGGGUUGUAAGUCUGCUGUGUAAUUAGGCACCUUCCUAGGGCCUUUGAAGUCCUUGGGUAGACGUUCGUUGCGGAUAGCUGGCACUACACAAGGGACACCCCCAGUCCUGGUAGGGAUACCCACGUCGACGGAAGCCGUCGGAUAAGAUGGGGGAGUCUGGUAAGCCGUCAGCUGGGGCACCUGCUCCGCCUCUUGCCGUGCUCUGUCUUGGUCUGCUGCGUGGAAGGCUCCGUUAUGAGCCGGGCCAUGGCCAGGGGGCGGGUCAUGGCGUCGGACGUUACUUGAGCCGGUCGCUGAGACCAUGUGCCUGCUGUAACUCGGGCUCCGGCCUGGGCGAGGGGUCGAGUGUAUCAUGUCCCGGCUAUAGGAGUACGCCUCUUGCUGCGCCAGUGCUGUCUGAAGGAGUUCCCUGACCCGGCGGGUUUCAAUAGCCGUCGGAGAGUUGCCGUCAACUGGGAGAGCCGCCAGCCGUGCCGCCGCGGCGACCAUGUUCUCCAGCGGGUUAUUAUAAUGACCCGGGGGUAUUGGCACGUACUGAGGCGGGGCUGGGGGCACCUGGGGAGGCCCCAUCACUUGUGGCUGAAUAGGGGUCCUAGACCCGGGCACUAUGACCCCUGGCGGGUUACUAGAUCCUGCACCUGGCGUGUUGAAGAGGUUUUGUGGAUCUUAAACUGGAGGGAGUCGAGAUUGGGCCUUUUGAUGCCUCCUUCUCAGGACCUCAUUGGACGCGUUUUGAUCCAUCGUGAGCCGGAAGGACUGCGCUUGAAUCAACUGUGUUUGGGCGUCGAGAGCCGCCCUUUCCGCAGCCAUCCUGAUCCCUUCUGCUGCCAGAUCCUCCUUAGCUUUCACUAGGUCCAAUUUUAACUGCGCCACGUCCGCAUCAUGCUGAGCUUGAUCUGCCGGGUCGACCGUGGCGGUUAACAGAGCCGUCAUCUUGUCCGUGAGAUCCAUUAGUACCUGAGCCGGCGAGGGCACCGGGUUUCCUGCUCCAGCAGCGGGGUUCUGAACAGACUGUGCACCGGCCAUAAAGACUCCAACCUGACUUGGCGGCUCAAACGGGUCCGGCAUACUGUCACCAUCGGAACAACCCAUGAGCCUGCCAUCUUGAAGUUGAUACAACGAGUUUGACUCAUCGGUGGACGACUCGCCGUCAGAGCCGGCGGCCGCCUCAUCACCAGAUCCAGAUCGAUCAGAGGGCCCUCCAUGGAUACAUCCCACAAAAGCAUGCCUUAAGGCAGGCCGGGCCCGGGCGGGUCGUGCACGCUGAGCCGUCUUGAUGAGAUCGGCGCAGAGACCCGGCUCACCAAUCUUGCCAAUGAAAACAUGAAUUCCGCCGAAGGGGACCCGGUACCCGUACUCAAUUGAGCCGGCGUCGGGGCCCCAGUUUGCAUCGUCGAUGUAGAGCUUGCCGCGACGACUCUUGGUCAUCCGGCCCACAGCGUAUCCCUUGAGCCCUUCAAAGCUGCCCUUCAAGAACUCAAAUCCACCGUGCGCUGGCCCCACGGUGGGCGCCAACUGUCGUGGAAUUGUCACGGCAGAUGUCCUCGAGCUAGGACUUAGUCGUGGAGCCAUCGCAGCUAGGAAGCUUGAAGGGGUUAAUGCGGGACAAGGAACUCGAGGGUUUAUACUGGUUCGGCCCCUUACGGUGAAGGUAAAAGCCUACGUCCAAUUUGAGGUGGUAUUGAUUAGGGUUACGAUCACCAGGGAGCUAAACUGCUAUGCCCGGCUCUCGAUGAGAUUGUUCUCGUCCCUAAACCGCUGCCGGGUCGUCCCUUUAUAUAGAGAGGCUGACGCCCAGCAGUUCUCAGAGUCCCGGCCGGCUCAUAAGAGUGUCCGGCUCGGACUCUCGACCACUCUUGCCUUACACUACAAGUUCUACCAUAAUAAUGAUUGUAACUACGGGCCUUAAGCCAUAUCCGGGUCUUAAGCCCAUCUUUGGCCCACCGUCUUUAAGCUCGGCGCCGGGCUUCUGGCAAUGACCAUAUGAGUAACCCGGCCCCUCCUGGCGGGUGACUCUAUGGUCUAUAUCCUCAACACAUGGGUUUUUCCAACAUUUCCGAAAUGAAAUCAUGCUUUGCAACGAAUGAUCUUGACAUGAAACAAUGCGAUGCACCAGUGUCAAAAGAACUUUUGCAGGAAAGUCAUUAACAGGAAGAUUACCCAUUAUCACAUCAGUAGACUCCUCUGCUUGAGCUGCAUUCAUCAUGUUCACCUUUGCAGCCUUGGGAUUAUGCUUGACCACUGCAUUGCUGGAAGAUCUGACAGGAGGAGGAGGCGGAAGACGCCUUUGGUUGAAGCAUUUGUUUGCAUAGUGACCUUUCUGCUGACACUUGUUGCAAGUCACCUUUGAGAGUGGACGAUGAUAAGGAGCAUUCGACUUUGGAGCUUGAUUCUGAGACUUGUUCUGAUAGCCAGGGUUGGAAGAGUGGGAAGAUCCAUGGCCACCUUUGUUCUUCUGCUGGUAAGGCUGACGAAACGGAGGAGGAGGCAACCAGAACUUCUGUUGCUUAGCAGCCAUUAGCGAGGAAGAAGAAGAUUGAACUGCGUCCCUGACUCUCUUCAUAGAAGUCUCACACUUGAGCUGAGCAGCCUCUUGCUUCAGUGCCAUGUUAUAGAAUUGAUCAAACUGAGUAGGCUCAACAAGAACGAGAGCUAACUGCAGAUCCUCUCUAAGGCCACCUCUGAUGUGAUAGAUCAUGCUCUUUUCAUCAGGAACGUCUUGUUUAGCGAAGCGAGCAAGUUUCUGAAACUGGAUGUUGAAUUGAUACAUAGACACGUUGCCUUGCUUGAGAUUGCGGAACUCCUCACGCUUGCUCUCAACAACACUUUGUGGAAUGUGGUGCGCUUUGAAGUCCCGACAGAAGUCAGUCCAAGUGAUCACACGACCUCCUCUGGAAUCUUUGUAUUGUUGAUACCAAUCAGCAGCUUGGUCCUUGAGCUAAAAAGAAGCGAACUUGACAUAAUCCUCAGGCCUGACAUUGCUACAUUCAAAAUGCUUGUUGAUGUCCACGAGCCAAUCAUCGGCAUCCGUGGCCUCGGCACAGUAGCUGAAAGACUUGGGUUGAUUUGGGAGAAACUGAUUGAGUGUAGCGAAAUGAGGCUGAUUGUUGCCUUGACUUUGAUUUCCUUGAUUGCCUUGCCCUUGGGUGCGUUCUUGCAAGAGUUGCAGAAUCAUCUGGGCAUUUGCAUUGGUGGCUGCCAUGAUAGCUUGCCAUGCCUCCGGAGGCGGAGGUGGUGGCGGAGGGUUCGCCUGACUCCCUUCAUUGCGAUCCGGAUUCUGACGCGUUGGCGGAGCCAUCCUGAAGAGGGUGACAUCCAUUAGCAUCUUGAUAGACAAAUAGACAAGUAGAAUCAACGGAUAGAAAUUGCAACAUAUAGUCUUCACAAUAAACAUUCGAACGAAGAUGAACGAAUGAAUUCCAUAGUAAAUCACCACACUUCCAUUAAGUUGAGAAGCCACUUAAAAAAAGGUAUGGAAUCAACAUUUGACUUCGAAGCAACUCGAAUACCAAAAUACAAAACAAAACAAGAUAUUGGCUUGCAGAAUAAGCCGAAACAAACAUAUGAUAGAAAUUUCGUCCGAAGUUUUCGUGGUGGGGCCCACACGGGCUCGAUCGUACAGCACCAUCAUGUACAAGGCAGUGCACAUGACAUACGAAGCGUCCCCGAGUCGGCAUAGCCAAGGACUCUUUAAGACACUACGAGACCACUGUAAAACCAACCGUGGAAAGGCGGACCACUAGACGUCGAACCCCAAUCUCAUAUCAUGCGUCUGUCGGAAAGAUAUCCUAGGAGCUACUUGAAUUCCCACUUAUAAACUCCCGAAACUUUCUAGUUAUGCAAUCUGGUGUUGGGGAUACAGGGGACACAAAAUAUAUCACCCAAACUAGCAAUCCCUAGAUCCAGCUGUAUCCAUCCGUCAACACAUAACCAAGAAACCUUCGGAAAUCGUGUACCUCAACCUUCGAAAAGCAUCUGUUAUACGAGUUAUGGCAAUACUCUCGAACUCCCGCCCCAGUACUGGGUGGCGUCGAGGUGAUCUCACCAACAACUGCAUAAAAGAGAUUUCGAUGUCGGCGAAACUCAGGUAUUCCAGAACUGCAACGAUAAAAUUGUGACGACAACACCUCGGAGCUCAACUCCCCGGAACACUGCCACAACCCCUAAAUGUCAGGAGGCACCAAGAACAAUGUUCUCGUCACAAAACCAUCGGAACGAUUCUAUGAUACCCGCGUGAUCCUUAAAAAAAUUUAGUGAAAUUUGAGGAGAGAAGAGUCAAAACUUCUACAUCAGGAGACCUCACUAGAGCGACGAAGGGACUGAGGAGUAAAAAGAAUCCUACUCUCCGAUAUAUAUAAUCCUAAGACUCAAAAACAUUUCUGUUCCAGACUCAACUACGCCAGCGAUUCGAUCAAGCAGGGGCUCCUAAGUCGGGGAUGGCUCUGAUUACCAACUUGUAACGCCCACGAUGCGGCUAUAUAUCCCACGUGUCGAGGCACGACUUAGAGGCAUAACCGCAUUGUGGUUUUGUCGCAAGAAGGGUCAUCUUCACACAAUCCCAUGUAAUGAACAAGAAUGGGAUAAAGAGUUGGCUUACAAUCGCCACUUGACACAAUACAUAAAUAUAAUCCAUAAAUCAUCCAAAAUACACACAUAUAGACCGGCUACGGUCAAAAUCCAAAUGAAAAUUAGAUAACCCCAAAUGCUAGAUCCCAGAUCGUCCCAACUGGGCUCCACUACUGAUCAUCAGGAAAAGAAACAUAGUAACAACCACGUUCCUCGUCGAACUCCCACUUGAGGUCGAUCCCAUCAUCUGCAAUGGCAUCGUCGGCACCUGCAACUGUUUUAGUAGAAUCUGUGAGUCACAAGGACUCAGCAAUCUCACACCCGCGAGAUCACGACUAUUUAAGCUCAUAGGAAAGGAUGGUGAAAUUGGGUGGAGCUGCAGCAUGCACUAAGCAUAUAUGGUGGCUAACAUACGCAAAAGAGAGGGAGAAGAGAAGCAACGGAACGGUCGUCAUCUAGUAAUGACCAAGAAGUGAUCCUGAACUCCUACUUACGUCAUUCAUAACUCAAACCGUGUUCACUUCCCGGACUCCGUCGAGAAGAGACCAUCAGGGCUACACACACGGUUGAUGUAUUUUAAUUAAGUUAAGUGACAAAUUCUCUACAACCGGACAUUAACAAAUUCCCAUCUGCCUCAUAAACGCGGGCACGACUUUCGAAAGAUAAUACCCUGCACGGGUGUCCCAACUUAGCCCAUCAUAAGCUCUCAUGGUCAACGAAGGAUAAACCUUCUCCCGAAAAGACCCGAUCAGUCUCGGAAUCCCGGUUUACAAGACAUUUCGACAAUGGUAAAACAAGACCAGCAAGACCACCCGCUGUGCCGACAAAUCCCGAUAGGAGCUGCACAUAUCUCGUUCUCAGGGCACACCGGAUAAGCUAACCGUACAGGUACCAACGUAACCCAAGUUGCCAAGGGACGGUCCCGCACGGUGCUCUAGUUUGGACCAACACUCGGAGGAGCACUGGCCCGGGGGUUUAAAAUAAAGAUGACCCUCGGGCUCUAGAAAACCCCGGGGGAAAAGGCUUAGGUGGCAAAUGGUAAAACCAAGGUUGGGCCUUGCUGGAGGAGUUUUAUUCAAGGCGAACUGUCAAGGGGGUCCCAUAAAUCAUUCAACCGCGUAAGGAAUGCAAACUCAAGGAACAUAAUACCGGUAUGUCGGAAAACUAGGGCGGCAAGAGUGGAACAAAACACCAGGCAUAAGGCCGAGCCUUCCACCCUUUACCAAAUGUAUAUAGAUGCAUUAAUAUAAUAAGAGAUAUUGUGAUAUCCCAACAUAAUAACCAUGUUCUAACAUGGAACCAACUUCAACUUCACCUGCAACUAGCAACGCUAUAAGAAGGGCUGAGCAAAAGCGGUAACUUAGCCAAACAACGGUUUGCUAGGAAAGGAUGGUUAGAGGCUGACAUGGCAAUAUGGGAGGCAUGAUAUAGCAAGUGGUAGGUAGCGCAGCAUGGCAAUAGAACGAACAACUAGCAAAGCAAAGAUAGAAGUGAUUUCGAGGGGUGGUCAUCUUGCCUGCAAGGUUCUCAGAGUUGUCGAAAGCUUGAUCCUUGUAAGCGUACUCAACAGGUUCCUCAUUCACGAACUCGUCUCCCGGCUGUACCCAAAACAAUAACACAAGCAACGGAACCACAAUCAAUCACGGAAGAUGCACAAGCAACAUGAUGCAAAACAUGUAUGAUAUGUGAGAUAUGAUAUGCGAUGCAUAUGCGUGCCCCGGAAGGAAAAUGAUGAACAAGGAAGUAACUUGGAAAACCAAGCAUGCCACUGGAAAGAUGAGAUGAUUUCGGUUGAAAUCGAUAUAAAGAUCACCGGAAACGGAUGCAAGGUUUGCAAAUGGCAAGCAAAACAAGAAUGACACGAAUCUGCGAUUAACAGCAUCAUAGCACAUAGAAUGCAACAAGUUACAAUGCUACAGCACUCCAACAUAGCAACAAAGCACAUGGAAGUAAUCUACAAGAGAUGCUUGACAAAAGAUGAACACUGAGCUAUGGCUAGAUCACAAUAUAAAAGGUUCAAACAAGCAUGGAAAAAGAGCAAAAGAUAACAGGUUCACAGACUUGGUGAAAUUACUGGACAUGGCAGAAACAGCAUCAGGUAGCAAUGUUCAGAGCACGAAAUCAACAUGCUACAGGAACUUAACAUGGCAAAACAAAGUAUGAAAGUAUUCUACUAAAUGCAUAUGACAAAAAUCCCUUACUGACCAUAAGCCAAACAGGACCAGAAGAUAUGAUGGCAACCAUGUGAACAUAGAAAGUUCCAUUAACAGGUUUCAGACUUGGCAGAAAACAGAGCAUGGCAGAAACAAUAAUUUGAAGGCAUCUUGGUGAGCUUGAUGCACUCACCACAAAGCAAUGCAUGACAAAACAAGCAUACCUACAGAAAUAUGGCAUGUUUAUGAAGCUAUCCAUGGCAAGAUCAAGUACAUAGCAUGAAUGAAACAAGUACAACAAGCUUGGCAAAAUUGAAUAACACGUAAACAAUCUGCUAGAAAUAUUUUAUAGCAAAAGUAGAGCAAGCUUGAGUCAUGCUAUGGCACUCCAUAAUUGCAAACAAUGGCAGGAAUGGAUCAUUACAGCAAUAUCUACAAAACAUCCUUACUGAACAUCUCCAAAAUCAGGAUGGAUCUCUCUGUAGACCCAUGGAUACAUAGCAACAAAAUAACAGCAGACAGACAGAAAUUUAAGUCUCUGAAAUCAGAAACAUUACGGAGCCUAGUUUGCACGCUUGUUCUAGUCACCACAAAGAUCACAAAAAUACAUGGCAUACACCUCUGUAAAUAUGGCAUGGCAUACAACAAAACACAUGUAGAGCUCAUGCCCAUAAGAUGCACAGAUUAAAUGCAACAAAAAUAACAAAUCGCCAAGUUCUGCUAAGUAACAGCAGAUAACAGCAACUAGCACUCUUGCACCAGAGAUUUUGUUAUCAAGAGGGACUCAAAUGAACAUGGUGCAAUGGAACAAAAUGAAGAGCACCACUAGACGAACAUUUCGAUAUAUUACACGCGCGAAACGGAGCUAUAUGCAGAGAGUUAUGAUCCUAUGAACAUGGACAUAUAACGUCAAAUCUUUCAGGACUUGGAGAAAAAAACGGGGAAGAAGGAAGUCAACCACUGGAGAUCUAGAUCGGGCGGCUUCGAGCUCGGGCUGCCGGAGCUUCGGCCGGAGCAGAGGUGCAGUCGCCGGCGUCCGGCGUGGAGGAGGGAGACGGCGAGGCGGCGAGGUGGAGGAAGGAGGCGGCAGCGCGACGGCGGGAGGCGCCGCGGGGUCGGACAUGGCGGGGCCGCGUUGGCGCGAGGCGCCGGCGAUGGCGCGACGGGAGGCCGGCGGGCGGCCGGGACGGCGGGGCUCAGGNNNNNNNNNNNNNNNNNNNNNNNNNNNNNNNNNNNNNNNNNNNNNNNNNNNNNNNNNNNNNNNNNNNNNNNNNNNNNNNNNNNNNNNNNNNNNNNNNNNNNNNNNNNNNNNNNNNNNNNNNNNNNNNNNNNNNNNNNNNNNNNNNNNNNNNNNNNNNNNNNNNNNNNNNNNNNNNNNNNNNNNNNNNNNNNNNNNNNNNNNNNNNNNNNNNNNNNNNNNNNNNNNNNNNNNNNNNNNNNNNNNNNNNNNNNNNNNNNNNNNNNNNNNNNNNNNNNNNNNNNNNNNNNNNNNNNNNNNNNNNNNNNNNNNNNNNNNNNNNNNNNNNNNNNNNNNNNNNNNNNNNNNNNNNNNNNNNNNNNNNNNNNNNNNNNNNNNNNNNNNNNNNNNNNNNNNNNNNNNNNNNNNNNNNNNNNNNNNNNNNNNNNNNNNNNNNNNNNNNNNNNNNNNNNNNNNNNNNNNNNNNNNNNNNNNNNNNNNNNNNNNNNNNNNNNNNNNNNNNNNNNNNNNNNNNNNNNNNNNNNNNNNNNNNNNNNNNNNNNNNNNNNNNNNNNNNNNNNNNNNNNNNNNNNNNNNNNNNNNNNNNNNNNNNNGGCGGGCUUCGGCGGGCCGGCGGGCUCGCGGCGAAGUGGGGCGCCCGGGGUGGUGACGUGGCGCGCCCCGAUUGGAUGAGGGCGGCGGCGCUGGUUCGUCCGGCGGCGGCGGACGCGUCCGGCCGCGGAGAGGGCGAUUUUUAGGGUUUGGACUGCGAAUGAUUUCGGGAGGGGUGCAAAUAUAUAGGUAAAGGGAGCUAGGAGAGUCCAAAAUGAGGUGCGGUUUUCGCCCACAUGAUCGUGAUCGAACGACCUAGAGCAUGGAAGUGACUUAGAGGGGUUUUGGGAUGUUUAGAGAAGGGUUUUUGCUGCAUACACAAACGGACUUUGCGGAUGCCCUGUUAACCGUUGGAGUACCAAACGACCUCCAAAUGGAACGAAACGUGACCGGUGGUCUCCCGGUGGUAUACCAAGGCCACUUGACAAGCCUCGGUCCAUUCCGAGAGCGUUCAACACCCGCUCACGAAAGAAACACAAGAGGGGUGCGCCGGAGGAGGUGGGAAGGCCGGAUUGCAAAACGGACAACGGGGAAAAUGCUCGGAUGCCUGAGACGAACACGUAUGCAAAUGCAAUGCACAUGAUGACAUGAUAUGAGAUGCAUGACAUGAACAAAAUGCAAAACGAAAGACAAGACCCAACCACGAAGGGAAUAUCAUAACACAUAGCCGAAAAUGGCAAGAGUUGGAGUUACAAAUAUGGAAAGUUACAUCCGGGGUGUUACAACACUCCACCACUACGAGGGGAUCUCGUCCCGAGAUCUAGGACUGAAAGAACUCCGGAUAUUCGGAACGGAGAUGGUCCUCGCAUUCCCAGGUGGCUUCUCGGUCGGAAUGGUGCAACCACUUCACUUUCAGGAAUUUGAUUGACUUGUUGCGAGUCUUGCGCUCAGUUUCUUCAAGAAUAGCAACGGGGUGCUCAUGAUAAGACAGAUCUUCUUGGAGGUCAAUCUCUUCGAAGUUGAUAGUGCGCUCAGGCGUCUUGAAGCACUUGCGGAGCUGUGACACGUGGAACACAUCGUGCACGUUCGCGAAGUUGGAGGGAAGCUGAAGUUGAUAGGCGAGGUCGCCUCUUUUGCCAAUGAUCUUGAAAGGACCCACGUAUCUAGGGGCAAGCUUCCCUUUGAUACCGAAGCGACGAGUGCCUUUCAUUGGAGAGACGCGGAGGUAGACAUGGUCUCCGAUCUCGAAAGCCACAUCACCGUGCUUACUAUCAUAGUAACUCUUCUAGCGCGAUUGCGCGGCUUUGAGAUUUUCACGGAUGACUUUACACAUUUCUUCAGCCUCUAUGAUUAAGUCAUUGCCAAGAAGUUGGCGUUCACCAGUCUCAGACCAAUUGAGAGGAGUACGGCACUUUCUGCCAUAGAGAAUCUCGAAUGGGGCCUUGCCCGAACUCGCUUGGGAGCUGUUGUUGUAGGAGAAUUUGGCAUAUGGAAGACAAUCUUCCCAUUUCAUGCCAAAGGAAAUGACACAAGCCCUGAGCAUAUCUUCAAGAAUUUGAUUGACUCGCUCGACUUGGCCACUAGUUUGAGGAUGGAAAGUUGUGCUGAAGCGAAUGUUUGUGCCCAUGGCCUUCUGGAAAGAGUCCCAGAACUUAGAGGUGAAGAUGCUUCCACGAUCUGAAGAAAUCAAUUGUGCAAUGCCGUGCAAGGAGACAAUCCUGGAGGUCUAUAGCUCUGCCAACUGCGCUGCUGUGAUAGAUUCUUUGAUUGGAAGGAAAUAGGCCACUUUAGAAAGCUUGUCGAUGACAACGAAGAUAGCAUCAUUUCCACGCUUGGACUUGGGAAAUCCAGUCACGAAGUCCAUUUCGAUAUGAUCAAACUUCCACUCUGGGAUAGCAAGAGGUUGGAGGAGACCAGCUGGUCGUUGGUGUUCUGCUUUCACUCUUCGACAGACAUCACAUUAAUUCAUGAAUUGAGCAAUCUCCCGCUUCUUCGAGUCCACCAAUACGACUGCUUGAGGUCAUGGUACAUCUUCGUACUUCCAGGAUGAAUGGACAGAAGAGAAUUGUGCGCCUCGUUCAUUAUGACUUUCCUUAGAUCACCUUUAGGAACCACAAUCCGGUCCUCGAAGAAUAAAGUGUCUCUGUCAUCAAUGCGAUAGCACUUGUAUUUGGAAACACCCUUGUCGAUACCACGUUUCACCUUCUUCACUAUGGUAUCCAGGAGUUGUGCCUCACGAAUCUGAUCUUCCAAAGUAGGAGAGACUAUGAGGUUGGCAAGAAAGCCUUGAGGAACAACUUGGAGAUUCAGCUUGCGGAAAGCUUCACAAAGAUCCGGUUGGAAUGUCUUGAGAAUUAAGAUGUUGCAAUAAGCCUUCCUGCUUAAAGCAUCUGCAAUGACAUUGGCUUUGCCUGGAGUAUAUUCAAUACUCAGAUUGUACUCUUGAAUCAUUUCGACCCAUCGAGUCUGCCUGAGGUUGAGGUUGGGCUGAGUGAAGAUGUACUUGAGACUCUUGUGAUCGGUGAAUAUGUCCACUUGUCUUCCCAACAAAAGAUGUCUCCACGUUAUUAAUGCAUGGACAACUGCCGCCAACUCAAGAUCGUGAGUGGGGUAGUUCUUUUCGUUGGGCUUCAACUGACGAGAGGUAUAGGCCACAACUUUCUUCUCUUGCAUUAACACAGCACCGAGACCUUGGAGAGAAGCAUCACAGAAAACUUCAAAUGGCUUGGAUUCGUCAGGAGGAGUUAAGACAGGAGCUGUGACUAGUUUCUCUUUGAGAGUGUUCAAAGCAACGUCACACUCAGGAGACCAGACAUACUUCACAUGCUUCUGGAGGAGGUUGGAAAGAGGCUUUGCAAUCUUAGAGAAAUUCUCAACGAAUCUUCGGCAAUAGCUUGCAAGACCAAGAAAACUGCGGAGCUGCUUGACAUUCUGAGGAGGUUCCCAAUUCACAAUUGCGGACACCUUCUCGGGAUUAACAGUGAUGCCCUUGGCAGAGAUGAUGUGACCAAGGUAAAGAACUUCAUCAAGCUAAAACUCACAUUUUGAGAACUUUGCAUAGAAUUGAUACUCUCUGAGCUUGUCGAGCACCAAUCGCAAAUGUUUGGCAUGAUCUUUCUUAUUCUUGGAGAAGACCAAUAUAUCAUCGAGAUACACCAGGAUGAAUUCAUUGGUAUAGGGGUUGAAGAUGAAAUUCAUCAUCCGAGAGAAUGUUGGAGGAGCAUUGACAAGACCGAAAGACAUGAAAGUAUAUUCAUAAGAACCAAAGCUUGUUCUGAAUGCUGUCUUGGGAAUAUCUUCUUCACGAAUGCGAAUCUGAUGAUAACCCAUACGAAGGUCAAGCUUGGAGAAUACUUUAGCACCUUUGAGUUGCUCGAAUAGCUCAUUGAUGUUCGGAAGUGGAUACUUGUUCUUGAUAGUCUUCUUGUUCAAUGGACGGUAGUCGACACAAAGUCGGUCUGUGCCAUCCUUCUUCUGGACAAAAAGAAAACCACAACCCCAUGGAGAAGAACUCGGUCUGAUCAAACACAGACGCUCUUUUUCAUCGAGUUGUUUCUUCAACUCCUUCAGCUCCUUGGGUCCAAGCUUGUAUGGACGCUUGCAAACGGGUUCCGUGCCAGGCUCUAGAUCGAUAACGAACUCAACUGGCCGGUGAGAAGGCAUACCCGGAAGCUCUUCUGGAAAGACAUCUUGGUACUCACAAACGACUGGAAUCUGAGAGAUGGCAUUCAAUUCGCCCUUCUCAUUGAGAGAAAAUAACCGAAUGGUUUCAUCACGAGCGGCAUAAAUGAUAACAUCCUCAGAAGAGUGUGUCAAUUGAACUUCCCUGGCAGCACAAUCAAGUUGAGCCUUGUGCUUAGAAAGCCAGUCCAUCCCGAGAAUUAGAUCAAUAUCCGAGUCACCAAGAACAAAAGGUUUAGACAGAAAUUUAUAGUUGCCCAUCUUGAUAGAAACAUCCGGAAUCAUUGUGGUAGCCCUCAUAGAAGAGCCCGGAGAAACAACUCCCAUGGGUUUUUCCAACAUUUCCGAAAUGAAAUCAUGCUUUGCAACGAAUGAUCUUGACAUGAAACAAUGCGAUGCACCAGUGACAAAAGAACUUUUGCAAGAAAGUCAUUAACAGGAAGAUUACCCAUUAUCACAUCAGUAGACUCCUCUGCUUGAGCUGCAUUCAUCAUGUUCACCUUUGCAGCCUUGGGAUUAUGCUUGACCACUGCAUUGCUGGAAGAUCUGACAGGAGGAGGAGGCGGAAGACGCCUUUGGUUGAAGCAUUUGUUUGCAUAGUGACCUUUCUGCUGACACUUGUUGCAAGUCACCUCUGAGAGUGGACGAUGAUAAGGAGCAUUCGACUUUGGAGCUUGAUUCUGAGACUUGUUCUGAUAGCCAGGGUUGGAAGAGUGGGAAGAUCCAUGGCCACCUUUGUUCUUCUGCUGGUAAGGCUGACGAAACGGAGGAGGAGGCAACCAGAACUUCUGUUGCUUAGCAGCCAUUAGCGAGGAAGAAGAAGACUGAACUGCGUCCCUGACUCUCUUCAUAGAAGUCUCACACUUGAGCUGAGCAGCCUCUUGCUUCAGUGCCAUGUUAUACAAUUGAUCAAACUGAGUAGGCUCAACAAGAACGAGAGCUAACUACAGAUCCUCUCUAAGGCCACCUCUGAAGUGAUAGAUCAUGCUCUUUUCAUCAGGAACGUCUUGUUUAGCGAAGCGAGCAAGUUUCUGAAACUGGAUGUUGAAUUGAUACACAGACACGUUGCCUUGCUUGAGAUUGCGGAACUCCUCACGCUUGCUCUCAACAACACUUUGUGGAAUGUGGUGCGCUUUGAAGUCCCGACAGAAGUCAGUCCAAGUGAUCACACGACCUCCUCUGGAAUCUUUGUAUUGUUGAUACCAAUCAGCAGCUUGGUCCUUGAGCUAAAAAGAAGCGAACUUGACAUAAUCCUCAGGCCUGACAUUGCUACAUUCAAAAUGCUUGUUGAUGUCCACGAGCCAAUCAUCGGCAUCCGUGGCCUCGGCACAGUAGCUGAAAGACUUGGGCUGAUUUGCGAGAAACUGAUUGAGUGUAGCGAAAUGAGGCUGAAUGUUGCCUUGACCUGGAUUUCCUUGAUUGCCUUGCCCUUGGGUGCGUUCUUGCAAGAGUUGCAGAAUCAUCUAGGCAUUGGCAUUGGUGGCUGCCAUGAUAGCUUGCCAUGCCUCCGGAGCCGGAGGUGGUGGCGGAGGGUUCGCCUGACUCCCUUCAUUGCGAUCCGGAUUCUGACGCGUUGGCGGAGCCAUCCUGAAGAGGGUGACAUCCGUUAGCAUCUUGAUAGACAAAUAGACAAGUAGAAUCAACGGAUAGAAAUUGCAACAUAUAGUCUUCACAAUAAACAUUCGAACGAAGAUGAACGAAUGAAUUCCAUAGUAAAUCAUCACACUUCCAUUAAGUUGAGAAGCCACUUAAAAAAAGGUAUGGAAUCAACAUUUGACUUCGAAGCAACUCGAAUACCACAAUACAAAACAAAACAAGGUAUUGGCUUGCAGAAUAAGCCAAAACAAACAUAUGAUAGAUAUUUCGUCCGAAGUUUUCGUGGUGGGGCCCACACGGGCUCGAUCGUACAGCACCAUCAUGUACAAGGCAGUGCACAUGACAUACGAAGCGUCCCCGAGUCGGCAUAGCCAAGGACUCUUUAAGACACUACGAGACCACUGUAAAACCAACCGUGGAAAGGCGGACCACUAGACGUCGAACCCCAAUCUCAUAUCAUGCGUCUGUCGGAAAGAUAUCCUAGGAGCUACUUGAAUUCCCACUUAUAAACUCCCGAAACUUUCUGGUUAUGCAAUCUGGUGUUGGGGAUACAGGGGACACAAAAUAUAUCACCCAAACUAGAAAUCCCUAGAUCCAGCUGUAUCCAUCCGUCAACACAUAACCAAGAAACCUUCGGAAAUCGUGUACCUCAACCUUCGAAAAGCAUCUGUUAUACGAGUUAUGGCAAUACUCCCGAACUCCUGCCCCCGUACUAGGUGGCGUCGAGGUGAUCUCACCAACAACUGCAUAAAAGAGAUUUCGAUGUCGGCGAAACUCAGGUAUUCCAUAACUGCAAUGAUAAAAUUGUGACGACAACACCUCGGAGCUCAACUCCCCGGGACACUGCCACAACCCCUAAAUGUCAGGAGGCACCAAGAACAAUGUUCUCGUCACAAAACCAUCGGAACGAUUCUAAGAUACCCGCGUGAUCCUAAAAUUUUUUUUAGUGAAAUUUGAGGAGAGAAGAGUCAAAACUUCUACAUCAGGAGACCUCACUAGAGCGACGAAGGGACUGAGGAGUAAAAAGAAUCCUACUCUCCGAUAUAUAUAAUCCUAAGACUCAAAAACAUUUUUGUUCUAGACUCAACAACGCCAGCGAUUCGAUCAAGCAGGGGCUCCUAAGUCGGGGAUGGCUCUGAUUACCAACUUGUAACGCCCACGAUGCGGCUAUAUCUCCCACGUGUCGAGGCACGACUUAGAGGCAUAACCGCAUUGUGGUUUUGUCGCAAGAAGGGUCAUCUUCACACAAUCCCAUGUAAUGAACAAGAAUGGGAUAAAGAGUUGGCUUACAAUCGCCACUUCACACAAUACAUAAAUAUAAUCCAUAAAUCAUCCAAAAUACACACAUAUAGACCGGCUACGGUCAAAAUCCAAAUGAAAAUUAUAUAACCCCAAAUGCUAGAUCCCCGAUCGUCCCAACUGGGCUCCACUACUGAUCAUCAGGAAAAGAAACAUAGUAACAACCACGUUCCUCGUCGAACUCCCACUUGAGGUCGAUCCCAUCAUCUGCAAUGGCAUCGUCGGCACCUGCAACUGUUUUAGUAGAAUCUGUGAGUCACAAGGACUCAGCAAUCUCACACCCGCGAGAUCAAGACUAUUUAAGCUCAUAGAAAAGGAUGGUGAAAUUGGGUGGAGCUGCAGCAUGCACUAAGCAUAUAUGGUGGCUAACAUACGCAAAAGAGAGCGAGAAGAGAAGCAACGGAACGGUCGUCAUCUAGUAAUGACCAAGAAGUGAUCCUGAACUCCUACUUACGUCAUUCAUAACUCAAACCGUGUUCACUUCCCGGACUCCGCCGAGAAGAGACCAUCAGGGCUACACACACGGUUGAUGUAUUUUAAUUAAGUUAAGUGACAAAUUCUCUACAACCGGACAUUAACAAAUUCCCAUCUGCCUCAUAAACGUGGGCACGGCUUUCGAAAGAUAAUACCCUGUACGGGUGUCCCAACUUAGCCCAUCAUAAGCUCUCACAGUCAACGAAGGAUAAACCUUCUCCCGAAAAGACCCGAUCAGUCUCGGAAUCCCGGUUUACAAGACAUUUCGACAAUGGUAAAACAAGACCAGCAAGACCACCCGCUGUGCCGACAAAUCCCGAUAGGAGCUGCACAUAUCUCGUUCUCAGGGCACACCGGAUAAGCUAAGCGUACAGGUACCAACGUAACCCAAGUUGCCAAGGGACGGUCCCGCACGGUGCUCUAGUUUGGACCAACACUUGGAGGAGCACUGGCCCGGGGGUUUAAAAUAAAGAUGACCCUCGGGCUCUAGAAAACCCGGGGGAAAAAGGCUUAGGUGGCAAAUGGUAAAACCAAGGUUGGGCCUUGCUGGAGGAGUUUUAUUCAAGGCGAACUGUCAAGGGGGUCCCAUAAAUCACUCAACCGCGUAAGGAACGCAAACUCAAGGAACAUAAUACCGGUAUGUCGGAAAACUAGGGCGGCAAGAGUGGAACAAAACACCAGGCAUAAUGCCGAGCCUUCCACCCUUUACCAAAUGUAUAUAGAUGCAUUAAUAUAAUAAGAGAUAUUGUGAUAUCCCAACAUAAUAACCAUGUUCUAACAUGGAACCAACUUCAACUUCACCUACAACUAGCAACGCUAUAAGAAGGGCUGAGCAAAAGCGGUAACUUAGCCAGACAACGGUUUGCUAGGAAAGGAUGGUUAGAGGCUGACAUGGCAAUAUGGGAGGCAUGAUAUAGCAAGUGGUAGGUAGCGCAGCAUGGCAAUAGAACGAACAACUAGCAAAGCAAAGAUAGAAGUGAUUUCGAGGGGUGGUCAUCUUGCCUGCAAGGUUCUUAGAGUUGUCGAAAGCUUGAUCCUCGUAAGCGUACUCAACAGGUUCCUCGUUCACGAACUCGUCUCCCGGCUCUACCCAAAACAAGAACACAAGCAACGGAACCACAAUCAAUCACGGAAGAUGCACAAGCAACAUGAUGCAAAACAUGUAUGAUAUGUGAGAUAUGAUAUGCGAUGCAUAUGCGUGCCCCGGAAGGAAAAUGAUGAACAAGGCAGUAACUUGGCAAACCAAGCAUGCCACUGGAAACAUGAGAUGAUUUCGGUUGAAAUCGAUAUAAAGAUCACCGGAAACGGAUGCACGGUUUGCAAAUGGCAAGCAAAACAAGAAUGACACGAAUCUGCGAUUAACAGCAUGAUAGCACAUAGAAUGCAACAAGUUACAAUGCUACAGCACUCCAACAUAGCAACAAAGCACAUGGCAGUAAUCUACAAGAGAUGCUUGACAAAAGAUGAACACUGAGCUACGGCUAGAUCACAAUCUAAAAGGUUCAAACAAGCAUGGCAAAAGAGCAAAAGAUAACAGGUUCACAGACUUGGUGAAAUUACUGGACAUGGCAGAAACAGCAUCAGGUAGCAAUGUUCAGAGCACGAAAUCAACAUGCUACAGGAACUUAACAUGGCAAAGCAAAGCAUGGAAGUAUUCUACUAAAUGCAUAUGACAAAAAUCCCUUACUGACCAUAAGCCAAAAAGGACCAGAAGAUAUGAUGGCAACCAUGUGAACAUAGCAAGUUCCGUUAACAGGUUUCAGACUUGGCAGAAAACAGAGCAUGGCAGAAACAGUAAUAUGAAGGCAUCUUGGUGAGCUUGAUGCACUCACCACAAAGCAAUGCAUGACAAAACAAGCAUACCUACAGAAAUAUGGCAUGUUUAUGAAGCUAUCCAUGGCAAGAUCAAGUACAUAGCAUGAAUGAAACAACUACAACAAGCUUGGCAAAAUUGAAUAACACGUAAACAAUCUGCCAGAAAUAUUUUAUAGCAAAAGUAGAUCAAGCUUGAGUCAUGCUAUUGCACUCCAUAAUUGCAAACAAUGGCAGGAAUGGAUCAAUUACAACAAUAUCUACAAAACAUCCUUAAUGAACAUCUCCAAAAUAAGCAUGGACCUCUCUGUAGACCCAUGGAUACAUAGCAACAAAAUAACAGCAGACAAAGACAGAAAUUACCAAGUCUCUGAAAUCAGAAACAUUACGGAGCCUAAUUUGCACGCUUGUUCUAGUCACCACAGAGAUCACAAAAAUACAUGGCAUACACCUCCGUAAAUAUGGCAUGGCAUACAACAAAACACAUGUAGAGCUCAUGCCCAUAAGAUGCACAGAUUAAAUGCAACAAAAAUAACAAAUCUCCAAGUUCUUCCAAGUAACAGCAGAUAACAGCAACUAGCACUCUUGCAGCAGAGAUUUGGUUAUGAAGAGGGACUCAAAUGAACAUGGUGCAAUGGAACAAAAUGAAGAGCAUCACUAGGCGAACAUUUCGAUAUAUUACACGCGCGAAACGGAGCUAUAUGCAGAGAGUUAUGAUGCUAUGAACAUGGACAUAUAACGUCAAAUCUUUCAGGACUUCGAGAAAAAAACGGGGAAGAAGGAAGUCAACCACUGGAGAUCUAGAUCGGGCGGCUUCGAGCUCGGGCCGCCGGUGCUUCGGCCGGAGCAGAGGUGCGGUCGCCGGCGUCCGGCGUGGAGGAGGGAGACGGCGAGGCGGCGAGGUGCAGGAAGGAGGCGGCGGCGCGACGGCGGGUGGCGCCNNNNNNNNNNNNNNNNNNNNNNNNNNNNNNNNNNNNNNNNNNNNNNNNNNNNNNNNNNNNNNNNNNNNNNNNNNNNNNNNNNNNNNNNNNNNNNNNNNNNNNNNNNNNNNNNNNNNNNNNNNNNNNNNNNNNNNNNNNNNNNNNNNNNNNNNNNNNNNNNNNNNNNNNNNNNNNNNNNNNNNNNNNNNNNNNNNNNNNNNNNNNNNNNNNNNNGAACUGGCGCGGAGGAGACGGGCUCGGGAGGGCCCGCGGCGGGUUUCGGCGUUCCCAGGUGGCUUCUCGGUCGGAAUGGUGCAACCACUUCACUUUCAGGAAUUUGAUUGACUUGUUGUGAGUCUUGCGCUCAGUUUCUUCAAGAAUAGCAACGGGGUGCUCAUGAUAAGACAGAUCUUCUUGGAGGUCAAUCUCUUCGAAGUUGAUAGUGCGCUCAGGCGUCUUGAAGCAUUUGCGGAGCUGUGACACGUGGAACACAUCGUGCAUGUUCGCGAAGUUGGAGGGAAGCUGAAGUUGAUAGGCGAGGUCGCCUCUUUUGCCAAUGAUCUUGAAAGGACCCACGUAUCUAGGGGCAAGCUUCCCUUUGAUACCGAAGCGAUGAGUGCCUUUCAUUGGAGAGACGCGGAGGUAGACAUGGUCUCCGAUCUCGAAAGCCACAUCACGGUGCUUACUAUCAUAGUAACUCUUCUGGCGCGAUUGCGCGGCUUUGAGAUUUUCACGGAUGACUUUACACAUUUCUUCAGCCUCUGUGAUUAAGUCAUUGCCAAGAAGUUGGCGUUCACCAGUCUCUGACCAAUUGAGAGGAGUACGGCACUUUCUGCCAUAGAGAAUCUCGAAUGGGGCCUUGCCCGAAAUCGCUUGGAAGCUGUUGUUGUAGGAGAAUUUGGCAUAUGGAAGACAAUCUUCCGAUUUCAUGCCAAAGGAAAUGACACAAGCCCUGAGCAUAUCUUCAAGAAUUUGAUUGACUCGCUCGACUUGGCCACUAGUUUGAGGAUGGAAAGUUGUGCUGAAGCGAAUGUUUGUGCCCAUGGCCUUCUGGAAAGAGUCCCAGAACUUAGAGGUGAAGAUGCUUCCACGAUCUGAAGAAAUCAAUUGUGCAAUGCCGUGCAAGGAGACAAUCCUGGAGGUCUAUAGCUCUGCCAACUGCGCUGCUGUGAUAGAUUCUUUGAUUGGAAGGAAAUAGGCCACUUUAGAAAGCUUGUCGAUGACAACGAAGAUAGCAUCAUUUCCACGCUUGGACUUGGGAAAUCCAGUCACGAAGUCCAUUUCGAUAUGAUCAAACUUCCACUCUGGGAUAGCAAGAGGUUGGAGGAGACCAGCUGGUCGUUGGUGUUCUGCUUUCACUCUUCGACAGACAUCACAUUAAUUCACGAAUUGAGCAAUCUCCCGCUUCUUCGAGUCCACCAAUACGACUGCUUGAGGUCAUGGUACAUCUUCGUACUUCCAGGAUGAAUGGACAGAAGAGAAUUGUGCGCCUCGUUCAUUAUGACUUUCCUUAGAUCACCUUUAGGAACCACAAUCCGGUCCUCGAAGAAUAAAGUGUCUCUGUCAUCAAUGCGAUAGCACUUGUAUUUGGAAACACCCUUGUCGAUACCACGUUUCACCUUCUUCACCAUGGUAUCCAGGAGUUGUGCCUCACGAAUCUGAUCUUCCAAAGUAGGAGAGACUAUGAGGUUGGCAAGAAAGCCUUGAGGAACAACUUGGAGAUUCAGCUUGCGGAAAGCUUCACAAAGAUCCGGUUGGAAUGUCUUGAGAAUUAAGCUGUUGCAAUAAGCCUUCCUGCUUAAAGCAUCUGCAAUGACAUUGGCUUUGCCUGGAGUAUAUUCAAUACUCGGAUUGUACUCUUGAAUCAUUUCGACCCGUCGAGUCUGCCUGAGGUUGAGGUUGGCUGAGUGAAGAUGUACUUGAGACUCUUGUGAUCGGUGAAUAUGUCCACUUGUCUUCCCAACAAAAGAUGUCUCCACGUUAUUAAUGCAUGGACAACUGCCGCCAACUCAAGAUCGUGAGUGGGGUAGUUCUUUUCGUUGGGCUUCAACUGACGAGAGGUAUAGGCCACAACUUUCUUCUCUUGCAUUAAUACAGCACCGAGACCUUGGAGAGAAGCAUCACAGAAAACUUCAAAUGGCUUGGAUUCGUCAGGAGGAGUUAAGACAGGAGCUAUGACUAGUUUCUCUUUGAGAGUGUUGAAAGCAACGUCACACUUAGGAGACCAGACAUACUUCACAUGCUUCUGGAGGAGGUUGGAAAGAGGCUUUGCAAUCUUAGAGAAAUUCUCAACGAAUCUUCGGCAAUAGCUUGCAAGACCAAGAAAACUGCGGAGCUGCUUGACAUUCUGAGGAGGUUCCCAAUUCACAAUUGCGGACACCUUCUCGGGAUUAACAGCGAUGCCCUUGGCAGAGAUGAUGUGACCAAGGUAAAGAACUUCAUCAAGCCAAAACUCACAUUUUGAGAACUUUGCAUAGAAUUGAUACUCUCUGAGCUUGUCGAGCACCAAUCGCAAAUGUUUGGCAUGAUCUUUCUUAUUCUUGGAGAAGACCAAUAUAUCAUCGAGAUACACCAGGACGAAUUCAUUGGUAAGGGGUUGAAGAUGAAAUUCAUCAUCCGAGAGAAUGUUGGAGGAGCAUUGACAAGACCGAAAGGCAUGACAGUAUAUUCAUAAGAACCAAAGCUUGUUCUGAAUGCUGUCUUGGGAAUAUCUUCUUCACGAAUGUGAAUCUGAUGAUAACUGUCGUGGAAUUUUCACGGCAGAUGUCCUCGAGCUAGGACUUAGUCGUGGAGCCAUCGCAACUAGGAAGCUUGAAGGGGUUAAUGCGGGACAAGGAACGCGAGGGUUUAUACUGGUUCGGCCCCUUACGGUGAAGGUAAAAGCCUACGUCCAGUUUGAGGUGGUAUUGAUUAGGGUUACGAUCACCAGGGAGCUAAACUGCUAUGCCCGGCUCUCGAUCAGGUUGUUCUUGUGCCCAAACCACUGCCGGGUCGUCCCUUUAUAUAGGGAGGCUGACGCCCAGCAGCCCUUAGAGUCCCGGCCGGCUCAUAAGAGUGUCCGGCUCGGACUCUCAACUAUACUUGCCUUACACUGCAAGUUCUACCAUAAUAAUGAUUGUAACUACGGGCCUUAAGCCGUAUCCGGGUCUUAAGCCCAUCUCUGUCCCAUCGUCUUCAAGCUUGGCUCCGGGCUUCUGGCAAAGACCAUAUGAGUAACCCGGCCCCUCCUGGUGGGUGACUCUAAGGUCUAUAUCCUCAACAUUAGGCCCCAGAUUGAUUUGAGCCGGCUCAUGUCAAUCUUCAAUUCCUUCGACAGAAAAAACCUCCGGCUUACCAUUCAUGUGAAAGCCAUAACCCGGCGUGACAUCAUCCUCUGGACUCCGGAUAAUCCGCCGUGACGUCAUCUUCCAUUAAGCCCGUUUUUUACUCCACCAGAUCCGCAACGGAUCUUUGCUUUUACUGUCAUCCCGAAAAUCGAGGCAUUGUGGGGGGAGAUAACCACGCCACGGUCUCCUUGAUUCUCGCGCCCGCUUUACGAUCUCGCCUUAUAAAUAGGCCGGCCUGACGGGCUUCUCUGCCACCCUUCUUCCUCCUCGCGCCACUGCCUCUCUGCCUGAGCUUGCACUCCACCGCCGUCACCUCGCCUCCGGUCUUCGUCAACCUUGGCCGCUGCAUCACCCUGACAUGGACCAGACAAACGGCGGCGACCCCCGCACCUUUUCAGCUCCGGUAAGUCCCGCUUGACCUGUAGAGUAGAUCUGCAGUAGGGUUCAUCCACGUUCUUCGUGUUCGUCGCCAUUGCCCGUGAGUUUUGGUAGUUCUCAUAGUUACUGCCCCUGUUUGAUCUUAGACCUGCCUAGAACCAGUGCGGUGGUUGUUUGGUACCCAUUUUACACGCAAGCAGCUCUCCUUUUACUGCAUAGGAACUUUGUUCAGACCCAAGAACUCCCUCACUUCUAUUCCUAGGUCUAGAAAUUUUUUCUUUUGCUCGGCCAUUUUGAUCCAAAAAAGUUACUGCAAUAUGUGAAACCUGUUUUACCACACUUAGUAAAAGCUGUAACCAUUGAAUCUUGGCGGCUUACAAUUCCGGUUUAAAGAAACCACGUGCCAUAGACCCUUCCGGCUUAAAGAAAACCAUGCUUCGUAGAAUCCUCCGGCUUAGUUGUGAUAAGGCCGCAGAUAAUCAAUUUAUUCUGAAUGCCCCUGCGGCUUAAAUAACCCACUGUACCUGAGUAUAUACCAUUAGUCCCCUUCAUAAGCCGCCACCUUAGUUUUGAACUAUAGAUCUCCUCCGGCUUAUAAUUAACCCGGACAUUUUUUCCUUUUUGUCAUAGACUGCCGACUUUCACCAUGCCUCCCAAAGCUCCCAUUACUUGCAACUAGAUGAGAUCCAAUGUCACCAACUAGAUGCUGAUUUUGUUAAGUCAGGAUAUCUGCCCAAGAAAGACAUCAUGUCCUACCGUGCCCCUGACCCGUCAGAAGAGAGGCCACAGCCAAAGGAUGGGGAGGUAGUGAUUUUUGCGGAUCACAUGAGCCGGGGCUUCGCACCGCCCGGCUCAAAGUUUUCUAGGGACGUGCUCAACUUCUUCGACCUGCAGCCUCAAGAUAUAGGACCCAACUCAGUGUCCAACAUCUGCAAUUUUCAAGUCUUCUGCGAGGUUUACCUUGGAGAAGAACCUAGUCUGCUGCUCUUCAGAGAGCUUUUUUACUUAAACCGUCAGAAUGAGUGCGCCAAUGGACCAAGUCUGGAGUUAGGUGGUAUCUCCAUCUAGCGGCGUAGGGACUGCCUUUUCCCUUAUGCAGAGCCGCCGAGCCACCCAAAGGACUAGAACAUGACUUGGUUCUACUGCCAAGAUACGUCCCCGGCUGAUGAAAGCCCGCUGCCCGGCGUUCGCCCAACACGUCUGGAGCCGAUUCACCCACUGUCGGACAAGCUGACUCAAGCAGAGCGCCAGCCUCUGCUCCCCACUAUCAACAAGAUCAAGGCUCUCCUGGGCAAUGGUCUGAACGGAAUCGACCUGGUCCGGGUCUGGAUCUCAUGGCGGGUGAUCCCAUUGAGCCGCCGCCCCGGCUUAAUGUGUGAGUACACAGGACGAAAGGAUGAUCCUCAGAGACACAGCCGCAAUGAUCUUCCAGAAGACGUUGCAGAGGAGAUGACCAAGGCUCUUUUAAACGAGAGCCUGGCAGACUGCGGAAGGACCGGGUUAGCCCCCUUCUGCAAGACCAACCCAGCCCCAGCGGUAAGCCGCUGGCUUUAACUUUUUAUCUUCUUCUGCAUAUAACCUUCAUCUGAACCGUUUUAAGAAUUCAUCAUUGUAUUUUUUAGGCUGAUGAUAAGUUCUGGCGGGUCAAAUAUGACCAUGAGGCGGCCAAGAAGGCCAGGAAGGCGAAGAAAGCCGCCAAGAAAACCGCCCCUCGCAAGAAAGGGAGCAGGCCUACUGCCUCCGAGCUGAUGCAAUUAAGCGACAGCUCCGAGUCAGAGGUAACCCCUGAGCUUUUAAGUCCUUACUAUAUUCACUGUUUGUUGCUGUCCGCCUUAUCAAUACUUGCUCAUUGACAGGAUCACACCGGCGCCAGUAACCCGGUGGUUGAAGAGGUAAUGUCACUUUCCUCCGACUCGGAGCCCUUGCCAUAGCUGAAAGUCCGAAGGGUAACCCGGAAAGUAAGCUUUUCACAUCCUUUAGCUUAUCAAGACCCUCAAUUUAUUUUGAAGCGACAGGUUCAUGAAAGCCGGCGUCACACCCGGACCAAUAAGGACACCGACCUCCCCGCCGGGUUACCCGACGCAACAAGGAAACGCCGAACUAAGGUUAUUUCCCACUUGUACCCUUUUCACCCAUUGGCGGGUGUUAUCCGUCAGCCACUUAAUUCCUCUGACUCCAAUUAUCAGGAGACCUCCCCCUCUUCGGGCGAUUCUAUGCAGUCGAGUCUUCCGACUUUCAAGACCGCGCCCAGGUAAUGACAACCAUCUCAUAUUAUAUUUGUCUGUACUUACUCUUUUUGUGCUUAACGUUUCUGUCCUUUCAGCGCCCAGGCAAAGCUCACCAAAAGAGCCAAGAAGACCAAGUCAGCCGGAGUGCCGGAUUUGCCUGAACCGGAGGUGACGGCUCAAGAACCGCCAGCUGCCUCCGCCCCCGAAGCCACCACUCCAAUGGACACGGCACCUGAGGCCACUGGCCCAACUACUAAGGCAACGACCGAAACUUCUGUUAACCCGGAGGCCUCCAGCUCGGCUCCACCAGCAGACGACCCGGACGUGGUAAUCACCCGGACGGAGUUCGUUGAGCCGAGGAGACCUACCGUGCUGGCCAAGUGCUCCGCUAAGGGGGAGUUGCUGCAGCCCCCCCGGGUGAACCUGGACCUCUCCGACUACACCAACUUGAGCAUUGGAGAGCUCGUCUCUGGCUACAUCAGCCAAGUGCACAAGAGCCGGGACGCAGAGGUCGCCAUGGUGAACCAGAUCCAGCAAAAAUCUGAGGUAUCAUUCUGAUGUCCUCUUACUUACUGCAUAGUUACCUUUACCAUGCUAGCCCCCAAGUCGACGACUUAUGAUUGAAUAUGUUGUAGACUUAGGUUCCGGCUUACUCAAUUGAACCGGCAGUUUGUAGAUAGAUACGUUCAAUAUGCAUUAGCCCCCAAGUGCCAAGUGUCUUUGCUUGGAAAACGCUUGGGACUUAUAUAAUGACUAUUAAUAACCCGGAAAUUUAUGCAAGCUGUUGGCAAGAAGCUAGAGGCGGACCUUGCGGAUCUCAAGAGCCGGCUGAAGACGCAGGAGAUGGAGACCCGGAAGGCAAACGCCAAGUUUGUAUCCAGCAUCGCGGCUCAAGAGAAGCUGAAGACAGAAUUUGAUGCUGAGCGGAAAGCCUGGGCUGAAGAGAAGGCCGCACUGAUGACCCGGGCGGAACAGGCGGAGAAGGCUCUCUCUGAGAAGACCGCCGAGCUCUCCGGCCUAAAGCGCCAGGUUUCCCAAAUGGUGGCCGCCAUCUUCGGUAAGUCGCCUCACCGGCUUUCAUCAAGUUUAGAAUGUUUAUAUCUCAUGAUUCAUCCUUGUCGCCGGCUUAUCUGAUUCUGUUAAACAGGUCCCAGAAGUGCCAACCUCAACCAAAGCGUGGUCACCAACCUAAAGGGCGUGUAUACCCUGGUGGCACAGCUCUACACCGGGUCACAGCGUGCCUUAGCUGUAGUGGCCCUAUCCAACGAGGUGCCGACUCACCUGGCAGAAGUCCUGCGCCGGCUCGCCGUUCUGCCUCAGCGGAUCCAAGAGCUGCGACGGGCCUCUGCGAGAGCCGGAGCGAUCGCCACGCUGAGCCGGGCCAAGGCAUUCCUGCCGGAGUUAGACCCGGCGGACAUUGCCCUUGGCUAUCCAAGCCUGAAGGAAGACGGCUCGGCUUUUGAUCAGAAGGACUUCGCAGCUUGCAUGAAGGCCGUACGCCCGGUGGCCACCCUCAUCGGGAACGACACAGAUAUAACCAAGUACCAGCCGGGCUAUGAUGCGGAGAAUCAGAGGAUUCCAACCCCUCGCUAUGAAGCCCUUAACUUGAUCCCGCCGGCUCGUCAGCACACUUUCGCCCCGGAGAUUGACCCAGCCGGGUUAAUUGACGAGGAAGCCCAAUUCGAAGCUCUCAGCGGCAUCGACUGGAAGUCAUCAACUUUCCAGGUCUUGGGAUCAGCCGGAGGAGAAGAUAGGAACGAGCCGGAGACUUCAACUCAGCAAGCGUUGUAACUCGGCUGGCGGUUUACCAAACAAUGCUCCACCCUUUGAGAUUUUGAUGAGUUUUGUAAUAGAGUAGGUGCAACAGUUCAUCUCUGCCGUGCCAUCGUGCACGUAUUGAAUGCGAAAGUCUUUUGAAGUUGCCUCUUUGAUAUUUCUCCGGGUCAUAAUCAAUCCUUUGUUUUUCUUAACCUCAAAGAGGUGCCUUUAAUUAUCCUGCAUAGAAGGGCAAAUCACAAGUCUCGAGGCGUCUUACCGUCUUGAGAAUCAUAAAUUUUAGAUAACCCGGAAUAUGAAUUGAAAAGGACUUGUCUUCAAUAGUAUCCUGAACACAGCCGUAAGAACAUGUUGAACGGCCUGCAAGUAUACUUCCGGCUUAGAUAAUCCGGAUGAGAAAGUUGGUACCGCAACUCCGGUUUACCUGCCUUAUAACACCCAUUGCGUUCAGCAAUAUUGUAAACUAGGGUUAAGCCGGAAAAGUGAGACCCGGCUGUACACACCUUGACAUGAUCAAAGAAAACUUGUGAUAAAGCAGAAGAACUUAGGGGCUUCCGGUUCGAAUACGACCAGAGACCCGGCCCAAAGGGGUUAAGCUAAGAUUCGGAUACGAUCAUAUAGCCCCCAGUGGGUGUGGCGAUGCCAAUCAAGAGGGUACCGACAGCUAUGUUCUCUUUGGUUCGAAUACGACCCAUGUUUGAACAGGAAGCCCCCAAGCGAUUUUAAGAAUUGUUUAACGACGCUGAUUCGAAUACGAUCCUCGUCGGUUCUCAGAGGGGUUAAACUAUGAUUCAAAUAUGACCAAAGGUAACCUCCCAAUGAGCUCGGCACUUUGCCAAUCAAAUGGGUAUCGACAGCUAUGUUCUCUUUGGUUCGAAUACGACCCAUGUUUGAACAGGAAGCCCCCAAGUGACUUUACUGUUUACGGCUAGAUUCGAAGACGAUCAUAAACUGGAUCCUCCUUUAAGUCAUCAUGUAAUCUUGCAAUAAGAACAACACAUGCAUAUUUGGAGGAGAAAAAAGGACAGAGGUCCUGCUUUAUUGCUUAUCAUAAUAUAUACAUGGCUGAGAGAAAUAUGUACACCACGAGAGCCGGUGGCUCAAGUGUAGUAAGGCCGAAGCUGAGCUAUGUUCCACGGCCGACGGGUCUCCUCCUCCGACUUACGUGAAUCUUUGUGCUCCCGAAUGUCAAUGAGGUAAUAUGACCCGUUGUGCAAGUUCUUGCUGACCACAAAGGGCCCUUCCCAAGGCAGGGAUAACUUGUGUGCAUCUGUUUUAUCCUCGAUGAGCCGGAGCACGAGAUCGCCUUCCUGGAAGACCCGGGAUUUAACCCGGCGGUUAUGGUAACGGCGCAGGUCUUGCUGGUAAAUCGCUGAACGAGCUGCUGCCACAUCACGCUGUUCGUCCAACAGGUCAAGAGCAUCUUGUCACGCCUGUUCAUUAUCCGCCUCAACAUAAGCCGCUACUCGAGGUGAGUCAUGACGGAUGUCACUGGGGAGGACUGCUUCUGCUCCAUAAACCAUGAAGAAAGGCGUGAAGCCUGUAGACCUGUUAGGAGUAGUGUUGAUGCUCCAUAAGACGGAGGGCAACUCCUCCACCCAACAACCCGGCGUCCGUUGCAAAGGGACCAAAAGCCGGUGCUUGAUGCCCUUCAGAAUCUCCUGAUUAGCUCUCUCAGCUUGACCAUUGGAUUGAGGAUGAGCCACUGAGGAAACAUCAAGUCGGAUAUGCUCACGUUGACAAAACUCUUCCAUGGCGCCCUUGGAGAGAUUGGUGCCACUGUCAGUUACAAUGUUGUGCGGAAAGCCAAAGCGGAAAAUCACUUUUUUCAUAAAUUGAACCGCCGUGGCUGCAUCGCACUUGCUAACUGGCUCAGCUUCCACCCACUUUGUGAAUUUAUCAACUGCCACCAAGAGGUGGGUCUUCUUAUCCUUGGACCUUUUAAAAGGCCCAACCAUAACAAGCCCCCAGACCGCAAAGGGCCAAGUGAUUGGGAUCAUCCUCAGCUCCUGAGCCGGCACAUGAGCCCGUCGUGAGAACCUCUGGCAACCAUCACAUUUACUGACCAAGUCCUCUGCAUCAACAUGAGCCGUCAACCAAUGAAAACCAUGACGAAAAGCCUUGGCCACUAGGGACUUUGAGCCGGCGUGAUGGCCACAAUCUCCUUCGUCGAUCUCACACAAGAUCUCUUGACCUUCCUCAGGGGAGACACAACGCUGAAAUGCUCCUGUAACACUGCGAUGAUGCAACUCGCCAUCGAUAACAAUCAUUGACUUGGCCCGCCGGGUUAUUUGCCUGGCCAAAGUUUCAUCCUCAGGCAACUCGCCCCGGGUCAUGUAAGCCAGAUAUGGCAUUGUCCAGUCUGGUAUGAUAUGGAGAGCCGCCACCAGUCGUGCCUCCGGGUCAGGGACAGCCAAGUCUUCCUCCGUAGGCAAUUUAACCGAAGGGCUAUACAGGACAUCCAGGAAAGUGUUAGGCGGCACCGGCUUUUGCUGAGAGCCUAGCCGGCUUAGAGCAUCAGCCGCCUCGUUCUUCCUGCGAUCAAUGUGCUCUACUUGGUAGCCCUGAAAGUGCCCAGCAAUGGCAUCAACUUCGCGGCGAUAAGCCGCCAUUAGAGGGUCCUUAGAGUCCCACUUGCCUGAUACUUGUUGAGCCACCAAGUCUGAGUCACCGAAGCACCUUACCCGGCUCAAGCUCAUCUCCUUAGCCAUCCGAAGACCGUGGAGCAAGGCCUCGUACUCAGCCGCAUUGUUAGUGCAAGGAAACAUCAACUGUAACACAUAAUGGAACUUGUCACCUUUAGGGGAAGCCAAUACAACGCCAGCCCCCGAGCCCUCCAACUGCCUGGACCCAUCGAAGUGAAUAGUCCAAUAUGUGUUAUCUAGCUUUUGCUCGGGCACUUGUGACUCUGUCCAAUCAUUGAUGAAAUCCACCAAGGCCUGAGACUUAACAGCAGUGCGUGGCACAUAUUUGAGACCAUGAGGUCCAAGUUCUAUAGCCCACUUAGCAAUUCUCCCUGUGGCCUCUCUGUUUUGAAUGAUAUCACCAAGGGGGGCAGAACUGACCACAGUGAUGGGAUGACCCUGAAAAUAAUGCUUAAGCUUCCGGCUCGCCAUGAAAACACCAUACACAAGCUUCUGCCAAUGCGGGUACCGCUGCUUGGACUCAAUGAGCACUUCGCUGACAUAAUAAACCGGCCGCUGAACCGGAUGCUCCUUACCCUCCUCCUUGCGCUCCACCACAAUAGCCACACUGACGGCUCGUGCGUUUGCCGCCACAUACAGUAAUAAGGGCUCCUUAUCAACCGAAGCAGCAAGGACUGGGGGCUCUGCCAGCUGCUUCUUCAAAUCCUCAAAAGCGGUAUUGGCUGCAUCAUUCCAGACAAAGUUAUCAGUUUUCUUCAUCAACUGAUAUAAUGGCAUGGCCUUCUCACCCAAACGGCUUAUAAACCGGCUUAAAGCAGCGAUGCGACCCGCCAGACGCUGAACGUCAUUUACACACGCCGGCUUAGCCAGGGAGGUGAUGGCCUUGAUCUUCUCCGGGUUAGCCUCAAUGCCUCUAUCAGAAACCAAAAAUCCCAAGAGCUUGCCUGCAGGGACACCAAAUACACACUUGGCCGGGUUAAGCAUCAUCUUAUAGACCCGGAGAUUAUCAAAGGUUUCCCUUAAAUCAUCUAUCAGGGUUUCCUCUUUUAUGGAUUUAACCACAAUAUCGUCCACAUAAGCGUGAACAUUGCGCCCAAUCUGUUUAUGAAGACAGUUCUGUACACAACGCUGGUAAGUCGCCUGUGCACACUUGAGUCCAAAGGGCAUAGACACAUAGCAGAAGGCUCCAAAGGGAGUGAUGAACGCCGUCUUCUCCUGGUCCUUAACUGCCAUCUUAAUCUGAUGAUAACCGGAAUAAGCAUCCAAGAAACUUAAACAUGCACAACCUGCCGUAGCAUCAAUGAUUUGAUCAAUACGGGGGAGGGCAAAAGGAUCAGCCGGACACGCCUUGUUUAAGUCCGUGUAGUCCACAGACAUUCGCCAAGUGCCGUUCUUCUUGAGUACGAGCACCGGGUUAGCUAACCACUCUGGGUGAAAGACUUCAACGAUAAACCAGGCCGCCAAGAGCCGGGCCACCUCUUCACCAAUAGCUUUCCGCCUCUCUUCAUUAAACCGCCGAAGGAACUGUCUGACCGGCUUAAAUUUCGGAUCAACAUUUAGAGUAUGCUCAGCGAGUUCUCUAGGUACACCUGGCAUGUCAGAAGGUUUCCAUGCGAAGAUGUCCCUAUUCUCAUGGAUGAACUCAAUGAGCGCGCUUUACUAUUUUGGAUCCAGAUUUGCACUGAUGCUAAACUGCUGAGAUGAGUCACCUGGAACAAAAUCAACAAGUUUAGUCUCAUCAGCUGAUUUAAAUUUCAUUGCCGGCUCUUGUUCUGUAGUUGGCUUUUUCAGAGAGGUCAUAUCUGUUGGGUCAACAUUGUCUUUGUAAAACUUCAACUCCUCUGUAGCACACACAGAUUCUGCAUAAGCCGCAUCGCCUUCCUCACACUCCAGAGCCACUUUCUGGCUGCCGUGAACCGUAAUGGUCCCAUUGUGACCCGGCAUCUUGAGCUGUAAGUACACAUAACACGGUUGUGCCAUGAACUUGGCGUAAGCCGGCCGUCCAAAUAUAGCAUGGUAUGGACUUCUUAUCUUGACCACCUCAAAGGUCAAUUUCUUCACCCUGUAGUUGUUCUCAUCACCAAAAGCCACUUCCAAUUCGAUCUUGCCGACUGGAUAAGCCGACUUACCAGGUACCACACCAUGGAAGAUAGUGUUUGACUGGCUGAGGUUCUUAUCAACCAACCCCAUACGGUGAAAAGUCUCAUAAUAGAGGAUGUUGAUGUUGUUGCCUCCAUCCAUGAGCACCUUUGUGAACUUAUAUCCUCCCACUUGAGGGGCCACCACUAAUGCCAAGUGGCCCGGGUUAUCCACCCGGGGAGGGUGAUCCUCCCUGCUCCAUACUAUAGGCUGCUCAGACCACCGCAAGUAGCGUGGAACUGCCGGCUCAACAGCAUUCACAGCCCUCUUGUGAAGCUUCUGAUCUCGCUUGCACAGACUAGUGGUAAACACAUCAUACUGUCCACCGCUAAGCUGCUUUGGAUUGGUCUGAUAGCCCCCCUGCUGCUGUUGAUGACCCUGGCCAGACUGCUGAUUAAAGCCCCCUUGACCGUUCUAAGGACCGGAAUUUGAGCCGCCGCCCGGGCCAUGAAAGCCGCCGGCGCCUGAGCCGCCGCCCGGGCCAUUGUAAUUCUUAAAAGCCUUCAUGAUUGCACAAUCCUUCCACAGAUGAGUCGCUGGCUUCUCUCUAGAGCCAUGCCUUGGACAAGGUUCAUUCAACAGCUGCUCCAGCGUCGGACCUGACCCGCCGCCCCGGGGAGGGGCCCUCCCCUUGCGUCGCUGGUUAUCACCUUGUGAGCUGGCGUUGGCUACAAACUCUAGGCUGCCAUCGGCCUUGCGCUUGCCUCCUCCUUGGUUCCCCGGGUUAAACUAAGGACCCUUGCCAUUGCCGUUCUUCUUUCCCUUCCCUGUGCUUUCAUCAUCUGAAGGGGGAUCCUUGGUACCAUCAGAAUCGGCAUACUUGACAAGAGCCGCCAUUAGUGUACCCAUAUCACUGCAGUCGCGCUUAAGCCGCCCGAGUUUCAUCUUCAGGGGCACAAAACGACAAUUCUGCUCCAGCAUUAAAACCGCUGAGUCGGCAUCCAUCUUGUCUCACGAGUGUAUGAUCUCCUUAACCCGGCGAACCCAAUGUGUCGUAGACUCACCCUCCUGCUGCUUACAGUUAGUCAAAUCCACAAUUGACAUAGACUGCCUACAGGUAUCUUUGAAGUUUUGGAUGAACCGGGCUUUCAGCUCAGCCCAAGACCCAAUGGAAUUCGGUGGUAGCCCUUUCAACCAAGUGCGGGCAGUCCCAUCUAACAUCAUGGUGAAAUACUUCGCCAUGGCCGCCUCACUGACCUCCAGCAGUUCCAUAGCCAUCUCAUAACUCUCGAUCCAGGCUGCGGGUUGUAAGUCAGCUGUGUAAUUAGGCACCUUCCUAGGGCCCUUGAAGUCCUUAGGUAGACGUUCAUUACGGAUAGCUGGCACUAAACAAGGGAGACCCCCGGUCCUGGUAGGGAUACCCACAUCGACGGAAGUCGUCGGAUAAGCCGGGGGGGUCUGGUAAGCCGUCAAUUGAGGCACUUGCUCCGCCUCUUGCCGCGCUUUGUCCUGGUCUGCUGCGUAAAAGGCUCCAUUAUGAGCCGGGCCAUGGCCAGGGGGCGGGUCAUGGCGUCGGACGUUACUCGAACCGGUUGCUGAGACCAUGUGCCGGCUGUAACUCGGGCUCUGGACUGGACGAGGGGUCGAGUGGAUCCUGUCCCGGCUGUAGGAGUACGCCUCUUGCUGCACCAGUGCUGUCUGAAGGAGUUCCCUGACCCGGCGGGUUUCCAUAGCCAUCGGAGAGUCGCCGUCAACUGGUAGAGCUGCCAGCCGUGCUGCCGCAGCGACCAUGUUCUCCAGGGGGUUAUUAUAAUGACCCGGGGGUAUUGGCACAUACUGAGGCGGGCCAGGGGGCACCUGGGGAGGCCCCAUCCCUCGUGGCUGAAUAAGGGGUCCAGACCCGGGCGCUAUGACCCCUGGCGGGUUACUAGGCCCUGCACCUGGCAUGUUGAAGAGGUUGCGUGGAUCUUAAACCGGAGGGAGUCAAGAUUGGGUUUUUUGAUGCCUCCUUCUCAUGACCUCAUUGGCCGCGUUCUGAUCCAUCGUGAGUUGGAAGGACUGCGCCUGGAUCAGCUGAGUUUGGGCAUCGAGAGCCGCCCUCUCCGCAGCCAGCCUGAUCCCUUCCACUGCAAGAUCCUCUUUAGCUUUCAUUAGAUCCAAUUUUAACUGUGCCACCUCUGCAUCGUGCUGAGCUUGAUCUGCCGGGUCAACCGUGGCGGUUAGCAGGGCCGUCAUCUUGUCCAUGAGAUCCAUCAGCACCUGAGCCGGAGAAGGCACCGGGUUUCCCGCUCCAGCAGCGGGGUUCUGAACAGGCUGCGCACCAGCCAUAAAGACUCCAACCUGACUUGGCAGCUCAAAUGGGUCCGGAAUACUGUCACCAAUGGAACAGCCCAUGAGCCUGCCAUCUUGAAGUUGAUACAACGAGUUUGACUCAUCGGUGGCCGACUCGCCGUCAGAGCCGGCGGCCGUUUCAUCCCCAGAUCCAGAUCGAUCAGAGAGUCCUCCAUGGAUACACCCCACAAAAGCAUGCCUUAAGGCAGGCCGGGCCCGGGCGGGUCGCACACGCUGAGCCGUCUCGAUGAGAUCGGCGCAGAGACCCGGCUCAGGGCCUGGCUCACUAAUCUUGCCAAUGAAAACAUGAAUUCCGCCGAAGGGGACCCGGUACCCGUACUCAAUUGAGCCGGCGUCGGGGCCCCAGUUUGCAUCGUCGAUGUAGAGCUUGCCGCGACGACUCUUGGUCAUCCGGCCCACAGCGUAUCCCUUGAGCCCUUCGAAGCUACCCUUCAAGAACUCAAAUCCACCGUGCGCCGGCCCCACGGUGGGCGCCAACUGUCGUGGAAUUGUCACGGCAGAUGUCCUCGAGCUAGGACUUAGUCGUGGAGCCAUCGGAACUAGGAAGCUUGAAGGGGUUAAUGCGGGACAAGGAACACGAGGGUUUAUACUGGUUCGGCCCCUUACGGUGAAGGUAAAAGCCUACGUCCAGUUUGAGGUGGUAUUGAUUAGGGUUACGAUCACCAGGGAGCUAAACUGCUAUGCCCGGCUCUCGAUCAGGUUGUUCUUGUCCCCAAACCGCUGCCAGGUCGUCCCUUUAUAUAGGGAGGCUGACGCCCAGCAGCCCUUAGAGUCCCGGCCGGCUCAUAAGAAUGUCCGGCUCGGACUCUCAACUAUACUUGCCUUACACUGCAAGUUCUACAAUAAUAAUGAUUGUAACUACGGGCCUUAAGCCGUAUCCGGGUCUUAAGCCCAUCUCUGGCCCAUCGUCUUCAAGCUUGGCUCCGGGCUUCUGGCAACGACCAUAUGAGUAACCCGGCCCCUCCUGGCGGGUGACUCUAAGGUCUAUAUCCUCAACAAUAAUCCAUACGAAGGUCAAGCUUGGAGAAUACUUUAGCACCUUUGAGUUGCUCGAAUAGCUCAUUGAUGUUCGGAAGUGGAUACUUGUUCUUGAUAGUCUUCUUGUUCAAUGGACGGUAGUCGACACAAAGUCGGUCUGUGCCAUCCUUCUUCUGGACAAAAAGAACAACACAACCCCAUGGAGAAGAACUCGGUCUGAUUAAACCCAGACGCUCUUGUUCAUUGAGUUGUUUCUUCAAUUCCUUCAGCUCCUUGGGUCCAAGCUUUUAUGGACGCUUGCAAACGGGUUCCGUGCCAGGCUCUAGAUCGAUAACGAACUCAACUGGCCGGUGAGAAGGCAUACCCGGAAGCUCUUCUGGAAAGACAUCUUGGUACUCACAAACGACUGGAAUCUGAGAGAUGGCAUUCAAUUCGCCCUUCUCAUUGAGAGAAAAUAACCGAAUGGUUUCAUCACGAGCGGCAUAAAUGAUAACAUCCUCAGAAGAGUGUGUCAAUUGAAUUUCCCUGGCAGCACAAUCAAGUUGAGCCUUGUGCUUAGAAAGCCAGUCCAUCCCGAGAAUUAGAUCAAUAUCCGAGUCACCAAGAACAAAAGGUUUAGACAGAAAUUUAUAGUUGCCCAUCUUGAUAGAAACAUCCGGAAUCAUUGUGGUAGCCCUCAUAGAAGAGCCCGGAGAAAUAACUCCCAUGGGCUUUUCCAACAUUUCCGAAAUGAAAUCAUGCUUUGCAACGAAUGAUCUUGACAUGAAACAAUGCGAUGCACCAGUGACAAAAGAACUUUUGCAAGAAAGUCAUUAACAGGAAGAUUACCCAUUAUCACAUCAGUAGACUCCUCUGCUUGAGCUGCAUUCAUCAUGUUCACCUUUGCAGCCUUGGGAUUAUGCUUGACCACUGCAUUGCUGGAAGAUCUGACAGGAGGAGGAGGCGGAAGACGCCUUUGGUUGAAGCAUUUGUUUGCAUAGUGACCUUUCUGCUGACACUUGUUGCAAGUCACCUCUGAGAGUGGACGAUGAUAAGGAGCAUUCGACUUUGGAGCUUGAUUCUGAGACUUGUUCUGAUAGCCAGGGUUGGAAGAGUGGGAAGAUCCAUGGCCACCUUUGUUCUUCUGCUGGUAAGGCUGACGAAACGGAGGAGGAGGAGGCAACCAGAACUUCUGUUGCUUAGCAGCCAUUAGCGAGGAAGAAGAAGACUGAACUGCGUCCCUGACUCUCUUCUUAGAAGUCUCACACUUGAGCUGAGCAGCCUCUUGCUUCAGUGCCAUGUUAUACAAUUGAUCAAACUGAGUAGGCUCAACAAGAACGAGAGCUAACUGCAGAUCCUCUCUAAGGCCACCUCUGAAGUGAUAGAUCAUGCUCUUUUCAUCAGGAACGUCUUGUUUAGCGAAGCGAGCAAGUUUCUGAAACUGGAUGUUGAAUUGAUACACAGACACGUUGCCUUGCUUGAGAUUGCGGAACUCCUCACGCUUGCUCUCAACAACACUUUGUGGAAUGUGGUGCGCUUUGAAGUCCCGACAGAAGUCAGUCCAAGUGAUCACACGACCUCCUCUGGAAUCUUUGUAUUGUUGAUACCAAUCAGCAGCUUGGUCCUUGAGCUAAAAAGAAGCGAACUUGACAUAAUCCUCAGGCCUGACAUUGCUACAUUCAAAAUUCUUGUUGAUGUCCACGAGCCAAUCAUCGGCAUCCGUGGCCUCGGCACAGUACCUGAAAGACUUGGGCUGAUUUGCGAGAAACUGAUUGAGUGUAGCGAAAUGAGGCUGAAUGUUGCCUUGACCUGGAUUUCCUUGAUUGCCUUGCCCUUGGGUGCGUUCUUGCAAGAGUUGCAGAAUCAUCUGGGCAUAGGCAUUGGUGGCUGCCAUGAUAGCUUGCCAUGCCUCCGGAGCCGGAGGUGGUGGCGGAGGGUUCGCCUGACUCCCUUCAUUGCGAUCCGGAUUCUGACGCGUUGGCGGAGCCAUCCUGAAGAGGGUGACAUCCGUUAGCAUCUUGAUAGACAAAUAGACAAGUAGAAUCAACGGAUAGAAAUUGCAACAUAUAGUCUUCACAAUAAACAUUCGAACGAAGAUGAACGAAUGAAUUCCAUAGUAAAUCAUCACACUUCCAUUAAGUUGAGAAGCCACUUAAAAAAAGGUAUGGAAUCAACAUUUGACUUUGAAGCAACUCGAAUACCACAAUACAAAACAAAACAAGGUAUUGGCUUGCAGAAUAAGCCGAAACAAACAUAUGAUAGAUAUUUUGUCCGAAGUUUUCGUGGUGGGGCCCACACGGGCUCGAUCGUACAGCACCAUCAUGUACAAGGCAGUGCACAUGACAUACGAAGCGUCCCCGAGUCGGCAUAGCCAAGGACUCUUUAAGACACUACGAGACCACUGUAAAACCAACCGUGGAAAGGCGGACCACUAGACGUCGAACCCCAAUCUCAUAUCAUGCGUCUGUCGGAAAGAUAUCCUAGGAGCUACUUGAAUUCCCACUUAUAAACUCCCGAAACUUUCUGGUUAUGCACUGGUGUUGGGGAUACAGGGGACACAAAAUAUAUCACCCAAACUAGCAAUCCCUAGAUCCAGCUGUAUCCAUCCGUCAACACAUAACCAAGAAACCUUCGGAAAUCGUGUACCUCAACCUUCGAAAAGCAUCUGUUAUACGAGUUAUGGCAAUACUCCCGAACUCCCGCCCCAGUACUGGGUGGCGUCGAGGUGAUCUCACCAACAACUGCAUAAAAGAGAUUUCGAUGUCGGCGAAACUCAGGUAUUCCAGAACUGCAACGAUAAAAUUGUGACGAUAACACCUCAGAGCUCAACUCCCAGGGACACUGCCACAACCCCUAAAUGUCAGGAGGCACCAAGAACAAUGUUCUCGUCACAAAACCAUCGGAACGAUUCUAAGAUACCCGCGUGAUCCUAAAAAAAAUUUAGUGAAAUUUGAGGAGAGAAGAGUCAAAACUUCUACAUCAGGAGACCUCACCAGAGCGACGAAGGGACUGAGGAGUAAAAAGAAUCCUACUCUCCGAUAUAUAUAAUCCUAAGACUCAAAAACAUUUUUGUUCUAGACUCAACAACGCCAGCGAUUCGAUCAAGCAGGGGCUCCUAAGUCGGGGAUGGCUCUGAUUACCAACUUGUAACGCCCACGAUGCGGCUAUAUCUCCCACGUGUCGAGGCACGACUUAGAGGCAUAACCACAUUGUGGUUUUGUCGCAAGAAGGGUCAUCUUCACACAAUCCCAUGUAAUGGACAAGAAUGGGAUAAAGAGUUGGCUUACAAUCGCAACUUCACACAAUACAUAAAUAUAAUCCAUAAAUCAUCCAAAAUACAUACAUAUAGACCGGCUACGGUCAAAAUCCAAAUGAAAAUUAGAUAACCGCAAAUGCUAGAUCCCCGAUCGUCCCAACUGGGCUCCACUACUGAUCAUCAGGAAAAGAAACAUAGUAACAACCACGUUCCUCGUUGAACUCCCACUUGAGGUCGAUCCCAUCAUCUGCAAUGGCAUCGUCGGCACCUGCAACUGUUUUAGUAGAAUCUGUGAGUCACAAGGACUCAGCAAUCUCACACCCGCGAGAUCAAGACUAUUUAAGCUCAUAGGAAAGGAUGGUGAAAUUGGGUGGAGCUGCAGCAUGCACUAAGCAUAUAUGGUGGCUAACAUACGCAAAAGAGAGCGAGAAGAGAAGCAACGGAACGGUUGUCAUCUAGUAAUGACCAAGAAGUGAUCCUGAACUCCUACUUACGUCAUUCAUAACUCAAACCGUGUUCACUUCCCGGACUCCGCCGAGAAGAGACCAUCAGGGCUACACACACGGUUGAUGUAUUUUAAUUAAGUUAAGUGACAAAUUCUCUACAACCGGACAUUAAAUCCCAUCUGCCUCAUAACCGCGGGCACGGCUUUCAAAAGAUAAUACCCUGCACGGGUGUCCCAACUUAGCCCAUCAUAAGCUCUCACGGUCAACGAAGGAUAAACCUUCUCCCGAAAAGACCCGAUCAGUCUCGGAAUCCCGGUUUACAAGACAUUUCGACAAUGGUAAAACAAGACCAGCAAGACCACCCGCUGUGCCGACAAAUCCCGAUAGGAGCUGCACAUAUCUCGUUCUCAGGGCACACCGGAUAAGCUAAGCGUACAGGUACCAACGUAACCCAAGUUGCCAAGGGACGGUCCCGCACGGUGCUCUAGUUUGGACCAACACUCGGAGGAGCACUGGCCCGGGGGUUUAAAAUAAAGAUGACCCUCGGGCUCUAGAAAACCCGGGUGAAAAAGGCUCAGGUGGCAAAUGGUAUAACCAAGGUUGGGCCUUGCUGGAGGAGUUUUAUUCAAGGCGAACUGUCAAGGGGGUCCCAUAAAUCACUCAACCGCGUAAGGAACGCAAACUCAAGGAACAUAAUACCGGUAUGUCGGAAAACUAGGGCGGCAAGAGUGGAACAAAACACCAGGCAUAAGGCCGAGCCUUCCACCCUUUACCAAAUGUAUAUAGAUGCAUUAAUAUAAUAAGAGAUAUUGUGAUAUCCCAACAUAAUAACCAUGUUCUAACAUGGAACCAACUUCAACUUCACCUGCAACUAGCUACGCUAUAAGAAGGGCUGAGCAAAAGCGGUAACUUAGCCAAACAACGGUUUGCUAGGAAAGGAUGGUUAGAGGCUGACAUGGCAAUAUGGGAGGCAUGAUAUAGCAAGUGGUAGGUAGCGCAGCAUGGCAAUAGAACGAACAACUAGCAAAGCAAAGAUAGAAGUGAUUUCGAGGGGUGGUCAUCUUGCCUGCAAGGUUCUCAGAGUUGUCGAAAGCUUGAUCCUCGUAAGCGUACUCAACAAGUUCCUCGUUCACGAACUCGUCUCCCGGCUCUACCCAAAACAAGAACACAAGCAACGGAACCACAAUCAAUCACGGAAGAUGCACAAGCAACAUGAUGCAAAACAUGUAUGAUAUGUGAGAUAUGAUAUGCGAUGCAUAUGCGUGCCCCGGAAGGAAAAUGAUGAACAAGGCAGUAACUUGGCAAACCAAGCAUGCCACUGGAAACAUGAGAUGAUUUCGGUUGAAAUCGAUAUAAAGAUCACCGGAAACGGAUGCACGGUUUGCAAAUGGCAAGCAAAACAAGAAUGACACGAAUCUGCGAUUAACAGCAUGAUAGCACAUAGAAUGCAACAAGUUACAAUGCUACAGCACUCCAACAUAGCAACAAAGCACAUGGCAGUAAUCUACAAGAGAUGCUUGACAAAAGAUGAACACUGAGCUACGGCUAGAUCACAAUCUAAAAGGUUCAAACAAGCAUGGCAAAAGAGCAAAAGAUAACAGGUUCACAGACUUGGUGAAAUUACUGGACAUGGCAGAAACAGCAUCAGGUAGCAAUGUUCAGAGCACGAAAUCAACAUGCUACAGGAACUUAACAUGGCAAAACAAAGCAUGGAAGUAUUCUACUAAAUGCAUAUGACACAAAUCCCUUACUGACCAUAAGCCAAAAAGGACCAGAAGAUAUGAUGGCAACCAUGUGAACAUAGCAAGUUCCGUUAACAGGUUUCAGACUUGGCAGAAAACAGAGCAUGGCAGAAACAGUAAUAUGAAGGCAUCUUGGUGAGCUUGAUGCACUCACCACAAAGCAAUGCAUGACAAAACAAGCAUACCUACAGAAAUAUGGCAUGUUUAUGAAGCUAUCCAUGGCAAGAUCAAGUACAUAGCAUGAAUGAAACAACUACAACAAGCUUGGCAAAAUUGAAUAACACGUAAACAAUCUGCCAGAAAUAUUUUAUAGCAAAAGUAGAUCAAGCUUGAGUCAUGCUAUUGCACUCCAUAAUUGCAAACAAUGGCAGGAAUGGAUCAAUUACAACAAUAUCUACAAAACAUCCUUAAUGAACAUCUCCAAAAUAAGCAUGGACCUCUCUGUAGACCCAUGGAUACAUAGCAACAAAAUAACAGCAGACAAAGACAGAAAUUACCAAUGUCUCUGAAAUCAGAAACAUUACGGAGCCUAGUUUGCACGCUUGUUCUAGUCACCACAGAGAUCACAAAAAUACAUGGCAUACACCUCCGUAAAUAUGGCAUGGCAUAAAACAAAACACAUGUAGAGCUCAUGCCCAUAAGAUGCACAGAUUAAAUGCAACAAAAAUAACAAAUCUCCAAGUUCUGCUAAGUAACAGCAGAUAACAGCAACUAGCACUCUUGCAGCAGAGAUUCGGUUAUCAAGAGUGACUCAAAUGAACAUGGUGCAAUGGAACAAAAUGAAGAGCAUCACUAGACGAACAUUUCGAUAUAUUACACGCGCGAAACGGAGCUAUAUGCAGAGAGUUAUGAUGCUAUGAACAUGGACAUAUAACGUCAAAUCUUUCAGGACUUCGAGAAAAAAACGGGGAAGAAGGAAGUCAACCACUGGAGAUCUAGAUCGGGCGGCUUCGAGCUCGGGCCGCCGGUGCUUCGGCCGGAGCAGAGGUGCGGUCGCCGGCGUCCGGCGUGGAGGAGGGAGACGGCGAGGCGGCGAGGUGGAGGAAGGAGGCGGCGGCGCGACGGCGGGAGGCGCCGGCGGGGUCGGACGCGGCGGGGCCGCGGUGGCGCGAGGCGCCGGCGGUGGCGCGACGGGCGGCCGGCGGGNNNNNNNNNNNNNNNNNNNNNNNNNNNNNNNNNNNNNNNNNNNNNNNNNNNNNNNNNNNNNNNNNNNNNNNNNNNNNNNNNNNNNNNNNNNNNNNNNNNNNNNNNNNNNNNNNNNNNNNNNNNNNNNNNNNNNNNNNNNNNNNNNNNNNNNNNNNNNNNNNNNNNNNNNNNNNNNNNNNNNNNNNNNNNNNNNNNNNNNNNNNNNNNNNNNNNNNNNNNNNNNNNNNNNNNNNNNNNNNNNNNNNNNNNNNNNNNNNNNNNNNNNNNNNNNNNNNNNNNNNNNNNNNNNNNNNNNNNNNNNNNNNNNNNNNNNNNNNNNNNNNNNNNNNNNNNNNNNNNNNNNNNNNNNNNNNNNNNNNNNNNNNNNNNNNNNNNNNNNNNNNNNNNNNNNNNNNNNNNNNNNNNNNNNNNNNNNNNNNNNNNNNNNNNNNNNNNNNNNNNNNNNNNNNNNNNNNNNNNNNNNNNNNNNNNNNNNNNNNNNNNNNNNNNNNNNNNNNNNNNNNNNNNNNNNNNNNNNNNNNNCUCGGGAGGGCCCGCGGCGGGCUUCGGCGGGCCAGCGGGCUCGCGGCGAAGUGGGGCGCCCGGGGUGGUGACGUGGCGCGCCCCGAUUGGACGAGGGCGGCGGCGCUGGUUCGUCCGGCGGCGGCGGACGCGUCCGGCCGCGGAGAGGGCGAUUUUUAGGGUUUGGACUAGAAUGAUUUCGGGAGGGGUGCAAAUAUAUAGGUAGAGGGAGCUAGGAGAGUCCAAAAUGAGGUGCGGUUUUCGCCCACACGAUCGUGAUCGAACGACCUAGAGCAUGGAAGUGACUUAGAGGGGUUUUGGGCUGUUUAGAGAAGGGUUUUUGCUGCACACACAAGCGGACUUUGCGGAUGCCCGGUUAACCGUUGGAGUACCAAACGACCUCCAAAUGGAACGAAACUUGACUGGUGGUCUCCCAGUGGUAUACCAAGGCCACUUGACAAGCGUCGGUCCAUUCCGAGAGCGUUCGACACCCGCUCACGAAAGAAAACAAGAGGGGUGCGCCGGAGGAGGUGGGAGCGCCGGAUUGCAAAACGGACAACGGGGAAAAUGCUCGGAUGCCUGAGACGAACACGUAUGCAAAUGCAAUGCACAUGAUGACAUGAUAUGAGAUGCAUGACAUGAACAAAAUGCAAAACGAAAGACAAAACCCGACCACGAAGGGAAUAUCAUAACACAUAGCCGAAAAUGGCAAGAGUUGGAGUUACAAAUAUGGAAAGUUACAUCCGGGGUGUUACAACACUCCACCACUACGAGGGGAUCUCCUCCCGAGAUCUAGGACUGAAAGAACUCCGGAUAUUCGGAACGGAGAUGGUCCUCGCGUUCCUAGGUGGCUUCUCGGUCGGAAUGGUGCAACCACUUCACUUUCAGGAAUUUGAUUGACUUGUUGCGAGUCUUGCGCUCAGUUUCUUCAAGAAUAGCAACGGGGUGCUCAUGAUAAGACAUAUCUUCUUGGAGGUCAAUCUCUUCGAAGUUGAUAGUGCGCUCAGGCGUCUUGAAGCACUUGCGGAGCUGUAACACGUGGAACACAUCGUGCACAUUCGCGAAGUUGGAGGGAAGCUGAAGUUGAUAGGCGAGGUCGCCUCUUUUGCCAAUGAUCUUGAAAGGACCCACGUAUCUAGGGGCAAGCUUCCCUUUGAUACCGAAGCGACGAGUGCCUUUCAUUGGAGAGACGCGGAGGUAGACAUGGUCUCCGAUCUCGAAAGCCACAUCACGGUGCUUACUAUCAGAGUAACUCUUCUGGCGCGAUUGCGCGGCUUUGAGAUUUUCACGGAUGACUUUACACAUUUCUUUAGCCUCUGUGAUUAAGUCAUUGCCAAGAAGUUGGCGUUCACCAGUUCUGACCAAUUGAGAGGAGUAUGGCACUUUCUGCCAUAGAGAAUCUCGAAUGGGGCCUUCCCCGAACUCGCUUGGAAGCUGUUGUUGUAGAAGAUUCAUCAGUGCAUCUGGUCGCGCACCGGACAGUCACGGAGUCUUUCUGUUGCUCUCCUUAGGAGCCGAAUACUCCGGACUUCGGGUGGCCGAAGGGUUACCCUCUGGCCUUGGCGGAUCAGGAGAAACCCUCCGUGACGACACCUCAGGGUCAUCUGCUUCACGAGGUGGGGAGGCACGGGGAGGCAUUUCGCUCUCCAUCAUCCCCGGAAGAAGAUCCCCCGAAGACGAACUUUGUCGAGAAGGGCUACGAUCCGAACUACAAGACAUACGUCUCAGUUACUGUUCUCGGAAAUAAAGCAGGGUAUAUUUACUAUGAAGUACUUUUGUUUACUUACAGCUCGGUGGAGGGUUGGUCCCCUUGCGGGUACUCUGCGGUAAGGAUGCCCUCCGGGGUAGGGCCCCCUGACGAAGGUUUCUUCCCUCGUUUGGAAAACCAUUGUUUCCAAGUCUUCAAAGGCGGCCCUCUUCCUUCCUUGGGGGGAAGGAAUUUUAGAUUCUUCUCCCUGGUUAUCCUCCUUCGCGGAGGCACUAAUUCCCCCGGUUUGGAUGAAUAAUGAGUGAGGCUCGCUUUUGGCUUCUUUAUUCCCCCCUUUAUCUUCCCCUGAUGGCGCUUGAUAAGGCACGAGCUCAAGCAUUCUGGCCAGUACUGGAUCUGUUGAGCCUUCGAGAAGGGGGGCCGAACACCUGAUCAUCUUCGCCUUUUUUACCCAGUCCUGGUCAAAGAGCGACUUUUCAGAAUGAUGUUGUGAUAAAUAAAAAGACAGCAUGUUCGGCCGAAGAAUUACUUACUUGGGUAUCUGGACGAUUGCAGCUCAGACCCGCAUCCUCGGUGGUGUCCGGACAUUUUAUUUGUGAUCCGAAGAACAAUCCGUAUAUCUCUUCGUGCGUCAUGCCGAAGAAGUGCUGAAUAGUUCGCGGUCCUUCCAGGUUGAACUCCCACAUACGGAGAGGUCAACGUUUGCAAGGCAGGGCUCGACGAACUAGCAUGACUUGCAUUAUCUUGACAAGGCUGACAUCUCUCUCGAGGAGAUCUCGGAUGCGACUCUGCAAUGUCAGCACGUCAUUUACUGGCCCCCAGUCCAUCCCCUUGUUGACCCAUGACGCCAGUUGUGGCGGGGGGGCGAGCGGAAGGCAGGGGCGGCUACCCACUUAGUACCACGGGGAGCUGUGAUGUAAAACCACUCCCGUUGCCAUAAGCUGGACACCUCCGGGAAGGAACCCUUUGGCCAUGGAGCAUCGGCGCCUUUGCCUAUUAUGGCACCUCCGCAUUCUGCGUGUCGCCCAUUAAUCAUCUUCGGCUUCACAUUGAAGGUCUUGAGCCACAAGCCGAAGUGUGGGGUGACAUGGAGGAAGUCCUCACACACGACGAUGAACGACGAGAUGUGAAGGAUGGAAUCCGGGGCCAGAUCAUGGAAAUCCAGCCCCUAAUAGAACAUGAGCCCUCUAACAAAGGGAUCUAGACUAAAGCCUAGCCCUCGGAGGAAGUGGGAGACAAAUACGACACUCUUGUUAGGCUCGGGAGUGGGGAUGACCUGCCCUCUAGCAGGCAGCCUGUGCGAAAUUUCGGCGGUCAGAUACCUGGCCUCUCUUAGCUUCUUGAUGUCCUCCUCUGUGACGGAGGAGGGCAUCCACCGACCUUGAAGGUUGGAUCCGGACAUGAUUGAAGGCCCGAAGCGCCUAGCCUGAGCCUUGGGUGUUGGAACUCGAGGUGGGGGAAGGAUUCGAUUGAGCGCGAGAAGAAAGGAACAGGCCUUGGCCCCUUUAUAAAGAGGGUGAAUAUCAAGCGUCCUCCGCGUGGCCGUUUGGGACUUGCCUAAAAUCGAGGAGUCAUACCAACAGGCACGAUUGGGUUACCCAUACCCGUAUUGAUGAGAAUCCCGUGAUAAGGGGGACACGAUCUCUGCUUCGACAAGACGUGCCAAUAAAACCGCCUCGCGAAACGUGCAGUGGCAGGCUGGGAGAAACGGUUUGAAUAAUGACCGGGCCGUGGUGUGAUGCCACGUUAUGAAAAGUUGUCAGCAGAUUAGAUUUGUGGAAAUAUUAUUCUCUCUACGGUGGUAUGUGGAAUUUGUUUUGCAGAGCCGGAUACUAUCCUUGUGUUCAAAAUCUUCUAUGGAAUAUUCGGAGGGACCCGCCUUGCAAUGCCGAAGACAAUCUGCGCGUCGGACUCAUCGUCAUUGAAGCCUGGUUAAGGGGCUACUGAGGGAGUCCUAGAUUAGGGGGUCCCCGGACAGCCGUACUAUAUCCUUUAGCCGGACUGUUGGACUAUGAAGAUACAAGAUUGAAGACUUCGUCCCGUGUCCGGAUGGGACUCUCCUUGGCGUGGAAGGCAAGCUUGGCAAUACGGAUAUGUAGAUAUCCUCCCUUGUAACCGACUCUGUGUAACCCUAGCCCCCUCCAAUGUCUAUAUAAACCGGAGGAUUUAGUCCGUAGGACAACAACAAUCAUACCAUAGGCUAGCUUCUAGGGUUUAGCCUCUACGAUCUCGUGGUAGAUCAACUCUUGUAAUACUCGUAUCAUCAAGAUCAAUCUAGCAGGAAGUAGGGUAUUACCUCCAUCGAGAGGGCCCGAACCUGGGUAAACAUCGUGUCCCCCGCCUCCUAUUACCAUCCACCUUAGACGCACAGUUCGGGACCCCCUACCCGAGAUCCGCCGGUUUUGACACCGACAGGUAGCAUUAUAAGAUGAUCUCUCACUAAAUUUCAAGAUAAAAGUGUUCUCCCUGAGUAUGCACCGUUGCUAAAGUUCGUCAUGCCGAGACACCACGUGAUGAUUGGGUGUGAUAAGCUCUACGUCCAUCUACAACGGGUGCAAGCCAGUUUUGCACACGCAGAAUACUCGGGUUAAACUUGACGAGCCUAGCAUAUGCAGAUAUGGCCUCGGAACACUGAGACCGAAAGGUCGAGCGUGAAUCAUAUAGUAGAUAUGAUCAACAUAGUGAUGUUCACCAUUGAAAACUACCCCAUCUCACGUGAUGAUCGAACAUGGUUUAGUUGAUUUGGAUCACAUGAUCACUUAGAUGAUUAGAGGGAUGUCUAUCUAAGUGGGAGUUCUUAAGUAAUAUGAUUAUUUGAACUUAAAUUUAUCAUGAACUUAGUACCUGAUAGUAUCUUGCUUGUCUAUGUUGAUUUUAGAUAGAUGGCCCGUGUUGUUGUUCCGUUGAAUUUUAAUGCGUUCCUUGAGAAAGAAAAGUUGAAAGAUGAUGGUAGCAAUUACAUGGACUGGGUUCGUAACUUGAGGAUUAUCCUCAUUGAUGCACAGAAGAAUUACGUCCUAGAAGCACCGCUGGGUGCCAGGCCCGCUGCAGAUGCAACUGACGAUGUUAAGAACGUUUGGCAGAGCAAAGCUGAUGACUACUCGAUAGUUCAGUGUGCCAUGCUUUACGGCUUAGAACCGGGACUUCAACGACGUUUUGAACGUCAUGGAGCAUAUGAGAUGUUCCAGGAGUUGAAGUUAAUAUUUCAAGCAAAUGCCCGGAUUGAGAGAUAUGAAGUCUCCAAUAAGUUCUAUAGCUGCAAGAUGGAGGAGAAUAGUUCUGUUAGUGAACAUAUACUCAAAAUGUCUGGGUAUAACAAUCACUUGAUUCAACUGGGAGUUAAUCUUCCGGAUGAUAGUGUCAUUGACAGAAUUCUUCAAUCACUGCCACCAAGCUACAAGAGCUUCGUGAUGAACUAUAAUAUGCAAGGGAUGGAUAAGACAAUUCCCGAGCUCUUCGCAAUGCUAAAGGCUGCGGAGGUAGAAAUCAAGAAGGAGCAUCAAGUGUUGAUGGUCAACAAGACCACCAGUUUCAAGAAAAAGGGUAAAGGGAAGAAGAAGGGGAACUUCAAGAAGAACGGCAAACAAGUUGCUGCUCAAGAGAAGAAACCCAAGUCUGGACCUAAGCCUGAGACUGAGUGCUUCUACUGCAAGCAGACUGGUCACUGGAAGCGGAACUGCCCCAAGUAUUUGGCGGAUAAGAAGGAUGGCAAGGUGAACAAAGGUAUAUGUGAUAUACAUGUUAUUGAUGUGUGCCUUACUAGAGCUCGCAGUAGCACCUGGGUAUUUGAUACUGGUUCUGUUACUAAUAUUUGCAACUCAAAACAGGGACUACGGAUUAAGCGAAGGCUGGCUAAGGAUGAGGUGACGAUGCGCGUGGGAAAUGGUUCCAAAGUCGAUGUGAUCGCCGUCGGCACGCUACCUCUACAUCUACCUUCGGUAUUAGUUUUAGACCUAAAUAAUUGUUAUUUGGUGCCAGCGUUGAGCAUGAACAUUAUAUAUGGAUCUUGUUUGAUGCGAGACGGUUAUUCAUUUAAGUCAGAGAAUAAUUGUUGUUCUAUUUAUAUGAGUAAUAUCUUUUAUGGUCAUGCACCCUUGAAGAAUGGUCUAUUUUUGUUGAAUCUCGAUAGUAGUGAUACACAUAUUCAUAAUGUUGAAGCCAAAAGAUGCAGAGUUGAUAAUGAUAGUGCAACUUAUUUGUGGCACUACCGUUUGGGUUAUAUUGGUGUAAAGCGCGUGAAGAAACUCCAUACUGAUGGACUUUUGGAAUCACUUGAUUAUGAAUCACUUGGUACUUGCGAACCAUGCCUUAUGGGCAAGAUGACUAAAACGCCGUUCUCCGGAACAAUGGAGUGAGCAACAGAUUGUUCGAAAUCAUACAUACUGAUGUAUGUGGUCCGAUGAAUAUUGAGGCUCGCGGCGGGUAUCAUUAUUUUCUCACCUUCACAGAUGAUUUGAGCAGAUAUGGGUAUAUCUACUUAAUGAAACAUAAGUCUGAAACAUUUGGAAAGUUCAAAGAAUUUCAGAGUGAAGUGGAAAAUCAUCGUAACAAGAAAAUAAAGUUUCUAUGAUCUGAUCGUGGAGGAGAAUGUUUGAGUUACGAGUUUGGUCUUCAUUUGAAACAAUGUGGAAUAGUUUCGCAACUCACGCCACCCGGAACACCAAAGCGUAAUGGUGUGUCCGAACGUCGUAAUCGUACUUUACUAGAUAUGGUGCGAUCUAUGAUGUCUCUUACUGAUUUACCGCUAUCGUUUUGGGGUUAUGCUCUAGAGACGACUGCAUUCACGUUAAAUAGGGCACCAUCGAAAUCCGUUGAGACAACGCCAUAUGAACUGUGGUUUGGCAACAAACCAAAGUUGUCGUUUCUUAAAGUUUGGGGCUGCGAUGCUUAUGUGAAAAAGCUUCAACCUGAUAAGCUCGAACCCAAAUCGGAAAAAUGUGUCUUCAUAGGAUACCCAAAGGAAACUGUUGGGUACACCUUCUAUCACAGAUCCGAAGGCAAAACUUUUGUUGCUAAGAAUGGAUCCUUUCUAGAGAAGGAGUUUCUCUCGAAAGAAGUGAGUGGGAGGAAAGUAGAACUUGAUGAGGUAACUGUACCUGCUCCAUUACUGGAAAGUAGUUCAUCACAGAAACCGGUUCCUGUGACUCCUACACUAAUUAGUGAGGAAGCUAAUGAUGUUGAUCAUGAAACUUCAGAUCAAGUUACUACCGAACCUCGUAGGUCAACCAGAGUAAGAUCGGCACCAGAUUGGUACGGUAAUCCUAUUCUGGAGGUCAUGUUACUUGACCAAGGCGAACCUACAAACUAUGAAGAAGCGAUGGUGAGCCCAGAUUCCGCAAAAUGGCUUGAGGCCAUGAAAUCUGAGAUGGGAUCCAUGUAUGAGAACAAAGUGUGGACUUUGGUUGACUUGCCCGAUGAUCGGCAAGCAAUAGAGAAUAAAUGGAUCUUCAAGAAGAAGACUGACGCUGACGGUAAUGUUACUGUCUAUAAAGCUCGACUUGUUGCGAAAGGUUUUCGACAAGUUCAAGGGAUUGACUAUGAUGAGAUUUUCUCACCCGUAGCGAUGCUUAAGUCUGUCUGAAUCAUGUUAGCAAUUGCCACAUUUUAUGAUUAUGAAAUUUGGCAAAUGGAUGUCAAAACUGCAUUCCUGAAUGGAUAUCUGGAAGAACAGUUGUAUAUGAUGCAACCAGAAGGUUUUGUCGAUCCAAAGGGAGCUAACAAAGUGUGCAAGCUCCAGCGAUCCAUUUAUGGACUGGUGCAAGCCUCUCGGAGUUGGAAUAAACGUUUUGAUAGUGUGAUCAAAGCAUAUGGUUUUAUACAGACUUUUGGAGAAGCCUGUAUUUACAAGAAAGUGAGUGGGAGCUCUGUAGCAUUUCUGAUAUUAUAUGUGGAUGACAUAUUACUAAUUGGAAAGGAUAUAGAAUUUCUGGAUAGCAUAAAAGGAUACUUGAAUAAGAAUUUUUUCAGUGAAAGACCUUGGUGAAGCUGCUUACAUAUUGGGCAUCAAGAUCUAUACAGAUAGAUCAAGAUGCCUGAUAGGACUUUCACAAAGCACAUACCUUGACAAAGUUUUGAAAUAGUUCAAAAUGGAUCAAGCAAAGAAAUGGUUCUUGCCUGUGUUACAAAGUGUGAAGUUGAGUCAGACUCAAUGCCCAACCACUGCAGAAGAUAGAGAGAAAAUGAAAGAUGUUCCCUAUGCUUCAGCCAUAGGCUCUAUCAUGUAUGCAAUGAUGUGUACCAGACCUGAUGUGUGUCUUGCUAUUAGCCUAGCAGGGAGGUACCAAAGUAAUCCAGGAGUGGAUCACUGGACAGCGGUCAAGAACAUCCUGAAAUACCUGAAAAGGACUAAGGAUAUGUUUCUCGUAUAUGGAGGUGACAAAGAGCUCGUCGUAAAUGGUUACGUCGAUGCAAGCUUUGACACUGAUCCGGACGAUUCUAAAUUGCAAACCGGAUACGUGUUUACAUUAAACGGUGGAGCUGUCAGUUGGUGCAGUUCUAAACAAAGCGUCGUGGCGGGAUCUACGUGUGAAGCGGAGUACAUAGCUGCUUCGGAAGCAGCAAAUGAAGGAGUUCAUAUCCGAUCUAGGUGUCAUACCUAGUGCAUCGGGUCCAAUGAAAAUCUUUUGUGACAAUACUGGUGCAAUUGCCUUGGCAAAGGAAUCCAGAUUUCACAAGAGAACCAAGCACAUCAAGAGACGCUUCAAUUCCAUCUGGGACCAAGUCCAGGUGGGAGACAUAGAGAUUUGCAAGAUACAUACAGAUCUGAAUGUUGCAGACCCGUUGACUAAGCCUCUUCCACGAGCAAAACAUGAUCAGCACCAAGACUCCAUGGGUGUUAGAAUCAUUACAAUGUAAUCUAGAUUAUUGACUCUAGUGCAAGUGGGAGACUGAAGGAAAUAUGCCCUAGAGGCAAUAAUAAAGUUAUUAUUUAUUUCCUCAUAUCAUGAUAAAUGUUUAUUAUUCAUGCUAGAAUUGUAUUAACCGGAAACAUAAUACAUGUGUGAAUACAUAGACAAACAUAGUGUCACUAGUAUGCCUCUACUUAACUAGCUCGUUAAUCGAAGAUGGUUGUGUUUCCUAACCAUAGACAUGAGUUGUUAUUUGAUUAACGGGAUCACAUCAUUAGGAGAAUGAUGUGAUUGACUUGACCCAUUCCGUUAGCUUAGCACUUGAUCGUUUAGUAUGUUGCUAUUGCUUUCUUCAUGACUUAUACGUGUUCCUAUGUCUAUGAGAUUAUGCAACUCCUGCUUACCGGAGGAACACUUUGUGUGCUACCAAACGUCACAACGUAACUGGCUGAUUAUAAAGGUGCUCUACAGGUGUCUCCGAAGGUACUUGUUGAGUUGACGUAUUUCGAUAUUAGCAUUUGUCACUCCGAUUGUCGGAGAGGUAUCUCUGGGCCCUCUCGGUAAUGCACAUCACUAUAAGCCUUGCAAGCAAUGUGACAAAUGAGUUAGUUGCGAGAUGAUGCAUUACGUAACGAGUAAAGAGACUUGUCGGUAACGAGAUUGAACUAGGUAUUGAGAUACCGACGUGUUCGAAAUAUGCCCUAGAGGCAAUAAUAAAUGGUUAUUAUAAUAUUUCUUUGUUCAUGAUAAUUGUCUAUUGUUCAUGCUAUAAUUGUGUUAUCCGGAAAUCGUAAUACAUGUGUGAAUACAUAGACCACAACGUGUCCCUAGUAAGCCUCUACAUGACUAGCUCGUUGAUCAACAGAUAGUCAUGGUUUCCUGACUAUGGACAUUGGAUGUCAUUGAUAACGGGAUCACAUCAUUAGGAGAAUGAUGUGAUGGGCAAGACCCAAUCCUAAGCAUAGCACAAAAGAUCGUGUAGUUCGUUUGCUAGAGCUUUUCCAAUGUCAAGUAUCUUUUCCUUAGACCAUGAGAUCGUGCAACUCCCGGAUGUCGUAGGAGUGCUUUGGGUGUGCCAAACAUCACAACGUAACUGGGUGACUAUAAAGGUGCACUACGGGUAUCUCCGAAAGUGUCUGUUGGGUUGGCACGGAUCGAGACUGGGAUUUGUCACGCCGUAUGACGGGGAGGUAUCUCUAGGCCCACUCGGUAAUGCAUCAUCAUAAUGAGCUUAAUGUGACUAAGGAGUUAGCCACGGGAUCAUGCGUUACGGUACGAGUAAAGAGACUUGGCGGUAACGAGAUUGAACAAGGUAUUGGGAUACCGACGAUCGAAUCUCGGGCAAGUAACAUACCGAUUGAAAAAGGGGAUUGUAUAUGGGAUUGAUUGAAUCCUCGACAUCGUGGUUCAUCCGAUGAGAUCAUCGUGGAACAUGUGGGAGCCAACAUGGGUAUCCAGAUCCCGCUGUUGGUUAUUGACCGGAGAGGCGUCUCGGUCAUGUCUGCAUGUCUCCCGAACCCGUAGGGUCUACACACUUAAGGUUCGGUGACGCUAGGGUUGUAGAGAUAUGAGUAUGCGGAAACCCGAAAGUUGUUCGGAGUCCCGGAUGAGAUCCCGGACGUCACGAGGAGUUCCGGAAUGGUCCAGAGGUGAAGAAUUAUAUAUAGGAAGUCCACUUCGGCCACCGGGAAAGUUUCGGGGGUUAUCGGUAUUGUACCGGGACCACCGGAAGGGUCCCGGGGAUCCACCGGGUGGGGCCACCUAUCCCGGAGGGCCCCAUGGGCUGAAGUGGGAAGGGAACCAGCCCUUAGUGGGUUGGGGCGCCCCCCUUGGGCCUUCCCCUGCGCCUAGGGUUGGAAACCCUAGGGGUGGGGGCGCCCCACUUGGCUUGGGGGGGAAGCCACCCCCUUCCCCCUUGNNNNNNNNNNNNNNNNNNNNNNNNNNNNNNNNNNNNNNNNNNNNNNNNNNNNNNNNNNNNNNNNNNNNNNNNNNNNNNNNNNNNNNNNNNNNNNNNNNNNNNNNNNNNNNNNNNNNNNNNNNNNNNNNNNNNNNNNNNNNNNNNNNNNNNNNNNNNNNNNNNNNNNNNNNNNNNNNNNNNNNNNNNNNNNNNNNNNNNNNNNNNNNNNNNNNNNNNNNNNNNNNNNNNNNNNNNNNNNNNNNNNNNNNNNNNNNNNNNNNNNNNNNNNNNNNNNNNNNNNNNNNNNNNNNNNNNNNNNNNNNNNNNNNNNNNCUUGUAGAUGGGAUCCAGGGCCGGCGCCCCCCCUCGCAGGGGGCCUAUAUAUAGUGGGGGGAGGGAGGGCAGCAGCACCACAGCCCCUGGCGCCUCCCUCUCCCCUUGCAACACCUCUCCCUCUCGCAGAAGCUUGGCGAAGCCCUGCCGAGAUCCCCGCUACAUCCACCACCACACCGUCGUGCUGCUGGAUCUCCAUCAAUCUCUCCUUCCCCCUUGCUGGAUCAAGAAGGAGGAGACGUCGCUGCUCCAUACGUGUGUUGAACGCGGAGGUGCCGUCCGUUCGGCACUCGGUCAUCGGUGAUUUGGAUCACGACGAGUACGACUCCAUCAACCCCAUUCAUUAGAACGCUUCCGCUCGCGAUCUACAAGGGUAUGUAGAUACACUCCUUUCCCCUCGUUGCUAGUAUACUCCAUAUAUGGAUCUUGGUGAUGCGUAGGAAAUAUUUUAAAUUCUGCUACGAUCCCCAACAGUGGCAUCAUGAGCCAGGCCUAUGCGUAGUUACUAUGCACGAGUAGAACACAAAGCAGUUGUGGGCGUAGAUGUUGUCAAUUUUUCUUGCCACUACUAGUCUUAUCUUGUUUCGGCGGUAUUGUGGGAUGAAGCGGCCCGGACCGACCUUACACGUACGCUUACGUGAGACAGGUUCCACCGACUGACAUGCACUAGUUGCAUAAGGUGGCUAGCGGGUGUCUGUCUCUCCCACUUUAGUCGGAACGGAUUCGAUGAAAAGGGUCCUUAUGAAGGGUAAAUAGAAAUUGGCAUAUCACAUUGUGGUUUUACGUAGGUAAGAAAAGUUCUUGCUAGAAACCUAUAGAAGCCACGUAAAAACUUGCAACAACAAUUAGAGGACGUCUAACUUGUUUUUGCAGCAUGUGCCUUGUGAUGUGAUAUGGCCAAAAAGAUGUGAUGAAUGAUAUAUGUGAUGUAUGAGAUUGAUCAUAUUCUUGUAAUAGGAAUCACGACUUGCAUGUCGAUGAGUAUGACAACCGGCAGGAGCCAUAGGAGUUGUCUUUAUUAUUUUGUAUGACCUACGUGUCAUUGAAUAGCGCCAUGUAAAUUACUUUACUUUAUUGCUAAACGCGUUAGCCAUAGAAGUAGAAGUAAUCGUUGGCAUGAAAACUUCAUGAAGACACGAUGAUGGAGAUCAUGGUGUCGUGCCGGUGACGAAGAUGAUCAUGGCGCCCCGAAGAUGGAGAUCAAAGGAGCAAAAUGAUAUUGGCCAUAUCAUGUCACUAUUUGAUUGCAUGUGAUGUUUAUCAUGUUUUGCAUCUUAUUUGCUUAGAACGAUGGUAGUAAGUAAGAUGAUCCCUUAUAAUAAUUUCAAGAAAGUGUUCCCCCUAACUGUGCACCGUUGCGAAGGUUCGUUGUUUCGAAGCACCACGUGAUGAUCGGGUGUCAUAGAUUCUAACGUUCGCAUACAACGGGUGUUGACGAGCCUAGCAUGUACAGACAUGGCCUCGGAACACACGCAAUACACUUAGGUUGACUUGACGAGCCUAGCAUGUACAGACACGGCCUUGGAACACGGAAGACCGAAAGGUCGAGCAUGAGUCGUAUAGAAGAUACGAUCAACAUGGAGAUGUUCACCGAUCUUGACUAGUCCGUCUCACGUGAUGAUCGGACACGGCCUAGUUAACUCGGAUCAUGUUUCACUUAGAUGACUAGAGGGAUGUCUAUCUGAGUGGGAGUUCAUUGAAUAAUUUGAUUAGAUGAACUCAAUUAUCAUGAACUUAGUCUAAAAUCUUUACAAUAUGUCUUUUAGAUCAAAUGGCCCACGUUGUCCUCAACUUCAACGCGUUCCUAGAGAAAACCAAGCUAAAAGAUGAUGGCAGCAACUAUACGGACUGGGUCCGGAACCUGAGGAUCAUCCUCAUAGCUGCCAAGAAAGAUUAUGUCCUAGAAGCACCGCUAGGUGAAGCACCCAUCCCAGAGAACCAAGACGUUAUGAACGCUUGGCAAUCACGUGCUGAUGAUUACUCCCUCGUUUAGUGUGCCAUGCUUUACAGCUUAGAACCGGGGCUCCAAAAGCGUUUUGAGAAACAUGGAGCAUAUGAGAUGUUCGAAGAGCUGAAAAUGGUUUUCCAAGCUCAUGCCUGGGUCGAGAGAUAUCAAGUCUCCGACAAGUUCUUCAGCUGUAAAAUGGAGGAAAAUAGUUCUGUUAGUGAGCACAUACUCAGAAUGUCUGGGUUACACAACCGCUUGUCUCAGCUGGGAGUUAAUCUCCCGGAUGACGCGGUCAUUGACAGAAUCCUUCAGUCUCUUCCACCGAGCUACAAGAGCUUUGUGAUGAACUUCAAUAUCAUGUGGACAGUAUCAUGUGUUUACCACCAGUCUGUGCAAGCGAGAUCAGAAGCUUCAUAAAAGGGCUGUGAAUGCUGUUGAGCCAGCGGUUCCACGCUAUUUAAGAUGGUCUGAGCAGCCUAUUGUGUGGAGUAGGGAAGAUCAUCCUCCCCGGGUUGAUAAUCCAGGUCACCUGGCCCUGGUGGUGGCUCCUCAGGUGGGGGAUAUAAAUUCACUAAAGUGCUCAUGGACGGAGGCAGCAGCAUCAACAUCCUCUAUUAUGAGAUCUUCCGUCGUAUGGGAUUGAUUGAUAAGAACCUCAGCCAGUCCAAUACUGUUUUCCAUGGGGUGGUGCCUGGUAAGUCGGCAUAUCCAGUUGGUAAGAUCGAGCUGGAAGUGGCUUUUGGAGAUGAGUACAACUACAGAGCGGAAAAACUAAUCUUUGAGGUGGUUAAGAUAAGAAGUACGUAUCAUGCUUUAUUUGGGCGGCCGGCUUACGCCAAGUUCAUGGCACGGCCGUGUUACGUGUAUUUGCAGCUCAAGAUGCCGGGUCACAAUGGGACCAUUACGGUUCAUGGCAGCCGAAAGAUAGCCUUGGAGUGUGAGGAAGGUGACGCGGCUUACGCGGAAUCUAUUUGUGCCACAGAGGAGUUGAAGUUUUACAAGGAGAAUGUUGACCCGGCAGAUAUGACGUCUUUGAAAAAGCCAACCACGGAGCAUGAGCCGGUAAUGAAAUUUAAAUCAGCUGAUGAGACUAAACUCGUUGACUUUGUUCUAGGUGACUCAUCUCAGCAGUUCAGUAUCAGUGCCAAUCUGGAUCCGAAAUAGGAAGGCGCGCUCAUCGAGUUCAUCCGUGAGAACAGGGACAUCUUUGCGUGGAAACCUUCUGACAUGCCAGGUGUACCUAGAGAACUCGCUGAGCACACUCUCAAUAUUGAUCUGAAAUUUAAGCCGGUCAGGCAAUUCCUCCGGCGGUUUAAUGAGGAGAGGCGGAAAGCCUUCGGUGAGGAAGUAGCCUGGCUCUUGGCGGCCGGGUUUAUUGUUGAAGUCUUUCAUCCGGAGUGGUUAGCUAACCCGGUGCUUGUGCUCAAGAAGAACGGCACCUGGCGUAUGUGUGUGGAUUAUACGGAUUUAAACAAAGCCUGUCCGGCUGAUCCUUUUGCUCGCCCCCGUAUUGAUCAAAUUAUCGAUGCUACGGCGGGCUGUGAGCGUUUAAGCUUUUUGGACGCUUACCCUGGAUACCAUCAGAUCAAAAUGGCAGUUAAGGACCAGGAGAAGACAGCGUUCAUCACUCCCUUUGGAGCCUUCUGUUAUGUGUCUAUGCCUUUUGGGCUCAAGAGUGCGCAGGCGACUUACCAACGUUGCGUGCAGAAUUGUCUUCAUCACCAGAUUGGGUGCAACCUUCAUGCCUAUGUGGAUGAUAUCGUAGUUAAAUCCAGAGAGAAGGAGACCUUGAUAGAUGAUCUGAGAGAGACCUUUGAUAAUCUCCGGGUCUACAAGAUGAUGCUUAACCCGGCCAAGUGUGUUUUUGGCGUUCCUGCAGGCAAGCUCUUGGGUUUUCUGGUUUCUCACAGAGGCAUUGAAGCUAACCCGGAAAAGAUCAAGGCAAUUACCUCUCUGGCUAAGCCGGCCUGCAUAAACGAUGUCUAGCGUCUGGCGGGUCGCAUCGCUGCUUUGAGCCGGUUUAUAAGCCAGUUGGGCAAAAAGGCCAUGCCACUGUACCAGAUGAUGAAGAAAACAGAUGACUUUAUCUGGAAUGAUGCUUCUAAUACUGCUUUUGAGGAUUUGAAAAGACAGCUAGCUGAGCCACCAGUCCUUGCUGCUCCUGUUGACAAGGAGCCCUUAUUGCUGUAUGUGGCCGCUAACACACGAGCCGUCAGUGUGGCUGUGGUGGUGGAGCGUAAGGAAGCGAGUAAGGAGUAUCCGGUUCAGCGGCCGGUUUACUACGUCAGCGAAGUACUCAUUGAGUCCAAACAGCGGUAUCCACAUUGGCAGAAGCUUGUUUAUGGUGUGUUCAUGGCAAGCCGGAAGCUUAAGCAUUAUUUCCAGGGUCACCCUAUCACUGUGGUUAGUUCUGCUCCCCUAGGAGAUAUCAUCCAAAACAGAGAAGCCACAGGAAGAGUUGCUAAGUGGGCUAUAGAACUUGGGCCUCAUGGUCUAAAAUACAUGCCGCGCACUGCUAUCAAAUCUCAAGCGUUGGUGGAUUUCAUCAACGAUUGGACAGAGCUGCAGGUGCCUGAAGAGAAACCGGAUAAUACAUACUGGACUAUUCACUUCGACGGGUCUAGGCAAUUGGAGGGCUCGGGGGCUGGAGUUGUAUUAACUUCCUCUCGAGGUGACAAGUUUUGCUAUGUGCUACGGUUGAUGUUUCCCUGUACUAACAAUGCGGCUGAGUACGAGGCCUUGCUCCAUGGUCUUCGGAUGGCUAAGGAGAUGAGCUUGAGCCGGGUAAGGUGCUUUGGCGACUCAGAUUUGGUGGCCCAACAAGUGUCAGGCAAGUGGGAUUCCAAGGACCCUCUCAUGGCGGCUUAUCGCCGCGAAGUUGAUGCCAUUGCUGGACAUUUUCAGGGUUACCAAGUAGAGCACAUCGAUCGCAGGAAGAACGAGGCGGUUGAUGCAUUAAGCCGACUGGGCUCUCAGCGAAAGCCGGUGCCGCCAAAUACUUUCUUGGACAUUUUGUAUAACCCUUCUGUUAAGUUGCCUACAGAGGAAGACUUGGCUGUUCCUGACCCGGAGGCACAGUUGGUGGCGGCUCUCCACAUUACCCCAGACUGGACAGUACCAUACUUGGCUUACAUGACCCGGGGAGAAUUGCCUGAGGAUGAAACUUUGGCCAGACAAAUAACCCGGCGGUCUAAGUCAAUGAUAAUUAUCAAGGGCGAGCUGCAUCAUCGCAGUGUCACUGGAACUUUCCAGCGUUGUGUUUCCCCUGAGGAAGGUCAGGAAAUUUUACGUGAGAUUCACGAGGGGGAUUGUGGCCAUCAUGUCGGCUCGAAAUCCCUUGUGGCCAAGGCUUUUCGCGACGGGCUCAUGUGCCGGCUCAAGAAUUGAGGAUGAUUCCAAUUACUUGGCCAUUUGCGGUCCGGGGGCUUGAUAUGGUUGGGCCUUUUAAAAGAUCCAAGGAUAAGAAGACCCACCUCUUCGUGGCGGUCGACAAGUUCACAAAGUGGGUUGAAGCAGAGCUAGUUAGUAAGUGCGACGAAGCCACGGCGGUUCAGUUCAUGAAAAGGGUGAUAUUUCGCUUUGGUUUUCCACACAGCAUUAUAACUGACAAUGGUACCAAUCUGUCUAAAGGCGCCAUGGAGGAGUUUUGUCAACAAGAGCAUAUUCGACUUGAUGUUUCAUCAGUAGCUCACCCUCAAUCCAAUGGUCAAGCUGAGAGAGCCAAUCAGGAGAUCUUGAAGGGCAUCAAGCCCCGGCUUUUGGUCCCUUUGCAACGGACGCCGGGUUGUUGGGUGGAGGAGUUACCCUCCGUGUUAUGGAGUAUCAAUACUACUCCUAACAGGUCUACGGGUUACACGCCUUUCUUCAUGGUUUAUGGAGCGGAAGCGGUCCUCCCUAGCGACAUCCGUCAUGACUCGCCUCGAGUGGCGGCUUAUGUUGAGGCCGAUAAUGAGCAGGCGCGUCAAGAUGCUCUUGACUUGUUGGACGAACAGCGUGACAUGGCCGCAGCUCACUCGGCGAUUUACCAACAAGACCUGCGCCGUUAUCACAGCCACCGGGUUAAGUCCAGGGUCUUUCAGGAAGGUGAUCUGGUGCUCCGGCUCAUCCAAGAUCCAAUCCAAUGGUCAAGCUGAGAGAGCCAAUCAGGUGAUCUUGAAGGGCAUCAAGCCCCGGCUUUUGGUCCCUUUGCAACGGACGCCGGGUUGUUGGGCGGAGGAGUUACCCUCCGUGUUAUGGAGUAUCAAUACUACUCCUAACAGGUCUACGGGUUACACACCUUUCUUCAUGGUUUAUGGAGCGGAAGCGGUCCUCCCUAGCGACAUCCGUCAUGACUCACCUCGAGUGGCGGCUUAUGUUGAGGCGAUAAUGAGCAGGCGCGUCAAGAUGCUCUUGACUUGUUGGACGAACAGCGUGACGUGGCCGCAGCUCGCUCGGCGAUUUACCAACAAGACCUGCACCAUUAUCAUAGCCGCCGGGUUAAGUCCAGGGUCUUUCAGGAAGGUGAUCUGGUGCUCCGGCUCAUCCAAGAUCAAACAGAUGCACACAAGUUAUCCCCGCCUUGGGAAGGGCCCUUUGUGGUCAGCAAGAACUUGCACAACGGGUCAUACUACCUUAUCGAUGUUCGGGAGCACAAAGAUUCACGUAAGUCGGAGGAAGAGACCCAUCGGCCGUGGAACAUAGCCCAGCUUCGGCCUUAUUACACUUGAGCCACCGGCUCUCGUACUGUAUAUAUUUCUAUAGCCAUGUAUAUAUUAUGAUGAAUAAUAAAGCAGGACCUCUCUCCUUUUUUCCCUCCAAAGGUAAAUGUGUCAAUGUUAUUUUCAUUAUGGUAUCAUAUGAUCACUUGGAGGUUGAUCCGGCUUAUGAUCGUAUUCGAAUCUAGCCGUUAAGUAUAUGAUCACUUGGGGGCUUCCUGUUCAAACAUAGGUCGUAUUCGAACCAAAGAGAACAUAGCUGUCGAUACCCACUUGAUUGGCAUAUUGCCGAGCCCAUUGGGGAGUUUUCUUGAUCAUACUUGAAUCAUAGCUCAACCCCCUUUGGGAACCGACGUGGAUCGUAUUCGAAUCAGCGUCGUUAAACAACUCUCAAGGUCAUUUGGGGGCUUCCUGUUCAAACAUAGGUCGUAUUCGAACCAAAGAGAACAUACUUGUCGGUACCCUCUUGAUCGGCAACGCCAAAGCCACUGGGGGCUAUAUGAUCGCAUUCGAAUCUUAGCUUAACCCCUUUGGGACGGUUCUCUGGUCGUAUUUGAAUCAGAAGCCCCUAAGUUUUUGAUCUUUUGGUUUGCAACAAGUUCUUUGGACCAAAUCAAAAAUGUGCACGGGCGGUUCUUACUCCGCCGGCUUAACUUUGAUUAAUAAUGUUGAUAGCACACAAUAGGCAUUAUAGGUGCUGGUGAACCGGAGUUGCGUUCUCAACCUCAUUAUUUGGGUUACAUGAACCGGAGGGGUACUUGCAAGGCUUGCAGGUAUGCUAUUGUGGUUAUCCCCAAGAUAUGAUUGAGAGCCGGUCUUUUAUGACCUCAGUUUAUAUUCCGGGUUAUAUGUAAGAUAUAUGACUCUCCAUGCGGUAAGCCUCCUAGAGACUUGUGAUUUAUUUUUCUAUGCAGAACAAUUAAAGACAGUUCUUCAAGCUUAAGGAAAGUAAAAACAUAACCCAGAGGAAUAUAAAAGAGCAGCUUCAACGGAAUUAAGCACUGCACACGUGCACGAUGGCACGACAAAAUUAACGGUUUUUCCUACUCUAUUACAGGACUCCCCGAGUCCAAAAGAUGAGGCAUUGUUUAUAAGGCGUAACCAUGAGUUGCCUAAGUAAUCAAGGUGCUUGUUGGGUUGAAGCUUCCGGCUCAUCCCUCCCCGCUCCUCCGGCUGUUUCCAUGACCUGGAAGGUUGAUGAUUUCCCGUCAAUGCCGCUCAAAGCUUCAAAUUGAGCCUCAUCAUCAAUUAACCCGGCCGGGUCAACUUCUGGGGCAAAGGUAUGCUUACGAGUCGGAGGGAUCAGGCUGACUGCUUCAUAGCGUGGCGUUGGGAUCCUCUGAUUCUCCGCGUCAUAGCCCGGCUGAUACUUGGUAAGGUCUGUGUCAUUCCCAAUCAAGGUGGCCACCGGGCGCACGCUCUUCACACAGGCCGCGAAGUCUUUCUGGUCAAAGGGGGUGCCGUCUUCCUUCAGGCUGGGGUAUCCAAGAGCGAUGUCGUCCGGGUCUAGCUCCGGUAGAAACGCCUUGGCCCGGCUCAGAGCAGCUAUAGCUCCGGCUCUUGCAGAAGCCCGUCUCAGCUCUUGGAAGCGUUGAGGAAGUACGGCAAGCCGCCUGAGUACGUCUGCCAGGUGAGUGGAAACCUCAUUGGAUAGAGCCACAACGUCUAAAGCACGCUGUGACCUGGUGUAGAGUUGCUCUACCAAGGUGUAAACAGCCUUCAGCUUGGUCAGCAUGUUCUGAUUCAGAUUGGAGCUUCUGGGGCCUGUAUAACAAAAUCAGGUGAGCUGAUAGCAAUGGAGGGACUUAUGAGACGUGAAUGAUGUAAGCUUAUUUAGAGCUUACAGAGUAACUUACCAAAGAUUGCGGAGGCCAUCUGCGAUACAUGGCGUUUUAAGCCGGAGAGUUCGGCGGUUCUUUCAGUAAGAGCAGCCUCCGCUUGUUCGGCCCGGCUGAGCAGGGCAGUCUUCUCAUCGGCCCAGGCUUUUCUUUCUGUUUCAAAUUUUUUCUUUAGUUUUUCUUGUGCAGAGACACUGAGCUCAAACUUGGCAUUGGCCUUCUGGGUCUCAUUUUCCUGAGUCUUCAGGCGAGUCUUCAGAUCAAAGAUUUCCGACUCAAGUUUCUUGCAGGCAGCCUGUACAAGUUCCGGGUUAUAGUUUGAGUGAUUAUCAUGCAACAUUAAAGUCCCAAGCACUUUGCAAGCAAAGACACUUGGCACUUGGGGGCUAAUGUAGGCGGAGAAGCUUUAUUUACAGUGCCGGUUCAUGAAAAUAAGUCCCAAGUACUUUGCAGGCAAAGGUGUUUGGCACUUGGGGGCUAAUGGGCAAAGUUGCUCAAAUACUUGAGUAAAACAUAAGGUAAAAGACCGGUUCACCUAGACUGUUUAACCCGGCCCUUGAGUGUUACCAGGUAAGCCGGUAUUAAGUCUACAACAUAUUCUAUCAUAAGUAAUAGACUUGGGGGCUAGCAUGGUAAGAAUGACUAUGGAGUAAGCAAGAGAAUAAUACGUCAGAUUUUUGCUGUAUCUGCUUCACCAUGUCAAUUUCCAGGUCCCGGCUGUUGUGCACUUGACCAAUAUAACCAGCGACAAUAUCUCCAAUGCUCAGGUUAGCAUAGUCAGUGAUAUCCAGUCUGGCCCUGCGGCGCUCCAGCAGUUCUUCCUUAGCAGAGCAUCUAGCCAGCACAGUGGGUCUUCCCGGCUCAACAAAUUCGGUCCGGGUAAUCACCACAUCCGGGUCAUCGGCCGGUUGAGCUGGGCUGGGAAUCUCCGGCUUGUCAGAACCCUCCAUGGUUUAUUCUUCAGUUGGAGCGGUGGUUUCUGGAGCUGAUGCAGACGGCGGCUCAGAGGCAGAGGCGUUGGGUUCAGUCAAGACCGGCUCUUCGACCGGGUUACUUUUCUUUGCCCUUUUGCUGAGCUUUGCUUGUGCACUAAAAGUCAAAAGGUUAGUGCAAAAACACGAGUAGGAUAAGCACAAAAUAAGCUGAUCAUCAUUACCCGGGUGCGGUCUUGAAAGCCGGCAAGUUAGAUUGCAUGGAGUCACCGGAGGAAGGUGAAGUUUCCUGAUAGUUUGAAUCAGACGAAUUAAGUGGUUGACGAGUGACGCCCGCUAAAGGAUGAAAAGGAUAUAGGUUGGAGAUAACCUCGGUCCGGCGCUUCCUUGAUGCUUCACGUAAGCCAGAGGAGAGGUCUGCAUCCUUGUUGGUCCGGGUGUGCCUCCGGCUCUCAUGAAUCUGUCGCUUCAAAAGAAAUUGAGGAUCUUGAUAAGCUAAAGGAUGUGAAAAUCUUACUUUCCGGGUUACUCUUCGGACUUUCAGCCUUGGCAAGGGCUCCGAGUCGGAGGAAAGUAUAGUUACCUCUUCAGUCACCGGGUUACUCGCUUCGGUGUCCUCCUGCUGAUAAUCAGUGUCAAUAAGGUGGUUAAGAACAAACAAAAAACAAAGAAGAGCAUAAGAAUCAAGGGCUACCUCUGACUCAGAGGUAUCAUCCAGCUGAAGCAGGUCUGAGGUGCUAGGCUUACUCCCCUUCUUGCGGGGAGAGGCUCUCCUGGCGGCUUUUUUAGCCUUCCUGGCUUUUUUAGCAGCCUCAUGGUCAUACCUGACCUUCCAGAACUUAUCAUUAGCCUGAAAAAUACAACAAAGGUUUCUUGAAGUUAAAGACGAAAAUUGUUAAAAUGGAAAGUAAAGUGCUCAGAUCAGUAGCUUACCGCCGGAGCCGGGUUAGCUUUGCAGAAGGGACUUAAGCCGGUCCUCCCGCAAUCUUCUAAGCUCUCAUUCAGAAGGGACUUGGUCAUGUCAUCAAUGACGUCUUCAGGUAAGUCGUUGGGGCUGUGCCGAAGAGGAUCAUCCUUCCGGCCCGUGUAAUCACACAUUAAGCCGGGGCGGCGGCUUAGAGGAAUCACCCGCCAAGCAAUCCAGACCCGGACCAGAUCAACGCCGUUAAGGCCGUUUCCCAGAAGAGCUUUGAUUUUGUUGAUGGUGGGGAUGAGUGGUUGACGCUCAGCUUGAGAUAAUUUGUCUGGCAGGGGGUGGUUUGACUCCAGACGCAGGGCGCGAAAGCCGGGCAGAGGGUUCUCAUCAGCCGGAGAAGUAUCCUGGCAGUAGAACCAUGUCUGAUUCCAGUCCUUUGGGUGGCUUGGCGGCUCAGCAUAAGGAAAGAGACAAUCCCUCUGUCGUUGAAUUGAUAUUCCACCAAGUUCCAAGCUAGGCCCAUUGGCGCAUUCAUUUUGGCGGUUCAGGUAAAAUAACUCCCUAAAGAGUAGCAGGCUGGGUUCCUCUCCAAGGUAUACCUCACAGAACACUUGAAAGUUACAAAUGUUCGACACGGAAUUGGGUCCAAUGUCUUGAGGACGCAGAUCGAAAAAGUUCAGAACAUCUCUGAAGAAUUUUGAGCCAGGAGGAGCAAAGCCCUGGCUCAUGUGGUCAGCAAAUACAACAACCUCUCCGUCUUUUGGUUGAGGUCUCUCUUCGGACGGGUCAGGCGCACGGUAGGACAUGACCUCCUUUUUGGGCAGGUAACCCGUUUUUACGAAGUCAUCUAAGGUGCUUUCAGUAACGUUGGACCUCACCCAGUUGCACGUAAUGGGUGCCUUGGGAGCCUUGGGCAGCAUUCUGGAAAAUGGAAGCCUAUGACAAAGGAAAAAUUCCGGUUCAAAUUUAAGCCGGAGAAAAAUUUCAGUUCAGUAUUCAGGACGGCGGUUUAUGAAGGGGCCUAAUGAUAUAUGACUAAUGGUGUCAGGUUAUUUAAGCCGCCGUGGGUAUUAUAAGCAAUUUAAGUUAUUUAACCCUAUAUGAGUAAGCCGGAAAUUUCCCAAAGCAUGGCUUCUGUUAAGCCGGUGAUAUGAGCCGUCAUGGCUAACAGAUGCAGUUUUUGUCUAAGAGUUGCAUAAACAAGUUUCACAGAUCGCAGGGAUUAUUUUGGAUCAAACGAUCGUCCAGAAAGGAAAAAUUUCUAGACCUAAAAAGCUGAUACAGAGAAGUUCAUAAGCUCUAAACGAGAUCUUUUUGCGGGCAAGAGGGAUCUGCUAGCAUAAGAAUGGGUGAGAAACUACUACCGCAGGAAUUUUGUACCAUUUUCGGAUCAAAAGGAGCCGUGGUGGAGGAACUGUGAAGAACUUGAGAUGAAACUACGAAGAACAGGGGAGGAGGAUAGAACCCUAAUGCGAAUCUACUAUAUGGAGUGGCAAGGACUUACUGGCGCUGAUGAGCCGCGGAGGUCGCCGCCGUUUCUCUGGACCAGUUCAGGGUGAUGCAGCGGCCGAGGUUGAGGAAGACGAGAGGCGCGGCGGCGGCGGUGGAGCUCGGGCUCUGGAGCGUCAGAGGAGGAAGAUGAUGGAGGAGAAGAGUGACGAAGGCUUAUGGGCCAGGCCUAUUUAUAAGGGGCGGCUGGUAAGUGGGCGCGAGAAACGAGGAGGCCGAAGACGUGAUUAUCUUGCCGCAGAAACGCCUCGAUUCUCGGAUGGUCAUUAAGAUAAGAUCCAUUAGGAUAUGACAGAAUAAAAAAUGAGUUUAAUGGAAGAUGACGUCAUGGCUGGUUACCAAGAAUCCAGAAGAUGACGUCACGGCGGGUUAUAACCUUUGCACAGGCAGAAGCCGGAAGAUUUUGAAGAUUUUGAAGAUUGACAUGAGCCGGCUCAAGUCAAUCUGGGGCCUAAUGUUGAGGAUAUGACCAUUAGAAUCACCCGCCCAGGAGGGGCCGGGUUAUGUCAUAAUGAUCAUCACGUGAAGCCCAGUAUCAAGCUUAAGGAUGGCGGAUCAAUAGUGGGCUUAAGACCCGGAGGCGGCUUAAGGCCCGAAGUGAUAAACCGCCGUUAUGGCAAUGACUUGUAAAGUAAGGCAAGAUUAGUUAAAAGUCCGAGCCGGAUAUUGUUAUAAGCCGGCCGGGACUCUGAGAGCCGCGCGGCAUCAACCUCUCUAUAUAAAGGGAUGACCCGGCGGCGAUUCAGGACGAGAGACAACAGAUCGAGAGCCAGGCGCGAUUAAGCUCCCUGGUCAUCGAAACCUUAAGUAAUACCACCUCAACUGGACGUAGGCUUUUACCUUCACCGUAAGGGGACGAACCAGUAUAACCCUCGUGUUCCUUGUCCCGCUUAACCCCUUUAAUCUUCCUAGCUGCGAUGGCUCCACGACUAAGUCCUUGCACGAGGACAUCUGCCGUGACAAUUCCACGACACCUCUCGUUGCUAUGCAUCAUGAUACGUCUCCGUCUUAUCUACUUUUCCAAACACUUUUGCCCUUGUUUUGGACUCUAACUUGCAUGAUUUGAAUGGAACUAACCCGGACUGACGCUGUUUUCAGCAGACUUUCCAUGGUGUUAUUUAUGUGCAGAAACAAAAGUUCCCGGAAUGACCUGAAACUCCACGGAACGUCUAUUUGGAAAUAAUAAAAAAUCUUUGCAAAAGAUGAAGACCAGGGGGGCCACACCCUAGCCACGAGGGUGGAGGCGCGCCUGCCCCCCUACCUCGUGGGCCCCCUGGAGCUCCUCCGACCUCAACUCCAACUCUAUAUAUUUGCUUUCGGGGAGAAAAAAAUAAGAGAGAAGGAUUCAUCGCGUUUUACGAUAUGGAGCCGCGGCCAAGCCCUAAAACCUCUCGGGAGGGCUGAUCUGGAGUCCGUUCGGGGCUCCAGAGAGGGGGAUUUAUCGCCAUCGUCAUCAUCAACCAUCCUCCAUCACCAAUUUCAUGAUGCUCACCGCCGUGCGUGAGUAAUUCCAUCGUAGGCUUGCUGGACGGUGAUGGGUUGGAUGAGAUUUAUCAUGUAAUCGAGUUAGUUUUGUUAGGGUUUGAUCCCUAGUAUCCACUAUGUUCUGAGAUUGAUGUUGCUAUGACUUUGCUAUGCUUAAUGCUUGUCACUAGGGCCCGAGUGCCAUGAUUUCAGAUCUGAACCUAUUAUGUUUUCAUGAAUAUAUGUGAGUUCUUGAUCCUAUCUUGCAAGUCUAUAGUCACCUACUAUGUGUUAUGAUCCGGCAACCCCGAAGUGACAAUAAUCGGGACCACUCCUGGUGAUGACCGCAGUUUGAGGAGUUCAUGUAUUCACUAUGUGUUAAUGCUUUGUUCCGGUACUCUAUUAAAAGAAGGCCUUAAUAUCCCUUAGUUUCCAUUAGGACCCCGCUGCCACGGGAGGGUAGGACAAAAGAUGUCAUGCAAGUUCUUUUCCAUAAGCACGUAUGACUAUAUUCCGAAUACACGCCUACAUUACAUUGAUGAAUUGGAGCUAGUUCUGUGUCACCCUAUGUUAUGACUGUUACAUGAUGAACCGCAUCCGGCAUAAUUCUCCAUCACCGCUCCAAUGCCUACGAGAUUUUCACAUAUUGUUCUUCGCUUAUUUACUUUCCCGUUGCUACUGUUACAAUCACUACAAAACACCACAAAUAUUACUUUUCCUACUGUUACCUUUGUUACCGUUACCACUACUAUCAUAUUACUUUGCUACUAAACACUUUGCUACAGAUACUAAGUUAUCCAGGUGUGGUUGAAUUGACAACUCAACUGCUAAUACUUGAGAAUAUUCUUUGGCUCCCCUUGUAUCGAAUCAAUAAAUUGGGUUGAAUACUCUACCCUCGAAAACUGUUGCGAUCCCCUAUAAUUGUGGGUUAUCAAGACUAUUUUCUGGCGCCGUUGCCGGGGAGCAUAGCUCUAUUCUUUGAGUCACUUGGGAUUUAUAUCUGCUGGUCACUAUGAAGAACUUGAAGGACGCUAAGACAACAAUUUAUCCCUCAACUACGAGGGGAGGUAAGGAACUGCCAUCUAGCUCUGCACUUGAUUCACCUUCUGUUUUGAGUAAGCUUGCGACACCUAAACCUGCUUCUGCUAUUCGUUCUGAUAUGUCGCAUGUUAUUGAUGAUGCCACUUCUGCUAUGCAUGAUACUUAUCAUGAAACUACUUCUAUGCUUGAUACUACUGUGCCACUUGGUGAAUUUCUUGAUGAACAAAUUUCUAGGGCUAGAGAGAAAGAAAAUAUUGAAACUGAUUAUAUUGAUGAAAGUGGUGAUGAAGACUUGCAUGUUAUUCCUGAGGGUUAUGUUUUUGAUAAAGAAGCUACUUUAGCUAUUUUAGCUUGCAAAGAUAGAUAUGAACUCAAGAGGUUAUUAGCUAAAUGGAAGCAGCAAUCUCUUAAUGAUAGAAUGAAACCUGACCCUGCUUUUGCUCCUUCACCUAUCUGUGUUACUGAUAAGGAUUAUGAAUUCUCUGUUGAUCCUGAUAUAAUUACUUUGGUUGAAUCUGAUCCUUUUCAUGGCUAUGAAUCUAAAACUGUUGUGGCACAUCUUACUAAAAUUAAAUGAUAUAGCCACCCUGUUCACUAUUGAUGAGAGAUCUCGCUACUUCUAUAUCCUUAAAAUAUUUCCAUUCUCAUUAAAGGGUGAUGCUAGGAUAUGGUUUAAUUCUCUUGAUCCUGGUUGUGUGCAUAGUCCCAGGACAUGAUUUAUUACUUCUCUGCUAAAUAUUUCCCUGCUCAUAAGAAACAAGCUGCUUUGAGGGAAAUAUACAACUUUGUGCAAAUUGAACAAGAGAGUCUCCCACAAGCUUGGGGGAGGCUUCUCAAGUUACUUAAUGCUUUGCCUGAUCAUCCUCUUAAGAAAAAUGAAAUACUUGAUAUCUUUUAUAAUGGACUAACCGAUGCUUCUAGACAUUACCUAGAUAGUUGUGCUCAUUCUGUUUUGAGGGAAAGAACACCGGAUGAAGCUAAAAUUUUAUUGAAUAAUAUGUUGACAAAUGAAAAUAAUUAGACACUUCCUGAGCCAGCUCCUGAGCCAAUUCCUGAGCCUAUUCCUAAACCAACUCCGAAGAAGAGAGGUGUUCUAUUUCUCAGUCCUGAAGAUAUGCAAGAGGCAAAGAAAUCUAUGAAAGAAAAAGGUAUAAAAGCUGAAGAUGUUAAGAAUUUACCCCCUAUUGAAGAAAUACAUGGUCUUAAUUUACCGCCUGUUGAAGAAACAUAUGAUCUUAACCCAUUACCCAUUGAAGAAACUCAUGGUCUUGGUAACCCGACACAGGUAGUAAAGGUAAAUUCUCUCUAUAGAUAUGAUAAAGCUAAAAUCCCUCCUACUAAAAUUGCUAGCCAAUGCUUGGAUGAGUUUGAUAAAUUUAUGGUUAAGCAAGAAGAUUUCAAUGCUUAUUUUGGUAGACAAUUAAAACAAAAUGCUUAUAUGAUUGAGCACUUGGGUGAUUAUAUGGCUAAUGUUAAAGGUGAACUUAAACUCAUUAGCAAACAUGCUUCUAUGGUUACCACUCAAGUAGAACAAGUACUUAAGGCUCAAAAUGAUUUGCUCAAUGAAAUGAAUAGUAAGAAAAAUGAUUAUGCUGUUAGAGUGGCUACUAGAACUGGUAAAAUGACUUAGGAACCUUUGUAUCCUGAAGGCCACCCUAAGAGAAUUGAGCAAGAUUCUCAGAGAAAUAAUAUUGAUGCACCUAGUCCUUCUAAAAAGAAGAAAAAGAAAAAUGAUAGGACUUUGCAUGCCUCUAGUGAACCUAUUGUUGAAACACUUGAGAAUCCAAAUGAUAUCUCUAUUUCUGAUGCUGAAACACAAUCUGGUAAUGAACAUGAACCUAAUGAAAAUGCUAAUGAUGAUGUUCAUGAUGAUGCUCAACCUAGUAAUGAUAAUGAUGUAGAAAUUGAACCUGCUGUUGAUCUUGAUAACCCAUAAUCAAAGAAUCAACGUUAUGAUAAGAGAGACUUUGUUGCUAGGAAACAUGGUAAAGAAAGGGAACCUUGGGUUCAGAAACCCAUGCCUUUCCCUCCCAAACCAUCUAAGAAAAAGGAUGAUGAGGAUUUUGAGCGCUUUGCUGAAAUGAUUAGACCUAUCUUUUUGCGUAUGCGAUUAACUGAUAUGCUCAAAAUGAAUCCUUGUGCUAAGUAUAUGAAAGAUAUUGUUACAAAUAAAAGAAAGAUACCGGAAGCUGAGAUUUCCACCAUGCUUGCUAAUUAUACUUUUAAGGGCGGAAUACCUAAGAAACUUGGAGAUCCAGGAGUACCAACUAUACCAUGCUCCAUUAAAAGAAACUAUGUUAAAACUGCUUUAUGUGAUCUUGGAGCCGGUGUUAGUGUUAUGCCUCUCUCUUUAUAUCGUAGACUUGAUUUGAAUAAGCUGACACCUACUGAAAUAUCUUUGCAAAUGGCUGAUAAAUCAACUGUUAUACCUGUCGGUAUUUGUGAGGAUGUGCCUGUUGUGGUUGCAAACGUUACUAUUUUAACGGACUUUGUUAUUCUUGAUAUUCCCGAAGACGAUAGUAUGUCUAUUAUUCUUGGAAGACCCUUUUUGAAUACUGCAGGGGCUGUUAUUGAUUGCAACAAAGGCAAUGUCACUUUUCAUGUUAAUGGUAACGAGCACACGGUACACUUUCUGAGGAAACAACCUCAAGUUCAUGGUAUCAAUUCUAUUGGGAAAAUGCCAUCGAUUAUUUUUGGAGGUUUUGAAUUUCCUCUUCCUACUGUCAAGAAGAAAUAUGAUAUUCUUAUUAUAGGGGAUGUGCAUAUCCCCGUUGAGGUAACAUAGUGUUAUUUGAAAUUUCUCCGGUUCCAUGUUAUUCAAAAUGAGUUUGUUAACAAGACGUGAUCAACCUUUUUAGUGGAUUCCUUUUGAUGAGAAUGAGAUGGAUGAAACUAGAAGGCACAACCUUCUGUACCCUCUUUCUACUUUCUGUUAUUUAGUUGAAAUAAAGUAAAAUUAGUAGUUUCCUGUCUGUUUCCUGAUUUAUCCGUGCAAUAUAGAAAUACCCGGAAAAUAAAAGUUCUCCAAAUGCCCUGAAAAUGGAAUAUGAUUUUUUCUAGAAUUUUUUAGAAUAUCUGGCACUGAGAACACAGCAGGAGGGGCAAGCACCUGGCCACGAGGGUGGAGGGCGCGCCCUACCCCCCUGGGCGCGCCCCUGCCUCGUGGGCCCACGGUGGCUCCCCUCCACUUAUUCCUGCACCCACACACUUCUUCUUCCUCCCACAAACACCAAUAUCCAGCUCAAGCACGAGUUCUAGCUCAUUUUGCUGCGAUUUUCGAUCUCCUUGCUCAAAGCACCUCUCACAAAACUGCUUGGGGGAUUGUUCCUUGAUAUGUGACUCCUCCAUUGGUCCAAUUAGUUUCUCCUUGUUCUUGAGCUUGCAUGUCAAAUUUAUAUGGUUCCAAGUAGUUCUAAUGCAUGACAUGGUCUCUAAGAACUUGUAGGAGUAGUUGCUAUCAAUUUUGUUGAGUUUGUUUUACUUUUGUUUGAAGUUACUAAAAAUUUCAGAAUUUUUCAGAAAAUAAUGAAGAAAUUUUUGAGGGGCUCAUCGAGCCGAAGCUCGAAGGAAAAGCAAAAUGAAGAAGCACAGAGGCCCAAAUAUAAUUUGCCUCGCACCGCGGAGGUUCGGCCUGUGAAUGGCCUUCCGAUGAUUUCUUGAGAGAAGCCGGGAUUUAUGAUGAUUUCUAUUCAUUGGCUGAGAAUGCUGGCCUCACCGACUUCGUCCGCGACCAACGUCAUCAGUAUCUCUUACUCACUAAUACUUUUGUGCAAAACUUCUACUAUUUUCCUAAGGAAUCACCUCCUUCAGUAGAGUUUCAUUUAUAUGAUGUUGUUAAGAAAAUGCCACUAGAUGAAUUUUGCAAGGUUUGCAAAAUACCCUUCGAGGGUACCUUAGAUGAACCACAUCGUAAAGAUAUGGACGGGUUUAUUGACACCAUUACUGUGGGGGAAACCAGGAAGGUUUCCGACGCAAGAAUCACUAGCAUACAUUUUCCUGUUUUGCGCUACUUUACCAUAUUUGCUAGUCGUUGCUUGAUUGGUCGUGGAAACUGUGGAAACCUUAGUGUUCCUGAUAUUAUCAUUUUGUUCCAUGGUUUAUUUUCCGAUAACACUGUUAGUAUGGGCGGUAUUAUUGCUAAACGGUUAAGUUUGAACCGUACAAAGGGCCCUAUCUUUGGAGGUAUUUAUGCUUCACGCCUUGCUGCACAUUAUAACAUACCUAUUAGGCUCUAUGAGAAAGAAGAAAAAUUUCUGCCCAAUGCUUAUUUAGAUUAUAAGAGUAUGGUAGCGCACGACUUUAUUGUUAAGAAUAAGGAAGGGGAGCUUAAAUACAAAUUGUUCUUUGAUAAACAUCACCCUGAGACUAUUACCUUGCCUGCUCCUUCCUUGUUUAAUUUAUCUGCAGGCCCGUAUCUCGUUUCGUGGGCGGCCAUUUACGCUUAUAGGAACCCUACACCAGCCCCUGAGCCGGAACCACAAUUUGAGCCUCCAUGACAGUCUGAUUACUUUUGGGAUCCCGAGAUGACUGCCAGCCAGUGGCAAUCAGAGUCUUCUUCAUCUCAGUACGACCCCGGCUACAACUAUGGAUAUCCGCCAGGCCAUCCGUGGCAAUAAACCAACUUAGGCCAAAAGCCUAAGCUUGGGGGAGUACGUAUUUCCCACCGACAUUACAUUUAUGUUUACACACACUCAUUGCUAGAUGUCGGUGCUCAUACUCUUUCACUGUAAUAUCCAUGCUAGUUUAUUUUCUUUUUCUCGCUUUCUUCUUGUGUGUUUAAUAAACCUUAAGAAAAACCAAAAAAAUAGUGUAGCUUUUAGCUAGUUUACUUUUCUUGAUGUAGUAGUAAUAAUUAAAAAGAAAACCCAAAAAUAUUUCCUAUUCUUCUUUUGCCUGUUGGGAGCUUUCCCGUGUAAAUAGCUUUAUCUCUUUUCUUUUCUUUGGGGGUCGAUAGGAGAAGACCAUGAUUAAAUUGUUGAAGUGGCUCUUAUAUGCAUUAUUGUUGAUUUAACCAAGAGCCCAUAUUGCCUUGUCUUCUCCUGUUUAUUGAAUGAUCGCAGAUUCCAGUUUAGUCCAAUGCAUGUGCACUCUUAUUAUUAUUCACUUCGUUCGGUCGUGCAAGUGAAAGGCAAUUAUGACGAUAUAUGAUGGACUGACUGAGAUGAGAAAAGCUGGUAUGAACUCGACCUCUCUUGUUUUUGUAAAUAUGAUUAGUUCAUCGUUCCUGAUUCAGCCUAUUAUGAAUAAACAUGUUUGCAAUGACAAUUAGAGAUCAUAGUUGCUCAUGCCAUGCUUGAUUAGCUAUGAGUUAUAAUGGUUUACCUUGCAUGCCAACAUGCUAUUGAAAUGGUUGUGAUGUGGCAUAGUGGGGUGGUAUCCUCCUUUGAAUGAUUUAAGUGACUCGACUUGGCACAUGUUCACACAUGUAGUUGAAACAAAAUCAACAUAGCCUUCACGAUAUUUAUGUUCAUGCUGGAUUAUAUCCUACUCAUGCUUGCAUCCAAUGUUUAUUAAUUUUAAUGCAUGUUCAUGACUGUUGUCGCUCUCUAGUUGGUCGCUUCCCAGUCUUUUGCUAGCCUUCACUUGUACUAAGCGGGAAUACUGCUUGUGCAUCCAAUACCUUAAACCCCAAAGUUAUGCCAUAUGAGUCAACUAUACCUUCCUAUAUGCGGUAUCACUACAAGAAAUAUGUCAACUUGUGACCUUGACUAUUGGUCACUGAAAGGUCAUUGUUUUUCAUUUGCAACCUUUUUGUGACCAAAAACAGAAGGUCAAAAGCUGGCAGUCGUAAACUGAAAUUAACGACCUUCUCUGUGAGAAGGUCGUAGACGUUUACGACCAAAACAGAAGGUCGUUGAACCCAUGACCUUUUGUUUUGGUCACUGGCUGUCUGCCCAGGCCACGUCGGAUCCGACGUGGCAAUCUGACAUGGCAAAAUUGCGACCAAUUGAAAAGUUCGAAAAUUAGAAUCGGCCCGGUCCAAUUGGGUGUUUAUAUGGGCCGAGCCCAUUAAUUCAGCCUUUCUAUAUUUUUUUUUCCUGUCAAACUUUGGUCGACUUCAUGGGCCAAGCCCAACAAUUUGGCCUUUUUAUUUCAUGGGUCAUGGCCUUUUUGUACCAACCGUUUUAGUUUUUUUAUAUAAAAUGGGUCCACUAGUCAAACAGGUCCCACUUGUCAGGUUCUGAUAAGUGAGUCCCAGCUAUUAGGCCCAGAUUCUUCAUAUUUCAAUUUGACAAUAAUAAAAUAACCAGUAGUAUAUACAAGCUUAUUUACAAGCUCUACAAAUGACACGUCCUACAAGAUGUAGCAUUUACAAGUUCUACAAGUUACACGUAAUACAAGCUUAGUUGAUAGAAGCUCUACAACUAUGGGAAUCAGUUACAAGCUCUACAAGUUUUUUCUUCUUCUACAUGUAGCUCCUUCAAUAGCGAUCAAAAUCCGGACUCACUGGAGGGCCAUAGUCAGGACUGGGCCUUCCACGGACGCCCUGUUACAUGAAUCAGCUGAUAAAAAUUAGAAAAACUGGAGCCAAUAUAUUAUGAACAUUCUAUUCAAAAAAGGAGUAAAGGACAUUCUUUGUUUCAUCACGUUACAAAGGAGCAGCACACACCACAACUUUACUCGACACACACACAUACACACAUGAAUAUUAAGCUCAGUUCCAGCAACUAUAUCAUGGUUUAACAGCUGGCCUCAGCAUCAUCAAACCACCAUGCUUAUGAUCAUAAUCUAAGCAUAUCAUCAAACAAAACCUACACAGAUAAAGAUCACAUCACAUCAAGCCACAAGCGCACCAGCGCUGGCAUGAGAUUCAACGCAACAGCAAUGGGGCUACCACAACAGCAUCAAAAACCUAAGCAUACUAGAGAAAAUAGAUAGUUGGUGCUGGAGGGACUCGUGAAUUACCUCAAUGGCGUACUUGAUGGGUGAUGAUGGUCCUUCUAAUGGAAGUAGUUGUCGUCCACAGUUAAGAGGUUUCAUACAUCUGUCUACAACAAUCAGCAAACCAGAAAUCAGAACGAAUACUUCAAUCUCAUAAGAAGUUUAAAAAAGACUAUAGUAGGACAGAAAUAUGUGGACUACUUCUAAAAUGGUACAUAUAGCACAUGCCUAAACAAAUAUGUGCUUUCAAGGUUGAAAGCUUUAACAUAGAACGCUAAAUAAUUCGUUGCCCAAAAGGUGCUAUAUAUACACCAAGUCAUCAGAAACCAUAUGUAGAAUUUAUAAACGUAGGAGCAGAAUUUCUAAAAGAAGUACACCAUUACGUAGUGCUACAGCAAAUGUGAAAUGCUUGAUGAUGUACAUGAAUUCACAUUUAGAAGGAAAGAAAUGUACUGUAAAACGUUCCAUAUCUGAAACAUAUUCACUCAACUAAAAGAAGGUCGAGUAUUACUUGCAAAUGAAAACAUGCUAGAACCUUUCUGUCAAUUUAUGAGAAGUAGAACCACUGUGCCACUUGGUUGUUCUUUAAAUAAAAAAAUGAGUUGUAACGCAGGCUAACAGAAACGCUAUGAGCAUCGUUUGAGCAGGCCAUCCAGGAUGAUGUACAAAUCAUAAUGAAAGCAUGAUUAUAUAUUUCAGGAUGAUGUACAAAUCAGAAUGAAAGCAUAGAGCUGACAAGUUUGAUGAGCUUCGAUAUGAAGAGAAGAAUAGAGAUACUAGGUAAUUCAGUGGGUUUGGGCUUGACAACAGGAAGCAGGAACACAUCAAUUGAUGAAAACAAGAUGCUGAAUUAUAUUUGGUAGUAUAUAUACUGUGGUAUACUAUGUUCGUGUCAAGGGCAACUUUCCUACCAGUGCCUAAAAACAUUGUAAACAAGUACAAAUACUCCGUUAUUACAAGUACAAAUGGACUUGGACUGGGCGACGACGAUAUCAGGGGAAAAGAGUCAAGUUCUUGAUUAGUUAAGAAAAGCUCUAUUUUCAAGAAACUUUCACAUCAGAAAACUAAAGGAAACUUAAUUACUUCUCAAUACUAUGGAGUCACACUUUCAGAAAACCUGUCUAUGUAUAUACAAACUUGAGAGAUUAGCCGUGCAAAGGUUCAGUGGAUCCAAAUAAACAUGCACAUCAGAAAACUAGAGGAACAGACGAACAGUCAACACGUAUAUAUCUAGUCAAUAAAAUAUCUACUACACAAGUGCAUACAGUACUCAACAUCUACUACACAAGUGCAUACAGUACUCAACAUCUACUACACAAGUGCAUACAGUACUCAACAUUCACUCAAAUUAUGUUGUGCAGGAUCGCACCAUUCCAUUUUCACUCAAAGUACAAUAGUACAUCACAUUUUUGGAUUAUCACCAAAGGCAAAACUACUCCUGACUAUGAUCAUCAACAUCUACUACUCCUAACUACUCCCUGUGCAAUCCUACUCUGCAGUAAAACUUCCUCACCCUCCAUUCACCCUGUUCAAGCAGUACUGUAGUAAAACUACUCCUAAUGCUACAACAGUUAACAGCAAGUGAAAUUACUGUGAUGUGCAAAAUUUACAGUAAAUACUGCACUGAAUAUUACUGAAACUUAACAGAAGUUAACUAAGCUUUUUCAGUUUCAGAAUAUACAAGUCAGAAAAUAAGCUUGCAAGCAAGUUUAUGUAAGUAAUGCACACUGGAGUACAAUACUUCUAUGGAUUUCUGCAAAUAAUUCAUGAUUUUCUAAUUAAUCCAAGAUGUCCAUUUAAUUAACUGGAAAAGUAAGUUAAAUCUUGUUGAAUCUUGUUAAAUACUCCAAGCAAAUUACUCCACACAUCUACAGUUCAAUCUUGUUAAAUACUCUAAGCAAAAUUACUGGAGUACUAAAAGUUAAAUGUGUUGCACAUGUCUCAAGGAACCAGCAGGGCUGCUUGCUCCCUUGGUCCAGCUCCUUGCUGUGCAGGAUGACCGAGACUCGGAUGCAGAGCGAGCUCCCUGCAAAUGACAUAUUGUAUCAAGGCUUUGCAGCAACAAAAGGAACUCACAUACAAUAGAACUUGUGCAAUAGUGUAGCAACACCCCAAAGGAGGCAUUACAAAAUUCUCAAAUAAUGUUUCCGAAGGGAUUAACCUCACAGCAACACACCAACCUGAAUAUACUACCACUGUACUGGCACCACCAUACAUUCAACCAAUAGGAUAUAACAAAUACCAAGUCAGGCAGCACAUGCAGAUAACUAUGUUUGUGCAAAUCAGAUCUUCUGCAUAGAACAGUACAUCCUAUUAAAAAGAAUACAGAGAUAAUCAUAGUAUUCUACUGCAUCCCAGUUCCAAUCAAGGGUCGUUUACCAUGUGAAAACUAGAUCUAUAAUUAGGAAAACCUGCCAACAGAACCGCACAAAGCCUCCUAUUGCACAAAUCAAGAGCAGUCGUCGAACGGGACUCAUCACAUCGACGAGUACAAAAGAACAAGAACCGGGCGAGGGAUGGGGGAACAGGGAACGGACGGCACCUACCUCGAUGGAACGAAACCUCUCCUCCUGCACCUCCUCCUCGAGCAGAGCUGGGCCGAAGCUAGGCGCAACCCUCAUCCAUCUCGAGCAGGGCAAGGUCGGCGCCCUCCUGCCGUCAUCGCCAUCUCCACGCCAUGAUGACCUGCAGCAAAGGGACGGAUAGGAGGAGAAGGUGAGGAGGAGCGGGUGGAUCUGGGCGAGGAAGGAGGGGAAGGGCCUGCCUGGACAACAACGGUGACGGAUCUCGCGAGCUCACGUGCGGGUGAAGGUGGCCAUGGACCUCGCGGAGAGGCCCGCGUACAGCGAUGGUGGCUGGGGGCUCGCGGCUGCGGGCACGUCGGGAGGCGCGGCCGGCCCGGAGAUCACGGCGGUGCGGAGGGCCGGGUAGGCGAGGACGCGGCGGAGCAGGGGGCUUGAUGAGCGACCAGAGCCCCGGCACGGCCAGCACGAAGACCCCAGCGAGCUGUAGAAGCUCGCCUGUCAGUACCCCAUCCCCGCCGGCGCGGGGGUGGCCAUGGAUGGGCGCGGGGGUGGCGAUGCGGUGAGGAAGGGCUCGCCGGUGGAGCUGAUGGGGAGGCGGCGGCGGCGAUCUGGAAUGGACGGGUGGCGGCGAGGGCUGGAGGGGAGGGGAUCGAGAGGAGCUCAGCGGAUCUGGAAGAGGAGAGGAGGAGAAGAGAGCGAGGGAAAGAAAGGAGGCGGGGGGUGGAUGCAAAAUGACCACAGGGCAGAGCUAGGGUUUCGGGGAUGGUGUGGAAGGGCCGAGGACUGCCGUUGGAUCCACGAACAUCCGACAGUGUUCAAUGCAUGAUCCGCGUGAGACGUCCACGGACCAAUCAGAAUACAGUACGACCUUAUGACCAUUUAAAUUGGUCAAAAAAUUCAUUUUCUACUUUUCGAGUGCCUAAAUUGAGUUUUUUUGUAAAUGACCUACCAUAUAUUUGUUGCAAAAUGGGACUAGAUCAUUUUUAUAAUAUAUUAGUCCAUAUUUAAUGUAUAAUUGACAAAAUGGUUGGUUGUCCAAAGUUUUUAUACACCUCUGGUGAAAAAGACAAAAUUCCGCCGUUUCAGCAGGAAGCGGGUCAAACUUGAACUACAGCUGCCUCAUAGUUUGCUCUUUAUUUUUUCCAAAAAUCAUUUCUAUGUACAUAAGUAUCUAUUUAAUCAGAGAAACACCAAAAAAAAUUCCAAGAUUCAACCACUAGCUAGGAAUGGUCAUGACCGCCGUUUUGACCGCAUUUUGAAACGGGCAUGAAAAAUUCAAAAAAAUCAAAAAAAUGGAAAACCUUCGCGUUGUGUCAUUAUAUGUGGCCAAGUUACCAGGAAAAAUAAUAAACUUGUAAUACGAUAACUCUUUUAAAAAGUGUUCUCAUAAACGAGCUAUCAUGUGUGGAGAUCAAUGGCAUUCAAGCCAAAUGAUCAAUCUUAUGGCCACAUUCACGACAUAGUUUGUUAAAAUGAUCUCAUAUAGUGAACAAGGGUGCAUAUUGGAAUGGCAAACAAUGUUGUCUAAGGAAGUUUUCAUUUUCUUUGAACGAAAAAAUCAUUUUCCAUUUUUUGAGAGCCCAAAAUGAGGGGUUUUUUUGUGAAGGACCUACCAUAUAUUUGUUGCAAAAUUGGACCAAAUAAAUUUUCUAAAAUAUUAGGCCAUAUUUAAUGCACAAAUGACCAAAUGGUUGGGUGUGAAAAGAUUUUAUCCACCUCUGGUGAAAAAGAGAAACUUCUGUCGAUUCAGCACGAAGCGGGUCAAAUUUGAACUACAGCUGCCUCAUAGUUCACUCUUUCUUUUUACCAAAAAUCAUUUCUAGGUACAUACAUAUCUAUUUAAUCAGAGAAACACCAAAAAAUCCAAGAUUCAACCACUAGCUAGGAACGGUCAUUCCCGUCGUUUUGACCGCAUUUUGAAACAAACAUAAACAAUUCAAAAAAAAUCAAAAAAUUGCAAAACAUUCGCAUUGUGUCAUUAUAUGUGGCCAAGUUACCAUGAAAAAUAAUAAACUUGUAAUACGAUAAGUUUUUUAAAAAGUGUUCUCAGAAACGAGCUAUCAUGUGUGGAGAUUAAUGGCACUCAAGCCAAAUGAUCAAUCUUAUGGCCACAUUCAUGACAUAGUUUGUUAAAAUGGUCUCAUAUUGUGCACAAGGGUGCAUAUUGGAAUGGCAAACAAUGUUGCCUAAGGAAGUUUUCAUUUUCUUUGGACGAAAAAAUCAUUUUUCAUUUUUCGAGCGCCCGAAAUGAGGUUUUUUUGUGAAGAACCUACCAAAUAAUUGUUGCAAAAUUGGACAAAAUCAAUUUUAUAAAAUACUAGGUCAUAUUUAAUGCACAAUUGACCAAAUGGUUGGAUGCCAAAAGCUUUGUUCCACAUCUGGUGAAAAAGACAAAUUUCCGCCGAUUCAGUAGGAAGCGGGUCAAAUUUGAACUGCAGCUGCCUCAUAGUUUGCUCUUUAAUUUUUCCAAAAAUCAUUUCUAGGUACAAAAGUAUCUAUUUAAUCAGAGAAACAUCAAAAGUUUUCCAAGAUUGAACCACUAGCUAGGAACGGUCAUUCCCGCCGUUUUGACCGCAUUUUGAAACGGGCACAAAAAAUUCAAAAAAAUCAAAAAAUUGGGAAACCUUCGCAUUGUGUCAUUAUAUGUGGCCAAGUUCCCAGGAAAAAUAACAAACUUGUAAUACGGCAAUUAUAUUAAAAGAGUGUUCUCAGAAACGAGCUAUCACGUGUGGAGAUCAAUGGCUUUCAAGCCAAAUGAUCAAUCUUAUGGCCACAUUCAUGGCAUAGUUUGUUCAAAUGAUCUCAUAUUGUGCACAAGGGUGCAUAUUGGAAUGGAAAACAAUGUUGCCUAAGGAAGUUUUCAUUUUCUUUGCACGAAAAAACCAUUUUCCAUUUUUCGAGUGCCUAAAAGGAGGUUUUUUUGUGAAGGGCCUCCCAAAUAUUUGUUGCAAAACUGUACCAAAUAAAUUUUCUAAAAUACUAGGCCAUAUUUAAUGAACAAUUGACCAAAUGGUUGGGUGUAAAAAGUUUUGAUCCACCUCUCGUGAAAAAGACAAAUUUCUGCCGAUUCAGUUGGAAGCGGGUCAAAUUUGAACUGCAGCUGCCUCAUAGUUUGCUAUUUAUUUUUUCCAAAAAUCAUUUCUAGGUACAUAAGUAUCUAUUUAAUCAGAGAAACGCCAAAAAAAUUCCAAGAUUCAACCACUAGCUAGGAACGGUCAUUCCCGCUGUAUUGACCGCAUUUUGAAACGGGCAUAAAAAAUUCAAAAAAAUCAAAAGAUGGGGAAACCUUCGCAUUGUGUCAUUAUAUGUGGCCAAGUUCCCAGGAAAAAUAACAAACUUGUAAUACGGCAAUUAUUUUAAAAAAGUGUUCUCAGAAACGAGCUAUCACGUGUGGAUAUCAAUGGCUUUCAAGCCAAAUGAUCAAUCUUAUGGCCACAUUCAUGGCAUAGUUUGUUCAGAUGAUCUCAUAUUGUGCACAAGGGUGCAUAUUGGAAUGGCAAACAAUGUUGCCUAAGGAAGUUUUCAUUUUCUUUGGACGAAAAAAAACCAUUUUCCAUUUUUUGAGUGCCCAAAAGGAGGUUUUUUUGUGAAGGACCUCCCAAAUAAUUGUUGCAAAAUUGGACCAAAUCAAUUUUCUCAAAUACUAGGACAUAUUUAAUGCACAAUUGACAAAAUGGUUGGGUGUAAAAAGUUUUGAUCCACCUCUCAUGAAAAAGACAAAUUUCCGCCGAUUCAGUUGGAAGCGGGUCAAAUUUGAACUGCAGCUGCCUCAUAGUUUGCUAUUUAUUUUUUCCAAGAAUCAUUUCUAGGUACAUAAGUACCUAUUUAAUCAUAAAUACAUGGUUUGGUGGCGAUACAUCAAGGUUUUGGCGGUGGCCGAGGGCCCCAACUCUAGAGCGCGUAAACUCGCAUGCCUGCCGCGUGGUUACCGCGUGACCGUGGCGUUGCCAUGUGUUCUGGGCGGCCUAGGCAUGUCUAGUGGGUUGGGAUCUCCCCAGGUAGGUGCUAGGAAGAAAAUUACAACAUAAGAUUCUCACGAGGAGAUCGAUCGAUGCUCAAACAUGAAUUAGCAGCCAAGUGUUUGAUUAGCGGUACGGGAAAUGUACAUGGCUAAUGGGCGUUAGUUUUGGCUGAGGAUGAUCAGUUACUAAGAAGACCGUCUUCACAAAUUUUCAGCUCAAAAGGAGGAGCCUAGGUGGUACUUGUUUUGCAAAGUACCACACUGGACAUAAAUACGAAUGUUGAAGCUGGGCUCAAAAUAAUGAAUGGAUUGAGCUGGCAUUUGGUGGAGGAUGGUUAUUUGGGCAUAGGAAAGCACUGUAGAAAAUGGAUACUAUUUGGACAUGCUAAAGUGGUACUUCCUUCACAAAGUGCUGCUCUGAACAGAAUAGGAAAAUGAAUAUUGUUGAAUUAUUUUUGAACUAGGCAAGGAAGGUUUUUGACAUAUUUGAUGAAGAUAUGAUCCAAACAAUUUAUGAGAAUUUUUUGGGAAUUUUUGGAAUAACAGAAAUAUAGGUUGCUUCACAACCUAGGGCAAAAAUUGACACAUGGACAUGACACAUAGGCAAAACUGAUGAGAUGGCGCCUAGUCAUCGCAACCCACCACAAUUUACAAGGCUAUGACUAUCUAUAUUGGUCGUUAACAACUAGAAAUAAGGCAGCGGACUAGCGCUGUUUGCUUUAUGACCAUUUCGUGUAAGGAAAUUACGACCUUUCUGACCAAAAUGGUCGCAAUGGUUUAGGGUUUGGAGCCCCCCGAACAGCUUUUGACCAAUUGGUCUCAAAUGGUCAUAGAUCUAUGACCAAUUCUUCCAGGAUCACUGACAGAAGGUCACUAGUUGACAUAUUUCUUGUAGUGUAUCUACCUGCCGUUCCAAGUAAAUUUGUAUGUGCCAAACUCUAAACCUUCAAAUAAAUAUUCUGUUUUGUAUGCUCGAAUAGCUCAUGUAUCAACUAGGGCUAUCCGUAUCUUCCAUGCUAGGCGGGUUAUUCUCAAGAGGAGUGGACUCCGCUCCUCACUCACGAGAAAAUGGUUGGUCACCGGGAUGCCCAGUCCCAUGCUUUAUGCAAACUAAAUCAAAAUAAUUGCAAACAAAACUCCCCCCGGGACUGUUGCUAGUUGGAGACACUCGUUGUUUCAAGCAAGUCAUGGAUUGAUACUUGUUGCUGGAGGGGAGUAUAAACUUUACCAUUCUGUUUGGGAACCGCCUAUAAUGUGUGUAGCAUGGAAGAUAUCGCCAUCUCUUGGUUGUUAUGUUGACAAUGAAAGUAUGCCGCUCAAAAUAUUAAUUAUCUCUAUUUCAAAACUGAGCUCUGGCACCUCUACAAAUCCCUGCUUCCCUCUGCGAAGAGCCUAUCUAUUUACUUUUAUGUUGAGUCAUCACCCUCUUAUUAAAAAGCACUAGAUGGAGAGCACAGCUGCCAUUUGCAUUCAUUACUAUUAAUUUAUAUUGGGUAUGACUAUGACUGGAUCUCUUUUACCAUGAAUUACAAUGUAUAGUCAGUCCUUGAUCUUUAAAGGUGCUCUGAAUUUUUGUUUUGCGGUCUCAGAAAGGGCUAGCGAGAUACCAUCCUGUUAUAUCAUAUUGUGAUUAUUUUGAGAAAGUGUUGUCAUCCGAGAUUUAUUAUUAUGGCUCGCUAGUUGAUUAUGCUAUUGAUAUGAGUAAACAUGAGACCUAAGAGUUAUUGUGAAUGUGGUUAGUCAUAAUCUUUGCUGAAAACUUGAAUGUUGGCUUUACAUAUUUGCAACAACAAGAGCAAACAGAGUUUGUAAAAGUUUUUCUUUAUAACUUUCAGUUUAUCAACUGAAUUGCUUGAGGACAACCAAAGGUUUAAGCUUGGGGGAGUUGAUACGUCUCCGUCGUAUCUACUUUUCCAAACACUUUUGCCCUUGUUUUGGACUCUAACUUGCAUGAUUUGAAUGGAACUAACCCGGACUGGUGUUGUUUUCAGCAGACUUUCCAUGGUGUUAUUUAUGUACAGAAACAAAAGUUCUCGGAAUGACCUGAAACUCCACGGAACGUCUAUUUGGAAAUAAUAAUAAAAUUUGCAAAAGAUGAAGACCAGGGGGCCCAUACCCUAGUCACGAGGGUGGGGGGCGCGCCUGCCCCUAGGGCGCGCCCCCUACCUCGUGGGCCCCCUGGAGCUCCUCCGACCUCAACUCCAACUCUAUAUAUUUGCUUUCGGGGAGAAAAAAAUAAGAGAGAAGGAUUCAUCACGUUUUACGAUACGGAGCCGCCGCCAAGCCCUAAAACCUCUCGGGAGGGCUAAUCUGGAGUCCGUUCGGGGCUCCGGAGAGGGGGAUUCAUCGCCAUCGUCAUCAUCAACCAUCCUCCAUCACCAAUUUCAUGAUGCUCACCGCCGUGCAUGAGUAAUUCCAUCGUAGGCUUGCUGGACGGUGAUAGGUUGGAUGAGAUUUAUCAUGUAAUCGAGUUAGUUUUGUUAGGGUUUGAUCCCUAGUAUCCACUAUGUUCUGAGAUUGAUGUUGCUAUGACUUUGCUAUGCUUAAUGCUUGUCACUAGGGCCCGAGUGCCAUGAUUUAAGAUCUGAACCUAUUAUGUUUUCAUGAAUAUAUGUGAGUUCUUGAUCCUAUCUUGCAAGUCUAUAGUCACCUACUAUGUGUUAUGAUCCGGCAACCCCGAAGUGACAAUAAUCGGGACCACUCCCGGUGAUGACCGCAGUUUGAGGAGUUCAUGUAUUCACUAUGUGUUAAUGCUUUGUUCCGGUACUCUAUUAAAAGGAGGCCUUAAUAUCCCUUAGUUUCCAUUAGGACCCCGCUGCCACGGGAGGGUAGGACAAAAGAUGUCAUGCAAGUUCUUUUCCAUAAGCACGUAUGACUAUAUUCGGAAUACAUGCCUACAUUACAUUGAUGAAUUGGAGCUAGUUCUGUGUCACCCUAUGUUAUGACUGUUACAUGAUGAACCGCAUCCGGCAUAAUUCUCCAUCACCGAUCCAAUGCCUACGAGCUUUUCACUUAUUGUUCUUUGCUUAUUUACUUUCCCGUUGCUACUGUUACAAUCACUACAAAACACCAAAAAUAUUACUUUUGCUACUAUUACCUUUGUUACCGUUACCACUACUAUCAUAUUACUUUGCUAUUAAACACUUUGCUGCAGAUACUAAGUUAUCCACGUGUGGUUGAAUUGACAACUCAAAUGCUAAUACUUGAGAAUAUUCUUUGGCUCCCCUUGUGUCGAAUCAAUAAAUUUGGGUUGAAUACUCUACCCUCGAAAACUGUUGCGAUCCCCUAUACUUGUGGGUUAUCACAUCACCAUGAUCUUGCGUGUGCGUAGGAAAUUUUUUGAAAUUACUACGUUCCGCAACACUACCGUAUAUUGAACUAACACUAACUGUAUCAAGAAGCCAAUAGCAUGUAAUUUCAGCUUGCAAGAAAGCGCCACUUACUCUUAAAGAUUGGUUAAUCUACAUGGCAACUUCCGGGGAUGGUGAUGGAUAAGUACAGUUGGAUUGUUUUUAGGUGUUAAUCUACUAUUAUGAAAAUCAUCUUCCUUUACUUUCAAGGGAGAACUGUAGAGGGGAAAGAACAUCAUUUUUUAAUCUAAUGAUCCAUCACUUAUUCACAACUAUUGCAACAACCAAGUAUGUUGGAUGCAAGGAGGAGGUGAGAGUGCAGGCAGCAUGUAUGUGUUGGUAAUCGUAGCAUAAUUUUAAAAUUUUCCUACGCUCACCAAGAUGCAUCUAUGGAGUAUACUAGCAAUGAGGGGAAAGGAGUGCAUCUACAUACCCUUGUAGAUCGCGAGCGGAAGCGUUCCAAUGAACGUGGAUGACGGAGUCGUACUCGCCGUGAUUCAAAUCACCGAUGACCGAGUGCCGAACGGACGGCACCUCCGCGUUCAACACACGUACGGUGCAGCGACGUCUCCUCCCUCUUGAUCCAGCAAGGGGGAAGGAGAGGUUGAUUAAGAUCCAGCAGCACGACGGCGUGAUGGUGGAUGUAGCGGGAUGCCGGCAGGGCUUCGCCGAGCAUAUACGAGAGAGAGAGGUGUUGCAGGGGGAGAGGGAGGCGCCCAAGGCUGUAGGUUGCUGCCCUCCCUCCCCCCCUUUAUAUAGGCCCCUGGGAGGGGGGCGCCAGCCAGGGAUCCCAUCUGGAUGGGGGGCGGCGGCCAGGGGGUGACUUACCCCCCAAGGCAAGUGGGGCGCCCCCUUGCCCUAGGGUUUCCAACCCUAGGCGCAGGGGGAAGGCCCAUGGGGGGCGCCCAGCCCACUAGGGGCUGGUUCCCUUCCCACUUCAGCCCACGGGGCCCUCCGGGAUAGGUGGCCCCACCCGGUGGACCCCCGGGACCCUUCCGGUGGUCCCGGUACAAUACCGAUAACCCCCGAAACUUUCCCGGUGGCCGAAACUUGACUUCCUAUAUAUAAUUCUUUACCUCCGGACCAUUCCGAAACUCCUCGUGACGUCCGGGAUCUCAUCCGGGACUCUGAACAACUUUCGGGUUUCCGCAUACAUAUAUCUCUACAACCCUAGCGUCACCGAACCUUAAGUGUGUAGACCCUACGGGUUCGGGAGACAUGCAGACAUGACCGAGACGCCUCUCCGGUCAAUAACCAACAGCGGGAUCUGGAUACCCAUGUUGGCUCCCACAUGUUCCACGAUGAUCUCAUCGGAUGAACCACGGUGUCGAGGAUUCAAUCAAUCCCGUAUGCAAUUCCCUUUGUCAAUCGGUAUGUUACAUGCCCGAGAUUCGAUCGUCGGUAUCCCAAUACCUUGUUCAAUCUCGUUACCGGCAAGUCUCUUUACUCGUACCGCAAUGCAUGAUCCCGUGACUAACGCCUUAGUCACAUAGAGCUCAAUAUGAUGAUGCAUUACCGAGUGGGCCCAGAGAUACCUCUCCGUCACACGGAGUGACAAAUCCCAGUCUCGAUCCGUGCCAACCCAACAGACACUUUCGGAGAUACCCGUAGUGCACCUUUAUAGUCACCCAGUUACGUUGUGACGUUUGGCACACCCAAAGCACUCCUACGGUAUCCGGGAGUUGCACGAUCUCAUGGUCUAAGGAAAAGAUACUUGACAUUGGAAAAGCUCUAGCAAACGAAACUACACGAUCUUUUAUGCUAUGCUUAGGAUUGGGUCUUGUCCAUCACAUCAUUCUCCUAAUGAUGUGAUCCCGUUAUCAAUGACAUCCAAUGUCCAUAGUCAGGAAACCAUGACUAUCUGUUGAUCAAUGAGCUAGUCAACUAGAGGCUUACUAGGGACACGUUGUGGUCUAUGUAUUCACACAUGUAUUACGAUUUCCGGACAAUACAAUUAUAGCAUGAAUAAUAGACAAUUACCAUGAACAAAGAAAUAUAAUAAUAACCAUUUAUUAUUGCCUCUAGGGCAUAUUUCCAACAGUCUCCCACUUGCACUAGAGUCAAUAAUCUAGUUACAUCGUGAUGAAUCGAACACCCAUUGCGUCCUGGUGUUGAUCAUGUUUUGCCCUAGGGAGAGGUUUAGUCAACGGAUCUGCUACAUUCAGGUCCGUAUGCACUUUACAAAUAUCUAUGUCUCCAUUUUGAACACUUUCACGAAUGGAGUUGAAGCGACGCUUGAUAUGCCUGGUCUUCCUGUGAAAUCUGGGCUCCUUCGCAAGGGCAAUAGCUCCAGUGUUAUCACAGAAGAGAGUCAUCGGGCCCGACGCAUUGGGAAUCACCCCUAGGUCGGUAAUGAACUCCUUUAUCCAGACUGCUUCCUGUGCUGCCUCCGAGGCUGCCAUGUACUCCGCUUCACAUGUAGAUCCCGCCACGACGCUUUGCUUGCAACUGCACCAGCUUACUGCUCCUCCAUUCAAAAUAUACACGUAUCCGGUUUGUGACUUUGAGUCAUCCAGAUCUGUGUCGAAGCUAGCAUCGACGUAACCCUUUACGACGAGCUCUUCGUCACCUCCAUAAACGAGAAACAUAUCCUUGGUCCUUUUCAGGUACUUUAGGAUAUUCUUGACCGCUGUCCAGUGUUCCAUGCCGGGAUUACUUUGGUACCUUCCUACCAAACUUACGGCAAGGUUUACAUCAGGUCUGGUACACAGCAUGGCAUACAUAAUAGACCCUAUGGCCGAGGCAUAGGGGAUGACACUCAUCUUUUCUAUAUCUUCUGCCGUGGUCGGGCAUUGAGCCGUGCUCAAUUGCACACCUUGCAAUACAGGCAAGAACCCCUUCUUGGACUGAUCCAUAUUGAACUUCUUCAAUAUCUUGUCAAGGUAUGUACUCUGUGAAAGACCAAUGAGGCGUCUUGAUCUAUCUCUAUAAAUCUUGAUGCCUAAUAUAUAAGCAGCUUCUCCAAGGUCCUUCAUUGAAAAACACUUAUUCAAAUAGGCCUUUAUACUUUCCAAGAAUUCUAUAUCAUUUCCCAUCAAUAGUAUGUCAUCCACAUAUAAUAUGAGAAAUGCUACAGAGCUCCCACUCACUUUCUUGUAAACACAGGCUUCUCCAUAAGUCUGUGUAAACCCAAACGCUUUGAUCAUCUCAUCAAAGCGAAUGUUCCAACUCCGAGAUGCUUGCACCAGCCCAUAGAUUGAGCGUUGGAGCUUGCAUACUUUGUUAGCAUUCUUAGGAUCGACAAAACCUUCCGGCUGCAUCAUAUACAACUCUUCCUUAAGGAAGCCGUUAAGGAAUGCCGUUUUGACGUCCAUCUGCCAUAUCUCAUAAUCAUAGUAUGCGGCAAUUGCUAAUAUGAUUCGGACGGACUUCAGCUUCGCUACGGGUGAGAAAGUCUCAUCGUAGUCAACCCCUUGAACUUGUCGAUAACCCUUAGCGACAAGUCGAGCUUUGUAGAUGGUCACAUUACCAUCUGCGUCCGUCUUCUUCUUAAAGAUCCAUUUGUUUUCUAUGGCUCGCCGCUCAUCGGGCAAGUCAGUCAAAGUCCAUACUUUGUUUUCAUACAUGGAUUCUAUCUCGGAUUUCAUGGCUUCUAGCCAUUUGUCGGAAUCCGGGCCCGCCAUCGCUUCUUCAUAGUUCGAAGGUUCACCGUUGUCUAACAACAUGAUUUCCAGGACAGGGUUGCCGUACCACUCUGGUGCGGAACGUGUCCUUGUGGACCUACGAAGUUCAGUGGCAACUUGAUCCGAAGCUUCAUGAUCAUCAUCAUUAACUUCCUUCCCCGUCGGUGUAGGCACCACAGGAACAUUUUCCCGUGCUGCGCUACUUUCCGGUUCGGAAGGGGUGACUAUCACCUCAUCAAGUUCCACUUUCCUCCCACUCAAUUCUUUCGAGAGAAACUCCUUCUCUAGAAAGGACCCGUUCUUGGCAACGAAGAUCUUGCCUUCGGAUAUGAGGUAGAAGGUAUACCCAAUAGUUUCCUUAGGGUAUCCUAUGAAGACGCAUUUUUCCGAUUUGGGUUCGAGCUUUUCAGGUUGAAGUUUCUUGACAUAAGCAUCGCAUCCCCAAACUUUUAGAAACGACAGCUUAGGUUUCUUCCCAAACCAUAAUUCAUACGGUGUCGUCUCAACGGAUUUCGACGGAGCCCUAUUUAAAGUGAAUGCGGCAGUCUCUAAAGCAUAACCCCAAAAUGAGAGCGGUAAAUCGGUAAGAGACAUCAUAGAUCGCACCAUAUCCAAUAGAGUGCGAUUACGACGUUCGGACACACCAUUUCUCUGAGGUGUUCCAGGCGGCGUGAGUUGUGAAACUAUUCCACAUUUCCUUAAGUGUGCACCAAACUCGUGAAUUAAAUAUUCUCCACCACGAUCUGAUCGUAAGAAUUUUAUUCUCCUGUCACGUUGAUUCUCAACCUCACUCUGAAAUUCCUUGAACUUUUCAAAGGUUUCAGACUUGUGUUUCAUUAGGUAGACAUACCCAUAUCUACUUAAGUCAUCAGUGAGAGUGAGAACAUAACGAUAUCCUCCGCGAGCCUCAACACUCAUUGGACCGCACACAUCGGUAUGUAUGAUUUCCAAUAAGUUGGUUGCUCGCUCCAUUGUUCCGGAGAACAGAGUCUUGGUCAUCUUACCCAUGAGGCAUGGUUCGCACGUGUCAAAUGAUUCGUAAUCAAGAGACUCCAAAAGUCCAUUUGCAUGGAGCUUCUUCAUGCGCUUAACACCAAUGUGACCAAGGCGGCAGUGCCACAAGUAUGUGGGACUAUCGUUAUCAACUUUACAUCUUUUGGUAUUCACACUAUGAACAUGUGUAACAUCACGUUCGAGAUUCAUCAAAAAUAAACCAUUGACCAGCGGGGCAUGACCAUAAAACAUAUCUCUCAAAUAAAUAGAACAACCAUUAUUCUCGGAUUUAAAUGAGUAGCCAUCUCGAAUUAAACGAGAUCCAGAUACAAUGUUCAUGCUCAAAGCUGGCACUAAAUAACAAUUAUUAAGGUUUAAAACUAAUCCCGUAGGUAGAUGCAGAGGUAGCGUGCCGACGGCGAUCACAUCGACCUUGGAACCAUUCCCGACGCGCAUCGUCACCUCGUCCUUCGCCAGUCUCCGUUUAUUCCGUAGUUCCUGUUUUGAGUUACAAAUAUGAGCAACCCCACCGGUAUCAAAUACCCAGGAGCUACUACGAGUACUGGUAACGUACACAUCAAUUACAUGUAUAUCACAUAUACCUUUGGUGUUGCCGGGCUUCUUCUUGUCCGCUAAGUAUUUGGGGCAGUUCCGCUUCCAGUGACCACUUCCCUUGCAAUAAAAGCACUCAGUCUCGGGCUUGGGUCCAUUCUUCAACUUCUUCCCAGUAACUGGCUUACCGGGCACGGCAACUCCCUUGCCGUCCUUCUUGAAGUUCUUCUUACCCUUGCCCUUCUUGAACUUAGUGGUUUUAUUCACCAUCAACACUUGAUGUUCUUUUCUGAUCUCCCCUUCCGCUGAUUUCAGCAUUGAAUAUACCUCAGGAAUGGUCUUUUCCAUCCCCUGCAUAUUGUAGUUCAUCACAAAGCUCUUGUAGCUUGGUGGAAGCGACUGGAGGAUUCUGUCAAUGACCGCGUCAUCCGGGAGAUUAACUCCCAGCUGGGAUAAGCGGUUGUGUAACCCAGACAUUCUGAGUAUAUGCUCACUAACAGAACUGUUCUCCUCCAUUUUACAGCUGAAGAACUUGUCGGAGACAUCAUAUCUCUCGACCCGGGCAUGAGCUUGAAAAACCAGUUUCAGCUCCUCGAACAUCUCAUAUGCUCCAUGUUUCUCAAAACGCUUUUGGAGACCCGGUUCUAAGCUGUAAAGCAUGCCGCAUUGAACGAGGGAGUAAUCAUCAGCACGUGAUUGCCAAGCGUUCAUAACGUCUUGGUUCUCAAGGAUUGGUGCUUCACCUAGCGGUGCUUCUAAGACAUAAUCUUUCUUGGCUACUAUGAGGAUGAUCCUCAGGUUCCGGACCCAGUCCGUAUAGUUGCUGCCAUCAUCUUUCAGCUUGGUUUUCUCUAGGAACGCGUUGAAAUUGAGGACAACGUUGGCCAUUUGAUCUACAAGACAUAGUGUAAAGAUUUUAGACUAAGUUCAUGAUAAUUAAGUUCAUCUAAUCAAAUUAUUUAAUGAACUCCCACUCAGAUAGACAUCCCUCUAGUCAUCUAAGUGAAACAUGAUCCGAGUUAACUAGGCCGUGUCCGAUCAUCACGUGAGACGGACUAGUCAAGAUCGGUGAACAUCUCCAUGUUGAUCGUAUCUUCUAUACGACUCAUGCUCGACCUUUCGGUCCUCCGUGUUCCGAGGCCAUGUCUGUACAUGCUAGGCUCGUCAAGUCAACCUAAGUGUAUUGCGUGUGUUCCGAGGCCAUGUCUGUACAUGCUAGGCUCGUCAACACCCGUUGUAUGCGAACGUUAGAAUCUAUCACACCCGAUCAUCACGUGGUGCUUCAAAACAACGAACCUUCGCAACGGUGCACAGUUAGGGUGAACACUUUCUUGAAAUUAUUAUAAGGGAUCAUCUUACUUACUACCGUCGUUCUAAGCAAAUAAGAUGCAAAAACAUGAUAAACAUCACAUGCAAUCAAAUAGUGACAUGAUAUGGCCAAUAUCAUUAUGCUCCUUUGAUCUCCAUCUUCGGGGCACCAUGAUCAUCUUCGUCACCGGCAUGACACCAUGAUCUCCAUCAUCAUGAUCUCCAUCAUUGUGUCUUCAUGAAGUCGUCACGCCAACGAUUACUUCUACUUUUAUGGCUAACGCGUUUAGCAACAAAGUAAAGUAAAUUACAUGGCGUUAUUCAAUGACAUGCAGGUCAUACAAAAUAAUAAAGACAACUCCUAUGGCUCCUACCGGUUGUCAUACUCAUCGACAUGCAAGUCGUGAUUCCUAUUACAAGAAUAUGAUCAAUCUCAUACAUCACAUAUAUCAUUCAACACAUCUUCUGGCCAUAUCACAUCACAUAGCACUUGCUGCAAAAACAAGUUAGACGUCUUCUAAUUGUUGUUGCAAGUUUUUACGUGGUUUGUAGGUUUCUAGCAAGAACGUUUUCUUACCUACGUAUGACCACAACGUGAUUUGCCAAUUUCUAUUUACCCUUCAUAAGGACACUUUUCACCGAAUCCGUUCCGACUAAAGUAGGAGAGACAGACACCCGCUAGCCACCUUAUGCAACUAGUGCAUGUCAAUCGGUGGAACCUGUCUCACGUAAGCGUACGUGUAAGGUCGGUCCGGGCCGCUUCAUCCUACAAUACCGCCGAAACAAGAAAAGACUAGUAGCGGCAAGAAGAAUUGGCAAACUCAACGCCCACAACUGCUUUGUGUUCUACUCGUGCAUAGUAACUACGCAUAGGCCUGGCUCAUGAUGCCACUGUUGGGAAUCGUAGCAUAAUUUUAAAAUUUUCCUACGCUCACCAAGAUGCAUCUAUGGAGUAUACUAGCAACGAGGGGAAAGGAGUGCAUCUACAUACCCUUGUAGAUCGCGAGCGGAAGCGUUCCAAUGAACGUGGAUGACGGAGUCGUACUCGCCGUGAUUCAAAUCACCGAUGACCGAGUGCCGAACGGACGGCACCUCCGCGUUCAACACACAUACGGUGCAGCGACAUCUCCUCCUUCUUGAUCCAGCAAGGGGGAAGGAGAGGUUGAUGAAGAUCCAGCAGCACGACGGCGUGAUGGUGGAUGUAGCGGGAUGCCGGCAGGGCUUCGCCGAGCAUAUACGAGAGAGAGAGGUGUUGCAGGAGGAGAGGGAGGCGCCCAAGGCUGUAGGUUGCUGCCCUCCCUCCCCCCCCUUUAUAUAGGCCCCUGGGGGGGGGCGCCGGCCAGGGAUCCCAUCUGGAUGGGGGGCGGCGGCCAGGGGGGGUGACUUACCCCCCAAGGCAAGUGGGGCGCCCCCUUGCCCUAGGGUUUCCAACCCUAGGCGCAGGGGGAAGGCCCAUGGGGGGCGCCCAGCCCACUAGGGGCUGGUUCCCUUCCCACUUCAGCCCACGGGGCCCUCCGGGAUAGGUGGCCCCACCCGGUGGACCCCCGGGACCCUUCCGGUGGUCCCGGUACAAUACCGGUAACCCCCCAAACUUUCCCGGUGGCCGAAACUUGACUUCCUAUAUAUAAUUCUUUACCUCCGGACCAUUCCGGAACUCCUCGUGACGUCCGGGAUCUCAUCCGGGACUCCGAACAACUUUCGGGUUUCCGCAUACAUAUAUCUCUACAACCCUAGCGUCACCGAACCUUAAGUGUGUUGACCCUACGGGUUCGGGAGACAUGCAGACAUGACCGAGACGCCUCUCCGGUCAAUAACCAACAGCGGGAUCUGGAUACCCAUGUUGGCUCCCACAUGUUCCACGAUGAUCUCAUCGGAUGAACCACGGUGUCGAGGAUUCAAUCAAUCCCGUAUGCAAUUCCCUUUGUUAAUCGGUAUGUUACAUGCCCGAGAUUCGAUCGUCGGUAUCCCAAUACCUUGUUCAAUCUCGUUACCGGCAAGUCUCUUUACUCGUACCGCAAUGCAUGAUCCCGUGACUAACGCCUUAGUCAGAUAGAGCUCAAUAUGAUGAUGCAUUACCGAGUGGGCCCAGAGAUACCUCUCCGUCACACGGAGUGACAAAUCCCAGUCUCGAUCCGUGCCAACCCAACAGACACUUUCGGAGAUACCCGUAGUGCACCUUUAUAGUCACCCAGUUACGUUGUGACGUUUGGCACACCCAAAGCACUCCUACGGUAUCCGGGAGUUGCACGAUCUCAUGGUCUAAGGAAAAGAUACUUGACAUUGGAAAAGCUCUAGCAAACGAAACUACACGAUCUUUUAUGCUAUGCUUAGGAUUGGGUCUUGUCCAUCACAUCAUUCUCCUAAUGAUGUGAUCCCGUUAUCAAUGACAUCCAAUGUCCAUAGUCAGGAAACCAUGACUAUCUGUUGAUCAAUGAGCUAGUCAACUAGAGGCUUACUAGGGACACGUUGUGGUCUAUGUAUUCACACAUGUAUUACGAUUUCCGGACAAUACAAUUAUAGCAUGAAUAAUAGACAAUUACCAUGAACAAAGAAAUAUAAUAAUAACCAUUUAUUAUUGCCUCUAGGGCAUAUUUCCAACAGUAUGCCACAUCAUGCGAACAGGUGGGGAUCAUGUUAAGUCAAUGCAGAAGGAUGCGUUGUGUGUCCGCGCACCGUCAGCACCGUCGUGUAAAGUAAACUAAAUCUGGGGACCGGUGCUCUACCUUCCCAGCUACUUCGACUGGAAAUCAGAUCCUCCACACUAAAUAAGAAACACCGUUUAGGUUGAAGUAAUAGAGGGGAAAGAGACCACUAACCUUUGACAAUGUCACACGUGGCUCGCGUGAAGGUCAGGUUGAAUCCACGGUGUUGGGCUAGCGUAGCACCCGCUGGUGGCGAUCAUGGGGCUCCGAGAUGGCGUCACCGUGUGGAUCUCUGGUGUUGUUGGCCAUAGACGGCUUUGUCGACGGCGACGCAUUAUGGAAAGAUGGAGAGGUAAAAUAGGGGAGGGGAAGAAUCAGGAAGACAAUAGAGAUUUAUUGGUGAAGGGGAGAUGAACGGAAUCAUCGAGCGAAGAGGUGAUGGCUAGUGUCCGCGUCAGUAUUUUCCCCGGGGAGGAAGGGAUGAUGCAGCAUAGCUACGGUAGGUAUUUCCCUCAGUGAUGAGACCAAGGUUAUCGAACCAGUAGGAGAACCACGCAACACUAUGUAAACGGUACCUGCACACAAAGAACAAAUACUUGCAACCCGACGCGUAAGAGGGUUGUCAAUCCCUCCCGGGUAAAAGAUAGAUUGGUUUGUAGUAGAUUGGAUAAAUAGAUCUCGCGGAAACGCAAAAUAAAAUAAAUAACAAAAAAUUGCAUCAAGGUAUUUUGGGUUUUUAGAAUAAUAGAUCUGAAAAUAAAAGAGGCAAAUAAUAGAUCGGAAAGCAAAUAUGAUAAAGAAUAGACCCGGGGGCCGUAGAUUUCACUAGUGGCUUCUCUCGAGAAAAAUAGCAUACGGCUGCUAAACAAAUUACUGUUGGGCAAUUGAUAGAACUUAAAAUAAUUACGACGAUAUCCAGGCAAUGAUCAUUAUAUAGGCAUCACGUCCAAGAUUAGUAGACCGACUCCUUCCUGCAUCUACUACUAUUACUCCACACAUCGACCGCUAUCCAGCAUGCAUCUAGUGUAUUAAGUUCAUGGAAAAAUGGAGUAAUGCAAUAAGAAUGAUGACAUGAUGUAAACAAGAUCUAUUCAUGUAGGAAUAGACCCCAUCUUGUUAUCCUUAAUGGCAACGAUCAAUACAUGUCUUGCUACCCCUUCUGUCACUAGGAAAGAACACCGCACGACCGAUCCCAUCACAAAGCACCUCUUCCCAUGGCAAGAAAAGUCGAUCUAGUCGGCCUAACUAAACCAAAGAUUUGAAGAAGAAAUACGAGGCUAUAAGAAUCAUGCAUAUAAGAGAUCAAAACUCAAAUAACUUUCAUGUAUAAAUAGAUCUGAUCAUAAACUCAAAGUUCAUCGGAUCCCAACAAACACACCGCAAAAAGAGUUACAUCAAAUAGAUCUCCAAGAGACCAUUGUAUUUAGAAUCAAAAGAGAGAGAGGAAGCCAUCUAGCUACUGCCUAUGGACCCGUAGGUCUAAAAUGAACUACUCACGCAUCAUCGGAGAGGCACCAAUGAGGAUGAUGAACCCCUCUGUGAUGGUGUCUAGAUUGGAUCUCAUGGUUCCGAAACUUGCGCAGCUGGAAUUGUGUUUCGUCGACUCCCCUAGGGUUUUUGGUUUUUCGGGGUAUUUAUAGAGCAAAGAGGCAGUGCAGGAGGGCACCGAGGUGGGCACAACCCACCAGGGCACGCCUCGGCCCCCAGGCGCGCCCAGGUGGGUUGUGCCCCCUCGGGGCACCCCUCUGGUACUUCUUUGGCCCAAUUUGUUCCUUCUAGUCCAGAAAAAUUCUCCAAAAAGUUUUGCUGCGUUUGGACUCCGUUUGGUAUUGAUUUUCUGUGAAGUAAAUAACAAGCAAAAAAACAACAACUGGCACUGGGCACUAUGUCAAUAGUUUAGUCCCAAAAAAGAUAUAAAGUUGCUAUAAAAUGAUUGUAAAACAUCCAAGAAUGAUAAUAUAACAGCAUGGGACAAGCAAAAAUUAUAGAUACGUUGGAGACGUAUCAAGAGGCAAUAAGAGGAAGGCGCAGCAAUCAGUGCGACGGUGGUAAAAAAAUACACGAUUCGUUCCAUUGAAAAGGGAAAAAGGAAGCAUUGCUGACGUGGUAGAUUUGCUUACGUGGAUGGCUGCAUGUUGAUUGCUGAUGUGGAUAGGCUACAUGUCAAGAGAAAUAUGGUAGUGGGGAUGAACUAUUUAGGUAUUAUAGAUGCGCAACAUCACAUCUAAACUUUUUAUGAAAUUUCGAAACACGAUGGUUUUAAAAAUGGAUAUUUUUUGGAACACAAACUUUUUUCAAAUUUAUGAAUAAUUUUUUGAAAACUUGAACAAUUUCUUGAGUCUAUGAACUUUUUUUGAACGCGGACGUUUUUUCAAAAUUUCAAAACGCAAUUAUUUUUUUAAUGCAACCUUUUUCAAAAUUUCAAAACAUGAUUGUUUUUAAAGUGAAUAUGUUUUAAAAUUAUAGACAAAAUUUGGAAGUUGAACAUUUUUUGAAAAACACCCGAAAUUGUGGAUGUUUUCUAAAAACGGCAAAGAAUUUUGAAAAACAUCAAACAUUUUUCAAAGCACGGACGUUUUCUGGAAAAAUGAAAAAAAAAACAAAUUCGAAACAUCUUUUAGAAAUUUUGAAUUUAUGAAAAAAGAAAAAGAAACAGAAAAUGAAAAAAGAAAGAAAGCAAGGAAAAGUAGUGAAGAAAGAAAUCGGAAAAAGGGAAAAAACCUGAAAAUAGUGUAAAAGACUGAUCCUAGCUACUUGGGCUGGUCUAUCUACGGUUUACACGCUGCUCAUUUCGGAGAUUUCUUUUAGGGGUAAAACCAAGUUUUAUACAUCAAACACCAUAGAGUGUGGGAUAGAGUUUGGGUCGUGGCAUUUGCCAAACCAAACAUGGCGUCCCAGACCUAACGAAAGAGAAAACCCGCCUAGAUUAUGUGCUUCGACAUUUACAGCAUGAUCUUUAGAUACAAAAAUUACAAUCAAAUACAUACGGUUGCAACUUGAUCUCGUUGAUAAUGGCUCGUUUCCACAUAGUUUGCCCACAUUUCUGAGAGAAAAUUUAGCCUUGAUGGGCUGGGAAAUUGGGCCAGCCAUCCUCAAGUGCGACCGGCUUGUCUUUGUCUAGUAUAAAGCCCAUCACGUUGCCCAAGAGCCCACCCUUAUCUGUUUUUCUACAGGACACAUAUAUGUUCGGUUCCUUAAGCACGACAGGCCGCCACCCAGCCUCCCUCGCCUGCUCAACAGCUCCCCCGCCAUCGGAACUAGGCCCUCAACCCUCCCCCCACCCCAAGCUUGCGAGCCUGUCCCUUCCCAACAUCUCUUCCACGCGGCCUCGCCCCACCCCACGUUCUCCCCCAAGUGCUUUGUCGAGUGUGGUGGAAAAACUUUUGGCAAAAUAGUGGAACUCACGCAAAAUCUACUUUACCGGGUGCUACACUCGGCAAAAGGGGGUAUGCAGGGAAGCAAAAUCGUGCUUUUUUCCUUCUCGGGAAGCUGUGCUUCCCGUGGAAGGCUUCAUCAAAAACCAGAAAAAAAAGAUUUUUUCAUCAAAACCUAGGGAAAAUAAAAGACAAAAAACAUGUGUAAAAAACAAAAUUUUAAGGGUGUACCAGCACACGACAUGUGGCAGAAGUUGGUCACAUCAAUUGAUGCGCUCUCAGGGCCUCAAAGUAACAUGUGCAGGAACCAUCGAUGAAAAACCCAUUAGAUAGUUGGAGUCCUCCUUGCGUCAAAUAGGAGUGUGGCCACAAGGGGAGCGCGUCCUGGUGGGCCGGCCCAGCAGCCUGUAGCACUCUACCGCAAAUUGGUCAAAAUCUAAAACAUGACGUUUGAGCAAAGCAUGCAUGGCUAGCCAGUCAAGCUGAUGAAACUUUGCCAACUACUAGGUUGCUUUGAACAGUAAAAACUAUGUGCAACAUCACAUAUGAGCUUUUUUUGAAAUUUCAAAACACGAUUGUUUUUAAAAUGAAUGGUUUUUGUAACAUGAACUUUUUUCAAAUUUGUGAAUAAAAUUUGGAAACUAGAGCAAUUUUUUGACUCUACGAAGGCUUUUUUUAAACACAAACUUUUUUAAAAAAUUUAAAACACGGUUAUCAUUGUAAUGCAACCUUUCUUAGAUUUCAAAACACGAUUUUUUAAUAAAUAUUUUUUUAAAAUCCAAACAAAAUUUGAAAACUUGAACAUUUUUUAAAACACUCGGAAUUGUGGACAUUUUCUAAAAAACAUGAAAGAAUUUAGGAAAACUUCAAACUUUUUCAAAGCACGAAUAAUUUUUGGGAAAAAUAAACAAAAUCAAAUUCCGAACAGUUUUUGAACAUUUUUUAGAAAUGUUGAAUUUAUGAAAAAAAAUAUGAAAGAAAGGAAAAUCGAUGAAGAAAGAAAACAAAAGAAGGAAAAAAUUAAAAAAAAGUGUAAGAAAAAAACCAAUCCUAGCUACUUGGGAUGGUACAUAUGCGGUUUGCUCGCUGCUCAUUUCCCAGAUUUUUUUAGGGGUAAAACCAAGUUUUAAUCAUCAAAUACCAUAGAGUGUGGGAUAGAGUUGGGGUCGUGGCACUGGUUAAACCAAACGUGACGUCCCAGACCUAAAGAAAGAGAAAGAUUGGCUAGACUAUGUGCUUCGACAUUGACAACAUGACCUUUACAAAAAAAAAUACUAUCAAAUAAAGAUGGUUGCAACUUAAUCUCGUUGAUAAUGGCUCGUUUCCCACAUAGUUUGCUCACAUUUUUUGAGAGAAAAAUUUAGCCUUGAUGGGCUGGGAAAUCGGGCCAUCCAAUCUCGAGUGCGACCGACUCGUCUUUGUCCAGUAGAAAGCCUGCCACGUUGCCCAAGAGCCCACCCUUAUCUUUUUUUACAGGACCCGUAUAUGUUCUAUUCCUACAGCAAGACCGGUCGCCGCCAAGCCUCUCUCGCACGCUCGACAGCUCCCCCGCUGCCAGGGCUAAGCCCUGGAUCCCCCACCCCCAGGUUGCGAGCUUGUCCCAUCCCUCCCUCUCUUCUGCGCAGCCUCGCCCCACCCCGUCUUCUCCCCCACCGGUGCUUUGCCGAGUGUCUUGGAAAAACUCUCGGUAAAAUAUUGGAACUCUGGCAAAAUGUGAUUUCCCGAUUGCUACACUCGGCAAAAGGGGGUAUGCUCUGCACUGUUUUGGUUGUCCAGAUUGCAUAUGACCUCGGAUGAAGAUGAUCCCCAAAUCAAAGUUUUUCAUUUUGACGAGAGGAUUAAUUUUCAUGUUCAGAACUUUUCCAUUUUAGGCCAUGUUAUUUACACUUUUUGCAAUGCCAAAAUAUGGUCUCAAAUGAAUAUGGCGAUGGUCAUAUUUAUUGCAUAGUUCUGACAAUGGGCCUAAACUUGGCAUUUUGGUGCAUCUCGCCAUUACAAACAAUGAUGCCAAAUAGAGUUUCCAACAUUUUGUAUAAAAAAUAAUUUUCCCAUUUUCUGUGUAAAAAAUGGAUAUUUUGUGAAGCGGGUAAAAAAACAUAGUGCAAAAUGGCACCACCCAAUUUUCAUAAAAAGUAGACCACAUGUUUUAGAAAAUUCCCAGGUUUUGUGGAUCUUCUAGAUUUCUAGCUACUUUCGCACAGUUAAAUUCAAAUUUGAACUUUAAGUGUGUGACAGACCUGUCCUAAAAAUUAGCAAAAAUGUAAAUUUUUUUAGGUAUGCAAGUAGUCAUUUUAUGAAAUGACCACUUAAGUUUGAGAGAUUCAGCCCCUUGCCAUGACUAUCCAUGCCGGGCAUUUAGACCCCGUUUUGGAAAAAUGAAACAAAAAGAAUACAAGUUCAAAAAAUGCAAUCCAUUCGUAUGGACUCCUUUUAUGUGUACUAGUUAGGAUGAAAAUACAAACUUCAAUAUGAAAACUUUGAAAGAAAAAUAUCCAUCACAAAACGGGCUAUCGUGUAUGAACCUUCACGGCUUUCAAGUCAAACGACCAAGGUGACGACAAUGUUCAUUGCAUAGUUUAUUAUAUUAUGCCCAAAUUAGACAUAUAGGUGAAUCAUGCCAUUACAAAUAAUGUUGCAAAAUAGAGUUUCCAACUUUUUGUACAAAAAAAUCAUUUUCUAUUUUCGAAGUGUCAAAAAUGGGUGUUUCUUGUGAAGCGGGUUCAAAAAAUGGGGUGGAAAAUGGCACCACUCCAAUUUUCACAAAAGUAGACCAUAUUAGAUGGACAAUUACCAAGUUUUGUAGAUGUCUAGUUAAAAACUAACAAUUGGUGUAUUUUUUAAUAUUUAGUGAAAAUAAAAAAAUGGGAAGGGCGGAUACUUAAUGGAUAGCGUGGACAUCUGAGGGUGUACCUUUAAGUGUUGGAGAUGCCUUUAUGUGCUGGUUUAUGCCCUGCUCUACCUGCAAUGUACUAGAGUUAAUCAUGUUGGGAAACUUGCAUGGAAAACCAAAAAAAAUCUACACACACGCAAUGAUCUAUGCAUGAAGAUGCAUAGCAACUAGGGGAGAGUGUGUCUACGUACCCUCGUAGACCGACAGCAGAAGCGUUUGACAACGCGGUUGAUGUAGUCAAACUUCUUCUAGCUCCGACCGAUCAAGCACCAAACGUACGACACCUCCGAGUUCUGCACACGUUCAGCUCGGUGACAUCCCUCGUUUUCUUGAUCCAGUAAGACGUCGAGGAAGUAGAUGAGUUCCGUCAGCACGACGGCGUGGUGACGAUGAUGGUCAAGUGAUCCGCGAAGGGCUUCGCCUAAGCACCCCGAGAAUAUGACCGGGGUGUAAACUAUGGAGGGGGGCGCCGCACACGGCUAACAAUUGAUGUUGUGUGUUCUAGGCGCCCCCUUCCCCACAUAUAUAUAGGUGGGAGGAGAGGGGAGGCGGCCAGGGGCGCCCCAAGUAGGAUCCGAAUCCUACUUGGGGUUUCCCCAAGUGGCGCCCCCUUUCCUUUUUCCACCGGAGAAGAAAGGAAGGGGGAAGAAGAGAAGGAAGGGGGCUGAACCCCCUCUUCUCCUUCUCCUAUUCGGUCACCUGCCAUAGGGGGGUGCGCCACCCCUUGUGGGCCGGUGNNNNNNNNNNNNNNNNNNNNNNNNNNNNNNNNNNNNNNNNNNNNNNNNNNNNNNNNNNNNNNNNNNNNNNNNNNNNNNNNNNNNNNNNNNNNNNNNNNNNNNNNNNNNNNNNNNNNNNNNNNNNNNNNNNNNNNNNNNNNNNNNNNNNNNNNNNNNNNNNNNNNNNNNNNNNNNNNNNNNNNNNNNNNNCGGUGUCCGAAUACUAUUGUCCUAUAUAUCAAUCUUUACCUCUCGACCAUUUCGAGACUCCUCGUCAUGUCCGUGAUCUCAUCUGGGACUCUGAACAACAUUCGGUCACCAAACCACAUAACUCAUAUAAUACAAUAUCGUCAUCGAACGUUAAGCGUGCGGACCCUACGGGUUCGAGAAUUAUGUCGACAUGACCGAGACACCUCUCCCGUCAAUAACCAAUAGCGGAACCUGGAUGCUCAUAUAUAUUGGCUCCUACAUACUCUAUGAAGAUCUUUAUCGGUCGAACCGUUAUGACAACAUACAUUAUUCCUUUUGUCUGUCGGUAUGUUACUUGCCCGAGAUUCGAUCGUCGGUAUCUACAUACCUAGUUCAAUCUCGUUACCGGCAAGUCUCUUUACUCGUUCCAUAAUACAUCACCUCGUGACCAACUCCUUACUCGUUUGCUUGCAAGCUUAUGAUUUGUAUUACCGAGAGGGCCCAGAGAUACCUCUCCGAUAUUCGGAGUGACAAAUCCUAAUCUCGAUCUAUGCCAACUCAACAAACACCUUCGGAGAUACCUGUAGAGCAUCUUUAUGAUGACCCAGUUACGUUGUGAUGUUUGAUAGCACACUAGGCAUUCCUCUGGUAUUCGGGAGUUGCAUAAUCUCAUAGUCGAAAGAAUAUGUAUUUGACAUAAAGAAAGCAAUGGCAAUAAAACUGAACGAUCAUAAUGCUAAGCUAACGGAUGGGUCUUGUCCAUCACAUAAUUCUCCUAAUGAUGUGAUCCCGUUAUCAAAUGACAACUCAUGUCCAUGGUUAGGAAACCUUAACCAUCUUUGAUCAACGAGCUAGUCAAGUAGAGGCUCACUAGGGACAUAGUGUUUGUCUAUGUAUUCACACAUGUAUUAAGGUUUUCGAUCAAUACAAUUCUAGCAUGAAUAAUAAACAUUUAUCAUGAAUAAGAAAAUAUAAAAUAACAACUUUAUUAUUGCCUCUAGGGCAUAUUUCCUUCAAAUCAGUAUAUGUUGGCUGUUAGUGAAGUGUUUUAUGCAUAUGUGUGCAUGCUUGGUUGGGCCAACUCUGUGUAUUACAUUUUUUGAAAUACAAACUUGAUAUAUGCCACAUUUUUGUGUUAACGACCAAUAACUAUAUACAUAACUAUAUUUUGCCUUCUUUUUCCUCCUCCACAAGAAAAGGUCCCACGCUUUUCUCCUCCUCCCAUCGGCUCCGUAGCUGGUCCGCCCCAUCUCCGAUGGCCUUUGGGCCACUGAGGUGAGUAGGACCUCAGGCCCUCACUGGCGGGAGGGAACCCGUUCUCAUUCUUGUUUCGUUCAAUGUCUUGCUGGAGCUGUGUUGCGGCUGUGAUGUCUCUCAGUAGGAAUAAUGUUUCCCAUGUUCUAUCCCCGUCUCGAUGGUGCCUCUAGCGUCAUCGAAGGGCGUGUGGAGGUGUGUCUCUGUCGGAUUUCGCAGGAUUCGGUUGGCAUUGGUCUUCAGUGGAUCUGUUUGGACACAGUCUUUGUUCGUCUUUGUGGUGUUUAUACUAUUGAUCCUUCCGAUCUAUGACUUUCUUCAUCGACGAUGGUUGCUGCUUCGGUGCGCUGGUCCUAUGGGUCCUUAGCACGGCAACUUCCUGACUAUCGACUACAACAAGGUUUGCCCGGCUCCAGCGACCGGGGGGUGAUGGCGACGCACAGCUUGCUUUAGUGCUUGUAGUCAUCGCUAGGUGGUCCACGGACCUGGUUGUAAUUUUUCGUAUCUCUGGUGUUCUUUGUACUGCCAUGAUUGAAGAUGAAUAUAUUGGAAGUUUCUCACGCAAAAAAUAACUAUAUAAAUAACUAUUUUAGCAAAAUUCGCAAAAAAACUAUUUUACCAAGUAAUAAAUUUUGACACCAAUUAUAUGGUAGUAAUUAAUAUUUCCCCGAAUAAUAUCCCCACUGGAUCCAGGUUUUAUACUAUGUAUACAGACGGGAGUAUGUUUGGAUAAUUUUCUGAACACAAGGAUAUAUCCUAGCAAAACUAUUUUUAGCAACAAGUAGUUAAUGAAUUGAUAUAUGCUAGCUAUACUCUGCUGGUGAAAACAUGGUGUAUUAGUUGUACAAAGCAUGCAACACGGUUUCACUCCCCUUUAUAUUCCUGGGCAGAACACAAUUUCAGAUCUAAGUUUUAUGUUUGUCUACACACUCCCAUCUUCUUCCCACAUCAGCACGAAAAUUCACUCCAAUCAUCUCGCCAUUCUACACUUGGGAAAUCAGGUUUGCUUCAAUCUACCAUCCUUGAAUAUAUGCCCCACAUCUUGUUUCUGCGUCCUAAUCUCAUUAAGCUUGUAAUUAGUAGUUAGUGCAAGAUCGAAAAGGAGCUAUGGGCAAAACACCAUCCUCACCUGCUGAUAAAAUCACUAUGAGACAAGUGGCGCCAUAUCAUGAAAUAGCAGCAGAUUCAAGUGACAGUGAGAGAACAAUCAGUGAGGGUUAUGUGGGGAUCAUGUAUGGUGGUAGCCAAACCCACGAUGGCAACCUGGAAGGAGAAUCUGCUAUGGUAUUGCUAGCAACAGAUUCAAGUGACAGCGAGAGAACAAUCAGUGAGGGUUAUGUGGGGAUCUUGUAUGGUGGUAGCCAAACCCAGGAUGGAGACCUGGAGGGAGAAUCUGCUAUGGUAUUGCCUGCUGUAGGAGAGAAUACCACGGAAAGAUCUAACAGUCAUGGUUAUACGUGCAGCUUGGAAAUUGAUUCUGCCUCUCGUACUGAGAGGCAUGCUGCCAUGUCAGAUUCUGUUCUAGUGGCACAGCGCUGAGACUGCAUACAAAUUUACCCUAAGUGGCUGGAGAAAAUUGAUUCAGGCAAAAAGAUGUGGACAACUAUCAAACAAUUUCAAGCAAAUGGGAAGCAUGAAG
rnacentral:lncRNA from 1 species